rnacentral:lncRNA from 1 species
GUGUAACUCACACAGCAAAAGUGACAAUAUUCCUGUCACUCCUCAGAAAUGUCCCAGCUCUGCGGGUUUCCACAUUCAGGAGAAUGAAGAAAGCCAUUACGAGGUAUGCCAUAUCUCUAUAGAGACCAUGUUAGUAGUGAGCAAUUUGCAUUUUCCUAGUGAUUGUAUAUAGUCUGAGUUAACUAUUAUAAACAUUUUCUUUGCCAUCCUCUUUUAUGUUCAUAUUUUUAUGCUAGUACUUUUUUAAACAACUUAAAUAAAGAAUUUUAGAACAAAAAGCAAACAAUAAUAUCUUUCCUCUUUGGUAAUAGUGCAGCUAUUAAAUUCAAUAUUCUUGCCAUUGAAUGCAAAGUGUUGAUUAUUACCUAUUUUUGGAGAAAGUAAUGAGCAACUUUCUUUUGGAGUUAAAGAUUCUUAAUUGAUUCAUUUUUAUUGAGCUAAAAGAUGUGAACAUGUAUUUGUUGAAAGAUUUAUUUGCUUCAUAUCCUACAGUUAGGGAAGAUAGAGAAGACCAUGUUGCUUAAUAUGAACAGGGUAACUGGAAUUUUUAUUAAUCUUUUCUCUUUCUUCUACCUUUUCUCAGCUUGAUUCUUUACUUCCUCAUUUUUUGAAUUGAAAAUAAAAAUUACCUUCCUUUUUGCUUAACGAGUCCAUCCACUGUAAAAUGUAGAAGAUCCACAUUUUGUUGUUUUUUCUUUUAUCUUUUCUUUUUUUAUGUCGUGAGGGCUAUUCUAGUACCAAUCAUUCUAACAGUACUGGUUGCAAAAAUCUAUUAUAUUUAUUUUAAUUUAUUAAAAUUGUGGUAUAAAACACAUAAUAUUUACCAUUUUAAUCAUUUUAGAGUUACAGUUAGUAGUGUUGAGUGGGUUCACAUUAUAUAAUAGAUCAAUUUUUUAAGAUCAAUGUUUUUAAGGAAUUGUGUUUCAAUAGUUAACUCUAAUAUUAACACACACAUAUUUGUUUCAUGUAUUUCUGCAGUCAUAACAUAUGGAUUGCAGAGAGAUGAUGAAUAGAUAGAUAAUAUGUAUAUGUAUAUGUGGUUAAUAGCAUGUAUUCUAUUUUCUCAUUGAAACUAGUUUUUUCCCCAAUUUCCUUAAAGUUAUUGAAAACAUUUUUAUUAGUAGUAGUAGUACAGAGUUGCUUUUUAAAAGGUAUUUAUUUAUUUAUUGUGAGUGAGAGAGAGGGUGGGGGAGGGGCAGAGAGAGAGAAAGAGGAGAGAGAGAGGGAGGGAGGGAGAGAGAGAAUCCCAAGCAGGCUCCGUGCUUAGUGUGGAGCCUGAUGCAGGGCUCAAUCUCAUGACUGUGAGAUCAUGACCUGGGCUGAAAUCAAGAGUCAGACACUUAAAUGACCAAGCUACCCAGGUGCCCCAGUACAGGUUUUUCACACUAGUUUUUGCCAAGUAAAGGCAUCUGUCAUUCUCAAAACUCCCAGUAGUAAUGUAGGUCAGAGAAACUAUUUUGUUUAAUAGAAAUUUUACUGAGUAAGCAACUUCUUUCUAACAAACCAUUAAUUGAGAUGGAAAAAUGUGAAAGUGAUAUUUUGGACAGUUUUAUCUCCUAAUACUUCCUUCACAUAUUUUAUUUUUCUUUGUGUGGAUCUAAUUAUUCAGAAGCAUCCUUCUUACCUAUAGCAUAUAUUCUUCUUCCUAUUUUGGUUUUAUUUCCUCUCUCUUUCUCCAAAAUCUCAAUCACUUGGCAGUUGAGAGAAGAAUGAUAAUUUAACCUCUUGAUUUAUCAUCAUUAGUAUGUAUAUUUCAAGUGUGUAGAACAUGGAAAUUUCUCCCAUGAAUCACCCUUAUUGCAUCCAAUAAUAACACAAGAACAGUUAUUUUAUGGCAUAAAUAAAUAAGUUUUAUUCAUAAAUAAAAACUCAUGUAAAUAUUUACAAAGCCCAUGCACAACAUUCUGAAAGCCACUGAAAUCCCGAAGAUUUCCUUAUUUUUUGUAGAGAAUUUAAAUAAGCCAAAAUUAAAAUAGUUUUCUGUGAAUGGUAUUUUUAUUCUUCCCUGGAUAUUUUAUAAGGCCCAAUGCACAAGAGCACAGUUUGUACAGGGUUUAUUUGUCUAGAGAAGAUAGGUAAGAAAGAAAAAAUGAUACUCCAAGUUAUCAUGUUGACUUAUAUUAUGAUUCCAAUUAUCAAAGAACAGUGAAAGUAAAUCUGUGUUAUACUUAUAAACAAAAGAAAGUAAACAAAUUAUUUUUUAAAAAUCCCCAAAUUCUCAUUUAACCAUCAUAUUCCAGGCCCAUUGUAGUCUGAAUGGUUUCAGAUUAGGUCAUCUCUAAGGUCCUCUCUCUUUCUAGUGGUCUAUGAUACUAAAUAAAGAUAAUGACAUUGACAGCUGAUAUUUUUGUGGCACUGAUACUCAGUGCUGGGGUCUGUUUCAAGCUCUUUAUGGGUAUAUUUGGCCAUCAUUUACAUUUUGUCCUUUAAAUGGCUUUUCAUUCUGUUAUUUGUUAAAUGGCUUUUCAUCAUAAUAUACCUAAUUUACUGAGUAUACUUUUUUUUUUUUUAACACAGAGAAAAUCUCUGCUGACGUUUCUUAGAAAAUAAAACUUGGAGACAGAAGUACUGCCUGUUUUGCAGUGUUAUAAAACAUUCUGUAAGGGACACCUGGGUGGCUCAGUUGGUUAAGUGUUCAACUCAGGUCAUGAUCUCAAUGUUCAUGAGAUUGAGCCCUGCAUCAGGCUCCAUACUUACAGCACAGAGCCUGCUUGGGAUUCUCUCCCUCCCUUUCUCUGCCCCUCCUCCACUUGUGUUUUCUCUCUGUCUCUUUUUGUCUUUCUCUGUCAAAAUAAGUAAACUUAAAAAAAAAGCAUUCUGCAACACAGGGUUUCUGUAUAAUGUUUAAUGUCUAUAGAACAAUAACAAAGGGGAUAGUUUCAGUAACCAGUUCCUUAAAAGUUCUUGAUCUAAUAUUAAUCAUUUUUGAAAAUUAAUAAUGGAAAUUGAUCAUAACCUACAAAAUUGGUUCCUGUGCUAUGCUGUUAUUAUUUUUCCUUUACAUCGAAUAAUGUGGUAAGCCUGUUAAAUAUAUUACUAAUUUUUUAUUUUCUCACAAUUUAUGCUUUCCCACUUUAAUCACUUUACUAAAGUAAAAAAAAAACAUGUUAGGUCUUUUUAUCAUAAAAAAUAUUUAAUUGAAUAAAGCCAUACUGUUCAAGUAGAAAGUCAUAUUUUUGUCAACUAAUAUUGAUUAAUCUGAAUGAAGCUAUUAAGUUUGUAUUACAACUUUAGAUACAACACAAAAGCAAGGCUGUAUGACCAGCAAAGUUUUAAUCAUUCUUAAAUUAUCGGACUUUGCCCAUCAUGCUUAACUUAGAUAUAACAAUUACUGCUCACUCAUAGAGGAAUGCUAGUAUCAGCUAAUGGGUAAUCUUUUAGCAGACAUUAUUCCAGGCUCUUCAUAUAUAUUACCAAAUUUUGUCUAAUCUAUGAUGUUAAGAUGUUAAUGUAUAACAGCUUAGCAUAACCCAUGCUAUAAUUUUAUUUACCAUUGAGAAGAAUUGCUGUUGAUUAAACUCUGUUAAGUGCUUAUAUAUGAUUUCCUUAAUAUGUAUCCCACUUUAAGUUAUGUUAAAGUAUAAGAAAGCUUACAUAUUAGAAUCAUUAAAAUGUAGCUCAUUUUAAUUCUGACAGCAACCCCAUUAUCCCCAUUUUACAGAUAGGGAAACUGAGGCACACGGAAGUUACAUAAGUUGCUUGCCUUCACACAGGUAGUAACUAAUGGAGCUGGAAUAUAACCACAGGAACUACAAGGUUAAUUACCCUAAGAUAGUAUUGAAGUCAAAACAAAUUCGCAGGCUAUUUAGUCAUCAGAGACCAUGGAGAUUAUAUAUUCAUAUUACUGAGGCAUAAGUUGAAGACAAGAAAGAUGGAGGAGCUUGCCCUAGGUCACAGAGCUAGCUAGUGAUAGCACUAGGAUUAGAUCCAGGCUUUCUGAUCCUUGAGUGACCUAAUGACUACUAAGCUACGUAAAAAAUUUCUAUGCAAAUGUUAGAGAAAAUAGUUCAUAUUUAAAAAUUUUUCUUAAACUAGAUUUUAAAUAAGGUCUGGAAUUUAAACAAAUUGUCAUGUUUAAGUUUUCCUGACAGAGCUCUGUCACUGGAUACACAAAGCCUUCAUAGUUAAAAUACAAGCAUAGAAAUGAAUAAGUGCACAUUGUUUUCAUGCCAUAAAUGCAUAUUACCUUUACUAAGCCUCUUUGAUCCAUAAAUUUUAUUGUCAUUUCCCUUCUAUUAUGUUCAGUUCCCUUUACCCAUGAAAUAGCAUAGGAUGCAAGUGGAUAGAGCUUUCAGUGUCUAUAUUCUGCAAUCUGUAGGAAAAUGUCUCAUAGUUAUUGGAAUUCACACAAGACUGCAUCUCAGUAUGAGUAGCUGUUCCCUGUCACUGUUUUUGAUGCUUGAGCUAAAGUAUUUUUACAAAAUGGUCUAGUGUUCAGUGUAUGAAUUUUUGAGAUAAGACUUUUCCCUUGUAGCAAUGAAAUCCGAAAAUCAAUGUCAGAUGAAAAUCUUAGCUCUAAGAGUUAGGGAGAUUGGUGGAAGACUUUUAAAAUAAGUAUGAAUUUUAGCCGCCAGACUUUGGAAAUGUGGCAGUUAUCACAAGUGUGAAAUUCAUGGGUACAGAUGGUUGAUCAAGAUAUCCCAGGAUGGACCACUACUAUAAAUCUCCAGACCAAAACUGGGAAACCAGUUUUGAUAAGGAAAAUGUUUUUAACCUUUUACAUAAAUUUGUGACACAGGGUUUGCUGGUCAGAGAUACAUAGAAGUUAAAUUAUCAUUGGCUUCACAAACAUUCCAAUGGUGUCAUUUGAUGGAAAUAUUUAACAGAAUAAAAAUAUGUCAAAUGGAGAGUGAGAGGAGCAUGUGGGAAGAGAAUAGAAUUAAAAUGUAUUAGAUUAUUACUAUUAUUUUGUGUGUUGCAUUUCACAUUCAUAACCUCAUUUAGGACAAUAAGUCUUCCAGGUAAGUAUACUUUUCCCACCAUUAAAGAUGGAGUUACAGGUAUACCUUGAGCUUGGGUUCACCGAAACAAAGGCACACUGAGAGCUAGGAGAACAGUGGUUCUCCAUGUUUUUAACCAUAGCAUAGAACACUCUAAUUUAAAUUAAUAAUAUCAAAUGGAGUAAUAGCAAAAUGAUAACGUUAUCUGUUACGUUCAAAUAAAAAGGGAAAGAUAUAAAGCCAAAAGGCUUUUACUUUUGUCUCACUUGAUCUUGGUCUUUUCUUUUUUCUCUUCUCUUGUCUUUCCUCUUUUCUGUAUUUAUUACAGAUUAACUUUGACUUAAUUAACUAACAGUCUGGAUCUAAAUAAACAGAAUCUAGUAUAUGAAAUAUUAUACUACAUACUUACAUUUUCCUGUUUUUGGUGUUUUAUAUAGUUGUGUGACCCAAGCACAUUUAAUUUUCAAAGAAUAAAUGUGUUCUGUCCUUAGAAUAGAGAUUACAGUUGAUAUCAGCUUUUAAGUUAAAGUAAUUAAUAGUCAAAUCAUUUAGCAAUAAUUACAUGUUAUAAUAUUUGGGAGUAAUUUUAUCUAAUAAUACCAAAUUAAUUCACAACCCAGUUUGUUUUCAUUUUUUUUCAUUUACCUUUUCUAAAAUCCCAAAGGUAAAAAUAUUUAAGAUAUACACACACACAUACAUGCACACACACUCUUAUUAUAUACAUUGAUAUACAUAUAUAUUUUGGGAAUAAUUCUCAGUAUAUCAAAAUAUUUAAAUUCUCAGUAACAUCUAAGAUUACCUGCCAAAAUGAUAAAAGCUGUGUUACACUUCAGUCACUUAUGGUGAAACUUUGCAUAUAUUACAGUCAGUAGAGAAAGGAUGCUACACGACAGACCAGCUCACUCACUAGAUAAGGAUUUAUUCCUCUUUUCAUUCUUUUAUCAUUAAGGACCCAAAUCUGCACUUUAGCAAAAUAACAAAAAAUACAUAUCAUGGUUUGCAGCUUGUUAGGGUUAAGUUCUCACAUGCCCAACUGGGAAAAGUCAAAGAUCUUACUUACAUGCCAUUUUAUGUAAGAUUAGCCUUGUGGACAGUUUCUAACAAAUCCAGGGACAAUUGCUGACUACCAUUUUAAACCAUACUUAAUGACUGAUUGAAAAGUCUCCUUGAUAUGUAUUUGUCAUGUGUGGUUUAUAUUAUAUAGAGAUAAAUUUUCCCUACAUCUUUGAAUUUUUGUUAAUUACCACUUAUUUGCUACCAAGUCAGUAUAGAUAAAUUUGAAACAAAUUACUAAGAAGUCAAAGAAUUUAUAGUACAAUAGUACACAGACACUACAUACAUUCAUGUCUAAUGCCUAUGUAUGAUGUUUUCUACAAACACAUUAAUAUUGUUAUUUCACAGUAUAAACUUAUGUUUGAAAAUCAUAGGAGGUAUUAGCAGUAUGGAGUAAUAUAAAAAUAUACAUAUUUCACCAAAUCUCUCCUACUUAUCUCUGCCUUCUGAAUGUGGUUUGAUUUGAUUUUUUAAAUGGAGCCAUAAAUACAUCCCCUAAGCCAGAUAAACAGAGAUUGGGUGCUAGACAUUCUUUCCUUUGUUCUCACCCAUAAACAUGAUGUUGAGACUGUUCUGUGGAGUGGAAGCAAAUUACCCAUCUUCCCCUUGUUGACCUUUUCCAUAAUUGUACUGAAGCCAGUCUGUAAAUCCUACAUUAAUAAUCCCUGUCUGCCUGCCUGCCACAAAUAUUCAUCCAACAAAUAUACCAAAGAUUCUGUUACAUGAUAUGCUAAGUACAUCAUGCUGAGCAGGCAGGCACACGUACUUCUUUUUGUCUCAGGUAUUACAGGGGACACAUUUUUAUAUUCAGCAAGUUGCCAUAAAGUGCAAGCGGUGGUACAGUAAGAUAUGUUCAAGAAUCAAGAACACAUGGCAGGAGCAAAUUUAACCUAGGAGAGGAAAACAUAAUAAUGUUACUGUAAGGCUUGAACGAGUCUACCAGGUAAAUGAUCAAGAAUGGUGUGAUUUCUGUGGUUGUGGACAAAUGAGAAUGUUUCUCAGAAAGAUUGCCUGUGUGAAGCCUGGGUGUUGGGAAGAGGCAUCACAGGUUUGAGGAAAUUUCCAUUGGGUUAUUUCUCUUCUCAAUUCAGAUGUCUUUCGGCUCUAUUAUCAAGACAUCAUCCUGGCUCAUAAUGGAGAAUGGCAAUAGCUAUCAAACUUGUAAUGCAAUAUCCACAUAUACUUUAAAAAAAUUAAGUUUAUUUUGAGACAGAGAGAGCGAGCGAGCAUGAGCUGGGUAGAGGCAGAGAGAGAGGUAGAGAGAGAAUCCACAGCAGAGAAUCUGAUGUAGUGCUUGAACUCAAGAACCUGAGCCACAAUCAAGAGUCAGAUGCUUAACCGACUGAGUCACCCAUGUGCCCCUCUACAUAUACUUUUGAUUAUUAAGAACAGUGACUAUAUAAUGUUUCUCAAUGCGUGUUCAAUAUUGUUGUUUUAAAAACUUUUGAAAAAUUGUGAAAUCAGAUAUGCAUAUUAAUAGAUGCAUUCCUACAGAUUUGGAUUUUUAAGUGAAUUUUAUAUAUAAUAAUUGUAUAUACUGUAUAUGAAUAUAUGUAAUAGAUAUUACUUAAGGUUGCAUCUGUAUGUGGAUGUGCAAAUCUGAUUUUAUAUGUAAUAAUUAAUAACCCCCUAUUUAUUUAUUUAUUUAUUUUGAUUUUAUUUAUUUUUUAUUAAAAUUUUUUCAAAUGUUUAUUUAUUUUUGAGAGAGACAGAGUGCGAGUAGCAGAGGGAAGGGAGUGGGAGACACAGAAUUCAAAGCAGGCUCGAGGCUCUGAGCUGUCAGUACAGAGCCUAAUGCGGGCUUGAACCCACGAACUGUGAGAUCAUGCUUAACCCACUGAGCCACCCAGUCAGAUGCUUAACCCACUGAGCCACCCAGGCACCCCAAUAGCUCCCUACUAUUAAGAAAGUGCACAUUAAUGUUUUCCAGAAGCUAAAUAAAUAUACUUGGUCCAUUGGGGAUUGUUCCAUUGGAAAUUCAUGGAGAAGAUUUCAGUUUGAUUCCCUGUAUUCCAGCAACAGCUAUAAAUCAGUGAUCAAAUUUUCCUCUAAGUUUUUUUUUCCCAUUACUUAACCCUGUGUAAAGGAUGGCCAUCACCCUCUCUUACUUUUUAUUAUACAUGUUCUGCCAAUUUCUUCUUCACCACAGAGCAAGUGGCCUUGGGUUUAUUCACAAGAAGAACCACAUUUGACAGAUUUGCUGAUGGUGUCAGCCAUGGUUGCAUGCUUGAUGGACAGCACCAAACCUUGCUGUGGCCCAGCUCCUGCUAAUUAGUCGUUUGAAGCCACUUUGUGUGCCACAGGCACAUAGGCUUAUCAGCCAAAGACAUCUUUGCCAUUCAGAAUGACAAGUGUGAUGCAGCUGUUUGUGGAGAGAAUAGAGUGUACAAAGAGAGAGAAGGGCCUUUCAAACAAGUGACAACCAUAGUACCUUUCACUGAAGGAUCCUGAAAUUAUAACAAAACAACCAAAAGCGAGAAUACAAAAAGGUGUAAAUCAAUAUCUGUUACAUCGGCAUGGAACCCACACAUGAAAUGACAAUAAAUAAUAUCAAACUGUGAGAAUGAGAGAAAGAUAUCCCUGCCUGACAGUACUUUUUAAAUCAACUGAGGUUGCAUGUUGUGAUUAAUACAGGCCGGGCAUUUGCAUAUAGAAUUAACAUAGAUGUGUGGAGUUUUCAGAAGGUUCUGCAUAUAUCUGUGGAUACUAAUAGAGAAGCCUGAUGGAAAGCUUUGUAUUUAAAGUCCUAUAGAGUACAUGGUCAUAAAUAAUUUAUUGGGACACUAAAUAUCUCAGGACAUUGAAGACCCAUUGGGAAGAGUGAAGGUAAUACAAAUACAUGUGAGAAGAGGAUAGAAAUAGAAAAGAUAGAAAACUAGGAAAUGUUAACGUUUUUUUAGAAAAUUAAAAUAUUGAAAUAAUAAUGAGUGAAAUUUUCUUCUCUGUGAUGAUUCUGAACUGUGAGAUUUCUUUCUAGUUACCAUUGACGGGAUUUGGAAAUCAAAUGGAAAGUCAAAAGAUCUAAUGUUAGAAGUGCACAUUGACAAAUUAAAUAGAUAUUUUUCACAAGAGCUUUCAUAUUAUAAAAUCCUCAUUCUAAUUUCCAAAUAUCUACCAAGAAUAAUGUUUGAUAGAUGAUAGAUGAUAUUUAGUAUUUUAUAAAACAAUUUUAAUUGUAUGUAUGCAUAUAGGAUAUAGAAAUUCUUAUAAUAAGAUACUUCAAACUUGAAAUGGGUUUUUGGAUGUUUACACUAGUUAUAUAUAUUUAUAUAACAUAGAUAUUAUUAUUAUACUCUAUAAAUAUAUAUAGUGAUUACUGCAGAGGGCAUAUGAGAUGUCAUUUGUUGUGUCACCAAAUCUUGGUAAGUAUGGACAUAGAAUUAUAGCUAGUCUUUUUAUCUGUUCUAUAGUCCAUAAAAUUUUGGAUAUAGAUAUAAAAAUGUCUUACCUAUUUAAAAAGCUUGAGACACACUUAUGUAUGCCAGUUAAAUAGACAAUGAUACAUAUCAUAUAAACUACAUAAACCCAGCUUUGUCUUGAUGUUAGCUUUUAUUUUAGCUUUAUAAUAAAUAAUUUUGAGUUUAAAAAUGCAAAACUUAUUUAUAAAUAGAAGUGGCAUAGAAUCACUCUAAUUAUUGAGGAGUGGUUACCUAGAUUUACUUUUUCUCCUUUAGAUGAUUCAAACAAACAGUGGAGUAUGUUAGAAUUUAUGUGUAUAUGUUGCAUAUGUUAAAUACAGAUGAAAUCUUCAAAAAGAAUAGACUAAGUACAUACUUUCUCUUUAAAUGCCAUUUAUUUCUUCAAUUUUGGAAUUACUGGAAACCUCGAUUAUUCAGUAUCUACAGCAUAUUAUGCAUGAGAAAGAAUUUUGGCACCAAGACCACCAGGAGAUCCAUGUUAAGCAGGUCAGGAAUGGGGUCCGAAUAUGAUCUUUUUGAAAAUUUUCAAAUUUUAUGAAGUAUUUAAUAGGUUUAAUGUGAAAGGUGGACAGGAGGACUGAGGCAGAGUUUCAUUAAUGAUCAGUAUAUAGGUUAUGUAGAUAAAUGAGUAAGUCCUUCAGUCUGAGGUUUAGCAUCAGCUUUUUCUUAAUGGAAUAGAAAAUAACAGAGUAGAAUAAACUGUAUAGAAUUUAAUAAAUAGGUUAGAACAGAAUAGAAUGAGGAAAGAAGAGGAUAAGGGAAAUAAACAGAAGAUACAUAUGAAGUAUAUGUUAUAUACAAUUGUUAAAUAUUAUUUUACUUUACUUCACAUGUAUACAUUUGUUUAUAUUUGAGUGCUUAUACCAUGUUUCUAUGUAAAAUGAGUUGCUCAGUGUGGGACAAGUUAAAAAAUUUGAAAGUCACUGAUAAAAAAUAGCCCAGACUUACAUACCACUUACCAUUGGUCAAUAACUCUUCAAAAUCACUUUGAUUAUAUUAACUUGAUGAAUUAACUUCUCAGUGGGGUAAACUCUUCUAUGACUCUGGUUAUAGUUGAAUAAAGGAAGGUAUAGGAGACACGUGACUUUUAUAGUCACACAGCAGAUAAGGGGCUGUGGCAGGAUUCAAAUCCAGAAAAUCUAGAUCUGUGGGUUGUGCUCUUGGCCACUGCUCUAAUGCUUCCACCAAAGAUGGCAGCAGAUCCAGGGUUUGAGACCAACCUCCUGACUCACAGUGUAAUACAACUCUUUCACUUCGGCAGUGACCUCUCCUGUCAGCCUAAAUCUCAAUCCCAGGGCAGAGUUUACAGGUGUAAAGUCUCAGCCUUGUAAAGAGGGUGUAUAAGCUCAAUGAGUCUAAGAAGUUCUCCCCUCAGUGACUUCUCUUGGUGAUUUACAGUAGGGUUAGCAUACAAAUGCACUUAAGUAAUUUAAUUGUAAAUGCAUCUAUUUACAUUUAGUUUUACCUACUCCGUGGUAAACUAAUUUGACUCAAAUUGAAAGAACACCUAUUAAUACUAUUUUCCGUAUAACUCACUUUGACAAAUAGCCUAGGCCAUGAAUGAUACUAUAUGCUAAAAUUUAUUUAAUGAUGUUAAAAUGAAGAACCUUGAAAUUUAAGUAAAACCUCCAUUUAUUAAGAUGCAGGUCAGAAAAUAAAACAAAAAGGAAACAAAAAAAAUGGUGUCAAAGGUGUAUGCAUGUAUGCAUGUAUUAUCCACACACUUGUUACCAAAGAAGUAAAAGUAUUUUUUAAGUUUCUGAUUCUUCCUUGCUUUUCAGACAAAAUUUUAAAUGAUAUAUGUCUAACAUAUUUUUCAAAUAAGUAUUCAUUCAAAAAAGCAGCAGCCCAAAGUCUUUUUUAUUGAGGCCAAAUUCUCGCUGUUUUGGACAUUGUUACCCAUUCGAAUGUGUGUGUUUUUUGUUUUGUUUUGUUUUGGUUUUUAAGAUUUCUAUGUCUUAUCACAAAUAUGGUAUCUUUUUUUUUCCAAUUUUGCGAAGAAUGUUUCAGAAAUAAGAUCAAUAUGAAAUUAUUUUUUCUAGUUUUUAUCUACUUUAUAAAAUAUAAAUCCCAAACACAAUGAUAUGUUGUAAUUAUUGCACAAACACUGUUACACAGUGAAAAAUGACAAAAAUAGAGCUACAUUUUGGGCGGCAGCCAACUCCAGCUUCUUUGUCAGGUAAUGUAAGUUUAUGAAUUUUGCAUGCAAUUCAGACAGUUUCUGAAUUUGGACACAUUAAAAGAAUGGCUAAAAUUUAAUUUGGUCAAGUACUGCUCACAUAUAUGAAAUGUAAGUAGUUUCGGAUUGACCACUAAUAUUAGAAAACUAGCCAGUUAGAUGUAUAGGGUAUUAUGAAAAUAGAGGGAAAAGUCAUUCAUUACUUGAUACUUUCUUAACAUAUUUUAAUUUUUCUUUAUGUCACCCACAUGUUUGCAUCUUAAAAUAGGGAUGAAUGUGAGGAGAUUGCCACUGCAUUCAAACAUUUUAAGAAUCUGUUCUCUACCUACAGAAGAUGGAAGUUCCUUGAAACCCAGAGUCAGAAUCUCCCAAAUAAUUCCAUUCAGGGUCAGUUAAAGUAGAAAAAGUAACUAAACAAACUAACCAACGAACUAGCCAACUAAAUCCCGUAACACAUGUAAGUUUGAUAACAAAUUCUGAAAUAAUGAACUCCAUACAUUUAAAAUAGGUAACUAUGUGAGUUUAGCCUGCAUCUAACAACAGGAAUUUUCUUUAAAAACAUACUUUUAGGGGCGCCUGGGUGGUUCAGUAGGUUAGGUGUCCAACUUCACUCAGGUCAUGAUCUCAUGGUUUGUGGGUUCGAGUCCCGCAUCGGGCUCUGUGCUGACAGCUCAGAGCCUGGAGCCUGCUUUGGGUUCUAUGUCUCCCUCUCUCUCUGCCCCUCCCCACCUCUCACCUUGUCUCACUGUGUCUCUCAAAAAUAAAUAAAUGUAAUAAAAAAAUUACAAAAAUAAAAACAUACCUUUAGGGAAGAGGUUUAUACUUCUUUUCAAAUUGGUUCUUGUAGCCUUGUACUUUCCAACACUCCUGGUCUAUCGGUAGAUAGUUAUUCCCAUGUUUUUGGCCAGGAAGCUAAGCAGCCUUAAAACGUACUUUCUGGGGGUGCCUGGGUGAAUCAUUUGGUUAAACAUCUGACUCUUGAUUUUGGCUCAGGUCAUGAUCUCAUGGUUCAUGAGUUUGAGCCCCGUAUCUUUGGGCUUUGCGUUGAAAGUGUGGAGCCUGCUUGGGAUUCUCUGUCUCCCCCUCUCUGCUCCUCCCCACUUCUCUCAAAAUAAAUAAAUAAACUUAAACUUUUUUUUAAAUGUACUUUCUGUCUGAAUUAUCUCAAUUUUGACUGGAAUGGAUAUUUAGGACAUGAUACCUAUUUAGAACAAAUGAAUAGUAUAAAAUGUCAGCAAAUUUUAUAUUGAUAUUUAAUUUAAAGCAUUUUGUAGAUAUGCAUUUUACUGACAUUUUAUAGAUUUGAUAUUGUUUUUUAAAGAGGCGGCUGGAUUGUUUAUUCACUUAUUGGCAUAGUUAUUAUAUGAGAUAUUUUCCAUUUGAAACCAUGGAAAACUUCCACUCAACACAAAAAGGGAAAGCAAGAACCUUUUGGGUGAAUCUAAUCUUAAUUCAGAAUGUAUCUAGAAAACACAAUACUUAGUAUCUUAAAUAAGGCAAAUAUUGAUAAAUAAAGAAAACCAAAUUUAAAUUCAAAUUAUGGAUUGAAAACAUAGACAAAUUGUGGUAGUAUACAAUGUAAUACUAUGCAACAGUGAAGCGAAGAAACCACUGAUACAUGCCACAACAUGGAUGAAUAUUAUGCUAAGUGAAAGAAAAAACAGAAAUAAAAGGUUACAUAUUGUAUAAUUUAAUUUAUAUGACAUGUUGGAAAAGGUAAAGCUAUAGAGACAGAACUUAGAUCAGUGGUUGCCAAGAGCUGGGGCUUGAGGGGCUCAGAGGAAGUUCUUGGAGUGAUGAAGAUGUUCUAUAAUUUGAUUGUAGUUGUAUGUAUAUCAAAAAAAUUGCAUUCGAUGGAGUUAAAUAGGCAAAGGAGACCUUAUUCAAGACUACAGUUGGGAGAGAGAUGAAUUCAACCUCUUUGAAACAAAUGCAGGAAACCUUUUAAGCAUUGGGGUGAGCUCGUGGGAAAAGAUUGGAGCAUGUUAGGAAGGAAGCUGGUCAAUGUGAUUAGACUGGUUGUGCUUACUGACUGGCACUUAGUAAAGUUAGGCUCCUCCCUUCCCACAGAGACCAGGAGAUGUGGAAGCCAUUUUUCUUGAUGAAAAAUUACAUUACAUUUCAAAGGGAUAACCACUAGGUCUUUGAGAAAGACAUUCCUGAGUCAUGAAACUGGCAAGAGCUGAGAAACCAAGUUAUGUCUUGAGAGGACAGAGACAGAAUUUACAAGUUUUGUUUUUGUUUUUGUUUUAAAGGAAAUGUUCUAAGACAAGGGAGGUCAAGGGCUUAGCAUAAGGAAGGAGCCUGUCUCAAGCUGAAGCAAGCUAAGGGGAGCAUUAAGAGUGUCUUAGAUUCCAUGAUUGUGUGUGUAUCAGAACUCAUAGAACUUUAUUCCUGAAUGGGUGACUCUCACUGUAUGCAAAUGAUUUCACAGUAUGCAAAAAAAAAAAAAAAAUGCAGCUAGGAAAAAUAUCAUCAUGGGUGUAGACUGAAAGCAGUAGAAUCAUGAUGCCCCAGAGAAAGGAAAAAAGUGAGAUUAUAACUCCACAGGAAAUGAGUCUUUUACUCUUCCAUAUAUGGACCAUCUAACAUCUUUCAUUAGUGACAUGAUAAUUCAUAAAACCCGAUAUAUGCACCAGGUCUCUGCCGAGAAAUAUAAAACAGAGACCCUAGAUGCUAUAGAUAAAUUGUUUGCUGGCUCAUCUUUCUGUUUACUGGAUUGUUAAGCAAGAAGUCUUUGUUACCCAGAGGAGCAUAUUUGAUUAAAAUCAAUACACAUAUAUCCACAUGCUACACCACAGUCACUAUUCCACCUUCAUGGAAUUGAAGCGUCUGUACUAUUCUUACCGCCACCACUGUGGUACAUAGUUAUAGUGAAAAGCAUCUCAGCAGGAGUGAACUUUGCUUUUUGUCAUGUGCCUCUUUCUCAGAAUGCAACAGUCUAGUGGCCGAAAAAGAAAAGAGAGUUUCUAUAGGUUGACUCCUAAAAUGCUGAAUGCUUUAUUUUAAUUCCAGAACCACAGCGUCUAGUCUCCCUGUAGCGGCAAUGGGAGAGCAAAGUUCUUGUUUUCACCAGGGAAUAGGUGACAAAGAACCAGGGGCAUGGAGAGCCAGGAUCUCCAGGGAACAGCUGGUUAAGGGGAUCCACCAGUGCCUCUGUCCCCACCCUUUAGUCACUUGGCUGAAAAUACAAAAGGCUUAUUUAGCAGCACCCUUAGGCAUAUGCAUCACAGAACCACUCAACACAAGUAUUUCCUCUCUGAGGCUUCCCCCACUCCCCCCUCCUGACCUUGAGAAGUGUUGACAAAGGGCAUAAAAGAUGGAACAGACAGAAGUUUCACGAUGAACCAAAAAAUUAUGUUCUGCUGCAUGAUGAAGAGAAAUAAAAGGGAGAAAGCUAGAUAUAUGUUUGGUUUAAAUAAGGCUCCACAAAUUCUGUAACGUUUGUGCAAACUUGGCCCCAGAUCAGAGGUACUCAGCCUGCACGGUAAUCAGGACUUUCUCAAUAAACCUCAGCCUGUUACGGUUCUUACCACAUUUACUUUCUCAAUAUGAUAGUACUUUACAGCUAUCUACUCGAUUAUGGCCAGAGUUCCUAGCAGUUAUUGAUAACCAUACCAUCGACUUUAUAUCUCAGCCAGCACAGGAAGGGGGAAGGCAAUCAGCACAGUGAAUUUCCUAACCUGGAUAUAUCUUCCUGAAACGCGAAGAUGAUGACUCAGUUCUACAAUUGAGCUUGUGAUUCUCAGUGUGGCGAAACUUCUUAUGUCAUUUUUAUUUUUAGCUCUUUGGCACAAUUAUAGAAAAUUCUUGUAGGAAAAUCACAGCUUCCAUAAGGAGGAGCCCUGACUGCUUUUCAGAGGUUCAAAAUGUUGGGAAAAUUCAUAAACCCUGUGCAAUGCAUUCCUUGGUGGGGAAAUGCAGAUAAAUUUUUGUUUACUGAAAGAAUGAAGCAAGAUUGCAAGACAGUUUCAGUUUAUCUUUUCCGUUCUCUACCCUCUCUUUCUGAACUCCGCCUUGUAUUUCCUUUGCCGGAGCUACUAUCAAAAAUCCACACUCUUCUAAGGCCUACCUUUCUUCAAAAAUCACAUCUCUGAGAUUCAAGGGUCCAUUUCCUGCGUGUGCAGCAUAACUAAGUUGUGUGAACAUGUAGUUGAUGAGAAUGACAAUUUUGAGUAACUACUCUUCCACCUUCCCCUCAUUGAGAUGUGAGUGAGUAAAAUGAGUUAGUUUCACAUAAAGCCAGAGGUAUUUGCAAGCUGAAUUCAGUAAGACCAUGUCAUAGUGGUUUGAUACAUCAGAGUGACUUCAAUCGCACAAUAUAUGGGGCCAAAAUUUUGGAUCACCACCUAUAUAACCUUAUGUAUGGUUAUUACCCACAUUAUGUAUGUAAUCACUCCUUUAUUAAAAGUGGUGUUAUGACUUUUAUUUCUGGAAAAAUAUAAUUUUAGAUAUUCUUAUUAUGUAGGAAAAUGACAUUUAGAUUUUACAAUUUGGGUUUUUGGUAAUUUUAGCAACAUAGGUGUGCUUUUACUUCUAAGUCAGUGUCUAGUAUGCUUCAAAUACCAGAGAUGAUGUGAAAUAAUGAUAUGAAUGCAAGAUCUAGGUAAUAUUUUACAGCAAAGCUGCUACUUAAUGGUCUUUUCUGAUAUCUUGUUAGUAAUUAGCAUAUUAGUAUUACUGUUACCAGUUCUAAAGUAUAGCAGUAGCUGGUACCGAGUACUCUUUUUUUUUUUUUUUUAAGUUGAUUUAUUUUGAGAGAGAGUGCAAGCAGGGUAGAGAGAGAGAGAGAGAGAGAGAGAGAGAGAGGGGGAGAGAANAGUGAUGUACUUUGUUGUAACUGUAAAUUCACUGUGCUGAAUACUUGCCCGGCUCUUUGAGAACUAGACUUUUUUGCAGCUGAAUAUAUAUAUAUAUAUAUAUCAACAAUUCUUUGUCUUUGUUAUUGCAGUUCUCUCUUAAUUAAUCUUCCCAAAACACCACUUCCUUCAAGCUUCUCUCUUCCUGAAAAACCUUUACUGUUUUCCUACACAGUCUAGUCUCCGUCUGCCUUUCCAAACCAGCCAGGUUUGUGUUUUUCAUAGGUAUGUCUCCCUCAACUCAAAUCCCCACACUUGACUUAACAGCACAGUGGGGUCUCCCUAACUGCAAAGAAGUUUAUGUUCCUGCCAAGCCUUCUUCAAAGGCAGUGCCCCGGAGCUGAAGAUCUCGCGUAUAGGGGAGGUGGAGGCGUGGAAUGCAGUUAGGAAACUAGUUGCUGGUCACAGUUUUUCAACGUUUCUUUUGUCCUCUAAUAGAAAAGAAUAAAGAAGGGACACUAAAAGAGUAUGAAUCAGCAGUGAGUUAGUUUCACAUAAAGCCAGAGGUAUUUGCAAGCUGAAUUCAGUAAGACCAUGUCAUAGUGGUUUGAUACAUCAGAGUGACUUCAAUCGCACAAUAUAUGGGGCCAAAAUUUUGGAUCACCACCUAUAUAACCUUAUGUAUGGUUAUUACCCACAUUAUGUAUGUAAUCACUCCUUUAUUAAAAGUGGUGUUAUGACUUUUAUUUCUGGAAAAAUAUAAUUUUAGAUAUUCUUAUUAUGUAGGAAAAUGACAUUUAGAUUUUACAAUUUGGGUUUUUGGUAAUUUUAGCAACAUAGGUGUGCUUUUACUUCUAAGUCAGUGUCUAGUAUGCUUCAAAUACCAGAGAUGAUGUGAAAUAAUGAUAUGAAUGCAAGAUCUAGGUAAUAUUUUACAGCAAAGCUGCUACUUAAUGGUCUUUUCUGAUAUCUUGUUAGUAAUUAGCAUAUUAGUAUUACUGUUACCAGUUCUAAAGUAUAGCAGUAGCUGGUACCGAGUACUCUUUUUUUUUUAAGUUGAUUUAUUUUGAGAGAGAGUGCAAGCAGGGUAGAGAGAGAGAGAGAGAGAGAGAGAGAGAGAGAGAGAGAGAGAUGGGGAGAGAAUCCUAAGCAGGCUCCACGCUGUCAGCACACAGUCCGAUGCAGGGGUUGAACUCAUGAACCAUGAGACCAUGACCUGAGCUGAAAUCAAGAGUUGGACACUUAACUGACUGAGUCACUGAGGCACCCCCCAAGAGUACUCUUAAUGAUUUUAUAUUGUUAUGAAGGCAUGCUAUUUAUGAGGGCACCUUACGGUUACAAAUCAGUACAUUCCUUAUUUGAAAGUUUCAAAUGUUUUUAUUAACAUCUCCCUUUUAUACAAAUAUUCUCAUGCUUCCUUUUCUACAUUAUGUUUGCUAAAAAGUGUCUGUUGUAGAAAAUAGAAUGGGGCAUUUUUUCCCCAUGGCAGAAUGCACAUCUCCGUUUUUAAUGCAUGAGCAGGAGGUUUGGUUCAUUAAGCUCAGUGGCACCGAUAGUAAACUAAACAGGAAUGAAAGGAAGAGGAACUGAAAUACCAUCAUCCCACUAAUGAUACUGAAACUGCGCAGCUUUAUUGGGAGACUGCCCAGACAGCCACUAAUGGAAGGCAUGGUCCAGGAUGUGAACUUGGUGUUGGAGUGCCAAAACUACAGAUCUAGAAAAAAAAAAAAGCUUUGCCUAAAAGAAUGCCUGGAAUAAUUUAAGCAAUUGUCCAGAAUUAUGGUGUGUGUGUGUGUGUGUGUGUGUGUGUGUUACUAUAUUUGUUGGUGGGUGGGUUAGAGAGAGAGCAUGCAUACACAACAGGAUGGAAGAAAAAAUGAAAGUGGGGAAUAUUCAAUUACCUUAAGACUGUAUUGAACAAGGAAAGCAGUUGUAUCACAUAUAUGUAUCUCAGGAUGCAUGAAUUGGAGAAUAUCCAGAGAGCUCAGUGUCACUUUUUGACUUAAAGAAUGUGGCUUCAGAAUGUUAAAUAAUUUCUGAGAAAUGUCCACUUUCCUAAGAAGGGACUAGAAUACAUGGCUCUUCAUAUCCCCAUACACUUCCACAUCACAAUGCUAUUUAGGUAUUUACUAACACUCAGUUAUAAUAAUUAACGCUAUUAUUUCUCUUAUAAAUGAAUAUUAUUGUUCCUAGUUCACCCCUGCACAUGAGGAAGUAUUCAGAAAUGUGCCCUUUGAAAUGAGGGAAGAAAACAGAUUCUCUGUUCAAAUUGGGCCUGUGCCCAGUUUGAACAGAGAAUCACUCAGCUGGGGAUGGCAGCUUUCGUGGCCUCUGGCUGACACAACCCCCUCAGUGGCUUUUCACAGCCACUUAGAAUCAAGUCCCAGCAGGCUCCAAGCGGAAGCCGCAGCUGCGGACACUGGGGAACACCUAUGUGGCCCUCGGCACAUGUCACAGGUCCCUUUCUGAUUUCAGUUCUGCUCAUGUUUUGUGUGGAAGGUUGGAGGGCAGGUAGAGAAGGGACAUUCCUCUCACCCGAUUACCCCCUCCUCUUUGAUACGCACUCAGAGAGAGGGAAAACUUUUGGAAAUUGCCCAGGUGUGCUCUGAAAAACACAAGUCAGAGUUUGGGUUCAGUGACACCUUUGCCCUUCAAAAAACUACAGAAUGAAACACAGAAGUCCCCCUUUUAAUGUUCCAACAAAGGCAAAUAAAUUCAGUAAGAAGGCCAGGUUUGAUAAUCGUACCUGAGUUCAUGCUGAACAUUUAAACGUGGUAGGGGAAUCCGUCUGUGGUUAAAGCUUUUCCUGCUGGAGGACUUCACUGAGAAGAAAAUGGUAUGUUUUACCAUACCAAGAGGGAUAAGACAUGGAACAUAUGGAAGAAAUGGAAAAAGUCCAGCAGGAGAUCCUUAAAUAGAAAUGAGUUUUUAGAUAAAGAAAAGACUUCCAUGAGAAAGAAAUAUAAGCUAUUUCUGAGACCCAGGUGUUCAUAACCCAGCAUAAAUCUCCAUUUACUAUUGCAGACUCUAGCAAAUUACCUUAUUACAAUUCCUACAAUUUGUUUCAAUUUUAUUCCUAUAUCCUUCAAGGUAACAAAAUAAAUUAAGUAUUCUAACUGACUAGGGGAAUAAAAGGCCUUGAUAAAAUUAAAAACAUCUUAGAGUUCAGAAACAUCAACUGGUGAAUUAGAAUAUUGGCUGGUUUGGCACUAUAGAAGCACAAUCAUGAAUUUUACUCCAACCCCCCCCCCCUUCUCCCAGUUUAUCUUCCAUUAAAUGUUGAGCCCAGGAACUUCAUAUUUUUUAAAAGAUAUCCACUAAAAUAAACAUCUUGGAACUUAAUGAAAGCAAAUUCUUUGAGAUAUCAUAGAUUAUUGUUCUAUAACAUCAUGGCUCAAAAGUGAGUGAAUGCGUUCAAUUCAACACAGCCUAGUUAAUUAAGUACAUUCUUUUAAUACUUAGUUUAACAUGCAUAUGUUAGUAUCUUGCUUAUCCACAAUACUUAGAUACUUUCCUAGGCACUUCAGGGAUAAAUAUUUUAGCCAGUUCUUAACUUCUAUGUCCAAAUCUUCUAGAGCUUGGGACAGAUUCUAUGUACAUGUUAAUAGUGCAACCCUUGUUACUGUAUGCUGUGAUGGGGCACAUCAGGUGGAAGAAAGUUGGACAGUGACAUAGAUUCAGGCUGACAUAUCAAAGAAUGCCUCAUGGAAGAAGUGGGAUUUGAGUCGAGCAUCAGAGAAUAGUUGGAGAGUCAUCAGAAGUUUAGAGAGGUAAUUGGGAAAGAAAAUUGUGACAGAGUAGUGCACUUUAGACAAGGUAGCAAAGUGAGGGGCAGAGGAUAGGAAGUUUUAGGGUACAUCUUGGUAUAGGGCAUGCACUAUCAGGAGGGGUUCAUUUUGACCCUUGAUCCUAGCUGAGAGGUCAAGAAGUGGUAGAAGAGAUACACUUUAAUCAAAUUUAUUGCUGAUAUGAAUUUGUAAACCAGAAAUAAUAUUAUGGCACUAAAGACUUAGUGAGACAGGCAGGAAUAGAGCUCAAGUUUACAAAUGUUUUUAAAAAUGUUUUUGAGAGGGGCGCCUGGGUGGCUGAGUCAGCUAAGUGUCCGACUUCAGCUCAGGUCAUGAUCUCACAGCUUGUGAAUUUGAGCCCCAUGUCGUUGGGCUCUGUGCUCACAGCUCAGUGCCUGGAGCCUGCUUCGGAUUCUGUGUCUCCCUCUCUCUCCGUCCAUCCCCUUCUCUCUCUCUCUCUCUCUCUCUCUCUCUCUCAAAUAUAAAAUAAAAAAUAAAAAACGUUUUUGAGAAAAACAGCACGUAACGUGCCAUUUUUUUUUUUUUUAUUCUCGAAGCUUCUACUAAAGGAAUUUUUUCCUUUCAGGCAGUAAUGUUCGGGAGGUGGGAGAGAUGGGAAAACAGAGAAGGAAAAAAAACCCAUUUUUAUUAAUAACAUUGAGGUGGCAUAUACCCUUUAUUUUCUUCUCCUCUUCAAAGGCAUACGUUCUAUUUGACCUUGUGAACCUCAUCAGUUUACAAAAGCAUUUAUUUUAUAGGUGGUCUGGUCAGCUGUCAUUAUGAUGGUACCUAAUAAAAAUAUUAUAAGGAGGCAAAAACCAGUUUAGCUUUGGGAUUCUUUACUUAUGCUGUCCUUCCUUUUACCUCCCUCCUCCCACCCCCUCCUUUGAGCAUAACCACCACAAUCCACUCUCCCAAUACACAUCCACAGAAAAUCAGCCUAAUUCCCAAGAUCCUUUCAGUAUUGCAACAUUUUAGAUUGGUGAGUGCAGGACAUUACACUCACAUAAAUUAAGAGUGAGAGGCAAGCAUAAAAUAAAUGUGAUUUCUACUACAUUGUAGGUGCUGUGAGAACACAAAGAAAGAAGCAGUUUGAUUCUGAUAGAGGCCGAGUGAAAGAUCCAGUAGAGUAUGAUAUUUAAGAUCUAUCCUGAGUGGUGAUUAGGAGUUCGGUGGGUGAGCCAUCAGGAGCAAAAGCCCUUCCGGUGGAGGCGUCAGAUGGAUGAGGGGAGAGGAUGACGACGUAGGCACGUAGUGAUGUUACUGGAAGAGCUGCUCAUCUGCAGAGGCUGGACCAGUACUUCCCAAACGGUGUCCCAUGAGAUAGGGCAAAGCAAGCAAACAAAACAACAUGGCAUAAAAACGGCAAAUAUUUAAACCUCUUUAAUAAGCCUAUAUGUUUCAUUACUCCCUUAAGACACUUUUAUUAUUUCAGGAGGCAUCUAAUGUAACUAAUGUUUUAUGGAACAUAACUUGGGAAAGGCUGACUCAGUAAGUGAAAUGUGCCUAUUUUGUUAGAAAAAGGAAAACGAAGGUAUUUAAGAUUCAUUGGAUGCUUGAAACUGGGACAAAUUCUUUCAAACAAACAAAUACACACACACACACAUUAGUACUGAUUAUACAUCUGGCAGUAUGUCUAUGGCUUCGUAAGCAUAAGAAAAACAUGAGUAAAACACAGUGUAAGUCUCUAAGUAGCUGAGAGUGUGUUCAAGUUUUACAAAGGAGUGAACAUUAUUUCCAACUGUUGGGAUAGUGAACACUUUUGAAGAAGGUGACAUUGAUCAGUGUCUCACAGCAAAUAGAGAUGUACAUGAAGGGCUUUCUGGGCAGAGGGAGCAGCAGGAACCAAAGUUCUGUUUUGAGCUCAGGGAAUAGUGAGGUGCCCUGGCUCAACUAAAUGUGUGCAACAUGUUUUGAAAAGGGAGAUGAGAAAAAUGAGGAGAAAGAGUUUAAUGUUAUCUAGAUACUAAAGGACACUGAAUGUCAUGAGAAAGAGUUUGAAAGUCAAUCUCUAGAUAGUGUGAAGUUGUACAUUUAUGAACUGUGACAUCAUCAUAAGAAAGAAGAAACUGAGAACUUCAUGAGAUCAGCAUUAUUUAUCUUUAAUUAAGAUAGUGUGGGCAGAUAGAACUUAGGCACUCUGAUAUCUUUUUGAAGACAGUUUUGUUUUAUGGGAUUUAUACAUUUUUAAAUGAUGUCCCCAAACUGGACAGCUUUCCCAUUAAUUAUUGUCAUGGUCAAAGUUUAGUUGCCAUUACCUUGUAUUUAAACCAGUGAACAAAUUGCCAUCGAGUAACUGAUUUUUGGAUAUGUUUUGAGGGCAUACAAAAUUGAACAAAUAUUUAUCAAGUGCUUUUCUGAUUGAGGGGAGCCAUAUCUGCAUAUAUGACACUUUUUGAGGGCAAUUAUAUUCUAUGUAAUAUGGAAUUAAAAUGUAAAUACAGGGAGCCUGGCUCAGUCAGUUCGGUGUCUGACUCUUGGUUUCGGCUCAGGUCAUGACCUCAAGGCUUCAUGGGUUCCAGCCCCAUGUCAUGUUCCUCAUGGACAAUACAGAGCUUGUUGGGAUUCUCUCUCUCUCCCUCUCUCUGCCCCUCCCCCCUUACACCGUCUCUGUCCCUCUCAAAAUACAUAAGUAAAGAACUUAAAAAAAUAAAAACUUUAAAAAAAGUAAUAAAAAUGUAAAUACAAUAAUUGAGAACACAGAAAGAGGAACGUAGGAUGCUUGUCCUUAGUAAAGAAAAUGAAAACAGGGCCCAUCGAUGAUGAAUGAGGAAGAUUUGGAAAGGUAGAGAGGAAGCACUAAGUUCACGUGGUAGGAGAAAACAUGAGCAAAAUUGCACCAUCAAGUCUCAUUGCCUCAUUUGCCUGGGAUUCAAGAGGAUUAGGCAGGAUUCUGACAUGAUGAAUAAAUAUUGUUUGUGGAGUGGAAGCACACUAAGGAAAUAGAAGGCGAAUUAUGACAACCAAGAGUUUCAAUUUAGAGAAGAGUAGAUUACUUUUAGAUUUCUAAAAAUGUUAACCAGAGUUUCUCUGUGGCACAUGAGAUAAAUGUUAGUUUUAGAAAUAUAUUGCCACCAAGAUAAUUUCUUAGAAACCAGUGUUCCCUGGAAACAGAAAACUACUUGUUUUGGAAUUUGGUGACUUUGCUUUCUAGGCCCAAUAGGCAAUAUAGCAGGAAGUUAUGUUUUAGAUAAGAGUAAAUUUGCUUUUUUAAAAGUGUAUUGUACUGCAUAUAGAUUUAACAGAUUAUACAUAAAAUAUAACAACAACUAAAUUAAAAAUAGGCCAUGUAUUUUUAAGGCAUUGCUUAAGGUCACCUUAGAUAGACGUACAAAGCUAUCCUGCUUUACCCAGUUCUAACACUGGUGAACUUUCCUUUCCCAUAUUUCACACAUGCAACGAUUUCUCUUCAUUUGCCUUAUUUCUGCGGUUAUGAAUUCAAAAAUAUUUAGAAUUUCAGCAUUUAGAGAAGGCAUUGGAAAUAACCCUACAGUUUUAGGACUAGAGUGGUUAAAAACUGAUAUUAUUUUUAUAUGUCUGUACAAUAACCCAUUUUUAGAUGUCUGUUGUUUCUUUUAUAAAAUAUUUAAAGUAUUUUCAAAUAAUGUGCUUUGCAGUUACAUACUGUAUAUCUCUUACCAUUGUAAAAUGCUUUCCUGAUCACAAAUCAAAAUUGCAAAUUACAGUUAACUUCUAAUGGUUUAGUUAGUUGCAAAUAGAUAUUCAUAGAUGACCUAACUACUAUAGUUGAAAAGUAUUCUUGUUUAACGUGUCUGACGUACAUUACAUGAAUUAUUUUAUUCAAAACUCAAAAAUAUUACUGUCCUCAUUGUUUAGAGGAGACUACUGAGGUGUGAAAAGGUUUAGCAAUUAGUCCGAGGUCAUACAUUCAGGGUUAGUGUUGGAAUCUGAUUUGGUGCUCCAGAAUCUAGUUUCUGCCACAAUAUGAAACUCAGUAUCAUCAGUUUGUAAGCAGUAAACAAUUCUUUGUAUUAAUAUAUUGAAUUAUUACCAUACAUUAAGGAAAACAACCAAAUAUAUGACCCCAAUGUCUAUUACCUGCUUUAUAUAUGUCAUGUCAAAUAAAUACCAAAUAUAUAAAUGUAAAAAAAAAAACAGGCAGAUAUUCAGAUAGUCUUCAGACAAUUAAGAUUAUUUAUACCAGGACUAUGAAAUAUUAAGUACAAUAGAAUUAGGGAAUGAUUAUCUUAAUAAACAUAUGUUUUUGCUUUAAAUUUUAUAUUAUUUUCCUGCCCAGUAAUAUAAUUAUUUGCUUUCCUACUAUUUUUUUGUUGUUGUUGCUACCGAUGAGGUUUUAAAGUCUUUCUGUUCAUGAUUGCCAGCUUUCAUUACUGAGAGUAGACCAUCCCAUUUGAAAGGCACGUGUCUCAUCCCUCAUCAAUUUUCCUUUAGUUUGGAGUUGUUGCUGUCACAAGUGAUGAUGUCUGAUGUUUGAACUUCAUAGGAUGAUUGUACCCAGAGGCUUUUUAGGCAGCUGUGUUUGGUGUCUCGUGGACAUUAAAAGGAAUGCUCUCACCAUGGCUUCCUAACAAAGUACGAGUCAUAUAGUUAGUACUAUGAAUCCAACCAGUGUUUUAUCAUUAUUCUACUUAGUUUGAUUUACUCUUUAGUACAUCAACGACACAAUAUAGCCAAUCUCUUGUUUGUUCUAUUCACUGCCACUAUGCAUCGAGCUGAGUGCUUUGUAGCUAUUUUUUCCUUAAAUAAUAACAUCUCCUUUUUCAUCCUGUAUCCUGAAGCAUUUUUUGGAUUUGUCCUUUGGCUUCAGGAUUUGUUUGCAUUCAUUUGUACUAAACUACAUUUAAAAAAAAAAAAAAUUGUCUUCAAGCCAAGCCACUUAAAUUAUCUAAAUGUGUUAGUAAGUUUUAAAGGAUGUCUUAUUUCAUUUCCUAUUCUGCCUUUUAAUUUUACAGUACUCGUAAUUGUGCAACCUAUUGUAAAUCUAAUUUGAAUAAUCUUUUAUUCAAUUAGAUGCUUGAUGUGUUGUCUCACAAAUGCAUUUUUGAGAUUUCCUUUCAUGUUUCUUUCCUAUCUCUAGGUUUAGGUAAAAUGAGUGGAGCUGUCUUUUGUCAAAGAUACAUUUUAGUUGAGGGUAUUUGAGCAAGGUGGGAAAAUGGGCUUCUUACAAAUUCAUGUUAUUUACACACAGUUAAUCCUAAAUUGCCUUUUGAUAUAGGUAAGUACAUUAGUUUAUUUUACAAAGCUACCAUGCCAUCUAUAAGGUUAUGUGUCUGUGUAUAUCUCCCAAGGGGGGAAAAAAGAAUGAUAAUUGAUAGCCAACCACUGGGACUAACCAUGUUGGGCUCCCUCAUUUUUAGCCAUCUCUUUUCCAUAUAAGAAUGCAUUUUAGAGUAAAGGCUGGCCUAUGACUGUUGCCAAAGCAAUUUGUAGCCAGCUGUAAAAUUCGCUUAAGAUUUGUACUUGUUUGCUUUUCCACGACUCUAGAGAAUGCCUCCACUAGUGGUUUUGAUAGUGGAAAUUCCUACUAUUCACAUGAUAAAAUUCAAAAUAGGAGAAACAUAAUUAUUAAUUGUGCUUAGGUAUUUCUUCAUUUGACUUGAGAAGUCACUGUUCUCUACUCUUUUAAAAUUAGCUCACAGCAAAUCUGCUAAGUGUCUGUUUUCUAAAGUGACUCUCUUCUCCAUGGGAGAGGCAUAGCUUUUCGCAAACAACAGCUUUACUGUUUCUAUAGUGAUGCUGCCUCCUUACUACACUGAAUGACAGUAUACCAGAGUCUUAGGUUAUUCACACUUAUACAUGUAUUCCAUGGUUUAAUUGUCUUCUAAAUAUAUGAUGCUCCUGUCCAAUUUGGAAGCGGACAUUCAUUAGAAAAGAAAGUAGAAAAACACUGAAGCUAUUCUGGUGUUCUUACUUGUCCUCUACUUUGUUCUUCACUUUCUGCUUUCUGGUUUAUUAUACUUUAAAACCACCAAGAUUUCAAAAAAAAAAAAAAAAAAAAAAAACCACCAAGAUUUCUUCUUAAUCUCAAAUUCCCAAUGAUUCUCCUUCUCUGUAAAUUUCUUUGUUUACAAAUAGAUUUUCUUUUUUAUACAUUAUUUAUUUUGUUUUCAGUUGUAAAAUGUAUAACAUGCCAACUAUUCCUCACUUCACUUUCAGGAUCACGGAUACUAACACCUAGUUGUUUAUUUUGCCUCUCUACCCAACAUCACACUCCAUAGAGAUGAAAAUAGUCUUUCAGGGUCCAUAUGUGAAAAAGGUUCUCUUUUUAUUUGGCUUCUUUUCUGUUUAAAUCAGAACCCCUGCUCUUACAUUUAGCCCCUUUGUGAGUUUCAUUGCCCUUAUUCAUCUCCCUUUUUUUCAUCUCUGCGUCUUCUAUGUUCUCCUUUAUGAUACAGUCUUCAUUUUUGUAUCUGUCAUUAUGUGUGAAGCUAUUUCUGAAGGUAUUUAAAACUCCCUUGGAUUGAAGACUUGUGUCAAAUGCUAACGAAGUAAAAAGGAUUAUUGGAUUAAAAGUUUGUCUGUGAUCAGCAAGCUAAACAUUAACUAUCCAUUUAGGUGAAAGGGCUUGUGGGAGUCAGUGAAAUAAGGAAGUGUUCCCUGUUUCCACUGAGUUUAGGAGAAUACAGUUCUAGGUAAGGUAUAUUUAAAUCCACAAGAGCCACCCACUAGAACAAAGAAAAAUGUAGGUUCUAAGGAGUUGAAGAAUAAUCUUUUUUUCCUCUAUGAACAUCAAACAUUGUUUACUUGGUAGGUGCAUUCCAAUGAAGGUGUUAUUUCCUGACUAAGGUGUUGGUUUAAACAUAAAACUAACUGCAUGAUGCCUAGAGGGAGAAACUGGAGUAAAAAUUAUCUAAAUGCUUUCACAAAUAUCUGAAGCCUAGGAUGGGCAGAAUGCAGAUACAUUUUCCCAGAGAAAACCCCUAAAAACCUGUUAACUGAGCUGAUGACUCCAUGGCUUCUAAGUUCCUAUUCUCUAGUUCUUUGACCACUUCUGAUUUGGGAUUCUCCUUAAACUUAAAACCACUUUAGGAGCAUUGCAGAGGUUUACCUGCAAAGCAAAAACUGCCAGGAGAGAAAGUAAUCCAGUGAUACUCAGAUUUACACUUCUUUGAAUCUUGCUUCCUAUUAAUUCUAAUACUAUUAUGCAUUUAUAAAAUAUAGUACUGUUUUAAACAGAAAUCUACUUUUUAUUGUCAAAAGGACAUAUAUGACUUUCUUGCCUUUCAACUAGUACAUUUCUUUUUUGUUUCAAGUUUUUAGUUAAUUUCUAGUUAGUUAACAUAUAGUGUAAUAUUAGUUUCAGGAGUAAAAUGUAGUGAUUCAUCACUUACAUGUAAUACCCAGCGCUCAUCACAAGUGCCCUUCUUAAUACCCAUCAACCAUUUAGCAAUUAUUUUCAAUUUCAUUUUUUUUUUAAUUUCUUAAUGUUACUGAUUUUUGAGAGAGAGACAGAGCAUGAGUGGGGGAGAGCAGAGAGAGGGAGACAGAGAAUCUGAAAAGUAGGCUCCAGGCUCUGAGCUGUCAGAACAGAGCCUGACGCAGGGCUCGAACUCACGAACCAUGAGAUCAUGACCUGAGCCGAAGCUGGACACUUAAUGACUGAGCCACCCAGGCACCCCUAUUUUCAGAUUUCAAUGUGGCUAAGAUUCAUUGAAUAUCAAACAUUGCUAGGAGCUUUCAUAUACAUAUUUAAUCUUCUCAAUGAAAUCUAUGGGGGAGAUGUUUUUAUUUUAAUAUUUAGAUUAUAAACCUAUUCCAGUAUCAAAGAAGAAUCCAAUACCAAGAGGUAAAAGCAAUCUGAAUUUCAGGACAGUAUUCCAAAGAAAUAUAACUUUAAGAAAUCAGAAAAUAUCAUCAUAUUAGGUAAAAAUAGAAUAUGUGAAACUAUCAAAUUUUUCUUUUUCUUUAAAGUCAUUUCUUGCCUGGUGACAUUUAAAACAUUUUGAUCUUUGGAAGUCUCUUUUCUCUACUUAUUUCAAAAAUAAUUUCUUUGACAUAGUUUGUAAUAACCUCUUUUUAUUAUUCAUCUCAUUUUGACUGCUAAUUAGGCUAUACACACCAUGACUAGAGAUCAUCAUCGUUGAUUCCCUUGUCUAUAAAACAAAAACAAAAAUCAAGUAAUAUCAAACACUAGAGAAACUGAAUUUCUCCUAAUUCACUCCUUUAAAAAUUAAGUUCAUUAGUUUCUUUGUUGACAUGUUGAAGAGCAGAGACAUGCACUUGAAUUUAGAGAAGGAGUCAGAUUUGAAUUAACAAUACAAAACUUGAUGUUUUGUAAUUUUCUUUUUUUAUAUACUUCACUCUUGCUAAGGCUAAGUUAUUUGUUACACUGAGCUUUCUUUCUUAAUCAGCAGCAACUCAAUAUCUAAUCUGUUGUCAUGCUUUCGUUUUUUUACUGAGAAAGACAGAUGCACAGUAAUUGAGUAAUAUAUUUUUUUAUUUCCCCAGUCUCUGAUUCUUGAUGCAUAGUAUCCACUUUAAUUCACAGUACAAAGUCUAAUCAGUUCUGGUCAUUGGUUUAAGUAAGUCCUGGCAAUAUUUUAGUAAAUAACUUUAUCAACUACUAAACACUGUGAGAAUUCAUACUUUAAAUUUACAGCUAUGUUUACAAAUUCUAAAGGGCCAAUGAGCCCUUUCAUAUCUGUUUAUACUGGAACUCAUGGAUUAUUAGAGUUAGUGAUAUAAUGUGAGGAGGCCCGGAAUAUAUACUUUCAUUCUUCCUGAAUACUGUAAACACAUAUUACAUAUUAGGCAGCAUGUCAGAUCCUGAAGUCAUACCUUUCUCUUGAAGGACAACCAAUUCUAAUAUAUGUCUAUUUGUUAGAAAAGUUGACUUUGGAUUAUAAAUAUAGAUAUUGCUGACUACCAAGACAAUUCAUCAAGGCAUUAAAUAUUGUCAUUGUAAAUUCUGCUUUCCUGUCUUCUCAUCAUAUGAAUGAUAAUGAAUUGAUUAAUGUCUACUAAACUAUAGCAGUAAACUAUAAAUAAAUUGGGGGCAGAUUACUUUUUGGACUGUAGAUAACAAACAUACAGGAUUAUAUAGAAAAGACCUGGUGAAAUGUGAUUUUUAUGGUAUGUGGAAACUUUUCCCUGGUUGACAUUUAAAAAUACAUAGUGCAGUUCUUUUCACUGAAAUAGACACUGGAAUGGAAACUGCCCACACUCCCUCCUGUAGAAAAGUAGGAAAAUGUUUCCAGCAGCCUCUCACCCUUGCUUUGUAUGCUCUGAGUAUCUGGCAUCAUGUGCACUCAGUGAGAAUCCAAAUGUGUUGAUGUUUACUAAACAGCAUGGUGCACAAUUUCCUACCAUAGUGCAUACGAAGAAAAGCAGAACAUAUGCUUGAAUAUUCCAAAUAACUUGUUAGAAAAUGCAUGUGGAUCUAUAUCUAAUAUGAAAUUAAUUUUUCACACACACACAGAGCCCUGUAACCAGAUUUUUACACAGUGGGUUGUGAUAUUGUAAUCCCUCAUUCAUGAACUAUGUGUUUGAAUUACACUACUUGAAUUAUCAAAGUCAUCUUGCUGUUUGAAUGCCGCUGGCAUGGUAUUUGAAAGAAUUUUAUAAUCAAGUCUAGCUCCUUUAGGGGAGAUGUUGAUACUGCCCCUGUAGGUGGUACAAUAGAUGUUAGUUAGUGGCUUGAAGCUAAUUUUUCUAUUUCAUGUACUUAUGAAACAUUGUUUUUCCAAAAGAUACCAGAAUUCUGAUAGACUCUUCCUUUCCUCUCUGUCUCUCACACACACACAAACACGUGUGCACACUUUUGCAUGUGGAAUCUCUUAAUUUCCUCAUCUAUAAAAUACUGUUAAAAAGAUAAUUUAAUGAACUUUUAAAAGUUUGAAAAAUUUCAACAAUUUAUAGAGGAUUGGAUACUUAGGGAAGUCUUCAAACCUCCAGAUGCCCAAUUAAAUGAGUGUUAUUCAGUGAAAUGAAUCUUGUUUAGUGUUUUGGCCUCAAAAGAAUCAUACCAAGUAUAUUUUACCAAACACCUAUUCUAAGCCAAAUAUUUCCCUAGGAAUUCUCAUUUAUCUUUCUUAGUUGUGACAGCUCCAUUAUAUUAUAAUUAUUUCCAUGUGAUGGCUGUGUAAAGCUGAAAGAGUUCCACAUAUUGUUAUGCAACACGGUACUGUUUCUGAUCCUAGUUUAGUCUAGCCUUACAUUAUUACUGACUUUGACUAAGAUCCAGAAAGUAUGUUUAUCAUAUCUGCAUGUUGUAUGAAGUAAAAUAUAAAAGGUAGAUGACAGAAUCAGGAUGAAGAAAAUUUCAAAGUGACUGGAAUAACAAAGAAAAAAUUAACUGUUUUAUGUGUGAUAUUCUACAUAUGCAUUAGAGCUGAAGAGGAAUAUAAUUAGAAAAUGCAUUUGAUCUAGCUUUGCAAUGGGUCAAGUGAUAAGAUUCGGAAUGUUAAAUUCAUCAUAUCAUAAUUCAUUGUAAUCUAGUAGGUUUACAUUGUUUCUGAAAGAUGGUGAUAUUUUCUUGGACCAGAUUAAGAAAUAUUCUGGGCCUGUGCAAUGAAUGUAAUGAUUUGACUUUAUAUUGGGGUAGUCAAAUCCUGUUUAGAGUUUUACCUUCAACUCUGGGCACCAAACUCUCAAAGAUGCAUUGCUAGAGCAGAAAGUAUAUGCCAAGGAGGUAAACUUGGACAGUUGUGGUCUGGACUCCAUUUCCUGUUUCAACCAGGGAUGAUAUAUCAUCCAGAAGACUUGGGAAUCUGGGGGAGAGAGGGUGGGAGAAGGAACUGUGUAUGUUCUAUAUAUCUCCAAAUAUUAAAAAAGAUUAUCCUGGGAAAAUAAAAUGAACCAAAUCUAUGGCAUUCAUGGACCAGUGCCUGGAGAUUAGGAAAAAAGCCUACCACAUUAGAAGGAAAAUUAUAGCAAGGAAAAAUGUCCUACAACAGAACAGCUUGUAAUGAGCUUCCUUUCUUUGGAAAUGCAUCUCUCAUGUUAAAAGGUAAAUUGGACUGUUUGGCAUUCACUAUUCCUUCCAUUUUAAAUGCUUAAGACUCUAUACUUAAAAUGUAGAAUGAAGUAAUGAGAGAAAAUAGCUUAUGCAUAUUUUAAAUAUGAAAAUGGCAUUCCUCCUACUUUAAAAAAAUUUUUAUGGGUAUUAUGGUGACAUUUCAUAGCAGGCCAUAAUAACAUAAAAUAAGUAGAGUGACUCAUGAAUGUUGUUUACAAAAAGAGAAUCCUGUUCGGAUAUAGAUUAAGUUGACUUUUUUUCUUAUCAAGGUGAUGUUUCUUUUUUUCAGAAUAAAUAGAAAAAAGGAAAUGCUUUAUAUAAUUAUCUAUUUUUAAUGGUAACCUUAAAAUGUAUCUAUAUACACAUAAAUAUGGUAGAUGUUAGAACUCAAGUUAAAAAACAUUUUUUUAAUGUUUGUUUAUUUUUGAAGGAAAGAGAGACAGAGCGUGAGCGGGGGAUGAACAGAGAGAGGGAGACACAGAAUCUGAACCGGGGUCCAGGCUCUGAGCUAUCAGCGCAGAGCCUGAUGAGGGGCUUGAACUCACAAAUCGUGAGAUCAUGACUUGAGCUGAAGUAGGUCUCUUAACCAACCAAGCUACCCAGGCGCUCCAGAACUCAAGUUUUUAGACUUCUAAAUUUAGAAAUUGGAAAGUACCUCCUUCCUACAAUCAUCCAUAGAAAAUGGCACCAUAAAUCUCUAUAUUUAUUAAGUCUGUUAUCAUCAUCCCUUCAACCACUCUAUGUCAAGGUUUACAGAUAUUAUUGUGAAAAACAUUUUUGACUUCAUAAAGUACAUUCUUAAAGUAGAUUGUAACUAGACAAAGGAGUAGAAAAAAUAUAUUGGCCAAUAUAUUUGAACAUAUUUAUUUAAUUUUAACGACUUUCAAGUUGAAUCCCACUUCAACUUGAAGUUUUAUGAAUUUGAUUCAUAACCAUCCUUAGAAAUUAUAUUGGCUUUCAUACAUACUUUUCACUUGGCCUCACUGAAGAAUUUGAUAUGAAGAAAAUAAGAAAUAAUAUCUUUAGAAGUGUUAAUAUAGAUAAAAUAUUUGAUUAAAAACUUAUUUUCUUUUAUUUAACUCAUCUUUGUACUGUUUGUGGGGUUUUUAAUUUGCCACACCCAUCUUUUUUCUAGGACUAUGUGAUUUUAUAAGGAAUUACCAGAUACUUAAUGCUCUUCCAAACAAUAUAGCCUUGUUAGAUAUAUUCUGGGGACAUGGAUAUGGCCAGAUAUGCUAAAAUUAUUUCAGUUUUAUUCAUCACAACUACAAUCAAAAAGGGUGGGCCAACAUUGGAGAUAAAAAUGAACAAACAAAAUCUUUAUGUUUCCAUAUGAAUAUGGAAAUUUCCAUAUGAAUCAUCACUAAAGAGAUGAAUAUAAUUUAUUUUACUUGGCUAGGUCUGAUAAUAAAAUAGUUGUGACACAUAGUGAAAGGUAUAUUUCAACCCCUUGAAAUCAAAGAUUUAUAAUAGCAACAUCAUUAAUUUUGAUACUUUCCUUAGAUUUGGUUCAUACCACUGUUUUUACCAUAUGUCUUUUAUUGAGAAUCUUCAACAUCUGGCACUUUAAGAUAAUUUUAUAAGAAUUCAAAGUCUGGUAGUAGAUAGACAUGUUAAAAUAAUCAAAACACUGUUUUACAAAUAUGCUAGAGGUAUGUGUAGAAAGAAUUGUCACUCAUUCUGAUUAGGAGACUUGAAGAAGUCAUUUAAGGGAGAUAAAGUUUGACGUGUGUCUGGAAGGGUCUGGCAGUGUCUGGAAGGUAAGGUAGACUAUUUCAGACAAAAAGAAUAACAAAUGUAGAAAAAAAGAGAUAAAAUAGCAUUAACAAAAAAAGUUUGAUUUUAUAAAAAUGACAGGAAUUAAGUCUUGAAAGACCUAAAUUGUACUAGGGCAGAUCAAUAUAUAACCAAUAUCAGUAAUCAAUGUAGAUAACAUGGUAAAUAUAAAUAAUAAGAAAUUUAAGCUGAUAGUGACUUGGGCAUACAGGUAUGGCAGAAGACCACUCUGAACACAGUAUGGACAGAGGAAUUAGAGUAUAUCUAAUCCUGAUUCAGAAAGAUGAAUGACCAAGACUGUCACAAAAAUCCAGUUUUGAAGCAAUAAGAAACAAAUUCACAACCAGCAGUAAACCAUGAUGAUCAAUUUAUUUUUCUUAUCCUCUGUGCUCACAGAAGAAUUAAAGAGAAUUGUGUUUUAACUGGAGUUCAGUUCCUCUCUAUAGACCCAACCCUCCCUUCUCUACUUUUCCUCCUUUCCAUCCAGAAAUUUGAGGCCAUAAUCUAUCUUCAGUCUUCUAGUUACCAGAGAAACAAUGGUGAAUAAAGUAAGGAAAGUGUGACAGGAAUGUGUGUGUGUGUGUGUGUGUGUGUGUGUGCGCACACGCGUGUGCAUGUGUGUAGGGUGGGGAGGCUGACAAGGUUUUGCAAAUUCAAGUGGAAUGAACAAAUAUUUGACCAACAGCAAAAUGUCAAUAUAACAUGUCUUAUAUAAAAACUAAAUAUGUAGGUAUGCAGAAUAAAUCUUCAGUUUCCUGUAACAGUAUUAUCAUUGUUCAAAAUAUUUCUACUAGAGCACAAUAUAUGAGCAAGAUAGAUGGGAAGGUAAACAGGAUGGAAAUGGGAAAUUCCAGCCUUUACAGUCCAAGAAAUCUGUGUUCAAAUCCCAUGUCUAUUGUAUGCUAGAAGUAAAACUUUAAACAAUGUAUUUGACCACUCUAAGCUUCAAUUUUUUCCCCCUUGAAAGUCUGCACAAAUACAACAAAUAAUGUAUUCAGCAUCUGGCUCAUUGUAGACCUUCAGUAAAUGUUACUUUAUGGACAAUGAUAAUGAUUAGGACUCUGUUAGGACGAGGAUGCUCUUAAAACUUCUCUUUGUUGUUACUGCUGCUAACUGUUAAACUCAGUAUUAAUUUUGUCAUCUGAGAAUCCCCUCUUACAUGUUCAAUCUUCAGUAAGAGAGCAGAAAUUGUGAUGAAGGACAUCUUAUGGUGGGCAGCUUUUCAUCAUGACUGUCAAUUGUAGACCUAGAAAAGGUACACGGUCUACGGUUACUUUCAUCAAAUAACUCAUAAAUGAAAAUCUUGUGUGGCUUGAUUGAAUCUUAAAUUUAGUGUGUAUUCAGUUGACUUAGACCUCUGUAAUCACACAGUUUAUACAUUUUUUAAAAGAGCCAGUUUUUUUCUCAUGUUUUAAAACUCUGCACUUCUUAGCAUGGUGCCUGGUACAUGGUAGACAUGUAAUAAAUACCUGUUCACUAAAUCAGGUGGAAACUGUAUUUUUCCAACUUCUCCUUGAAGUGAACAGAAGUUAUCACCUGGAGCCAGUCAACUUCUGCCAUAUACCCUUAUACCAUAUGUCUUCAAAUCAUUGUCUGUAACAGCAAGUUUAUUUCGCAUGCACACUGCAGUCGCCCAGUAUCUAUCUUUGGCCCUUAUUCAGUCUGAAUCACAGGAUUCAUGUCUGUGAUGUUUCUAACUCAUAACAUGACAGAAAAAUAGUAUAAAUACCAUCUACAGAACACUCAACACAUUUUUGUUCCUGUAGUUCUGAAUUAUUUUUUUUCUUGCACAAGGUUGGUAUUCCUCAAACAUUUGUUAAAAAUAUGUGAAAGGAAGGUAUGUUGGUAUAUUUGGGUAAAUGCCUCUGUUAAGAGAAUAUGAAAACCUCAACCAAUAAUUUAAAUGAUUGUAGUAUUUCAUAUAAUUGUAUAUUAUCUACUUUAAAAAUUUUGACGAUGAAUUGAAAACCAGUUAGUGUUAUUGAAAUUUGCCAUGUAAAUAAAUGUAAUUAUAAAACUAAUUAUAGUAUUUUGUCAUGGUAAAAUUACCUAAUUUGCCCCAUUGUACUGUUAUCUUCAUAGACUAAUAUUGAAUCUAGCCAUGCUAAAUUUGUACUGCAUAUUACAUUUUAGCAGCAGUUUCAGGAACCCAUUAUUAACUGUCAAAUGUCAUAGUGUAUCAGUGAAAUUUGAAUCACUCAUUAUGUUUUGGCAUUUAUGUUAUGACAGUAAACCAGUCUAGGAGACCUAUUUAGAGAGUGACUUUAACUUUAGCUAAUUUGUUAUUUAAAUAAUGUACAUUUUAACUAUCUAUCAAUUAUAUAUAUGUGACUGGCUACAUACUAUAAACUUUUAAUUAAUCAGAAUCAAAUUAAUUGAAAUCCACAUUUAUUCAGCAACUCACAAAAAUAACUACAGACUUUUAAUAACUGGUUUUAUUUAUUUUUUAUUUUUUAAAGUUUAUUUAUUUAUUUUGAGAGAAAGGGAAAGAACACGUGUGCACACACUCUGUGGGGGAGGGGCAGAGAGACAGAGAGAAUCCCACGCAGGCUCCAUGCUGCUAGUGCAGAGCCUAACUCAAAGCUUGAACCCACAAACCAUGAGAUCAUCACCUGAGUCUAAAUCAAGAAUCAGACACCUAACCACCCAGGUGCCCUUAAUAUGAUUUCAAAAGGAAAAAUGAAAGAAUAAAUACUAAUAUUUGGAUAGUUUCAAAAAGUUGAUUAUACUUCAUAGAGGCAGAAAAUGUUCAUGUCAAUGUGCUUUACUUGACUCCUAUGGAUUUACAUUACCAAUGAUUUUGAAAGACUUACUUUUCAACAAUAGCAAAAUUCAAGUCAACAAAGAUAGAUGAUAGCUUGAUAUACAUCUAUGAUCACACAUUAUGGAUUUUUUUUAAUAGCAUGCUUAACAAUUACUUUUCUCCUAACUUUCAGUUAUUCAGCAACUUUCAAUUAUUCAGCACAUUUCAUGUUUCUAAACUUUUUGAAAUUGUAACUCUUCUCAUCACACAUCCAUGCUUCUGCUUUGUCUUUUACAUUUUAUGAUUCAUACAAAAAUAUUAAAUCAUAUACUAUUCAGUUACUCAACAUUGUACUCUACAGGCUCCCUAAAGGGAGAAAAUAUUACUUAAAGAUAGCAAUGAGGUAUUUUAAAUAUUUAGAUACCUAAAGAUCAUUCUACAGUCUUAGUUUUUCUUAUUGAGACAAAUUAUUCCCUGGUUCCGCAUUCAUAAACAUCACCAGAAAGAACAUUAAUAAUCAUUAGGUAUGUGCCUCAAUAGAAAUUGGGAAGUAGUUUAAUGGGAUUUUAACUUAAAUGAAGACCAACCAUGAGUAACACUUUCUUUAUGAUGAAUCCUCAGGGUCUGGGAGAUAACCACUAACAAGAAAAUGAUCACUUAUCUUUUGGUUUGCUCUUUCUUCUUGUGUGAGUUUCAGAAUAAAAGGCCUAAAAAAUAAAACCAGGAUAACAAUUCAGUCUUAUUAAGUGGUGAAUACAAAAAAUGCAGCACAAGAAACUGAUUUGAUCAUUACCAUAAACAGUUUGAGAACCAUACAGAUCUAGCUUUUGGAUUUCUAAUAUUAACAUCCAUUGUCUUAGAAUAACUGUGUUUUGCUUGCUGGGUUUAGAAAUGUCAGAAAUUUAGUAUACCUCCCUACUGCAGAGUGGUGGUGUUAAUAUAAAUGUUAGCAAGUUUUUUCCCGAAGAUUAUAUAUUUGCCCCACAUAGUGAUACCUAUAGAAAUGAUGAAAUAGAAACAGAUUCUCAUAAAACAAAUAUUCCAAAUGUAUCUCAUGUAACAUUUAUUCCUGCCUUUUCUUCUUUCAGUGUUCUGGUUUCUCUUUCUUCUUAUCAUAACAAAGCAAUCUACUCCACACCUUCUAUCUUCUAUAUUUAUACUUAGUAAUGGAAAUAAUUAAUUAAUGCCCACCUUUUUAUACUUUUAUAUUUUUAAUAUUCACUAUUUUUUUGAGAGACAGAGAAAGACAGAGUGUGAGCAGGGGAGAUGCAGAGAGAGAGGGAGAGAAUCUGAAGCAGGCUCCAGGCUCUGAGCUGUCAGCACAGAGCCUGAUGAGGGGCUUGAACUCAUGAACCACAAGAUCAUGACCUGAACUGAAAUUGAACACUCAACCAACUCAGCCACCCCGGCACCCCUAUUUAUUGAUUAAUUUUUUAACUUUUAUUUAUUUUUGAGAGAAACAGAGCAUGAUCAGGGGAGGGGCAGAGAGAGAGGGAGACACAGAAUACAAAGCAGGCUCCAGGCUCUGAGCUGUCAGCACAGAGCCUGAUGUGGGGAUCCAACCCACGAACUAUGAGAUCAUGACCUGAGCUGAAGUCAGGCAUAUAAUGGAUUGAGCCACCCAGGCGCCCCAGUAAAGGCCCACUUUUAACUGAAAAUUUGUACUAAAUGAAUGAAUUUGAAACCAUACAACUUAGCGAUAAUCUUUAAUUCUUCAUUAGACCAUAUAAAUUUCUGGUUCAAAUGAUUGUUUGACAACAGAUAAGGUAUACAUUUUAAAAAUAUAUAUCUUUUUAAAAACUCAACCAGUUGACAUUGCUACAUGUGAGUUCCAGAUACAGUUGCUGUAUUUCAAGAGUUUAGAAGCAACUUGGAAGAAACAUAAUAUGAAAAUAAUGUCUACCACACUGGAGAGCCUUUAUAAUAAUAGCAUUUUGAAAAAGAAAUGGACGCUCCUAACUCAUCCUAUGUUAUGUUCAUCAGGCAUCCCUAAGUGAUAGGGAAAAUACUUUGUGGCUUGUCUUAGCAGAGACCCACUGAAAAUGAUCUACUCUAUAUUGACUGAUGCUUCUGACCUAUGAAAAAGUCAAAGAAUUAAAGCUGCCCCUGUAAAAUAAAAGCUAAUAAAGACCAAAAGACAUCAUUUUUUUCCCAAUAGGUUCUAAUCACUCAAAACCAUUGAGUCCUUUUGGUAAUAGAAAUCAUAGCAAUUUGUAACAGCACAUAAGGAAAUGGUUAAAAUUGUAAAGAAAAGAAAAUUGACUACAUACAUAAAUAAAGACUACAUCAUUCUGGGAUUGAAUGCUCUAUUAAUAUGUUAUUAGUAUUCUUUUGUGAGGCAAAUACACCCAUCCACCUGAAGUGAUCAUUAAUGAGGAUAAUAAGCACAAGGAUCAUAAUGUGCCUGUAACUUGCUUAAGGAUAAAUUAUUUUAAUUAUACUUAAAAAUUGACCCUAAAAUCCUUUACCAUGAUCUGAAACUAUUUAGACAAUAUAUUUUUAGGAAAAGAAUAAAAGUAAAGGGAUAAAAAGAUGUGUUAAAGUUCUGUUUUAGUGAUACAUACAUUCAAUUUUUAACAUAUUUGCAAAACUCAAUCUGAAGGAAAGAUUUGCUUUUAAAAUCUUGUAUUUGUUCCUGUUCUGUACCUCUUGUCCUUUUUCCAACUUUCCACCAUGACAAAGUGAUUGAGAACAUGUGUUGGGUUUCUUCCUUAGCACUUUUGUUCAGUAACUGUUCUUUUUUGGUACUUUCCAAGCAAUUGGGCCGCUUUCAAGUGUAUUUGCAUUUUUAAAACAACACGCAAAAUAAAACACUCUCAGAUCUGAUUAAUGCUCACAGUUUAACUUCUGAAACACAAACAAACAAGCAGUGCAGGCCAGCCACCUGCAAAAUACGAAAGGGGGCCUACUGAUUAUUGGGAGAGAGAGCAUCGCAUGAGAAAUUUUGUAGGCAGGAAAGAAUAUGCAGGGUUGGCUCUAGAGUAAAACAGUUUGCUCACCAAUUUUGGAUAGAGUUAAAUAUAAAUUAAAGAAAUAUCUUAAGUGUGCAUUGGUAGUGAUAUGAUGAGAUAUUGAUAGUAAAUAAUUUAUAAUCACUUUUUUAAUGAAGUGGCUUCAACUAUGACAAAAAAGAAGAAAACUACAUAGAAUUCAGACCUAAGUUGAUCUUGUUUCAAAGCACCUAAUAUCUGCUUUUCUUUCUAGUCCUGCUUUCUGAGGGAGGAAGGUGCACUGAGUUAGGCUCGAAAAUUGGUGGCUCAAUGACCAAAGAAUGUUGGAAAUGUUUCCACUGUUACCAUGAAAAUGAGAAAUAAAAAUGCAGAAUGUCUGCACUAUAAUUUCCUAUAAUACUACAAAGCACUUUUUGUAUUAUAAUUUUCUAUAAUAUCCUAUAGUGUUUAGGCUCCCUGGAAAUUGUCUAUGUCACAUAGUUCAUACAGUGGCUUUAUUGUUGUUAUUAUUAUUAUUAGAUAUUAUCCCAAUAAGUCAGUUUCAGAAUGUGCUUAGUCAUAUGUUUUGUUUUGGAAAACCAAAAUUCAGAAAAUUGAUUUCCUAGGAUUUGUCCCAAUGAUCAUUUAUUAUUUGCUAGUCAGUAUGCUAAGUGUUUUUUCCCUUCAUUAUCUCAAUUAAUGCUCAAAGCCAAAUUCUCACAUGGUUAUUAUUUUGCCACUAUCUUACAGAUGAGCAAACUGAAGCCUAGAAAAGUUAAGUAAUUUUUCUUUAAUUUUUUUUCAAUGCUUAUUUAUUUUUGAGAGAGAAACAAAGUGCAAGUGGGGAGGGACAGAAGAGAGAAGGAGACACAGAAUUCAAAGCAGGCCCCAGGCUUCAGUCUGUCAGCACAGAGGCCAAUGUGGGGCUCAGACCCACGAACUGUGCGAUCAGGACCUAAGCUGAAGUCAGACGCUUAACCAACUGAGCCACCCAGGCGCAAGUAACUUUUCUAAGGAUUAUAUGACCAGAGAGGACAGAGGCAGAAUUGGAAUCUAAGCAGUCUGUUUUCAGACCUUGUUUUUUGCUUUGCUUUUUGUUUUUUUUUAAACCUUAUUCCAGCCCUAUGAGACAACUAAAUUAACCUCUGAGUAGGAAUAUUUACAUGUUUGAGUGGUAUCAACUACUUUUAAAGCAAUAGGAUGUUAUGACUUUGAAAAUGUGACUUUCAACUUUCCCCUGUUACAGAUAAACUAUUGUAGAGGUAAGGAUUUUUUAUUUGUGGUGAGCUGCUAAAAACUGUCAGUUUUGGAAAGUUACACCUUUCCAAAUGUCUAAAAGUAGACCAUUAAUUUUCUGAUUGUUUAGCUUUUAUUUCAUAAUUCGUUCUCAAAACGUUCUUGCUUGCCACCAUUUUCUUACUAGGGUGUGCUGGAGGAUGACAAAAUAGUGAGUUGCAAAUACAUUUAGUUGAAAACCUUGGACACAGCAAUGAUGCAAGUCACAGGGGAUUCUUUCUUGAGGGAAACGUGCUCAUUUCAUGAAUCUAGAUUGCUCAUGUCAUAUGAUAUAGUAAUAAUUUUUGUGGGCAAAUGAUUCCAUCUCUUUAUGUUAAAAAUUACUGGCUUUAAGGGACUUACAGAGUAGUUUGGAAGAAGUAUGGGUAGAUCAUUAUAAUGGAGACUGACAAAUGCAAUGAAGGCUAUAUAGGCAGGGAGGAUAUCCUGCAUGCAAAUGAAUCCACACAAUCUGGAGUAUUAUUUUAAGAGAGAUUUUGAGGGAUGCCUGCGUGGCUCAGUCAAUUGAGUGUCCGACUUCAGUUCCAGUCAUGGUCUCGUGGUUUGUGGGUUCGAGUCCUGCAUCAGGCUCUGUGCUGACAGUUCAGAGCCUGGAGAGCUUGCUUUGGAUUCUGUGUCUCCCUCUCUCACUGCCCCUCCCCCACUUGCACCCUGUCUGUCUCUCUCUCUCUCUCUCUCUCUCUCUCUCUCUCUCUGAAAAAUAAAUAAACAUUGGGGCGUCUGGGUGGCUCAGUCGGUUAAACGUCUGACUUCAGCUCAGGUCACGAUCUCGCAGUCCAUGAGUUCGAGCCCUGCGUCGGGCUCUGGGCUGAUGGCUCAGAGCCUGGAGCCUGCUUCCGAUUCUGUGUCUCCCUCUCUCUCUGCCCCUCCCCCGUUCAUGCUCUGUCUCUCUCUGUCUCAAAAAUAAAUAAAACGUUAAAAAAAUUAAAAUAAAUAAAUAAAUAAACAUUAAUAAUUUUUUAAUCCCAUUAAGAGAUACUUUGAGAAGGAAAACCCUCAACUAAAACUUCAUGAACUAGGGAAACAAAAGUGGGCUUCAUUUCCUUAACAAUUUACAUGUCAGAUAGUUUAAAACAGAUAAUGAAAAGAGUGAACAACUAAUUUCCUUCACAGUGCAAAAUAAACACUAGCAAUAGCUAAAGACACCUGUCAAAAUUAACUCUGAGUCAAAGAUCUGCAUUUAGCAGCCAUUUGGGUGCAGGCUGUCUGUACAGCAGAAGGAUAUGGGAGUACCAGAACAGAGGAUGAUGUAGGGGAUUUAAGUCCUUUGUUUCUCUGGAACAGAAAAAGUUAACAGCAAAGGAUUUUUAUUCUCAAAAUCACUAGACUUAGUACAACUUACAACCCUCCACCUACUCUCCAGAAACACAUAUCACUGAAUAGGUUUUAUCCUGGCUUAAAAUCAAAGUUUUUUCCAAGUGAUUCUUUUUUGCAUUCACUCCCUUUUAAGUUAAUAGAACACCUAUAAGAUAUGGAAAAAAAAAUGCCUAGACAUGCACUGUCCCUUUCUCUAAAGAUUGCUAGGUAUUAGUAAUUGAGGUUUGAGAACAUAUUAUUUAAAUGGCUACAAAGCUAAUAUAAAGGCAAUAGAGCAAUACUGCUAAUACCACUUAGAGUAAUAUUACUAUGACUAAUGGUGGUAUAUUGCUGUAAAGUUGAAUGCAAAACAAAUAAUAGAUGAAAAUGUUAGAGUGUAUGGCUGGUUAUGGAAUCUUUUGUUUUCACUUUUACAGCCCUCCUUUUAUAAAAUGGGAAGUUGCAAUUGUUAAAAAAAUCAAUGAUACUUGUUAAAGAUGUUAAGGCAGACUUUUAUUCGGGAGCAUCGCAAUAGGUAUAGGGACCAGUGCAAUGGCAUUUAUAAUGGGAGAGAGAGAUUGGACUCAACUCUGAAUAUGGCUUGGGCAGGUGGGAAUUUAUAACCAAGGAGUACGGUGGGAGGGUCAGUGUUUGGAAGACUACUAGGAGAAAACAUCAGAGGUUAAUUGGGGUUCUGGCUAAAGCAACCUAACAGGGUUAUUACUGAAGAUAGGCCAGGGUGAUCAGAUGUCACCUAGGGAUGGUGGAGGAUGAGGAAACUGAUCAGAUAUUCAGAGUGAUCGGAUAACUUGGAAUUUGCAAGAAAGUGCACAGACAAACCUAGAGGAAGGUUCAAGAGCCUGACUUAAGUUUGGCCAAACAAAGAAUCUUUGUUGCAAGAAAGGAAAGGUUAUAAAAGUUUAUAAGGAUUGCUUCUCCACAAGUGCUGUAAAUUCUUCAAAUCCCAUAUAGAUUUCAGUUUCUUUCCUUGCUCUGUGAUUUUGUUAAUGAUAAUGUAUAAUAUCAGCACUAUUUCAUUUAUAUAAAAGCAAUGCCAUUUUAUUUAUUUAUAGAUAAGUAAAGCUCUGGAAAUAUUAAAAUAUUUUUUUAAGAGCUGAGAAUAAUGGGUGAAUUGUAUGUAAUGGAAACAACAUGGCUCACUGGAGGCAUUUAGUGUCCAGAAUGGAAUAGCCUUUGACUGAUUAAGUGGGCAGACUUUAUUGACUACAUUAUUAAAUAUGAAAUCUAUUAAACUUAAGUACAACCUUUCCCCCCUUCAAAUGUUAACAUCAGUGCCAAUGGGAGAGUGAAACUCGUGACAUUUAGAAAGGAGAAAGAAUCAGAUGAGAUUUACCAGAAGGAGGAUAUAUAAAUAAUUGAAUAGGAAUGUCUGUAACAAUGCAGAUCUUUUAGAUAACGUGUGACAAAAUAUUUCUCUAUUUUCUAAUAGGGAAAAGUUUCUAAUAGAGGCCUCAAUCAGUUGUUCCUAGGGCACUGCAAUCAGGGUAAUUUUGGAAGCUUCCUUCCAAGUUCUGAUUUAUCACCCCAGUCUCCCAAGGGCCCUCCAUGUGAUUGCCUUGGCACUGAUAUUUAUGCUGGAUGAACACAAAGUGCCACACUUAACUCGAUAUUGCCCUUUAGGUCAUGAGAGUGCUAUCUUUCAAGUACGUUUGGGUGAUUUUCACACCGCCCCAUAUCUCACCAACACUAGAGGUAUCUCUUCUUUGAAACUUAGAAGGAGUCCGCUAGAUCUGUAAAUAAAAUUCAGCAAGUCUCAGUAAAUAUUUCUUUUCCCAGCUGGGAUGCCAGUUCACAGAAGAGGAAAGUCGAUGCACUGAAGUGGGAUAAAUUAGUGCAUUGGCUCCUAGUACCAGCUUUGCAGCUGUGUCAUGAUUUCCUUUAGGGGUCUAGGAAAAUGUAGCUUUUCAUGCCUGAUAUUCUUUCUAUUAUUGUUAUCUAUAUCCUCUUCAGAGGUGUAAAGAGAUGACCUUUCCCCUGGAAAUGCCAAACUCAUUCUUUCAGAGAGACUGCCGUUGCUUCUAAAGCGACAGGCCUCUGUUUUACUCUUUUGAAGAAUCUGCCAUUGCAAUCACAGGGAAAGUACUUCGUAGGAAGAAGACAGUGCCAGGAGUCUCCAAUGUAGGCUUAUUCUCACAACGGGGUGUGGGGUUUGCCACUGCCUCACCACGUUCAAGCUGCCAGAGGGCUUCUCACAUGCUUAUAUCUUUAGAUAGCAAGACCUUCACCGUCCUUGUUUACAUUCUUAAAGUGAGGCUUUCUUUCUGCUCAAAGUUUGCAAGCCGACAGCUUUGGAAUGUGAAUUUUUCUGUGUCUUUUCAGAUCAAGUAGCACUGACAGGAUCUUCCCACACUGCCUCAUGUUGGUUUUCUGCCAAACUUGAGUAGAGGCUGGUGUCAGCUCUGCUUGCCUGCUAGCUGGACCCUGGGCCAAAGGCAGCAAGCCUUCCCUAGCCCAACAAGGUGCUGAAGUGGCAUUGCUCCGCAGGUUGCUGCUAAUGCUCAUAUGACAUUUGAUAUAUUGAUGUCUUACAAACACUGGCUUCUUUCGUGUAAGUCAGGAGUGAAAAGAUUCUCCUUUUUGAUCCUAUGCCCAAAACAGAUGCCACUGUUGGGGGGAAUGCAAACCGGUACAGUCAUUCUGGAAAACAGUAUGGAGUUUCCUCAAAAAAUUAAAAAUAGAACUACUCUCUGACCCAGCAAUUGCACUGCUAGGUAUUUAUCUAAAGAAUAGAAAAAUGCUGAUUCAAAGGGGGCACAUGUACCCCUAAUGUUUAUAGCAGCAUUAUCUACAGUAGCCAAAUUAUGGAAAGAGCCCAAAUGUCCAUUGACUAAUGAAUGGGUAAAGAAGAUGUGGUAUGUACCUACAAUGCAAUAUUACUUGGCAAUCAAAAAGAUGAAAUCUUGCCAUUUGCGACAACGUGGGUGGAACUAGAGUGUAUUAUGCCAAGUGAAAUAAGUCAGUCAGAGAAAGACAGAUAUAUGAUUUCACUCACGUGUGGAAUUUAAGAAACAAAACAGAUGGACAUAGGGGAAGGGAAGGACAAAUAAGAUAAAAACAGAAAAGGAGGCAAACCAUAAGAGACUCUUAAUUACAGAGAACAAACUGAGGGUUGCUGGAGGAGAGGUGAGGGGGUGAUGGCUUAAAUGGGUGAGGGGCAUUAAGGAGGGCACUUGUUGGGAUGAGCGCUGGGUAUAAUAUGUAAGUGAUGAAUCACUAAAUUCUACUCCUAAAACCAAUACUACACUAUAUGUUAACUAACUUGAAUUUAAAUUUAAAAAGAAACAAAAAUAAAUUGUUGAACAGAGAAAAAGAAUAGAUGCCACUUAGGACAUAUAUUGUUAGAAUGGUCUAGACAUUGACACUGUUAGGAACUGGAAAUUCUUUACUCUGAGAAACCUUGAUUUGUCAUUUGUAUAGCAUUAACUGAUUGGCCAACUCUUGAUUGCCAUAUAUACUUCUUUGCAAUCCAACCCAUCUUGCACUGAAAUAGACUGAGGACCUAAAAUACAUCAGGCCAUAAUAAAACUAUGCUGUAGAUGUUUGUAAAUUUUUUAAAUUUAAGAAUUCAUUACAUUCAUAUGACCUUGUACACCUUUAAGUUAUAACAAAGUGGCAUGUUUUAUUAGUAGAAUUGCAUUUCCAUAAAGUCAAAGGUUUACAAAGCAAUCAGCAAUUGUUUGGCAGUUACACCAGAGUGUAUUGCUCCACAUAGUUUUUUCUAAGACUAUAUAGUUAUCCUUAUGCUGUAUUUUCUUAAAAUAAUUUUAAAAUUUCUGUUUGAGAAAUGUCUUCACAAUCAGGUUAGUAAUUAACACAAGAAGAAAUUACUUUAUUUGAUUUCUUUAUAUUAUUUCACCAGAAGCAGCAUUACAUAUCAGUUUAAUCACCAAAUUUCUUCUGUAAAAUUGCACUCAAAUGAUUUUUGUGCCUGGAAACAUUCAGGCUUUCUGUUCUUGAGAGCAUUUAAAGACUGACUAUAAAACUUAAAGAUGGUUUUUAUGAGAUAUUUCAUAAAGCUAAUCUACUUCAUCUAAACUUUAUCCUUUAACUGCAAUUUAAGCUGACGUGUUGGUUAAAUGUUGGCCCUACAAAGGAUCUUUUCAUUCAAAUGCAGAUACUAACAGAAAUUAAUAUGAAGAAAUGCCAACAAAAGAACAAUGAAUCAGAGUUCCUAUUUACACGAAAAAGGAAAUGUUAAUAUUGGUGAAAUAGAGCUCUGAGUUAGGGAACUCAGAGAACAAAUAGAAAGUUAGGCAACAAAUAGAAAGUGUUCUGAAAAAUGAAAUGUAUUUGAAGUACGGAUAUCUAUUUAGUAAUUUGGAUAAAGAAAAGUUUUAUUUGUAAUAUCUCCUUUUAAAUGCAUAAGCUAGCCAAAUAGCCAUUGGUUGUUCUUUCUAAAAAUCAUGAUUUAAUAUGGUCACAUAUUCAGGAAGGUGAUAUGGAUAAAGCCAUACACAAAUGCUUUUGUUUUGAAAAGAUCUUUCCAAAUAUCUGAUAUUCAGAGCACUGACUAGUAGACUCCCCAAAGCUCGCUUUCACCAUUAAUUGUUAUAAAAUAUUAAAUAAAACUGUGCAAAGAAUAUGUAGACAUAAUACAAUUGAUAUCAGAGGAAGUAGGAGAGAGAAUGGGAGGGGCUUUAUGAGGCAUCAAGUCUCUAGUGUCUAGUCUGAGCCAGACAUUCUCCUAAACACUGUGAAGGAAGAAUCGAUGGAGGUGUGAGGAGUUGUUACCUAAUCAAGGAGGCAGACACAUAAACAAACCAUUAGAGCAUAUGAGAAUUAUUAAAAUGGAAGACAACAGAGAGCUCUGAGAACAUCCAGAAAAACAUGCAAACUCUGUCCUGUGGAGAUUGGUAAUCCUUAAGUGGCAGGGCAGAGAAAACUUCAAAAGUGUGUUGAAAUUUGAACUGAUUCUUAAAAUAUAGGAGUUAGGCCAAAAAAAAAGAAGGAAGCAAAUUCCAGAUGGAGGGAAAAGUAUCCAUUAGCAGCUGCGGACUAAUCUGAAUCUGAAUAAAUCAGUAUGGCAGGACUAUUGUGUGUGGACAUGGUGAAAGACGGAUUUGGAAAGUCAAGAACAUAAGCCAUAUGCCACUUUCAUGUCAUACUAAAAAAUGCACACCUUUUACCUGCAACAAAGGAAUACAAUGAAAUAUUUUAAGCAUAUUUUAUUAGGAUCAAACUUGAUUUCUAGAAAAAAAAUCACUCUAGCAAGUGUUUGAAAGUAACUGUUGUAUCAUUUGUUCAGGUUAAUGGAGCUGAUCAAUUAACAGACUACCCUCUCAAAUAGAAUCUCCUCUAAGAACCAAAAGAGAAAACAAAUCAAGUGAAAAAUGAAUAAAUUUACCAUAUUUAAACUUUACAGUAAGUCGGGGUGGCUGUAAUAAUUUAAUUGUACUAUUUUCCUAGUCAAGAUAUUAUUUUAAAGAAUUAAUUAACUGAAUUGAAAAAAAAGAUCCCACACAUUUUAGUCAUUCCAGGACUUUGAUAGAGUGAAGCCUCUUGGGUUAUUAGGCACAAAAUAAAGGAGAAGCACAUUUUCUGCUGAGGGCCUGUUUUUCUCUUGCACAAGCAGUUUGAGGUUCUAAGACUAUUGCUAUGGUCAAGACAGAUAUUAUCCAUAGGUGUAUGAGUUUGGAGGGGUACUUGCUCUGCCUUCAGUGUGUGGGUAUUUCCAAAGAUAUAACCACAAGAGAAAAUGAUCAAUCCAGCUUUAAUAUUUGCUAUAUUUAUUCUCCCUAUCAAAUAAUAAUAUAUAAUCUGAAAUCACUUAUCUAGUUGGAAUUGGUUGGGUGUAAGUAAAUGUAGAAGGAGGAAUAGAAGGAGAAGCAAAAGGAGAAAUGAACAUACAGACCAAAAUGAAGAAAAAAAUGUGUUUAAACUUCUGAUGCACAAUCUAUGUUUUGUAUUAGGGUAUAAGCAAAGCAAUAUGAAUAAAGGUCUGUAUUUAUUCCUUAGUUACCUCCAGCAUUGCUGCUUUGAACAGUACAGUUUUCUAUAGUGUACAGGUAGAUCAGGUGCUCUUUCACAGACUGCUUUCUGGUCACUUAGCAUCCUUUUCCCUCAUCUCUUCUACUCCCACCUCCUUAAACAUCUAUUGCUAAUCAAUCAAACUAACAAACAAACAAACACAUCUUGACUGCUCAUUUAUUUUCUAAAAGAUUUCAGUAAGCCAAAUGUACCAAUGGAAUAAUGCUCAUUUGCCCCAAAGCAAAAAAAGGCAUUUGAACUUCAAAAGUCAAACAUAGAUUGAAUUCAUGGUAAAGCACAAGACUCCUAAUACCCUCUGACCUCUUCAAAGACUUUGCUAUAAAAUAUUGUUAACACUGUGAGAGCUCAGAAUUUAAGACAGAUGUGGAGAAUUUAGCAUCUCUGCUAGAUGAAAUUAAUUGGCAUGAUUAAAUUCUUGAAAAAUAGUAAAGUUAAAAAAUUAAAGACUAAAUACUAUGGAAUUAUGUUAAAAGGAAAAGAUAGAAAAUUUAAGAGAUUGAAUGUUAUAUAGGGACUGCUAUAAAUUCUUUAUAUUCAAUUAUAUGAACUUUUUAAAAGGAAAGGCCUUAUUAGAUUUUUUAUGAAAAAGCAAUAAAUCUUCAAAGGUACAUGCCCCUCCACUCUAAGGUAAAUUCCUCCCUCACCAAGGUAAGAGUGAAUGCAUUUGGGUUUUAGGGAAAAUUGUGAUUGUAGAGAUACCUUUUUGGAGGGAAUACAGUAUAGAGAGCAGGUGAUGAGUAUCACACUUUUGGCAUGAACAUUACUGAUAUGUAUGUUAGGAUGUUUACUGAAUAUCCAUAUUUAUAGUGGACAUUCUAUUCCCAUAAUCUCAUCUCCGACUUUCAUCACUUACUAAUUUGGGUUCCUGUGGUAGUUGUCCUGAAUCAAAGGGAUGGGAUUGAGAGACCUGUAAUGAAAAUUUUAAGGGGGAUUCAUGAUGUUCUGGAGGAAGUACAAUGAGACAGUCUGCAUAAUAUCUUGAAAAACAAGACAAACCGAAACAAACAAACAAACAAAAAAACCCACAAAUACGCGCACACACACAGGGAAAAAUUAUCUUUCUACCAUUGUUGCUACAGGUUUCAGAAAAUACUUUCCAGGCAUAAAACUAUUAUUUUAAAAAGAAGUUAUUUAUUGUGGUUGAUAACCUAUUUUCAGGUGAUCAGAGAAACUAAUUACUAGGCUUUCACAUUUAUGGUCUAACACUAGAUGUCUUAAAUGCAGUUGAGCUCUCAUAAGUUAAAAAGAGAUUAUCUCCAACUUUCUCCCAUUUCUCUUAAUGUGCAGUGUAUUUUACUAUUCUCUUAUAAUCUCUAAAAUGGUGAUAAACAUUUAGUUUAAGCUAAUCUAUCAUUUGUCAAACCUGCUACAGUGUGCUAGAAAGUAGCAGAAUAGUAUCACAUUUUAUGUUUCUAUACAUGUUACUGAAGUUAGUAAAUUCUUUCUUAUUGUGGAAAGGACUAAAAUAAGAAAAUCCUUUAUUCUUGUAUUUGAAAGUAAAACAACAUUUAUGAAGCCAAAAACCCAUAUCUAUCAUGCAUUCAAAUGAUCCACCUUUUCUCAUUUAUCUCUCUGUAGAAAGAAACUGUGAACCAUUAUUAUCACUGUUUUGAGAUUUAUGAUUUCAUCUCUUUAUUUUAUUUUUAGAGUAUCUUACAGAAUUCUUAAUGUUUCACUCUUUCAAUAGAUCUUAUCCAUGAUAAUAUAUGUCUCACUUUUGCUCAAGUAGGUAAGUGUAUAUAUAUUUAUGUUCAUACAUAUAGAAGUACACAUAAAAUUGCAUUUUCAGUGAAGAGAACAGAAGGAACAGUAGACAAAUACAUUAAGGGUUUGAAUUACUGCUUAACCAUUCACUCACUUGCCUUGCACAAGUUCCUUAACUUUUUCUAGGUUUUGUUUUUUGUUUUUGUUUGGUUUAGUUUUGUCAGUAAGCUGGCACAGUAACAGUAAUAAUACCUAAUUCAUAGAGUUGCCAUGAAAAAAUGUAUAUAUCCUGUUUGACAUAGUUUCUGGUGUAAUAGCUCAAUAAAUAGUAGCUAUUAGUUUAGUCCUUGGACAGUUGAAAAGUUGUUUAUAUUUUUUUUAGAAAAAAGUCUAGCAAAAUCAGGAAAUGAAUAAAUGCCCCCAAAGCAUAAUCGUUUUCUAAUAACAGUGGGUCCCAUCUCAGAAGAUUAGGACAUUUGUACUUUGUCAGCACUUAGCACAUAUUAAGGAAACAAUCAAUCAAGACAUUGUUACAACAUGGCAAUCCUGAUCCAUUAUUCAUUUAUUUUUUUAAUGUUUAUUUAUUUAUUUUGAGAGAAAGAGAGAGGGUGAGCACGCGUGCAUGCGAGCACAGAGGGGACGGGGGUGGAGGGGGGGAGAAAGAAUCCCAAGCAGGCUCCAUGAGAAGCACGGAGCCAGAUGCAGUGCUCAAUCUCAUGACUGUGAGAUCAUGACCUGAGCCAAUAUCAUGAGUCGGACUCUUAACAGACUGAGCCACCCAGGCGCCCCUAUUCAUUUCUGAAAUACUAGUUUUAAGGCAAAGGUCUGUAUGUUAGAGCUGAUUGCCCACCUAAUCACGUUAUCUUUUUUUUGUUUGUUUGUUUGUUUUGUUUGGUAAAUGAGAGAAGUGGCUUUUCUCUCAUGGACUAAGUCCACACUACUGCUAUGAAAAAAUAACAAAAUGAGAAGGACAUCAGCCCAGGACACAGACUAGUCAUAUUUUCAUGAGCAUUAGUAGCAUAACACCAAAUCCACUCUUCUUUUGUAAUUAACUCAUAAUUUGUCACCUGUUAAGUAGAAGAAAGGAAUUUAGUGGUGAGUAAAUGUUCAAACUCCAUAUUUAUACUUCCAUUUAGAAAGAAAUACAUCUGGGUUCUUAUUAUUCGCAGUACUUACAUAGUCUAUAAAGUUGCCUCAAACACUGAAUUUGUGAAUACCGAACCAUUACUCCUGGGGCAAACACAGGGCUAGAUAGCCUCUACGAGGUUCUGGUCGCAACAUUUUAAUAUAUUAUCAGUACAUAACUGUGUCGUAUAUGUGCUCCUAUUUAAAGACAUCUUAUGCAAUACACAUUUUUGAUUCAUUAAUAUUGAACUUGUGACCAACAAUGCUGGAACUCAUGCUUGAACAAAGCUUAUCUAACACACAUGUUUUCUCUGGAAGGCACAUCAUGGCCCUUUUGUGCUUAGGAACACUAGGCAGCACUUUAUCACUAUACUUGGAAUCCAUUUUAAACAGCAAAAUCAACAACAGAAAGCACAGAUAUGCAAAAAAACAUGGCUCUAAAUAGACUGCGGAGAAAAAAAAAUGCUUGUUUACAAAAUGAGAGCUGAAACAGGAAGGCAGAGUGCUUACACUUUGACUUCAGCUGGGAAUAUGUGUGUUGGGCAACUCACAUUUUUUAAUCUCUGGGCAUGUCCAAAGUGACCGCAAAAGUACUGUGAUUAGACUUUGAGAUAGCAAAUAAGUUUCAACAAGUAGGAAAAUUCAUAAAUAUGAAAUAUCUGAAUCAAUGAGUAAUGAGGAUUGACUAUACCUAAAUAAUCUGUAUGUUUAAAAAGUUUUUUUUUCAUUACACUAGGAUAACAAUGGUCCAGAGAUGAUUUAUAAUAAUAACAAACAUUCAUUGAGUAAAUGUCAGCUCAGGUUCUGAAUUAAGCACUUUAUUUUUUAUUUAACCACCUUGCCUUUACUACUCUUUUACAGGUAGGAAAGUAAGGGCUUAAAGAAAUAAUGCCACAAUGUCACAGCUAGACCUGAACUAGUCAGGAUUUGAACCAGUCUGCUUGAGUCUAGAGACUACAAACUCUUAACCACUAUGUUGUCCUUCUCAUUAUAAGGAUGCAGUAUUCAAUUGUUCACAACAGAGCAACAUUCGUGACUAAAAGAAAAGCAUGUUUCAUUUUAGUGCUCCUUUGAUCUUUGAAUCUCAUGUUCAAGGCUUUAUUUGUUACCUUUGAACAUGCUAUUCAAGUGUAAAAUAAUAUUUCCCUCUUUGUAUACAUUAUUCAUCCAUAUUCUUAAUCAUAUUUUUGGAUAUAUAAGUAAUUUCAUGUUUUUCUCUGUAUUUCCAUUAAAAAUUAUUCAUGGAUGAGUCAUGUUUUUUUAACGUUCAUUUGUGAGUCAUUCAGAGGUUUCAUUAUUUAAACAUAGUGGGUAAUGUCCUGGACCAACCUCUCCGAGCCCAUUUAUCUCAUAGUGAAACUUGACUAGCAAAAAAAUAGCAAUAGUACUUUUGGAAUCACCUUUUAUAACAAUAUUUCCUUGGGACAAGGGUUUCUGGGUAGAAUGACAAAAAUAUAUGUCCCCAGUUCAGUUGGUUAGCUACUCAUAGUCACUUGAUGCCUGGAGGGUAUGGAGACUCCCCCGCCUCAAAGGCAUUGCUGGAAGCCUGAGAAAGGAACUGGAGGGAACUUUAGAAAGUUUGGAUCUGGUGAGAGAGUGAGGAGAAAAAACAACAGAUGGUGAUCAGAAGUUUGGGAAGAAAGAAGUAGUUGAGAAUAAGGAAUGAGGGGACCAGAAAGAUUCCUAGUUCUUCUAAACAGCCUUUCUACCAGGGGAGCCUCUUAGGGCCAGGACAUCUUCCUACCUAAACAGUAACUCUUUUUACCGCUACUCCCUCCGAUUUUGAUGGGUAAGCUACCUUUUUCACAUCUGUAUUUGUUACUUCUGAUCAAUUUUUUCCCAUCCCCCUAUUACCCUGAAGAAGAUAAUUCUAUAGACUUUCACAUAUAUUCUUGUCCCUAAAGUUCAAAAUUCACAAAUAAUUGAGAUGUUCUUAAAAUAUUUAGUGUUAAUAAUAAAAAGAUAAGCUUUUUUUAAGAAUUUUCUUCCCCCUUCCUCUCUUUCUCCCUCUGCAAUUGUUUUGUCUUUCAGAUUUUAGCAUAAAUCAAGAUUAUCUAAAGGCCGUGUAUUUUAAAACAUAUAGAUCCAUGGAUUUCACCUACAGAUACUCUGAUCAAAUAGGUCUGAAGUCGAGUUCAAAAAUCUGCAUUUUUAAAAUGUGUCCCAGGUGGUUCUGAUAGAGGUGAUAAGGGACCAUCUUGAGUCCUAUGACUUAGUGUUUAAAAAGAAAUGAAGUUCAUACAGGGGGUUACCAAAGGAUCUUUUCAUACCAAUAUGGAAAAGUAAAUGGAAUCAGCAUUUCAGAGAUCCCAGAGAAAAGCUCUACACAACGUUUGAGUACACAGUCAGGAGCAAGAGGUUGGUAACAAUGGUGCCAUCUUUUGGGAAGAAGUGUUGAGAAUUUGGUCUGGGAGAACUUAACUGUUCUCAGCCACAAUGGGCAAGAGAAGAAAAUGAACAAUAAUGCAAAGAAAUCUUUCCUGUUCAUACCUUUUCCUUAUCUCUCAUUACUGGUAAUUUGGCCAUUAAAUGCAUUACCUUGAUUGGGUUUAAGCAGAAAAUUCAGAGAGAAAUUAAGAUUGGAGGAACGUGACUUGCAGUACUUAUGUCAAAAGAUAGAGAAAGAAAUGAAGAUUAAUUACUUUUGGUCUACCAGGUCCUAUAGCUGGUGGCACUUCCUGGAAGGUUGUUCCUGUAUUAGUAGAUAAGCAACAUUAUCAUCAUCAUUAUUAUUAUAAUAGGCAUCAUCAUACAUUGCUACUGUUUAUUCAUAAUUAAGGACUGAAUGACAUGGACUGAAUUUUACCCCCCCCCAAAAAAAUUCAUAUAUUUACCCUAAACCUCCAAUGUGAUUGCAUUUGGAGAUAGGACCUAUAUAGAAGUUUAAUUAAGGUUAAGUGAGGUUAUAAGGGUAGAGCCUCAAUCCAAUAGGAUUAGUGUUUUUUUUUUUUUAAGAAGAGAGGUACAUAGGGGCGCCUGGGUGGCGCAGUCGGUUAAGCGUCCGACUUCAGCCAGGUCACGAUCUCGCGGUCCGGGAGUUCGAGCCCCGCGUCGGGCUCUGGGCUGAUGGCUCGGAGCCUGGAGCCUGUUUCCGAUUCUGUGUCUCCCUCUCUCUCUCUCUCUCCCUCCCCUGCCCCUGUCUCCCUCUCUCCCUGUCUUCCUCUCUCCCUGUCUCCCUCUCUCUCCCUUCAUGGGCCUUGAAAAGGCCAGGUAACACAUAUAGAGAGAUGAUGGCCAUCUGCAAGCCAGGAGGAGAGCUUUCACCAUAACCUGCAUCAGCCAGCACCCUGAUCUUGUAUCUCCCAGUCUGCAGGACUAUGAGAAAUAAAUUUCUGUUUUUAAGCUACUCAGUUCAUGGUAUUUUCUUGUGGCUGAAAAUAAGCAAACUGAGACAAGAACCUUAAUAUAUUCUCAUUUUGUGGUCUUAGGAAUUUGAAAAAAAUUGAUAUGAUCCAUUUUAGUUGAAGAUUCCCAAGUCUAGAGAAGUGAGGUAACUUGUUCAAAGUCACACAACUAGUAAAAAUUAUGUGUGUUUGGGCUAUUAGGUGUAAUUCAGUCUAACACCAGAACCUAAAAUACUAGUGAUAAUCCGAUAGAUACAUGUAAUUUGACUUUUUAAUUUUUUAUUAUGGGCUUAUCACUUGAACAUUAUAUUUUUCUUUUAAAAUAAUUUUUCAUCAUAAGUAAUUUAUUUGAUAAGAAAUGUAGCAAUCCAUCAUUGUAUAAACUUACUGUUACAUGUUGAAUAGAAUCUUUGUCAAUAAAUUUAUUAUUAUUUCUGUUUUAAAGGAUUUGUGAUUCUGUAUGAUAUAGUCAGAAAUUUUGCAAUCUAUUCAGAGGAGAUUUUUUUUCCCUAAUAGGUGGAAAUAUUUCUAGACACUAGAGCUUUUGUCGCAGACUUCAAAGGACAGUUGUCUAGGGGCAGCAUGUGUUUUUAGAAGAGUUUCUCAAAUGCUUUCCUGUUCUUUGUUACACUUUGUAUUUUUAAGUUCUUUGAAAGUAGGUACAGUGCCUCAUAUUCAAAAGAUGUUAGAAGAACCCAAACUAGAUUUCUAUUGGUUUAAUUCAACAUUUCUUUGAAAACAUGCAAGUUGGCAGAGACAGAAGUUCCUCAAGGAGGUCCCGAAUUUCAGUUCAGAAAAGACUGGUUGUCCACAGACACACUGUUUCAAAGCAUUUAACACUGUGAUGUAACUUGAGAAGAACACAGAGCCUACAUAAGAUAUCUGAAAGAUCAGCUGGGCGUAUUUUCAAACAGAAGAAUUUUCUAUUAAGGUUGGCUCCCUUGUUUGAACUAAAAGUUUCUAAUGUUUCAACUCAAUGUACAAUCAAAAGAAUUUGCAAUCAUUGUAAAUGGAAAAACCAACAAAUAUGUUGGCUAACCAUUGUUAUAUAAUUUCACUUAAAGAGAAGGAAUCAUUGGUGUUAUCUUUAAGUUAGGCCUGAAUAGAUUUUAAAGAAAUUUUUUAAUUUAUUUAAAAUAACUUCCUUGACAAAAGAAAUAACUAUAUCUUGCUGUUUAUGUCUUCUUCCUUUACUUUGUUAUUUUAACUUGCAUUCUAAUAGUAACAAAAAUAGUCACAAAAAAAAAAUCUAAGUUUCUGUAGUGGUGUCACUCUAACAUUCUGAGCACUCAGUCCCAUUUUCUGCACUUCCAUUUCUACUACUGUGUUUUAGUGGCACUAAAUCAAUGUUUUUCCUUGGUAGGUGGUAAAAUGGAAAGAAUAGCUGUCUCUGGGAAGGAGGGACCCUGAGAUAUUAAAUGGCCAUGAGGGACUGGCCCUCUCUUCCCUGAAGAGAGACUCAGUACUGCAGGAAAACAGGUGCUGUCAGGCAUUACCUAGCCUGGUCCGACCUUCUGUUUAUGCGAAUGUGGCAGCACCAUGGUCAGCAGCAGUUCUCUGCAGUUUCUGUUCCCCCUUGUCUCCCUAGCUCUUGAAGACUUGCAGAUGCUAAAAGCAGCAUCACCUGGUGCCUCCUUAUGUUCCCAGAUUUCUUCCUACCUCAUUUCUUGCUGGCAGUGAGUCCUAGUCAUAAUUACAUAGCUCUUUGCCUCCUCCGAAAGGUUCAAUCACAUGCUUUCCCCUAAAGAUAGAUAUACCUUCCGUGACUCUCUCAGAAUCUGUUACCUUAAAGUACCACAGCUCCCCCAUUCUGCUCAUGCCUAAAGGGCAUUGACAGAUAAGACUUGCUAUCUCUAUCUGUCAUCUCUCUCUAUCAUCAUCUAUCUGUCUAUAUAUUAUAUAAUCCCUAAAUAUCGUAUAGGUCCUCUCGGAAAGUUACAUAGAUACUAACCAAGUGCAAAACCAUUUAUCAAAUCCAGUGUGCCUUAAAGAAGGCCGUCUUCAAGCUCUAUUUUAACAAAACCACUGUCACUGGCAUACAUUGCCAAUAUUAAGUAUACUGUCAUGCUGAAUUGAACAAAUGAAUGUCAUUGUAUUCUUCUAUCUUAUUUAGUGGUAGUGGUGGUAGUAAUAUUGAUCAAAUCAUAAUAUAUAAACAAAAUAUUAUCAUGGGAGAAAAUGAGUAAUAUUAAAUCCUUAGAUAUCCAAUUAUUGUUACUUAAAUAGUUGAUGAAAGUGGUUACAAAUGUAUAUAUCCCCAAAAUGCUAAUGUGUUAGAACUUCCAACUUAAAGGGAUCACAAGUAGAAUAUUUGGUAAUGAAGUUACUGUAAGCUCUUUAUUACAAAUGAAAGAAAAUUAAUUUUCUCUCCCCUUAUAUAUUCUAGAAAUUAUGUCCCCAAAGUAUGUAGAGUUAUAUAAACUGCAUACUUAUGAAAAGAUUGAGCUAUAGAGUACUGUUUAUAUUAAGCAGUUACUGACAGAGCAUGAACAUUUAUUAAUACUCCCACAUUAAGCUAAUUUAAAUUAUACAUCCCAAGAUCUGCUGUUAUUGCUUUUUGGGGGUGAAGGUUUGAUUAAUGAUUUUCUAGCAAGUAAAUUACAAUGGCAUUAUUUUUUUCCUUUGGUCAUGUAAGACAGUAAUAAAAUGUGAUUGGCCACUUACAGAUCUCUUGCCAGGUUUCAGCAUAAGCAAAGCUGAAAAAUUAAAUUACAGAAUUUUAGAAGUAUGUUAGCUGUUUUAAAGUUACAAGUGUUCCAUUAUUCUAAAUAUAGCUUAUUUUUAGUAAGCUUAGUGAUUUUAAUAUCAAUUUAAAAUACAUCCAAAAAGGGGGAUAACAGCUUCUUUCUUUCUUUCUUUCUUUCUUUCUUUCUUUCUUUCUUUCUUUCUUUCUUUCUUUCUUUCUGAAACAAAUUCUUUAUGGUAAAACUCAUAUAUCUUUUUAUUCAAAUAUGACUUGCUUUUUAGGCCCUAAAUUUUGUUGAUAUGACAAAAUACUUAUAAGAUAUUCGAGUACCUGGAAAACCACAGGUGGUAAGGCAUCAGAGAUGCUGGAGCAAUCAAACAAAACACACAAGCAUAGUCACAAACUCACAAAUACAUACACACACAGAAUAAUCAAGUUAAAUACUUACAAGUAGAAAUAUACUUUAUAUAAAUAUGUAGACAUGAAAUAGUAACUUACUUUAAAAAGGCCUAUAGUAAGAGUUGAAAGAGAAAAUAAUGUAUUAUGAAAUCAAUUCUAUUAUAGAAAAAAAACUUGAAUGCUUUAAAGGAAUAUUUAGGUAUAUGAAAAUAAUUUUACAUAAACCUUGUUUGGAGACAACAUCAAUACAAAUCUUUUCUGAAGGCAAGAACUACUUAAUAGCUUUAAUGGAUCAAAUUUAGAAAAAUGUAUCAUUUAGACUUUUUUUAAUUUUUGUAUGUGUAGUUUCUAACAUUUCUUUAUCUGUUCAAGACAAAUGGGAGAAAUGAUUCACUGGAAUUUUGAAAUCUACUCUUAAAAAUUUGUCUUGUUUAUCAGGAAACAACAGCAGUGUGUGUGUGUGUGUGUGUGUGUGUGUGUGUGUGUAUACGUGUAUAAGGGAUAGAGGUAGAGAUGGCUGGAAUGUCUAUAGAAAGAUCCCAUUCUUUUUCACAGCAUCUCUUACUAUUUUGGUAUUCACACAGAAAGUCAAGGAGAAGGACAAUCUACUUUAAAUAUUUUUGGUGGGGCAUCUGGGUGACUCUUGGUUAAGCGUCUGACCCUUGAUUUCAGCUCAGGUCAAGAUCUCACAGUCAUGAGAUGGAGCCCUGCUUUGGGUUCUGCACUGGGCAUAUAUCCUGCUUAAGAUUCUUUCUCUUCCUCUGCCCCUCCCCUGAUCUCUCUCUCUCUCUCUCUCUCUCUCAAAAAAAAAGUGGUAAUUUUACUCACUGCUUAAAAAUUCUGCUUUAUUGUCAGUAAUAUUCAUAUAUUUUUCAUAGAUGGAAAUUCAUUUGAUAUAAGGGGACUCUGGCCAAGCAUAGUGCUCAAUAAUUUGAUUUGUGAACAGGAAAAGAAAAGAAAUAUAAUAGAAAAGAAGACAAAAAAGAAAAGAAAUGUAACUCUUAUGGGACUAUCAAUAUGAAUCAUCUUUCUACAAAGAAAGUAUAAGAAAACACAUAACUUUAGGUGAUAGAAUUAUUUUCUAUUUCUAGUAUUUUUGGUGGGUAAUAAAACAAGUUUAAUACUUAGUGGAAAAAAAGGCAUAAAUAUAUUCUCUCAUUCAGCAAGAUUGGAAUCUGCUUAAUUAUUUAGCAGAGUAUAUUAAUCAACAGUAACCCACACUGGAGAUUUCCUUUUAUAUUCAGAGGACACAAAAUUAAAUUUUUCUAUUGAAAAGGUAUUUACAUAUUUAGCGAUACUCUCCCCAAUUUCUUUGCAAAUCAUUUUCUAAAUAUAUACCCAGUGUCCUGUAUUUCACUCCCAGGAAGAUUUUAUACACUGCUUGUAUACAAGCUGAUUUUUGCUUCCCUUUUCUCAGCCCCCGCAUUAUCUAUAUGUGUUUACACGUUCACUAUAAUGGCCCCAGAGGAAAUAUUAUGGUCCAUCUCGUCAAUAAUCCAUGUUUUAAAUUCUCUAAAUACAUGGAUGGCAUUAUCAGCUAUCAUUGUACUGAUCUUCAUUUUAAGAAGUAUCUAAAUACAUAUUUAUCAGCUUAAUCUGUAUCUUGAAAGGUCCCUAAGUAUGUAUUUAUAUGAUAAAGUAUACUGACACAAUGCAAACUGGCCUUUUAUACAUUGUUAUAGCUGUUUUUUUUAAUUAUUAAAAUAAAACACAAAGCUAUAGGGUACAUUUAAAGUACAUGUUUAGUUGCACAACUUAAAUUUUUUUUUAUCUUUUUGGAAAAUUGUUUCAUAAAUCUAUGACAAAAGUGUAUCCAUGGCUUUUGGUCUCCUAACUUUUAUAAGUUUCCUGGAAUCAAAAAUUUUGAACAAAUUACAUAAGAGCCAAUAAAAAUAUAAGGAAUGCUUAGGGUAUUUUCUUUUUCUUUCUUUUUUUGGAUUAAAUUUAUUAUUCAAAAGCAUGGAUAUAUGUGGCAGGACAAAAUAUCUGCUUCCAAUAACAGAAACAUUCAUUGAUAUAAAAUAUGACUUUUAAGUAUGCUCCAUUACCCAAAGAAUUCCUACAGAAUGGAUACUCUUGAUUUGCAUGUUAGUAGGGUUAUGUGAUCUUUGAGGGAUUUUUGUUCCAUUUAGAGUAUUUGGAGUACAUUCUUUAUUCUUAUUUGUUUCAUACUUUAUCUACUGAUUCAAACUAGAUGGGGCACCUGGGUGGCUCAGUCGGUUAAAUGUCUGACUUGGCUCAGUUCAUAAUCUCAUGGUUCAUGGGUUCAAGCCCUGCAUCGGGAUCUGUGCUGAUAGCUCAGAGCCUGGAGCCUGCUUGGGAUUCUGUGUCUCCCUCUCUCUCUGCCCCUCCCCUGCUCAUUCAUUUUCUCUCUCUCUCUCUCUCUCUCUCUCUCUCUCUUAAAAAUAAAUAAAUAUUUAAAAAAACUAGACACAAAACUUGUGUAUAAUGUUGGAUAUGAAGAAUUUGGAAACCAUACUUAAAUACAGAAUUAAAUAGUAAUAGGUAUAUUUAUGUGGAUUUUUUCCCCUAAAUUAACUAGACUGAGGUCUCUCAUAAGGCAAUCCCAGAUCUUCACUCCCCCCAUUACUCACCUUGUCAGUUGUGUCUCAGGAAUCUGUUCUUGAAAACGUGCAUUGGAAAACCGACUACCACUGAGUGUUAGAGUCAGGUUUGUUAGCUGCACAAUACAUUGUGUAUAACUGAUGUAAGUGUGGAUUUUGAAGCCACAAAUGCACAUAUAUGCAAGGUACUUUCACAAAAGAGCAUUUAUAAGGGCACUUACUGACUUGUACCUUGAUUGUACCUUCAUUGAAAAUCUAAGCAAUGGCACUAGUUUGCACCUGACAGUCCCUUUCCUCUGAGCCUCUCCACUGACAGCUCCUCUCUGUGGCCCCAGCAACCGGCCUGGCUCAUGGAUCAGCACACAGGCUCGUCCAGGGGUUUCUACAUUAGAUUUAGGACUCUCUCUAUGUCACCUAGGAAAAUUGGCCCACACUUCUGUCCCUGAACAAGUGUCUGUGUCUGGGAUAGAGGUGCUAUUUGAAAUGGUUCUUGCCCCUGCCCUCAGACUCAGGGAUUGAAAGUGAAAGUGAAGAAAACGUCUCCCUAUACCAAGUUUGGGAUGCCAUUACCAAAAGAAGAGGAAGUAGAUUCUGGUCUGAAAACAAUGACAAAUAUCCACUACAUGUGUCUCUAGAAUUUUGAUAGGUCUAGACUCUAGUGUGUUCACAGAGAAUAUUGAAGUGUGUGUGUGUGUGUGUGUGUGUGCGCGUGCAUGUAUAUUUGUGUAUGCUUCUCUAAUAGACCUGGUAUUCUAGAAAUUCAACUAGAUCAGGCAGAUAUUUUUGUUAGUGAUGUUAGGUGGUUUAUAAUAUUUGGGUUUUUUCCAUCUGUCUCUAUCUACAUUUAAAACACAACCACUUAAAAUCUCAAAGCAGUGAGAUUUUAAGCAGCACUUCUACUUAAUGAAGGCUUAGUCAGAAUUAUCUUUGCUGAGGGCACACACCUGCGUGUAGCUGGCAUCUCAAACCCGGGUCUACCUGAAGUUCACUGCCGAUAAUAAUUGAUUUUCUUCCUUCAGUCAACUUAACAUAGAUCAAGAGUGAAGUGGCACUUGGCUACAUACACAAUCUCAGCAGCUGCAAUUUUGCUGUUGACUGUCAAACAGAGUCCUUCUUUUACGGUUUCCAUAGAGGCUGGGCAUGUUACUGAAUUUAAUUUUGAAGCACUGACUGAUUCCUUCCUAUGCAUCUGAGUUUGGGAGACAUCCCACACCGCCAGAUCUGAAAAGAAAACCGUCUCCUUUGCCAUCAUUGAAUUUGUACCUUUCCCCUUUAUUAAAUACUUAUAAUAGUAUUAUAAUAUUUCAUUCUCAUUACCUAAACAUCGGCAGAUGAUAUUUUAUUCUUAGGUCUCAAACAUCAGGAUUAAUAAAAUGGGUAAUACCAAAAACAUGUACAUAAAAACCUGGUCCUAUGUUGUUUUAUGCUCAGAUUGGAAGUAGCUUUAUGCCAUCCUCAGUUUAGAAAAGAGAUUAAGUUUCCCUAUUUCUAUAAUUUGAGGAAAAUAAGGUAUAAAUAGUCUUGGGGGCUACAGUAGGUCAAAGCUCCAGUGAGACGCUUACUGUUCCUUUUGAAGGCAUCAUUCAUUCAAAGCCUGAACACAUUAAUGGAGAAAAGAGCGGGGAGAGGGGAAGAGACCAUGAAUUGCUCUUCCCUCUUCAGUGCAUGUGGCUUUAAAGAACUGGGAUUUGAAUCACAUUAGAAUUAAUUUGCUAUGCAUACAUUGAGAAAAGGAGUAAAGGAAAUAAAUUUUCUUUUUCCAAGAUAAUGUUUAAAAUAAGACCCAGGUCAUUGCUGAAUUACUUUAUAGCUGACACUGCUUUCAUACAUAAUGGUAACUCUAUGAGGAUUUACUGGUUUUCGAAAACCUUAUGUAUAAUUCUGUAUAGAAACAAAUUAAUAUAAAAGAUAAUUUUCAACUCUGAAGUUAAAUGAAGCUACAGUUGAUGUUAGUAAAGUAUGGCAUUGUGUGCCUGGAUAAAUCCAUGGCAGUAUUCCCAUCUUAUUUUUCUACAGUGUUCUCCACUCUUAGUUUCCUAAGCCGGGAAUCCCAGUUAUCCUACUCUCUCCAUUUCCUAACCUUCACCUAAAUUGUUCUCUAAUACCUAAUUCCUGUCUUUAGAAUGUCAUGUUUUUCCCACACUGUCCUAAAUGAGCCCCUAAUCAUAUUUUAUCUGAAUUAAUAUAAUGAUUUUAUAUCUUCCCAUGUAAAUUUCUAGUGAGAAAAAUAAAACAAUAAAGAGAUUUACUUCAGGAGGACUCCAGGUAAAACUUCAGAUCCGUGUUCACUCCUCCAACGUUGAUAGCAGGGAUGUGUGAGCUACAGGGUAGAUCUUGGAGAGUCUCCAUUGAUAUUUAUUAAAAUAAUAAUAAUAAUUGUUAUUAUUGUUGUUAUUUUCCUAAAUCCAUAUAUGUGAAUUUCCUAAGAAAGUGGACUGGGUGGGUUAUAGAUUGGGCAAUUCAAAUAUGGCAUCGUUAUAAAGUUAGUUUUAUUGUUUUCUUUCAUUAUUGUUAUGAAAUAUGUUAAUUAUGAAAAGUACAGAAAAAAUGUGCUGUUCUAUAGAGCUCUAACAUUUUAUAACCUAUGGCUAAUUCUUAACUGUAUUGCUAGAUCCUAACUAUGUUAGAAAAAAAAAUACUGAAUUUAUUUUCAAUAGCAUAUUAUGCUGUUUUAAUUUGCACUGCUUAUAGUUCACUUAAUUAAACAUAAGAAAAACAGGCUUAGAGGGGGCAAAUCACAUAAUUUUCAUGCAGUAUACAUAGUAGAAGGACUCCUGAUUUUUUCCUAAGACUAAGAUGUUUGUCGGGAAGACUUUUAUGUGUGCCUAUAUUUAUGCAUUGCUUAUUUAGGGACCUGCAGGCUAUUGUAAAACUCAUUAUCAUAAUUUUCUUCAUUUUUUUCACUUUGCUACCCUUAAAGAUAGAUACCCUGGCUUUUAAACAUAUUUGGAUCUAAUCUAAAUGCCUAGACUUAAUCACAUUGAAUUUUUAAAAAUAAGUUGCCUUUAAAAAAAGUACGAUAUUUUUAUAUUAGAGUUUGCUUUUAAGCUGCUCAUGAGGCAACAAUUACAUGAGAAUUCAGACUGAGACAAGCCACUGAGGUGCUGUUUUCAGUACCCAAAUGGUCUCCACCUAACAGAACAUCGAGGGGUAUAUUUUCUUUUAACUUGACUUCAUUUCUCUCUAAUUAGUAGUGUGCAAUGUACCAUUGUGAUGCCUGCUUCACCCCCUUGGUUCUUGCACCUCCCCUUGGGGAUUUCCCAGCUGUUUUGCUCUCCUGUUGUAAUUGAAAUCGUACUUGUUCCAGCCUGUAACUGAUAGUGAACCCAACCAUUUUAUGUUUGUCAUGCAACAGAUGUACAACAGAAACACUGAAAGUGGCAGAUGGAAAAACUGCCCUACUAGAGUGAAAUCAGAUCCACUCUUAUAUCACAGUCCCAUUCUCUCAACAUUCUGUGAUUUUUCUCCUCCUUGCAAGUGCUUUGUUGCUGCAAACAAAUCGUAAUAUCUGUUGGCUAUGUGGUGAUUCUUCUUUAGUCUUAUUACAUGAUUCUAUAUCUAGAAUAAGGGCUUCACAGAAUAAUGUAGACAAUUUAACAAAUAUAAUAGGGCUUUCUAUAGACUUUUGUCAAGUCUGGUCACCACUAUUAAAAUAAUUAAGCUUAUAGGAAAAUGUCUUGUUCACGAAUAAAUCGAGAUAUUUGAAUUAGCUAACUAUAUUUCUUAAAAAAAAUACUUGCAAAUGCAAAAUGAAUCUCCAAAUCAAUUAAUUCCAAUUAUAAUUACAUCUGUAAUUCAAGAGUAAUUCAAGUGAUUCAAGAACCCUUUGCAUAAAAAGAAAUAUUAUCUUUCCAAUAUAAUAUAAAGGACUUUGAGUAAUUGAUUCCAUAUUAUAGGAUAUAGUAUAUAUUCAAAAAUAGUGCUGGGCGCCUUGUAGAUUGUUUGAUAGGCUUUUGUGAGGAUGUAUUAGGUCCAGAGUAGCUUAACUAGUAUAGAGAGAGACAGAACCUGGACUGAGCAGGACAGAGUCUAGGGUAAUUGGCCAUUUCUUAGGAUGGAAAAUCCUCUACAGGUGGAAUGGGACAUCCAAUUAAAAUGUCCAUUAAAUUAAGACUUUUUAGGUAAAUAUGUAAUGAAUAUAGUAAGUAUCUAAUGAAGUUAGAUCCAGAAGGAAAAAUAUGGAAGUAAAAUAUUUGGGUAGUGGCAAAUCAGGAAAUAGAAUGAAUAACAACUUCAUAUUGCAAAUAUUCUUUUUAAUUUUUAGCAGAAACUCAGCCAAUCUCUGAGAAUGUGAGGACCAGGCUGAGAGGGAAAAAUAAUUGACAAGUACUUAGGAUUGUGCUAGGGUACCAAUCAAGGGUUUUAGAAUCCAACUCAGACCUCUGAGCCCCAGUGAGACUGCAAGGGCUCAUUAGCUAACUGAGUCAGAAAGCUGAAUGAAUAACUGAUAUUAUCAGAGAGGUAUUUUUGAAAAAAUGAUUGAUGAUAUUAUAGCCAGUGGGUUUAAGGAUAGAGAAGUAAAGGCAGGAAGAUGAGUUAAAGGGUUGCUUAAAUAACCACAUAAGAUACCAGAAUUGAACAGAAGACCUGGGGAGUGCCCAUGACAUUGUAGACAUUUCAGACGUGUAAUUGGCAUAAGAGUCCAUGAAGUGUGAAGCAAAGAAAAUGUGGCAAAUGGCCCAGAUAUCUGUAGCCUGACUGAAUGGACACUGUUUUAAUAUUGGUAGAAGAUGGUGAGUGUGUUUGGGGAGAGGGGAUGGAUAUUGGAGAAAAAGAGAUUUGGGAGAUAAUGUGAAGAAAUUAGGCACCUAAUAUCUUGAAAAUUCUGUUGCUAUAUCUAGAUUCAGUGCAAAAUAAUUAUUUAGAGAUAGGAAUCUGGAGAAAAGUCAGAUUAGAUAUACAUUAAAAAGUAAUGAUUGCAUACUAACCAGUUACACAAUAUUUUACAUAUGUUUCAGAAUCUUCUAUAAGAGGCCAUUUUUGAACAUAACUAUAUUGAUAAAUUAAUAAUAUAUUAUUUUAAAUAAUUUUAAUACCACCCUUCCCUUGAAAUAACUUAUGUUUAUACAAAAUGUAUUGGAAAGGAAAAUGGUUAAAAUCUCAUUAUUAUAUUUUGCAGUUUAUGAAAGCACAGAUUGGAUUAUCAUUAGAAGAGCUAGUUUUCUUACACCAAUUUAAAAUUUAUUUGCAGUUCCUUUCUUUUUGUUCUGAAUUAUUCAAAUAGCUGACGUUAUUUUUAAAGUGAUCACUUCUCCCUUUUGAAUAAAAGUCUGUUACUAGAGAUUAGUGCUUCAUACAUUAUGAACAGAACAGACAAAUGAGCUGCUCUAAAUAAUUGUAGUAUAUCAUGUUUUCCUUUUAAGUGAAAAAAAGAGUAGAAACAUGGCACUUACAUUUAGCUAUGUUUGCAAUAAGACAUGGCUAUAAACUCAUAGAUUUUAUUUCAAUUGUAAUAUUAAAAUGCAAACAUUCACAUGGGUUUUUAUGUACUAUAGUUUUUCAUGCUAGCAAGAAAAAUUGUGUUAAUAUUGGUUCAAUUUUAAUGAAGCAGAACAAAAGGUUGUAAAAUCUAUCAAAUACAUUUUAGCUAUUAAUAUCAGAGCAAGGUUUCUCUAUUGAAAGCCUGGCUAACUUUUACAUUAUUCUUAAGUUAUCUGUGAACAUGUAAUAAUUUAUUUUAUUUACAAUAAAUUCAGAAUUUACUUUUUUCCAAAUCAUCAACACAUCAAAAAUGUGCUCUUUUAAAAAUGUGAAUAUUUUUGAAGAUUAAAUAAAAUACUUUCAUAAACAUAAAAUUUAAAAGUCCAUGGUACUGCUGAGUUUAUUUUACUAGUCUACAUAUCUCAAAUGGCUGAAGUGUACCUAGAGAAGAUCUUUAAAGGAGAAAAUGUAAAUGGCUUUCUGGUUGGACUCUAGUGAGGUUGUCGAGAUUCACAGAAGACUGAAAGAUGAGAAAAGAUAAUGUGGAAUGAAAUAUAUGUUCUGUAACAUGAAUAUAUAUUUAGAAACCUGGAAGUAAUGGUAAUGAGUACAAAACUGGAAAAUUUGGCACAGUGGAUUAAUCUCAUUUUUAAUUUUUUAUGCUUUAAUUUUAAUUUUUGAUGUUUAAUUUUUUCUUUUAUGUUCAGUGAAAAUCAAGUAUUCAGUUUCAUUCACACCAUCUUCCAAUUGCUAUGCACUUUCUGGCACUGAUUAAAAUGGGAGAGGAAGAAGCGCUUGGUGUUAAUUCCCAUGGGUGUGUGUUUGGCAGUCUUGUGGUGUAACUCUUAUCUAUUUCCUGGGGAUUGCCUUUAUUUUCUUAAAGCUUAUUUGAUGAAAAUAUUACCAAACCUCAUAGCUACACAAAGAUGGCUUAGAAGGUUGCUAUUUCUAGACAAAGUCAUUGAAUCAUAAAAAUUUGAGACGUGUAAUACUUGGGACAUAUUUUUCGUAGGCUUUGGAGCAGGGCAAAAAUUGAAGAAAGGUUUCUGUCCACUACAUAGUUUGUUUUCCUCCUUCCCUUACCAACUAGUUGAUUUGGAAAAAGGAAGCAGAACAGAAUCAGAACAAGAAAUAAAAGAAAGGGAGGCAGAAGAGGCUUAAAAAUGGCAGGGUGUUCAAAAGGAGUUCAGCUAGGUGAGGGACAGAGGAAUGCAGUGAUUCUUCUAAGCAUGGUCUUUGGAGCCACUUAUUUUUCCCUCAUUUUGUUCAGAUCAGUUGAGUUCUCUAUCUGUCACUUUCCUCCUCUGUAAAAUGAAGCCACUAACAAUAGCAUGUUAGUCCAUGAGAAUUAGGUGACUUACUAUGUAUGAAACAUUUGGGAAAAGACCUGCCAUACUGAAAUUGCUGGGUGAGCAUUUGUUAAAUACAAAGUAAAGGGAAACUCAAAAGGCUAUUUGCUUUUGAGAGAUUUUGGAAUUAAGGCAGACAAAAAAUUAAAACAUGUACCCUAAACAGUACUUCAAAAGUAUUAGCUAGGCAGUUGGACCUUCAUAAUUUUGGUAUCUCUUGUGGCCUAGCAAUUCCAUCCAUGGGUACACAUGCCAAGGAAAUCCUCACGGUUUCGAUACAGGUGGCUCCAUGCAUUAAUGAGAAUGCUAAUUGUUAGUGCUUGCUUGGGUACUUAGUAUGUGCCGAAGUCUUUUGUGAGCAGUUUUUGUACAUUAACGCAUUUACCCCUCGGGCCAACUGUUAUGAGUAGACUGUUUUAUAGGGGAAGUAUUGAGGCCCAGAAAAAUGACUUGUUGAAGAUCACACACCUAGUCCAUCAGGGAUGAGAAAUUCAAGCCAAGACAAUCUGACCUGGAGUCUGGUUUUUACCUAUCAGUCAUAGAAAAUGGAAUGUCAGACACAGGGAAAGCCACUGACGGAUUCAUUCAGAAACGUUUACUCCACAAAGGGCCAGAAAAUAGAUAUGCCAAUGAAGCAAAAAUGGGGGGUUGGAGAGGAUGGUAUUCCCAAUCUCAAAAAGCUCAGCUUUUCUUGGAUGAGACAGACAUAUAAGCAAGAAUUACCAUUUAGUGAAGUAAGUGCUGAAGGUGCACAGAAAAUAGAGUUAACUUUUGUCCUUUCGUGUGUGGGGUUAAGGUAAAGACAUAGUAGAGAAAGGAGACUGUGAAUGGAAUCACUAAGAAGGUCAAGAAGUUUGAUAGGUACCAGGAUGGCUUUCCAAACAAAAGAACAUCUUUUAAAAAAUCAUAUGAAAAUGAUAUUUAAGUGUGAAAGCAGUGAGAUAAAAGAAAGGACAAUCUGUAAAAUUUGCAUAACAUAAAAAAGUCGUCAAAUUUAAGUAGGCUAUUAAUAAGAAGAUCCCACAUCAGAUUUUCAUUCUCUUUUAUUCCUAAGAAAUGUAGAGCCAAAAAUAGGGGCCAAAGGUGCAAGAGAAACAAGCAGCUCUGCAUUUUCAACUUCAGGGUUCCUUACUGUUCCCACUGUUCCUUCAGUGGACAAUAUCAAAUUCAAACAAAUACAGUUUCUUUCAACUCUGUUUCUCCAUGUGACUAAAUGUACUGUCACUUUUGUUUCUAUCUAUUCUGUACCCAGCUGCUGUUUUCUUUGUUUCUGAUGUUUCAACUCACUUAACAUUACUUUUUUGCUCAAACCUCAGUAUUUCUUACACCUGGAAAAAGAAAUGCUUGUUCUUGUAUUUUUCAAAUUCAUAGUGCUUUUGAUUUUCCACUUUUAUCCCCAAUUAGAUGUCUAAGGUCAUAUUUAAGCUUUUGUCCUCCUUGCUUUUUAUAAUUUGAGUAAAUUGCUUUUUUGUCCUUAAAAAUCUGUUAAUAAGUAUAUGGACUGGGGGGAGGAUAAUCCCUUUCAAAUUUAAAAUAUAAGCUUGUUACCUAAUAUUUCUGUAUAAAAGAAAUAAUGCCCACUGAUUUUAAAAUCAUUAUUUAAAUGUACAUAGGCUAGGGUUCUAAUGCAAAAAAUAUCUGCUGUGAUGGUUAGGAGGAAAACAAAUUUCAUAGCAUGAUAACAAACCCUCAGAGUAACGUUAACUCAGCAUCUCACGCAGAUUCGGUGGGAAGAAUGGAACUGCAGAUCAUCCAUCACUUUUGUAUCAUGACCUCUGCUGAAUCCACUAGCAAAGUCUGUGUUAUUGAAUCACAAUGACAGACCCAAAUACAAAUGUCACGACUUUGCUGUGUUCCCUGGGUCUUGCCACAUCACCAUCACCAUUUUAUAUUCCCUUCCUGGGGACGCUUGGGAAGAUUUAGAGGCUUUCAACCUAAUCUGACUGGCUCCACGCAAACACCUGGAGCUUUGCCAAGAGCUGAGCCCGAUUAUGUCAACAAGACGUCUCUGUCCACAGGGGACCUCCAGACGGGUAUGCAGGAGCUCUGGGAACUGCCAUGAAUUAGCUUUAUAUGCUCCAAGAGGCAAUUUCCUAUAAAAACAAACUUCAAAAGCUGCCAGAGGAAAUCGUUUCCCAUUGGAACUGGGCCUAGCUGGCGAUUGUCUUUAGCAACUGUGUCCUAAAUACACUUAGUAGUCAGUCCUCAGGACAUACCAUGCUUAGCACUUGGACUUCAGUUUCAAGACAGAACCAAAGCCCAAUUAACACGGCGCAGGUCAAAACACUCCUGUAAGAAAUGUGGAGCGCUGUUCAGCACCUGAUUAUUUAAGUUAUUGUUUUGAAGUUUGCUAAACAGAUAUUUUCUGAUCUCGACUUGAAGAGGGUUGCUCCUAUAACUUGAAAGAGGUCAUUCUUUUAAACAUUCUAUUAAACAUAGCAUCCAGAUUAAGCAAAGCACCAAGUACUCCUCAGUUCAUUAGUCUUUUGCUAAAGUGUUAAAUGGAACAGUGGGAAGCUUCACUUACAGGUAUGUUUAAAUAUUAGUGGCAUUUAACUUAAGACUUAUGCAUUUUGACUCUUUGCUCUAUUCUUUCCGAAAAGUGUUCUAACUGAAAGACCACCAGGAAGCUUAACUCUUAGAUUCCCCAACGUGCUAUGAAUUUGUCAUCUUAACAGCAGUUGGUUGGUGUUCAAUAGCUAAUUAUACAAGCAGCACAAUAUACUGACUUUUUGAAUGACCUAUAAAGCAAACACCUAGAGUUUGCAAUGAUUCUAGUGUUCUUCUGGGCUUUUACAAAAUUUAGAAAUACCCGUAAAUUGUAAUUUUGGGUAUGGUUUUAUAAUAUAUAUGCAUCCAAAAGUGCAUAAACAUUUAGAUUAUUAGGCAUAUAGAAAUUAUAUUCAGGAUAGUGAAUUGGCAAAUGUGUGUUAAGGGGAUACCAGAACAUAAAGACUAUGUGGAAAUAAAGAAUUCCAUAUUAAUGCAAAGGAAUGGAUUUGUAAAAGCUGAGUUUUUUUCACUUUACCACAAGGUAGAAAAAUAUAUUUUGGUAUUCUUUUCUUCCAUAGAAAAAUAUAUUUUGGUAGUGGUUUUACUGAACUUAAGUAUGUUAGCUAAUUUUCAGCUAUUUAAACAGGACAAGGUGGAGACACCUGGGUGACUCAGUGGGCUAAACGUCUGAUUUAGGCUCACAUCAUGAUCUUGCAGUUUGUGACUUUGAGCCCCAAGUCAGGCUCUGUGCUGACAGUUCAGAGCCUGGAACCUGCUUCAGAUUCUGUCUCCCUCUCUCUCUGCCCCCUCCCCCACUCAUACUCAGUCUUUGUCUCUCUCUGUCUCUCUCACAAAUAAAUAAACAUUAAAAAUUUUUAAAAAAAUAAACAAACAAUACAAGGUGAAACUAGUCAUGGUUAGGUCAUUUCUGUUACUAAUCACCUAUUCUAUUUUCAUACACAACCAAGGAAGAAUUUGUUCAAAUUUCAAGUUUACAAAAAUGGUUCUCUGUAAAAGGCCUACUCUGCAAACAUUAUCAGAUACCAGUUACCUUACACAAUUGUGACCUCUUUUCUAUAUGAAAUUGCUAACUUAAACUAAAAACUAUAUGUAGAAAAAGGGAGGAAUGUUACAAUCAUUUAUUCAUUCAUCUAUUAAAAAUCAUCAAACAUGUACCCCAGUUAAAAUAAUGUUCCUGGCUGUUUGAGGAAUACAAAGAUAAGAAACAGUGCCUACCUUCAAUGUGGUCGUAUUUCCCUAAUAGGAAGGACAGGUACACAGUAGGUAAAGAAAGAAAAGAAAAAAAAAGACAACAAAAAACAGAAUUUGAUACUGGCCACAAGAAGGAAAAUAAUAUGAGAGGAAGAUGAGAGUAUGAUUCCCGUGGCCUUGAGAUGGAGAGAGGAUCAGCCAGGAUGUUAUGGGGGAGUUGGCAUUUCCAAUGAUGCCCACAAGCAGAAGUUAUACUUCUAGAAAUAUGAGUAAAGGAAGGAGAAAAGUCAACAGGAUUAGUAUGGUCAAGAUAAGACCUGGGCUCCAGGGAGGAGUUUCACUUUAGUUUUGUUAGAAAGAAGAAAGAAAGAAACAAGAUGGGCGCAUUCUCUGUUACCGUGAGGAAUCAGUAAGGAGCAUCACAGCUCUCUUUGGGGUAGUUUACCAAGUAUUAAGGUGUAGGAUUGUUGGGAAAGGAAAGAUCGAUAAGCUGGGACACUGCUUGGUGAAGUGUUUGAUUUAGAAUAAGGGCACUGUGAAUGAAAAGAAAGAAACACUUUGAGAUGCAAAAAGACUUGAUAACUGAUUCUUUUAUGGUGUGAAGAGGCAAGGCAUUCAGAUCUCGACCAGAGGGACUUAGAGCUUAUUGGUUCCAUCAACUAGCUUAAGGACAAGAGGAAGGAUACUGAUGGCCUUAGAAAUAAACUCAGCGCUAUGCAUGAUUAGUGUAGUGCUGAUAUAUCAUCCAGUGGCUUAAAGACCUUGGGAAAGGGGCCAGGACCAGAGAAACAUUGGGUAGUCAUCUGAUUUGAGCUAAUGUUUAAACAUCUCUGAGUUGAUAAUAACAGCUGUUUUAUAAGAUAACAAUCAUGAGAAAAAAAUACAUUUUUAAUUUUAUUUGAUUAAACAUUUGGGAAAAGGAUUUAGGUAUUAUAACCUAAAUUUCACCAAAUGGGAUCAUCCUAUAUUGAGACUGAGAAAUGAAUAACCAUUACUCGUAUCUAUAUAUACUCAUUCAUGUAUGGCACAUACUAAAUAUAAACAUAUAUCAGUAUAUGUGAAAACUAUUUCUAUAGAUUUGAUUUUGCAUAAAUGUCUAUGAAACAUUAGUAAUUAGAACUUAUCAUUUAAAGUAAAGCUUAGGGGAAAACAUAUGGUAUUAUAGUGAGUUUAGAUUUUUGCAAGGUGUUUUAAAUACUAUUGAAUCCAAUCAUUCUAAUUCUGUUUUAGUUGUUCGUCACCUUUAAAUACACUAAAUUGUAUAUAAAAUUGUAUAUGCUCUAAGUUUAUUAUACGUUUUACUUUUUGAAUGUGAUCAGACAUGAACAAUUUUUAUUUAUAAUCUUUAAAGAAUGAUUUGUGUCUUGGGUUAGAUUGUGUUCUUCUCAGCCAGCUGUGCUCCUAUACCCUUUGUGUACUGUUAUUGUAGCAAACAGAAUUUUUUUUUUGAGGUCGUUGAUCAGUUACUGUCAUUCUUUAACUCUGUGAAAAUUGAGUGGUCUCCUGUGGUUUGGUCUGAACCCAGUAACACAUUUAAGCAACUGUGUGAAGAGAAAACAAAUGUAUUUGAAACAAUUCCCUAUAAUUUUAUAUAUAUAUAAAACAUUUCCCCAUAAUUUUAUAUAUAUAUUAUAUAUAUAUAAAGAUGACAUACAAGGAAUUAUGUAGCCUUUUUGAGCUUUUGUUUUUUUCCACUGAUGUUUUCAUUAUAUCGCUCAACUGAUAGAGAUCUGUUAGCAGUGUUGUCCCAGAAGAUAAGAGCUUAAGAGGGUAAAAUCUAUGUUUAAAUUCCCCCAACCCCCGGACUGUAACCCCAGUAUACUAAUAGUGACAUACAAAUCUGAGGCUGAAAACCAGCCACUCAUCACGACAAUUAAUUUGGAUGCAUCUUAAUAUACAGGCCCAUUUCUCAGUCUCAGAUUUAAUUUGGUGCUUCAGAUGAAAUCCUAUUUGUGAAAAUCAAAUGGAAGUCAACUGAAGAUUAGGCUUUUCUGCUGUUUAAAUGUCCUCAGCUUUGAUAUGACACCAGUGUGCCAUCUAGGUUUUAUUUCCGUAUCCCUAUCCCUACCUCUCCAUCUCAGAGAUCAUUUCUUCCUGCCAGUUAACAAACACAAGUGGUGCACAAGAAUUAGUAUGCUCGUCACAGCUGCUAUCAUUUUGGAAUUCUCUCGUAACAACUUAGAACGUAAAAGGCGAGGAAAACAUCGCCUGCUUAGUGCAGCUUAAUCUCUCGGAAGAUUGGUGUCCAGAAGCCACACCUCAUACUUUAUACUGUCAAUUUUAAAAAGGCUUUUAGCUUGAAACAAAAAGAAGUCGAAGGUGUUUUUUUUUUUUUUUUAAAUGUAGAAUGCUGCAUAACAGUCAGUAGAAAUGAUCAUUCACAUUUUGGAUCAACAACCUAGCAUGCACCAAAGAUCUGUAUGACAGAAAGAGAUACCACUACACCCAAAGAACUCCUCAUCUGCAGCAUGCACCUGUCUAUCGAGAGCCUGACUCUAUGUAACUCAUAUUCCUCUUCCAUCUAGUUUCUGUUUGUAACAAACCAUGCUAUAAAUUCAUAUCUUUGCUUUAACCUACCCAAGGGACCUCACUUUUGUAAUAGCUGCAGCUGUUUCCAUUUAAUGUGUUUUCUAUUAAUGUUUUUACUUUGAUGUUUGUGCCCCAGGCGCAAAGUUUGUGAAAGGUAUAAUUUGAAAAGUUGAAGUUAAUAAAAAAUAUUCUCUAGCUUUAAUAUAUAUAUGUGCUAAUCAUCUUAAACUCAUUCUCUUUUUCCUAGAAAAAAAGUUUUUUUCAAAGUUAUUUAUGUAAUUGUGAAAACCUAUCAAGUCUUUAUUUAAGAUAUCUUCAGUCAUUUAUUGGCCGUGGAUCAAUUAAAGUUUCUAAAAUUUAGACAUUUUGAAUUUCAGAGAAGUGAUCCACUAAUUUUACUGUGUUGACAGCUACAACUAGGGUAUAGGACCUUGAUUUAAAUACCCAUGUCUUGGGGCGCCUGGGUGGCGCAGUCGGUUAAGCGUCCGACUUCAGCCAGGUCACGAUCUCGCGGUCCGUGAGUUCGAGCCCCGCGUCAGGCUCUGGGCUGAUGGCUCAGAGCCUGGAGCCUGUUUCCGAUUCUGUGUCUCCCUCUCUCUCUGCCCCUCCCCCGUUCAUGCUCUGUCUCUCUCUGUCCCAAAAAUAAAUAAACAUUGAAAAAAAAAUUAAAAAAAAAAUAAAUACCCAUGUCUUAUAACUCAGAACUUAAUCUCUUGAACCUUUUUCAUAAUAUAAUUAUAAAUAAUACCUUUGAUUAUAUGUUAUAUAUUUAUGAGUAUACAUAUAUUAAUAUUUUAUCUUCCAUUCAUAUUAUAUUUAAUUAGAAUAUAUUUAUGACUUAGCUUUGAGAGCCUGGAGAUGAUGUUUAUUUAUGGAAAUAUAUUUAAUGUGACCUGCUCGUUUUUGGAGAAGUCAAUAGUGGAGGUGUGUUAAUGACCACUGACAAACCAGCCAAAUUGCCUAAGGUAAGUAGCCAUUAGCCUUUUAAAAAAUCAAGUGGAAUUUGAGCCAUCAUGAAAUCACUAGUUUAACCAGACAGUAUUUGUUUCCCUUCAUAUCCGUGGUCCUUCACUGCUAGUCACUGAGAAGCAAAGCACAUGCUGCAUAUUUUGUCUCUUGCUCCAAGGAUUUGCUCUGGCUUUAUUUACAUUAAGGUUUCAAUGACGGUUGUGUAAUAUUUAUAACCCCGCUUGGCCAGUUCAUGCUGUUUUGUUUUCCUCUCAACAAACUCAAAACCAAAGUAAUAAAAAGUUGGAACAAUUUCCUUUUCUUUUAUAUGAUUUUUAUAUGUUGUAGCCUUAGGGUUGAAUGUAAAUGAGUUAUUUUUUAAUAUAAACUUUAGAUUUUUAAAAUUUUUUUUAACGUUUAUUUAUUUUUGAGACAGAGAGAAACAGAGUAUGAACAGGGUAGGGGCAGAGAGAGAGGGAGACACAGAAUCUGAAACAGGCUCCAGGCUCUGAGCUGUCAGCGCAGAGCCCGACGCGGGGCUCGAACUCACGGACCGUGAGAUCAUGACCUGAGCCGAAGUCGGCCGCUUAACCGACUGAGCCACCCAGGCGCCCCUAAACUUUAGAUUUUUGAAUAAAGAUUUGCUAAGUUUAAAAUGGGCUGUAAACUUGAGAUUUUGGAAUAAAUUCUAGAACUUAGAAUUCUCGGACGAAUGUAUAGUUUUUUAACAUUUCAAAGGGAUAUCUUUUUCUCUCACUUUUUUAAGUUAACUUUACGGAGUCAUUAAUUUUAUACAGUGGAACCACCCUUUUCAGUGUACAGUUGCUGUAUGUUCAACAAAUGGAUACAGUUCUACAGUUACACGAUCAGAAUACGGAGCAUGUCUAUCAUCCCCAAUAAUUCCCUCUGCCCCUUUAUUGUUGACCCCACCCCCAAUCCCAUCCCUUGGUAACUUCUAAUCUGAUUUCUGUCCCAAUAUUUUUGCCUUUUCUAGAAUGUCACAUAAAUAGAAUCUUACAUUGUGUAACCUUUUGAUUCUGGCUUUUUACUUGUCUUUCAUUUUUAAUAAUGUCAUUACUAGUUUCUUUUUAUGGCUAUUGACAACAUCUAAUGGAGACAGACAUCCUUAUCAAAUGUGGCUGUGGUAGGAGGUAUAUUUUUUAACUCAACUCACCUAAGUGAUAAAGAAACGUGUUUGUUCUCCUCAAAUUAUUACCAGUAUUUUGAUAUAUGGCUUACAAUAAUUUUUUUUCUUUUUAAAUUUAUUUUUUUAUUAAAAUACAGCUUAGUUAACAUAUAGAGGAAUAAGGAUUUCAGGAAUAGAAUUUAAUGAUUCAUCACUUACAUAUAACACCCAGUGCUCAUCCCAAGUGCCCUCCUUAAUGCCUAUCACCCAUUUAGUCCAUCCUCCCCCCCAACACCCUGCCAGCAACCCUCAGUUUGUUCUCUGUAUUUAACAGUUUUUAUCUUUAAAAACCACCCUCCCUCUCUGUUUUUAUCUUAGUUUUCUUUCCCUUCCCCUAUGUUCAUCGGCUUUGUUUCUUAAAUUCCACAGAUGAGAGAAAUCAUAUGAUAUUUAUCUUUCUCUAAGUGACUUAUUUCGCUUAGCAUAAUACACUCUAGUUCCAUCCACAUUGUUGCAAAUGGCAAGAUUUCAUUCUUUUUGAUUGCUGAGUAAUAUUCCAUUGUAUAUAUAUACAACAUCUUCUUUAUCCAUUCAUCAGUUGAUGAACAUUUGGGCUCUUUCUAUACUUUGGUUAUUGUUUAUAGUGCUGCUAUAAACAUUGGAGUGCAUGUUUCGAGUCAACACUCCUGUAUCCUUUGGAUAAAUACCUAGUAGUGCAAUUGCUGGAUCAUAUGGUAGCUCUAUUUUUAAUUUUUUGAGGAAACUACAUACUGUUUUCCAGAGUGGCUGCACAAGUUUGCAUUCCCACAAGCAGAGCAGAAGAGUUCCUCUUUCUCCACAUCCUCGUCAACAUCUAUUGUUGCCUGAGUUAAUUUUAGCCAUACUGACAGGUGUAAGGUGAUAUCUCAUUGUGGUUUUGAUUUGUAUUUCCCUGAUGAUGAGUGAUGUUGAGCAUCUUUUCAUGUUUCUGUUAACCAUCUGGAUGUCUUCUUUGGAAAAGUGUGUAUUCAUGUCUUUUGCCCAUUUCUUCCCUGGAUUAUUUCUUUUUUGGGGUGUUGAGUUUGAUAGGUUCUUUAUAGAUUUUGGAUACUAAUCCUUAUCUGAUAUGUUGUUUGCAAAUAUCUUCUCCCAUUCUGUUGGUUGCCUUUUAGUUUUACUGAUUGUUUCCUUCACUGUGCAGAAACUUUUUAUCUUGAUGAGGUCCCAAUAGUUCAUUUAAUUUUUUUUUUUACAUUUAUUCAUUUUUGAGAGGCAGAGAGAUAAGAGCAUGAGUGGGGGAGGGGCAGAGAGAGAGGGAUACACAGAAUCAGUAGCAGACUCCAGGCUCUGAACUGUCAGCACAGAGCCUGACAUGAGACCAUGACCUGAGCUGAAGUCAGACACUUAACUGACUGAGUCACUCAGGUGCCCUCCCCCAUACUUCAUUUUUGCUUUUGUUUCCCUUGCAUCCAGAGACAUGUUGAGUAAAAAUCUGUUGCAGCCGAGGUCAAAGAAGUUGUUGCCUGUUUUCUCCUCUAGGACUUCGUUGGCUUCCUGUCUUGCUUAUGUUUAGGUCUUUUAUCCAUUUUGUGUUUAUUUUUGUAUAUGGUGUAAGAAAGUGGUCCAGGUUCAUUUUUCUGCAUGUCAUUGUCCAGUUUUCCCAAUACUAUUUGCUGAAGAGACUGUCUUUUUCCAUUGGAUAUUCUUUCUUGCUUUGUCAAAGAUUAGGUGGCCUUAUCUCUGUGGGUCCAUUUCGGAGUUCUCUAUUCUGUUUCAUUGAUCUAUAUAUCUGUUUUUGUGCCAGUAUCAUACUAUAUGUUUUGAUGAUUACAGCUUUGUAAUACAGCUUAAAGUCCAUAAUUGUGAUGCCUCCAUCUUUGUUUUUCUUUUUCAACCUGACUUUGGCUAUAUGGGGUCUUUUCUGGUUCCAUAAAAAUUUUACGAUUGUUUGUUCUAGCUCAGUGAAGAAUGCUCAUGUUAUUUUGAUAGGGAUUGCAUUGAAUAUGUAAGAUUGCUUUGGGUAGUAUCGACAUUUUAACAAUAUUUAUUCUUUCAAUCCAUGAGCAUGGAGUGUUUUUCCAUUUCUUUGUGUCUUCUUCAAUUUACUUCAUAAGCUUUCUAUAGUUUUCAGUGUAUAGAUCUUUUACCUCUUUGGUUAGAUUUAUUCCUAGGUAUUUUAUAGAUUUUUAGUACAAAAAAAUUUGCCUAUUUGUAUGCCCUUUAUUUCUUUUUGUUGUCUGAUUGCUGAGGCUAGUACUUCCAAUACUAUGUUGAAUAAUAGUGGUGAAAGUGGACAUUCCUGUCUGUGUUCCUGACCAUAGGGGGAAAGCUCUCAGUUAUUCACCAUUGAGGACAAUAUUACCUGUUGGUUUUUUUAUUGUUUUUUGUUUUUUUGUUUUUUGUUUUGUAUAUGGCCUUCAUGAACAUUUAAGGAACAAUCACUGUGGAUCUUCAGGGUACAUUUAAUAAUUUAUUCAAAUUCCUUUAAAAAAGUUUUUUUAUUCUAUGCCUUCUCUCUGAUUCCCUGCACUCUUUGUCACUUUUCCUUAGUAUACUAUGUUAGUGUUGACUAAGACAGAUGAGUGAUUUAUGGACAUCUUAAUUAUUUUAGCUUUUUCCUACUGUUCUGAAACAUCAUGUACUGAUAGACUUAAAAAACAAUGAUUUUCUUAGAUAAUUAAUGGUAUGUAGUAUUGUUUAUAGAUGCUGCUGGUUUUACCUCAAAAUGUUGAUUAAAUAGCAUAAUUAAAAGACUCGUGUGUUGGAGAAGAAAUAUAAACUUUUAUAACUAGGGGCAGACUUAGUAUUUAGUCCUGUUUUCAGUAAUGUUGUCAUUAGUUUAAUUUUGAAGUGCUGUAUUUAUAUUUAUCUCCUGAAGUGGUUACAUCACAGGAAUUUUGGAAUUAUUUUGUGUUUAGGAUAAAACUGACUACCACAUAGGACUUUGAAGUCCCAAAUUGUGCCUUGAUUUACCUCUAUAUACUACAGGUAUACUGAUUUUCAUUUAUGCUUUCAUUUAUCCCUACAUCAGCCCUGUAAAUUAGUUAUUAGUACUUUCAUGUUUUAAACUUAGUAUUCUAUGUUAUUUCUUCUGUUCUGUGUGCCAGUAUCUUCCUCAGAUGUUGUUAAGAUACUGGCUUGAAUUUAAUUAGUAAGUGAAUAUGUUUGCAAUUUUACUUCUAAGAAACUGGAUAGAGAGAAGAGAUGAGAUCUAUUUUUAUAUUCAGUAAAUUUUUUUUAAAUAAUGGUUGGUUUUAUUGUUUAAUUACUAAUUAUUGAUAAUGUGAUCUCUGGGGAAGUAAUUUGUUUUUGUCUUUUAUUUGUUUAAUUUUUAAAGGUUUAUUUAUUUAUUUUGAAAGAGAGAGAGAGCGAGUGGGGGAAGGGCAGAGAGGGAGGGAGAGAGAGAAUCCCAAGCAGGCUCCAUGGUAACAAUGUGGAGCCUGAUGCGGGGCUUGAACUCACAAACCGUGAGAUCAUGACCUGAGCUGAAUCAAGAGUUGGAUGCUUAAGUGAGCCACCCAGGCACCCCUUUUUCUGUCUUUUAGUAAUGUCCUCUAACUGUCCCAUGGGAGCAAAAGGGACUAUCAUCCUUACUGUCCCUGUUCAUUAUUUUUAGCUGAAUCUCUUUGUUACCCAUUCAUUAAUUAACAUUUAAAACAACUCCAUUGCUUAAAAUAGAACAUGGAGAAAUAUGAACUCUUGAUUCGCUUUCCACCAUUUCCUACCGUCUUUGUUUAGGCUUAGCCAUCUCUUGUAAAUGGUGCACAAUCACCCAGUUUCUCCAUGUUUUUGGAUGUGUUCACUCCACAAAUCCUAACUAUCAGCAAGUCCUGUCUACACCACCUUCAAAAUAUAACCCACACCUCAGCAUUUUCUCUACCUCAGUCACCACCACUCCCCAGGUAUAAUUUACCAUCAUCUGGUGCUCAGAGUAUCCUUUUCUAUUCUUGCUGUCCAAAUUACCAUAAACUUAGAGGCUUAAAACAACACAAAGUUACCUAUGAAAUUUCAAAAUCAGUUUCGCUGAUCUAUAGUCAAGAUGUCAGUGGAUUGUUCCUUUUGGAAAUGCUGGGGAAGAGUCUGUUUGCUUGGUUUUUCUUACUUCCUGCAUCCCUAACUGGUGACCCAUUCUUUGCAGCACUCCAGUCUCUGGCUUCACAUCUCCUACCACCCUCUGAGUCAAUUCUCCUUUUGCCUCCGUUUUUCAAAAACACAUGUAAUUGCUGGUAAUCCAGGGUCAUUAUCCCACCUCAAGAAUCUUCAUCACAUCUGCAAAGUCCCUUUCGUCCUAUCAGGUAGCAUUCACAGUUUGCAGGGAUGAGGACUUGCAUAUUUUUGGGAGUCAUUACUCAACUUACCACAGCCCUGAAUUGCUUUGCAGAAACCAAAACUUAAACUUUUUAUAUGCUUUGAGUUUUUUGCUUCUUCUUUCUGUCCAGAAUAUGGUCUCUUUUCAUCAUUUAGGUCUCUGCUCAAAAGCCAUUUCUUCAGAGAGAUCUUUCCUGACUCCAUAUUUUAAAAGUCUCCUCCUCUUCCCUUUUCGCUCUUUAGUUCUGUAUUAUUUUCUUCACAGCCCAUAUAACUCUGAUAUUAUUUUAUUUGGAUUUAUAUGUAAUUGACUCCACCACCAUAAGACAGGGUUUUUAUCUUGUUCAUUGAUGCAUUCCCUGGAUUAACUAUAUUGGCAAGAACAUAGUAAUCUCUUUAAUACAUAUUGAGUAAACAGUAUAUUAUUCCAAUUACAAAGGAGUGAAAACUGAGACUCACAGGUGUUAAUUGUUUGAGAUCACAGAUCUAGUAGUGUAGAAAUGAGAUUUCAUCUCAGAUUUUUCUAACUUGAAAAUCCACAUUCUUUAUAUUGCCUCUUUCUUUUUAAUGGAAUUUAAUCAUGACCUUUAUUAGUAUGCAUCUACAUUAGCCACAACAAGAAGAACCAAACCCAGAACAGACAUCAUUUGCAUUUUUUCAGGGAAUCCUGGAGAGUAAUAUGCUAAUAAGUGCUAUUGUCAGUGCUUUCCUGACAUUGUGCCAUUUUGGAAUCCAUUCUAUGACCAUGUGGUGAAUUCAAGCUCAGGGAAUGAUUUAUGUAAGUCCUUGAAUAUGUUAUACAAUAUGGUCUUUAACAUGCAAGUUAUCUUUCUAUCAUCCUAAAAAUGAUUCUGGAAUGUUAAAUGCACUCAUUCUUUGGGUAGUUUUAUUGAAAUCUUUAAGGAGUCUCUAGGUUUUAAUUUGAUACUAGAAAUGUAAUUUUAUACAGGUAAUGCAUUUUACUAAAUUUACUGUUUCUUUAAGGAUAAAUAUUAAUGCCUUACCAAGUCAAUGAUUAUGAUCAAUAUGCAAACACUUAGUAUAAUAUUUUAAAUAAAUGAGAAUAGCUUCCUUCUAUAGUGUCAUGUAUUUUGUGAUUUCUUUUGGCACCAUUUAUUUUAUCAAGCUGGUUGUCUAUCAGCCAAAUUCUUGAAUAGACGCGUUCAUGUGGAGUAGUUGCAUGGGUGUGUGAGAAAACAGGAAUUUCAUCAUGUUGAUUUUGUUGAGAUAGUCGACUUUUAUCACUACUUUGGCAAUUUUGAUUUAGCUAAACAGAUAACCUAACAAACUUGCAUUAAACUUUGUUAAAGCUUUUGAAAUACCCUGCUUCAUGAUACUGAGAAUUUAUACAAGUAAAGUUUAGUACUGGUCCUCAAUGCUCCUCAAAUAUGCUAUGAAAAAAAUACAAUGUAUCCUAAAGUAGCAAGUACAUUUGCAUUUGUUCCAUGUGUCCUUUAGUGACAGGCCAUAUGGAAUGAAAGCAUUCUAGAACCAUGUUUCUCUUUCAGAUGAUUAGAAAAUGCUAGCAAAUUAAAAUUAAAGAAUGCCAUGUUGUAGAUUAUAACAGAAUAAACAUAAGUAUCUUAAAUUUAUGGGGCUAUUUUAUUCCUGAAGAGUUUAGCCUCUAUUCUUAAUUUGUUGACUAUGCUGAUAAUAGAAGUCUCCUGUGGCUUGAAAUCUUUAGUGUUGGGCCACAAAGAAAGCUACAAAAACCCAUCCUUUUAUGUGGGUAUAAUCUUUUGGAUGGACUUCAGACUUUGGGAUAUUUCUGGAAUAUGUUCCAUUCUCUCACCUUGCUCAUUUUUUUGAAUUAGAAAAUCAAGUUUAAUAAUCCUAUGUCCAAUUGGACUUAACAUUUUUUGAACAUUUAGCUAUAUACAUAUUAUUUCAAGCAAAGGAAAGUGGAAUUAAAAAUUUAGUCCAAGCUACCUUUGACAAGUCAAAGAAUAAAUUUUGUUGAAAAUAUCUUAGUAUGUUAAGACAAGUUGUUAAAAAAUAGAUUUGAAGUAGUUAAAUCGAUUCAAUAGAUUGCAAUUUUGUAUUAAUAAAUAAAAUGUUUUUAAUGGCUUAAGUUGAAUUGAUUAAUUUUGACUAUUUAAUAAAUAAUGAAAGGGAUUUUUGGAUACAAACAACUAAGGCUCUAACAAAGUUGCUUAGGUACCAUUCAUUUGAGAAGUCCACAUGGUGCCUUCCUAGGAAGAAUGUUUCAUAAAUAUUACAUGUUUUAUAAAUUUUGGUUGACUGGGUGAACACAUAAGAUGAGAUAACUGCAUAGAAAAGGAAAUCAGAAAACCUGACAUUUUUGAUGACUGAUGUAAUAUAGUGUCAGAGAAAUGAGUUUUGUUCACUAAAACAAGUUCUUUGUGGUCUGAAACUAAAAUAUACUGCAAAUAUCCUGGACAAUUUUAUGAGCUCUGUCUAAAAUUACUUAGAAUGUUUAAUAUUUAAUAUUAGGGCACAGUGGCUGAGAUGAACCAAAAUAUGCUUUGAGAAUAGGGUGAGAUUUUAAGCAUUCUCAAUAACUAAUCUGUGUUCCUGAAAGAUCAAUGCAUUAUCACAUGCAGUUAACAUUAUAUUAAGAUGUCUUAUGAAAAUUCGUUAUCAAAGGAAAUCCUUGGCUAACCCUUUGAUAUAAAGAAGCAACUUGCAAAAUUGUUACUUUCACUCUAUAUUAUAAAAUCUCUAUUUUAAUUAUUUAAUCUAUGUUUUUUCCCUAUAUAUUCAUGGCUUAUUUAUUAAAAUCUGCCUAUACUUAAUUAAAUAUUUUGAAGGGAUUGUCUUUAUAAAUGAUACUUUAUACUUUUUUUAAAAUUUUUUUUAACGUUUAUUUAUUUUUGAGACAGAGAGAGACAGAGCAUGAACGGGGGAGGGUCAGAGAGAAGGAGACACAGAAUCUGAAACAGGCUCCAGGCUCUGAGCCGUCAGCACAGAGCCCGACGCGGGGCUCGAACUCACGGACCGCGAGAUCGUGACCUGGCUGAAGUCGGACGCUUAACCGACUGAGCCACCCAGGCGCCCCAAUACUUUAUACUUUUUGCAUUAAAUUGGAAACAUGUAUAUAAUGCCCCGUUUUUAUUCAUUUUUUUCAAAAAAAUUUUAAUGUUUAUUUAUUUUUGAGAGAGAGAGAGAGAGCGAGCACAAAUGGGGAGGGCAGAGAGGGAGACACAGAAUCUGAGGCAGGCUGCAGGCUCUGGACUGUCAGCUCAGAGCCCAAUGUGGGGCUUAAAUUCAUGAGCCAGGAGAUCAUGACCUGAGUCGAAAUCAGAUGCUUAACCGACCGAGCCACCCAGGAGCCACUAUAAUGCCCCGUUUUUAAAUGGGGCAUGAUUCAGUAUGCUGUCUUUGUUAGAUAUGUGAAAAUACUGUAAUCAUAGAAAUGACUUAAUUUUUAUAUUUUAAUAAUUAUGGAAAACUAAAAACGUAAACAUAUUAAAAGUAGAGUCACUUUUUCUGUUUAGCAUAUAAAUAUAGUCUCAAAUUCCUUUACAUAUAUAAUUUUUAGUAUUGUUAAAUUUAUAAUCUAAUAUGAGAUAGAAUACAUUUCUAUUUCUCAAUAAUUUUACAUGUCUUUAAUAUUUUACAUUGCAUUAUUAAAUGUAUAGAUGAGUGUAUACUACAGGCUCUAAAAACUCAAAACUAUUUGAAAUAUAUGUUAAAGUCUCACAAUACAGUUCUUAUAUACAAAUAUAUGAAUAAUAGCCAUAUGGUACAUAGGUAGUAGCUUAUAUCCAUCCAGAAUUCAGAGAAGUCAAUUGUCUUUAUUUAAAACAUAUCUUUUAAAAGUAAUAAUGAAAAUCAAUAAUAGGUUAAUGAUUUAAAAACUCUAAGGUAUCACAAAUUCAGACUAAUUUCUUGUUCAACAUAGCUGUAACACUGCAUAGUAAAAACUUCUAUUCAUAAUUAUGACUGAAACAUGUCAAUAAUUGAAAGUAGGAUUUGCUUGAUAUGAUACAAAUUCUAAAUCUUUGAAUAUUGGUCAUCCAUUAAGCAUAUACAUUUUAACUUUUUAACCAAUUUCAUCAGAGAUAUUCAUUCCCUAGUAAUUAUGGAUAAAUUUGAAAUUACUGAGCCUGCUGUAUACUCAAGAUCUGCAUGCAGAGACAAAAGUAAAUACAUGAAGUAAAUAAAUCCUAUACAUAUGUUUAUGUGUGUAAAUAAAAAAUUCCAAUGUGCCUAUGUAUUAAAUGAAACAUAUUAACACUUGAUCCUUAAACAACACAAGGUUGAACUGAAUGGGUCCACUUACACGUGGAUUUUUUUUAAGCUUUAUUCAUUUAUUUUUGGAGAGUCAGAGAGCACAUGUGCAAGUGGGGGAGUGGUGGUGAGAGAGGGAGAGAGAAUAUCCCAAAUAAUUCAGAGCCUGACCCUGGGCUUGAUCUCACAAACCGUGAGAUCAUGGCCUGAGCCUAAAUCAAGAGUUGGAUGUUUAACCAAUUGAGCCACCACGGUGCCCCGGAUUUUUUUUUUUUUUUUAUAAAUGCAGUAUAGUACUGUAAAUGUAUUUUCUCUCCCUUAUAGUAUUCUUAUUAACAUUUUCUUUUCUCUAGUUUAUGUCAUUAUAAGUAUAUAGUAUGUAAUACAUAUAACAUACAAAAUAUGUGUUGAUCAACUGUCUAUGUUAUCAGUAAGGUUUCCAGUCAACAAUAUACUAUUUGUAGUUAAGUUUUUGGGGAGUUAAAAGUUAUAUGCAGAUUUUCCACUGCAAGGGGAGAUAGGAUGGUGUCCCAUACCCUCCCCACCACCACCCAUGAGAGUCAAAUGUAUGCUGUUAGUAUCUGGAGGGCAUUAUGCCUAGCAAAAUAAAAAAGAAAGUAUGUUAUCACCUACAUGUGGAAUAAAAAAAAAAAAGGCCAAUUUCACAUAAGCAAAAUAGAAUGGUGGUUACCAGGGGCUGAGGAGAAAGGGAAACAGUGAGAUACAUCAAAGGGUACACAUUUUCAGUUGUAAGAAACAUAAGUUCUAAGGGUCUAAUGAACAGCAUGGACUAUGGUAUUGUAUACUUGAAAGCUGCUGAUAGUGGAUCUUAAGCAUUCUCACAACACACAGACAAAAGUUACCUAUAUUAACUAAUGCAAAGUGAUGAUUGUGUUCAUUAUCUUGGUCUUGGUGAUCAUUCUAUAAUGUAUAUGUAUAUCAAAUUAUCACAUUGUACACUUUAAAUAUACAUAAUUUUAUGUCAGUUAUUCCUCAAUGAAGUUAAAAGAAAAAGAAUGAAAAGCUAAGGGACUAGUGAGCUGACUCAUGCUGCUUUAUACUGACAUGUUCAAAUUAUUGAUAUAGAUUGAGGCAUAAAAUUCAAUAAUAAAGAAAACAACUCUCAACAUUUUAUAAAAGCAGUGUUCAUAUAGUAUGCAAUUUUGAGUAGUCAGUUGACAUAAAAUCAUAUAGACAAACUCAGUAAGAAAUCUGUGAAAAUAAAUGUGCAAGAUAAAAGAACUAUCUCCAGGCCAAAUUAACAUGUUUCUUAGCUAAAUCUUCUAGACAUGUUGCUAAUUAUUUCCAGUUAUGAUAUUACGGCACAUUGGGAAUUGAGUGCACCACAAAAAUCCUCACAUAAGGAUAACAAUUUCAUACAGGAACAAUUAACAGAUGUUUUUAUUUUUAAGUUGGGGAUUCUGGUCACAGAGUUUGUAGAACUGCUAUGAAAUUAGGAUGACUUAAUAAAAAAAAAGUUCCUGCAUCAUUUACCACUCCAAAUUUAUUUCCUCCAGAAAAUAAAUGGUCUGGUUUACUCUCUUAAGGAUGCCAUUUAAAAUACUGCCUUUUUCUAUGAAAACUGACUAAGUACUUGGUAGAAGAUAUGUUGUGCCAUUGCUAGUGAAGUAUGACUCUUAUGAGUUUGGCUUCCAGAAAGUCUCAGAGGGAUAUAAAAUGGUCCGUUUAGCUUAUGUUUAUAUAAACCCUAUUACUCUGUAAGGUUCAAAAAGGAAUAGCUACUAUAUUUCUGUGAUUCAAUUUUCCUCUUGUUGCCUAUUUCUUUUUGAUCCUCUGAAGUAUCUUCAUUUUUUCCUAAUCCAGAGGUCUAAGAGAGAUCUGAGUAGGAAAACAUGAUUGUACUUAUUUAUCUAGUGUAAAAUACUGCUUUCAGCUGAACAUAAAAAUGGAGAGAAACAUUUCCACCUUUAACGUGCAAUUGUACAACAAAGAAUUCAUGGUCACCAGAGAUACAAAAGUUUUACAAAAUAGAAAUAACUGAAGACAUAGAGUUCAAUCUGAAUUUACAUUAUAAUCAGAACCCAGUAACCCUAGUUUAUAAAUAAUUUUAUCGGAGAAGGAAUCCUUUUAAUCUCAAUGAGUUGAAUAGAGACUAGAAAGUUAGAAGUAUCAAUAAAAGAAAACAAACCUAAAAGAAAACAAACCUAAAAGUAGAACAGAUAAGAAAUUAACAAUGGUUAGAGAGGACAAUUUAGGUGAUACAAAACAAACUUAAUUUAACACUUCAUGAAACAAAUAGUCUUAUUUUGGAGAACUGCAAAAUGGGACAGAGGGCAGAAAGGUUUUAUAGGAUAAGGAAUAAAGAGGAAAAUAGAAAAAUAUCUUAUUGACUAGGGCCACAGAGUCCCCCUUGUUUGGGGUGAAAAGGAAUAAGGAAAUAAGUGUAGAGACCAUAGUUGGCUUGAUGUUUGGAGAUCGGCUGCCUAGACGUACUGUGUUCUGGUCAAGCAGAACAUUUACAGGACCUUAUCUUGGACCUAGAAACUUAUUUCAACAUUCCCCCCUUUUGAUCAUCCUCUUGACCAUUUAAGAGGUUUGAUCAAAAAUAUCAGUCUUAGUGUGACUCUUAGUUACCAUUGUCUUUUCAGGUCUCAGUGUAGUAUACACAAGAAACCAUGUCAGAGUAUACUCUUACACAUAGUUACAACGUUUUGUUCUUCUGUCAUUCCAGUCAGAGACCAUGUGUCAGCUGGUCAAUAGCUGCCCAUGUGCAUUUAAAACUUUUGAGAGAACAUGUCAUAUUAGACAAUAGUAAUUAUUAGCAACAAAACAGUGUCCAUGGUUUUGAGAAUACUCCUGAGCCAGGGUCCCCAUGACCCAAAUCAGCCAGAAUCAAAUAAGUCAAGAAAUCCCAAAUUGAGGAAUACUUCUAUAAGUCAGUUGGCCUAUUUAUAUAUUUUUAAAUAACUGUGUCUACUUCCCCCAAGUGUUUAUUCAGUGAAGCUGUUUGAGAGAAACUGAGACAUUGGAAUUCAGGGUCAGUUUUGAUUAUGGACCCCUAGCAGAGUACACAGGGGAGUCCGAAGUGUUUUACAUCUCUAGUCUUUAAGCUGUUGCAAUUGUAAGCCCACUAGCUCGAUGGACUUUCGUUUAUAGGCUUGUGAUCUCUUCAGAGUGGAAAAGCAAUUCAGAUAGAGGGUAAGUAGACUGUGAGUACUCAGAUAAAGGAGGAUAGAGGAAAGUAGUAGAAGUUAUUUCAGUCCUAUAUGUUUUUGUUUAAAGUACAUGUGUCUUUAAUUUUUCAUUGGCCUUUGCAGUGAAUCAUCCGGUGAAGCUAUUUUGGAAUUUUGAAGCCUUUUGAUAGCUUCUGCAUGAUAAUUAAAAUAGGCAUUUCAUUCUGUUUGAUUUGGGAACGAUUUCUCUCAAGCACUCUUGUUGAUGUAAAUGGUCUUAUCUAACUGGUAUGCUCCUCAUAAUGGUCAUUGUAAUUCUUGGUUGUCUUAGUAAGAUUUUACCAUUUUUGUCAGUAUCUACAGCUUCCAGGAUCACAGUUCUUAGACAUAAAAUAAGCAGAUGUGCCAAAAGAUGGUAUGCUCAAUUCUUUGAAACUUGAGGAUCCCAUUUCUGUAACUAAACUUUGGGUUUCUCAAAGCCACUUUAAUACCUAAGAAGGGUACAUUGUACAUUGCUGGGUUGGGGAGUUUGUGAUAUUUUACAUUGUACCUCACUGUGCAUAAAUUUUCUUGAGAUUAGCAGGUUGGUUUAGUGUCAAUCUAACCCAUUUCCUGACCAAUUUAUUCCAGCACAGGAGUCUUAGAGUUAGGUUGUGAGCUUUUUAACAGCUUUAUAGUGCUCCACCCCACUUCUACCAAUGUUGUGGCUUUGGCUUCCGAGAUUGCCAUUUGCAGUUGGUCUAUUAUUCCUUUCAAGAGAAGAUUUCUUUACAAUGGUGGAUACCCUAAUAUCUUUUAAUAGUCCCAUUUGCGCCUGCUUAGAUUUUUAUUUUGAUGAAUUUCUUAUUUUAAUUUCUUUUCCCAUGUCCCCUAUCAGUUUAUGCUGUGGAUUUACCUUAAGGCUUUUUCCUAAGAGCUACCACCCACAGUGGACUCCCAAUGUAGUUAUCCCAGAAUUUUUCCUGAAUCUUUUCAGGACCUCAGAACCUUUCUGAAAUCAAUUUCUCUCUCUCUCUCUCUCUCUCUCUCUCUCUCUCUCUCUCUCUCUCUCUCUAUCAGAGCUGCACACAAAGGAGCAGAGCUUAAAUCCGAGUGGCUUACUCACAGUUCUCAUUACUAUGACAGAAACAGUGAACUCAAAGGGUUCAGUGGCAACCUGGCCUGUGAAUCUCAUUGUCUUGCAGGCUGUUAGCAGCCUCAUUCCUUAUCACCAAAAAUUGUUUAAAAAUGAUGGAAGAAAAACAAUUUAGGUGACACAGACAUUUACUUAAUGCUUCAUGAAGUGGGCAGCUUCCUUUUAGAUAACUGCAGAAUGGGUCAGAAGGAAGAAAACUUUCAAAGGAUAAAGAAUAGAGAAUGAGAAAAAAAUAGAAAAAAUAUCUGAUUGGCUGGGGCAAUAUAAUCUACCUUGUUUGGGGUGAGAAGACUGCGAGUUGGAUUGGCAUUUGGGGAUUGGCUGCCUAGAAAUACUCUUGUGUCUUAUCAAGUGGAGAAUUUACAGGGAUACAGAAGUUAUUUAAGUUUUGGUUUGCUGAUGUGGUACGUGGGCAGGAGAGGUUCCAUUUUAGGCCUGGAAAUUUAUUUCACCAAACAUAAAUCCUCUUUUUAUCUUAUAAUAGUAUCUAAUACCAUGAAUAGCACAUAAGAUAGAUUAUGUUUUGGUUUGUAUUUUAAUGACUAAAUUUAUUGUCAUUGGAAAGCAGAUAAGCAUUUUAAUUUAAUCUAAAUGUUUAUAAAAUACUUUAUUAGAAUAAGAUAAAUAUUCAAAUUUUCUGAUUAUUCAUAAUAUUAAUAAUAUUAAUACCCUAAAAAUUACUUACUUUGAAUUACUCUGAAUAAAGAGAAAGAAGUAAGCAUUAUUUUUUUUAUCUUAAUGUACCAUAGUUCUCUUUUCUGUUAAACCUUAUGUUUGUUCCUUAGAAUGAAUUAGAAUGAAGAGAAAUUGCAAAGCAUAUUUUAAAAAAAUACAACAGUUACUCUCUCCAAUGUGCUCAUAUUUAGGGAUUUCAUGAAAGCCUAACUAGAGGUGUUGACUUUUAAAAUCAAAUAGGUUCCAACCAUAAAAGAAUCUACAAAAAAGAAUUUUUUGUCAUAGUGAAUAUUAAUUUGAACCACUCUGGACUACAGAGUGGGUAAAAAAGAGAGUCUAGUCUUUCCCUACAUUCCUUUCAAGAUUGUUCAUUUUAAUAAAGAGUCAAGCAAAAUCCCUGUUGAAGGAUUUGUUUUUCCUUCUCAUCAACUGCUGUGGGAGAAAGCAAAUGGAAAGUUUUAUGAUGGGAAAAAUAAAUAAAUAAAUCAAUGCUUGAGUAAACAGCUCCAUUAAGAUUUGAAAAUCCAAGUUUGGCAAAACAGUGGUUCGGGUAGGCUUCUUUUUAUUUGUUAAAAUAUGGACUCCACAGCCAAGGGCUUUAUCUUUCUUAUGCUCAGUUGAAGGAAGUGAUGACAUAGAACACAUUCUUUUGGUUUUGGCUGCCCUAACAGACCCCUUCUUUGUAGGGUACUUGUUGUAAUCACGCACACUGACACCCAUUUUAAGCUUUAAACAACUUUGGCUUUUCAUUUGAAAUAAAUUAUCAUACCUUUUGACAGAGAACACGAAUUCUUUUUCUUUCUGUGUAUGUUUCUGACCUUGUCAGCAUUUGUAACAUGGAAGGGAAGAAUACUAUGAGUUAUUAAUUUGUCUAUUGAUUUGAUAUAUUUUCAGUUUAGUUUUUUUUUUUAAUUUUCUUUUCUGCUGAUACUGUGUCACAAUAUAAGAGUUUAGACACCGUCAUUUUCUGUGCUUAUUCAGGAUAAAUGAAUUUUUAUUUAAAAAAUUAGAUGCUCAUUGAACUUGGAGUUGAAAUAAAUCCUCCUCUCCUGAGAAACAUGAUCAAAUAUUUUUUUUAAUUAUAACAGUAAGAAACAACAGAACUUAAACACCAAUUAAGGAUAGCAAUAUAACUAACUAUAAAAGAGAAUUUAAGACUUCUUUUUUUGGACACAUUUUAAUUAAAAUGUGUGUUUUGUCAUUUGCUCAGCAAGUGAAUCUGCACGUGGCUAGGAGAAAAAGGGCAAAAUCAUACACCUGAAUUUAUAAAGGCUGCUCCUUACCACAGCAGUGUUCUGAAACCAGUCAAGAUUUCAAAUCUUGAUAAUAGAUAUAUAUUCUCAAAAUGUUACCAAUGAAGAAACUAGAUGAGAUUCUGUUCUUUAAGAAGGAAAUCUCUGUAUAUUUUAUAUUCAGCAGCAGUGAUUUAUUUGGAUAUUUUUAUUUUGGUCCCUAGUAAAAUAGUUCUCUAGAGUGAUAAAAAAAAUUCUUGGGAUCAACUAUUUUUCUCCAUAAAUUGGAAAAUCUAAUUAAAUGCAUAAUUUUAUUGACAUGAAAUUUCUUAAUUAAUUUUACUCAAAAAUAUCAAAAUAUCAUUACAAUAUUAUUAGGAUAUUCUGUUAAAAUUGGAACUAAAGUAGAAAAUCCUAAGGUAUUUAAUGUACUCAUUUAGCUUCUAUGUAUUAGGUAGUUUUUUUAAAACACAAAGCAGAUUAUUGCAAAUGGUUCAGUAAGUGGACUGUAGUUAUCAAUUGAUAUGAAUCAGUCACAUAGAUGUGAAAGAGACAUAUAGAUGUGUAUCUGUUUGUGUGUCUUGUGUGUGUGUGUGUGUGUGUGUGCACGUGCGUGUGAAAGAGAAACAUUUUAUAUAAAUUAAAAUUCCUAAACAAAAUGGUAUCCUUUGAAGUUUUAGUCUUUUGCAGACUCUGUUUCUUGGCCCUAAUUUAGGAAAAGGGAACAGGUAUAUACAACAUUCAUCAUUAAAGGAAUUAAUAAACUUCCAAAACUUUGAUCCCAAUGUGUUAGCCGUGCAAAUAGUAAUUAUUAUACAGUCAACUGAGUUCAUACUCUAUACAAUAUUGCCAAGACACCAAGAUUUACAAAACUAUGGCUUGUUUCACAAAAAAAAAAGUUUCUUUAAUAACCCAUCAAGAUAGAAAAUAUUUAUGAAAGUACACAUGACCUUUUGAAAUACCUACAGAGAAAUUUCCCCUCCUACUCUCUCUAGGCUAUCCACAAACCUAGAAAGGAAAAUUAAUGCUAACUUAGGUAAAGUCAAGGAAAUCCAGUUUAAAAAUAUUUUGAGAGUAUGUGGUGUGUGUGUGUGUGUGUGUGUGUGUGUGUGUGUGUGUUGGGGGAAUUGAUUGUGCACAUGCCCCGUACACUUGGGUUCUGACUCUUGGCAUACUGGCACUUGAUCACAAUCUUACUGACCUAGAACUGGUUUAGUUUGUUGGUUUCAUAGACACCUUUAUCGAGGGCUAGAUCAAAGUGUCCUGGAAAGGGUAUCCAGUCUGUCCUCAGGUGUACAUGCUAAAUUCUGUACGGCUAACAUUUUAGUAAAUUUAAUGUAGUUACUUGAUUUCUUCACAUCUUAAUUUUCUAGUUUGUGAGAAGGAAUUAAAUCUACAACUUAAAGAUUUGAUCUGGGAAACAUAUAUGAUAUAUGUAAAGCACCUGUCCUAAUGAAUAGCAGUACUCAAUAAACUUUUCUCUAAACUUUGAAAUAUCAUGAAAAAUAUAUGCAUUUGUAUUAGAAUUGUGUUAUGUAAUGAGGAUGACCAGCCCAACAUAAUAUUUGAUUUUAAUUUAAAAGUCAAUUAAUAGAACUAGUGCAUUCAAAGCUGAUUAUUUCAUUGGGAGCCCAAUAAUGAAUAUUUGGAUAUUUGUACCCAGAUAGGUAAAUGUAUAUAUUUUUUCUGUGCAUCAAGCCAGGCUUGCUCCAGGCAUUGGUGACUAACAGACUUAUACUAUUACCUAAUAUGAUAAGUAUUUAUUUUUAUGCAAAUAUAUCACUUUAAUAGCAUAAACACUCAAAUUGCAUUUAUAUGAAUAUCUAAGCAGACUUUGGAAUUAGUUAGAAAUUGUGCAUCUUGUCUCAUAACCAUCAUUGAUUAAUAACAGCUUAAUAAAUUUAUGCUAGAGAAAAUUGUAAGUGAGAAAGAAGAAAUAAUUAAGCUACAAAGAUGUUACACUAGUUGGGGCUUAAAUUUCCAUGGCGAUUAUUUAUAAUUAGUCUGCAAUAAGUUAUUAAAAACGUUCUGAACAAGCCUGUUUAUUUGGAAGGCAUAGCUUUCUUAAUGUUACGUCUUUUAUCUUCAUAACUAAAAGGAGUCUUAUUUUCUUGCCUUUUCUGCUGAUACUGUGCCACAAUUUUGGCAUAGCCACAUUAAAUACUAUGUGUUGACAUUUUAAAAGGUAAGAGGCCUGUUGUCCAUUGUUCCCUGUGACCAGUGGGUAAACUAAACACUAGUGGCAUUUACAUGUUUUACUUCAGAACUACAUUUGCACAUUAAUGUGACUAUGUUUUACUAAUUAGUACUAAACUUCUAGUAGCUUGUCUCUGACUCCACUCUGUCCUGCUCGUAUUUUAAAAGCAUGGGUUUUGGUAGUAACAUUCAUUAUUUUUCAGAUUUCCCCCCUUGGUUGUUUAAAGAGGCUAGGCUCUUUUUGAACCUGAAUUUCACUAUGUCAUGUAUAACAGAACACUUGUCCUUGUUCUCUUUUUAAGAACACCCGAAGGAUAGGGACCCCUGGGUUGCUCAGUUGGUUAAGCAUCUGACUUCGGCUCAGGUCAUAAUCUUGUGCAUGGUUUGUGAAUUCGAGUCCUGCAUCAGUCUCUGUGCUGACAGCUCGGAGCCUGGAGCCUGCUUCGGAUUCUGUGUCUCCCUCUCUCUUUUACCCUCCCCUGCUCACACUCUGUCUCCCUCUCUCUCUCAAAAAUGAAUAAACAUUAAGAAAACAAUUUUUUAAAAAGAACAAUGGAAGAAUAAUUUGCCAAGUUGGAUAGUAUGGUUAACAACAAAGAAUAAAAGCUGCUAUAGUUAAUGAAGAACAGAAUAAUAGGCAAAUUAUAUUCAAUACUAUCUGAAAAACCACCAUGAAAUCAAUACAAUUUCCAAAGAUAUCUUUGUUUUUAUCUUUCAGAUUUUUAUUUACAUAUGCUAGGUAAAUAAUACUCAUCUUUAUUUUGAUAUCUGUUUUUUUCCUUCAGUCCUUCCUCCCUUCUCUCCUUCCUUUUCCAUUCAUUUACACAUUUCAACAAAUAUUUAUUGAGUAUCAACUAUGCACCAGGAGUUAUUUGGCAAAAAUCUGUGUUUUCUUUUAUAUUCUGCUUAAAGAAUACAAUACAUCUACUUUAUUUUAAUGCUUGCCUUCUUUGCUUACAUUCAAAUUAGAUAGUGUUUUUACUGCUUUAGGAAUUGCUUUAGGAAUUCUGAGAGUCAGAAUGCCUUGAGGCGGUCAUCUCUAUUCUAUCAAUUCCAGGAGCAUCAGCCCAUGGUAGCGAUCUUCUCAUUUUUUGACAAGUGAAAAGAGUUGGUGCUUAUGAAAAAUCAAUUUCCACAACCAUCACUGACUCCAUUCAUCAUGCUCCUGCCACAAAAGGGGAAAGUGAACAGUUCCAUGUGAACAAUUUGCAUUUAUGCGUGUGAGGAAUUACGCUGAUUGUCUAUUGAUUGCCUAUCCCCAUUUAGGCUGCUCCAGUGUUACUAGCAAGCGUGAACACAUAUAACCACAGGAUUGGGAUAAUGCUGGAACAAACUGGUGUCGGUGAUGGUUGCCACUGGAACUAUAAAUACUGAGAGUGGUGUUACUACCUGACCUUUUUAGGAAAUAAUGUUUAAGCCAAAAGAAAAAUAACUGAUAAACCUGUUCUUAAUUAUUUUCUCAAAUGUUAUUUUUAAUCUUGUAACAACUAACCUGUGGUCACCCAGUCAUAAGAUUAGUGUUUGUGUGUGUGUGUGUUACUGCUUAUGGAAAUAACAGUCCAUAGUCAGAUGUUGUACUCGGCGCUAUUCUAUUUUAUGGCACUCAAAUGCUCUCUUUCUUCCACACACUACUUUAAAUCCCCCCAGGCUGCGUCAGUGCCUUAGGCUGUGAAAUCGGAAUAGAAAAUAAGUUGCUUCUAGACAAAUCAGAUACAUUUUAUAUGCAAAUGAUUUCUUUCUCGGUAUCAUCAGAGUGUAAUAAUUUCAGUGUUUGAUAUAGUGAUUUUUCAGUGUCUAUAAUAUGUCUUUUAAAUAUUAGAGUCCUCCUGACCCAACACUGUUUGAUUAGAGUGGAAGCUAAACCCUCCAAGUUUUUCUUUUCCUUUGCUCUUUCUUUUCUUUUCUUUUCUUUUUUCUUUUUAGAUGCCUAGUUUAGAAUUACCUGAUUCUCAAAGAUUUGGUAUAUGGUAAUAUUAGGGAUUUUAUAUUUUAUCACCUUAUAUAUAUAUAAUAUACCUCCUUCCUCUAAACUACAUUUUUAAUCCUUAUAGGUGUGAUGUGUAUCCUGAAAGUUCUACCCAUAAGACAAUAUUGAAAGAGGAGUCUCAAUUCAGAAGUAAUUUUAUGAAAUCUUUAUGUUUCAUGAUUUUCUACAGGCUUGUGAAAAUAUUUUGGGCUGCAAACUUUGUAACCAAGAAGAAGAAGGAAUGAGAGAGAGAGAGAGAGGGAGAGAGAGAGAGAGAGAGAGAGAGAGAGAGAGAGAGAGAGAGAUGGGUCUGAAGAAUAUUGGAAUUAACUGCCAGUAAGCAAAAAUAUUUCAAGUAUGAGCUAUUAAUUUGAUGAAUUAUUUUAAGCAUAGAAAAAUAGCAUUAUUGUGGAAGCUGAAUGGGAGCAUUCCUUAAAAUAUCUUUAUUAGUUAUUCCCCUCAUGAUUACAAAAUCUUUGACAAUCACACACCUGGUACACUGGAAGAUGCUUAAUGCAGGACCAUAGGGGCCUCAUUAGCAGAUUCUUCAGUACAACUGUUUUGCCCCCUUUGUCAAUUAGAAUUUCUUUGUAAAAUGGCAAGAAUACCUCUUUCCACUUGUUUUCCCCCUGGUGGACAAAAGAUUUAUGAGGCUAUAAACUAAUAAUUGAAAUCAGCAGUCACAGUGUUUUGAUAUUCACUGUUCUAAUAAGUUUUUGUUUCCUUACUGAACUAAAAUACAAUUUUAUUUAUAAACAAAUAUGAGGCAGAAUUUGUGGUAGGCAUGACUUCUUAUUGACACAAAAAUGCCUAUGCUAAAAUAAUAUUCAAUGAAAUUGCAAUCAAGUCUCAAAAAGUGCUAUUAGAAGUUCCACUUCAUCAUCAGUGUUAAGAUGAUCACAAAUGGUAAGUGUGACAAAAAAUACAUUUGUAUUAGCUAAAAUUGAAUUAUAUGGGUGUUGUUUCUUCAUGUAUAAGAGAAGAUAGCAAAGAAAAAAAAGUUAGCAAUAUGUAUCUUGUAGUGUUAUUGACAAUACCAUAGAAAAACUCCCAACCAGCUUCCAUAAUGAUGUUUAGUUUUCCUAAGCUUGGAAUAUUUCACCAAAGUAAUAUUUGCUACUUGAAAAUGUUUUGCUCUCUGGCACUUGGUUAUAAGAUUCUUCAAAUUUCUUUUGGUGUCUUUUAGAUACAUAUUUAGAGGUUAAUAUAGCUCUCUUAAUAGAAACAAAGUGUAUUAGUGUUAGAAGUGUAAUUUAAGCUUGUGUCAUCAUAUACUUCAGUGCUCCUUCUUGCUUAUAUAAAGUGGAAUAAACAAUAUAGUUACUACUAACUGAGUACCUACCUGCCCUGGUAUUUUACAUUCAUUUUAUUCCCGGUAACAUUAAAAACUAUACAUUUUUUUAAUCUACUUUUUAACAGAUGAGGCAAUUGGGAGCCUGAGAAGUUAAAUAAAUUAUCCAUUGUCAUACAACUAGUAAGUAAAUGACAACACUAACCUUAAAUGUGAGUGGAUUCAUUGGACUGUAAAAUCCUACAUUUUUCAUACUGAUUCAUUUUGAUUUACAAGGUAUUGAAACUAUGAUGUAGACAGAAGGUAACUUAGAGAAAAAAAAAAUCUGUAUUUAUACUAAUCCUUUCCUUCCAAAAGAGAAUUUUAAGUCCGUAAGAAAUUAUUCCAAACCUAUGAUCAAAACCUUUUUGUAAAGUUAACAGCAUACUCAGUGAAUUGUGUCUGCAUGCUUUUAUGAUAGUAAAUGACAGUAAUAAAAACAUAAUUCUAUAGCAUAUAGUCCUUUUUGGUUAGCACUUUCCACACAUAUUCUCUUUUAUGACUUGUUGUCUUUCACUUGAUAUUCUAUGCCUCUUUUUUUAUUAUUAUGCCUUGUGUAUGCUUCAAUAAUAGAUUUAUUUUUAUUUAUGAUAAUUAUUAUUUUGAUAGCAUUGCUUUAUCUAGUAACAAUGGCCCAGGCCAAAAUAUGGAAUAUUCUUAUAAAAUUUAUGAAAGCUUCUGAUCAUAUUGACUUUGUUGAAUAUAUUUUCAGUGGUAUUCAAUAAAUAUUCAUUAAGCAUCCAUUGUUUUUGCCAAGGACUAAGGUAGAUAACUAGCAUACAAAAGCUAAUAAAACAUGAUCCCUACUUUAAUGAGCCUGUAAGUACUUACAAGACAGAAGUAGAAACAAAGAGAUACACUGAAAUUAGAAGGCGCUGAACUGGAAGUAUAUACAGAUUGGUGCUAAAUUGUUAUGAUCAUGAACCCUUGCAGGAAACACACAAAAAAGUGCCAUUUCAAUAAUGAUAUUGACCCUGAGAGACAGAGAGACCUGCUACUGUAUUUAGUGCCUUUGUAGAAUUUACUGAUUUCUUUUCCUACUUUGGCCACACAUUUGGUAAUAAUUUAAACAUUCUUGUUUACUAUAGAAUAAUUACUAAAACAAGUAGAUUCUAGGGAGAUCUUGUCAUCUUUAUCAUUUUGCCUGUUUUCCAUUAUAAGAAAGCUGAAUAAAGUUUUCUAUAAAUCUUAAGACGUAUUCUACUUAGUCAUCAGACUCCAGGUGUUCUUCCUUUCUUUUCUGUUAAAAAAAAUGAUUGUUUUUGUCUUUAAAUCAUAGGAAUACCUUUAGUGUGGUUUCUCAAAAUGUAAUGUGCAUGCAAUUCCCUUGGAGAACUUGUUAAAAGGCAGAUAUGCAUUCAGUAAUCCUGUGGUAGGGCCUGAGAUUCUGUAUUUCUACUAAGCUUUUAGGUUUUGAUGAUGCAGCUGGUUUAGGGUCUGCACCUGAAGAAGCAGGAGCAAAAGUAGUCAUGACUAAUCUGCAUUUUGUAAGGCUGAUAGCAUAUUUAACUUCUGUGGUCAAUUAGCCUAGUAGUGCUUUAUGGGGAAGCAGGAAUGGAAAUAUAUUCAAUGAACUUGAAUUUAAUCAGAUUGAAUUUGAAAGACUUAUCAGGCAAGUAUCAGGAAUUGGGUCACAUUACCUGCUCUUAAGUCUGUUAACAGUUAAAAUCUCUUUUUUUACUUUAACAGUAGAAUAAUUUGAGGUUAAAUUAUUCCAUGACUAUAUAAUUGUUUAAAAAAUGCUUUUAUAAAUAUAAAAAUCACAUAUCAUAUAUUUGCUAUAAAUAGUAAUGACAUAUUGCCUAUGUUGACUUUUAUCUAGUCUGUGUUGUUCAUGGCAUGUUGAUGAUAUACCAUUGCACUAUAGAAAUUUGAUUAAAAUCAAAUUUCAUAUGCCCUGCCUUGCUUCACUAUCAUAGAGAAAGAAAUCGAGAUUCCCAAAUAUAAUUCAUAUCCUUACAUUUGCCAAGAUUUGUUUUGUUCAUUAGGAUAGACUUGUGGGCUAUAAAUGUUCUACAUAUUUUUUUCUUUUAAAUUUAUUUAUUUUGACAGAGAGAAAGAGAGAGAGAGAGAGCAGGAGAGGGGUGGAGAGAGAGGGAGAGAGAGAAUCCCAAGCAGGCUCCAUGCUAUCGGUGCAGAGCCCCAUGCUGGGCUUGAUCCCAUGAACCUUGAGAUCAUGACUUGAGCUGAAAUCAAGAGUUGGAAGCUUAACCGACUGAGCCACUUAGGUGCCCUUGCUGUAUAUAUUUUUAUUAUUUGAUAGUAAUGUCCAGCUUUUUCCUGCAGGUCUGGUCAUUUGCAUUACUUUGGUUGCAAAUUUGAGAGGAAACUACCCAUAAUACUCUUAAAUUGAGAAAGCUUGUCCUUUGAUCUGCUUUUCUAGCUGGUUCUUGAAUGUUCCUCCAUUCACCCCUACCACACCCACCACUAUUCCUUCACAUCCAGCCUUCCCAGGAUACAUCUGGAAAAUGGAAACCAACUGGAUGGCUAUCCAUCUGCCUCCCUUUAUCUUUUACCAUUAAAGAGUUCAGAAAGUUUAUAGAUUGUUAUAAUUAUGAAUACCUCUGAAGAAUAAAGAACUAUUAAGAUAUUUAAUUAAUGUUUAUUAAGACUUGUGUAUUGCUUUGAAUAAUACAAAGGAUUAAAAAUUCUCAGGACCUAAAAAUAAUAUAUUUCAUCAUCUACUACUUAUAAUUCUCAAAUUAUUUAAAAUUAUGUUAAUAAUAAUCACAAAUAUCUCAUGUUUUUAUGCUAUGCACUGUGUGCAGUUCUUCAUGUACGUGAUCUCAUUACAGCUCAUUAAAAUGCUGGUUAUUAUUCCCAUUUCAGAGAAGGAAAUUGAUGCCUGAGAAGUUAACUAACUCACACACCUGUUGAAGAACAGAAGUAGUUAGAAAGUUUUCCGAUCCUAGCCAAAGUUCUUUUAUACCACCCUACAAAAUUGUUUGUAUUUAAACGAUAAGAUAUAUUAGACUAUAAUGCUUUUCUAAUUUUUCAAUUUGAAGCAUUUGAAAAAUAGUGUAUUUAACAGUGUUGUCUAAAUCCAUAUAUAUCUAUUUGAUAGUCAUUUAAACUUUUAAGCAAUGCAGUGUUUUUUCUUAGAUUUUGAAUGCUAUGGGCUAGAACAAAGUGUGUUUUUGAUGAAGAAAGGGAAUUAUAGUGGAAUCAUAAAACUAUAGCUUUUAAACUAUAAUCUAAAAUAAUCCUGAAAGUUACUGUAUAUUUGCAUUUAUAUUUCUCAUUAGAGAAGAAAAAUGGUUGUAAAUGGUCUAAUUUCAUACUGAUAAAAAUAUUCUAUAAAUAUGAGACUUAAUUAUGGACCAAACUUCAGGUUUGAGUAUGUUAAUGGAGUUUUUGUUUAUAUUGCUAAGGGAAAAAUAAAAGUAAAGUGCCAGCUAGGAUACUUUCCUAACUUAAUUUGUAGGUAUCUGGGGUAGAAAAGUAGCUGUGAUGAAAUAUAGAAUUAAGAUUAGAUUUUUAAAAGUAUAAAUGGACACAAAUGACCCUGUUUUCCUUUUGCAAAAUGCAUAAUAAUUGCUACCAUUAUGCAUGUGCUAGUUGCCAAUAUUUGAAAAUUAAAUGGAUUGAUUGAUGGAUGCUUGCAUGGAAGACACUGUGCUAAGCACUGUACUAAUUUGUCUCACUAAAUACAGCAAAAUAGGGUAUAUUAUCCCAAGUUUAUAUUAUUAUUAUCCCAAAUUUAUAAACAGACUUAGAUUGAGUGCUUUACUGUAGGUUCCAUCGGAAAGAAUUAUAAACAGCAGAGUCUACAAAAUCCAGGAACUGUCCUAAUCUAUAUAGUAGUUAUUUAAUUAUGCUAAUGAGUAUAUGUGGGUUGGAGAAUUGUUUGUAGAAUCGAUGACUAGCUGUUUGCUUCCAUAACAACGACAAAGGUAAUCGUACACAGCCAAGAUUACACUGGGCAAAAAGUGUUCAGCAGAUGGGCCUGUUCUAAUAUAGUAACUAAUAGUCUGAUUCAUGUUGGAUACUGGCUUGGACACAAGUUUCCAGCAAGAAGUGGUUAUCUAUUCUUCCAACAUCUUCUAAACUGUGAGUUAGUCAACAUUAGAUCAUACCACCUGGGGCUACUCUGAACUACCAGAGCUCUGAACAGCUGCUAGUCUGGUAACACUGAACUGUUCAUGAUACCAAGCCUCAGAAAGGAAAAAUUAAAUUGAAUUGUAUUUGAGAUUUAAAAUAAAAUUUAAUGUAAAUAUUUUUAGUGGGAAUGUUUAUACAUAGAUGAACACACAUCUAUGUGUGGGUAUGUAUAGAUAGAUCUACAUCUAUUCACACCUACCUACACAAGAGUCUAAAAUUUGACAUUUUCCCCUGGAUUUGAACUAUUAAAAAUAUAUUUUGCAUUCAUAAAAGACAUGCUGUCAGCAGCUAGACCUACAUUGGCAACCCAUUGAAGAAGUCAUUUUUUUUUUUUUUCAAGAAUUGAUUGAUGGUUUACUUCGGAAAAGAACAUUGGGCUUUGGGAAAAAAUGUCAUAAAACAGAAAAUAAAUAUGAACUACUGUGGUAUUUGGCAACCUUUUAUCAACUCUGCUAAGCCAAAAGGGCAAUCUGCCAAAUAUUGUAUUGUAUCCAGAGUGGAUAAAAAUACUGUAGCAAAAUAAAUAAGGAAAAAGUCACAGUAUCAUCUUAAUCUGAAGAAAAUAUGAGGGGAUUGGAAUAGUGACUACUUUUUAUGUCAACAAACCUAUUAAUAUUUUUAUUUCAUAAAAUAUAUAAUGGAGGGAAGGUUAUAAUCCCAGUAGGCAAGUGGCAGGUUGAGUAACUCAUGCCUAUUUUUUAACUUCAGUGAUCUUGAUGUCUGCCUGUGUAACAUAAAGGGAUUAAAAUGCAUCACUACUCAUUUCCUUCUAGCAAUAAAAAUCCAUGUUUCUAAUUUUACACACUAAUAUAAGAUUUUAUUUUUAUUUAUUUUGGUUUAAAGUUUGCAUCUUUCUUGAAAUUCCCUGUGGAUAUAGACUUGUCAUCCUUGGUUUCUCCUAAAAUGUCUUUAAGCCUUAAAUUAUUGUCUUUGGACCACUGCUAUUGAGUAUGCUGAAUAAGUUUGACUGUAGAAUUAAUUCCCUUGUUCGGCAAUUAGAACAUAAAAAUAUUCUCGAGAGAUCUGCUAUACAUCCUGUAGGAUUUCUAUAGUACGUGUACUUUAGGAAACACUGCAAAACUGGAUUUUUAAAACUUAGAACUAUUUACUUAUUGUAAACUGAAUAAAAAUGGUGCUAUAUGGUACCAUCAAAUCAAGCAUUUAAGCACCCAAAGGAGCAUAAAUAAAUAAUGGCUUACAAAAUAUUUAUUAGGUGUCUGUAAGACAAGGAAGAUAGUAGAAUAGGAUACAUUCUGGCCAAGGUACCCCAUCCAUGGAACCUUUCUAUGUAAGCUUAGGCAAUGCCCUUAGAACCUCCAAAAACAUUGCUUAGAGGUAGGUUGACCAUAUAUCCCAGUUUGUCUAGGACCCUGCUGGUUAUCUUCAUGCAAUUAUUAACAGCAACUUCUUUUACACUCAAAAGUGUGUGAAAUUGGGUAAUUAAAUAAUUUAUCAUUCUACGAAGGAAGUAUAACAAAUCCCUUGAGGCUCUUAGGUGGCUCAGUAGGUUAAGCUUCUGACUCUUGGUUUCCACUCAGGUCAUGAUCCCAAAGUUUUGUGGUUUCAAGCCCCGGGUAAGGCUCUGUGCUGGCAGUGCAGAGCUUGCUAGGGGAUUCUGUCUCUCUGCCCCUCCCAUACUCACACUGUGUCUUUUAAAAGAAUAAAUAAACUUUAAAAAAAAAAGGAAGGAAAGAAAUCCCUACCAACUUUCUAGAUUUGAACUUGAACUUCAGGUCUUCAUAACCCUUUCUCCUACAUUCCUGGACAAACUUGGGAUGUAUCAAUUAUAUUUCCAACUUUCUAGAAAAAGCAAUAAUAAUUUUCAUUUAGGAGAAGUAUAUGAGCUAUGGCUAUGAACUAACUUGACUGUUAUGAGAAUAAUUCUAAUUAGUUAACAGAUCUUCUAAGCAGUAAUAGGGCAAAGAGGCUUUCUAUGUAUGUAUGUAUGUAUGUAUGUAUGUAUGUAUGUAUGUGUGUAUUUUUAUUUUUCUUUAAUUUUAUUUUAGAGUGAGAGAGAGCACAAGUCAGGGAGAGGGGCAGAGGGAGAGAGAGAGAAACCUAAGCUGGUUCCAUGCUUAGCACAGAGCCCUACGCAGAACUCAGUCCCAAGACCCUGGGAUCAUGACCUGAGCCAAAAUCAAGAGUCUGAGGCUGAAACUCAAGAGUCUGAGCCACCCAGGCACCUCUCUAUGUAUUUAUUUUAGGUAUUAAUUUGUUUGUUAAUACUUCUUCCCUUGCACCUCUAAUGGGAAGAUGUAAAAGACAGCUGACAAUCGUGCUGCAGUGCUUGUGAAGACAUGUCCCCUUUACAAUCUUCAUCUUCUCCCCAACCAGGACCCUUUACUAAAAUAAUUUAAAUUUUACCUUAAAAGUUCAGCAAUUUAGGAAUCAUGCAAAAUAUCAUAAAAUAUUUCUAUGCAUUUAGUUAUGCCAAGUACCAGUCUCCUCUGUUCUUUACAUGUAUGGUGAUUAUGGGAAUACAUUCUCAUGAUCAAAAUAUUUACUAAUCUUUAGGGAAAAAAAAUUAUUGACAAGGUUCUUAACCCAGAGAUCAGUUUUACAGCUGACUUAAUUGAGUGGUUGGUCCAAAAUGAAAUGUAGAAAAGUGUGACAUCUUACUGGAGAGGGGAGGAAGGGAGAAUUAGAUGCAUAUGGAAAAUAAGAUAGGCAGGCUCUUGAUUGAUAACAGUGGAGUCACAUGGCCAAAUGCUGCUAUUACAGCAGGAUUUCAUUGAUAUUAACCAGGAAAAUGGCUGCCUGUAUCAAAAUCAUGUUGUGGUCACUCAGCAGUCUCUGUCAGGCUCAGGGCUGAGCUGUUAGAGUUAUCCCUGGCACCCAGUGAGCCAGAGACAACUGGUUAUUACACUGAACUAAUCACACAGAUCACUUAACAGCAUGUCUGUCUCAGCAAGUUGGAAAGCACCUUCAUAUUUUGUAGAUUAUUCUGCAAGCCAAUACAGUUGCCACACAUGUUUCCAGAUACUGUUUAAAAUAUUUUACUAAGCAAAAGAAUAUAGCUGACAGUUCCUUCUCAUGGGUCAAGUUAACUGUAACAUUAUCAACCCGUUUUUACAAAAAGCAGUCUCUAAACCUGUCUGCCAUAUGCAUAUGAAAGGAGUCAUUAUUGUAAUGAAAUUCCAAACACCCUAGAGUAAUGAAGAGGGAAGGGAAAAUGAAAUAAAAAACCUCCUGCCUAGGAAAAUGAAAUAAAAAACCUCCUGGCCUCGUACUGAAGACUGCCAGAGAAAAGGGAUUGCUUCAGUGAACAUGUGGUUUGUGAUUUCAGAGAGUGGCUGCAGGAGUUCUGCUGUAGCCUGUGGUUGGGGGCAGGUGGUCCCUACUGGAUACUCAGUAGUAGGCAUCAAAUGUGUAGGGAGAUUCGCUGAGGCUUUGCUACCGUGAAUAUUAUGAAAUGGUAGCAUUUGAAAAUAGGGGUGGUUGAGAGUGGACACUUGUUUCAUUGAGCUCUUAAAUGUCACCUUUCGAUGUAGUUACUACUGCAUAGGUUUCCUCAAUAGCAAUGCAUUCUUCAUGCUUGCUUUGGACAGCUUUUCAUUCCAGUCAUUUAUUGCAUCAGGGAUUGCAUGUUUAUAGAAAGCAAAGAAGAGAAAAAGAGUGCUUGUUUUAUGGCAUAGGGCUGAGAACAGCUCAUAUGAGUUGUGUACCUCAAGGGACAGGAUACCCACUCUAGAGAGGCUGACAUCAUAAUUAAUUACACCCAUUUGUUUCAUAGGAAUUCUGUCUUGACUCCACCAUGUACAGAGUUGAUCCCACUUGUAAAACUGUAUAGCACACUUUAAUAACUUGAACUCUAGAAAUAGAUCUUUAAAGUAGUAAUGUCUUCCAUACUUUAUGACUUGACUGCUAAGUUAAAGAUGGUUCAACACCUGGUUGAAUUUGGGAGAGAGAAGGUCCCCUAUAAUAAUCUGUUAGUACUGUUAGAGUACUAGUGACUCCACUGUCACUCUUGUUUAAUUAGCAAGUCACCUCUUAGUUGGAAAUAAUUGAAAAAUAAUGAAAUGAAAGGACAGAGUGAGAAAUUGAUACAUUUUAAGAUUGUCCCAGUUGCUUUGCAAUACUACAGAAGUAAAUUACUUUGCAAACCAUAUAUUAAUAGUUUUUUUUUUAUUAUUUGGAUGGAUUUUUUAUAGUUUAAUGACUCUCAUGAGAGAAAAAUUAAGUACUUUCAAGCUUUACAACAACUCAUGGUACCGGACAUACUUUAUAAGAGAUUAAAUAACAUGAAAUGGACAGUACCUGCAGUAGUUUUCAUUUGAAUGAGGUUCUCCAUUGUCUUUAAGAAGUAGGCCAUACAAAAUAUGUUAUCAUAAUGACAGUUAUUACAUCUCUGAUUUCAAAAUAUUCCUAAGGUAAAACAUGUGAAUAAUGUCAAUUUUUUCCUUAUUGAGAAAAACUGUGCCUAAUAGUUAUUAAUUCACAUUUUCAUUGUUUUAAAUAUUCUAUAUGAAUAAAUAGCCUUGUGUGUGCCAGACUCUUCACAGGAUUUUAUACUGGAGGGGCAGUAUGUUCAAAAGGAACUCACCCUUUUGAGAAGUUUUGUCUUGACAAAGAUUCCUGACUUAACCAAACUUUAGUCAGGCUCCUGAGCCUUGUCUAAGGCUCAUCAGUGCACUUCUUUAAAAAAUACAAUUUUAGCAGGAUGAUGCUAAUUUAGUUGAACUAUAACCUCCACCCUUGAUAUCCGAUCACCCUCAAUAUCUGUCCCAGUUCCUCAUCCUCCACCAUUUUCCAGGUGAUGUCACAUUACCCCAGCCUGUCCCAUUAGAUUGGUUUAGCCAGAAUCCCCAUUACUCCUGAUGUUUUUCCUCUUAGUAAUUUUCCAUCCACUGACCCCCAUCCUGCUCCUUGGCUAAAAAUUCCUGCAAACUGGAUUUGGAGUUGAGCCUAAUCUGUCGCCCACGUUGUAAAAUCCCAUUGCAGUGGGCCCUGUGCCUAUCACAAUGGUCCUGAAUAAAGUUUGCCUUAGCAUUCUUAAGAAGCUCACUGAGGGGGCACCUGGGUGGCUCAGUCAGUUAAGCAUUCCACUCUUGAUCUGAGCUCAGCUCUUGUCUUGAUCUCAGGGUCAUGAGUCCACCCCGCAUUGGGCUUCAUUGUGGGUGUGGAGCCUAAAAAAAAAGAAAAGAAAAAAAGACGUCGCUGAGUAUUUUUCUCUUUAACAGUAUCUGGGAUCACUUAAGACUAAAUCAGUUAUUAGAACUGUAUUUUGGCAACUUUGAUAUAUACUGACUAAAAUUAAUUUUUAAAAGCAGAUGAAAGCAAAUAAUAAAUAGCUCUAAGGGAAAAAGAAAACUGAUUAAUGAAUUCUGUGCAUAGUUGACUGGUUUAGAGGUGUUAUUACCAUUUUGUUAUAUUUCCUUUGGAAACUUUUAUAAAAAAAAUUCUCUUAGUCCACACAUUAUAAAAAUUAAGAAUUCAAUAUAUCAUAUAUAUUCAAUAUAUACAUAUAUAUAUAUAUGAUAUAUGUUUUAAAAUCCCAAUUUGGGGGUCUGAUAAAUUAUUUGGAAAUAAGCUAUUUAAAUCAUUUUCUGAAGUUAAUAUAGUCAGUUUAAACAAUUUGUAGAGAAAUAGGCUGUAUAGAUUUUAUUUUUUAAAAAAUGUUCAAAAGAAUUUUAAAAUGCAGAGGCCAGUCUCCAUUUGCAUUAAUAUAUCUUAACUUUUCUGAAAUUUGAACUACAUAUGCAUUGAAUUCAUAUAUAUAAUAUAAAAUAUAAAAUAACCAAAAACUGACAUAGCAAUUUUGAACAUUCAAGAAUUAUAUAACAUUUUCUUGCUUGAACUUACAUAGUAGUCUGUAGAGAUAGCUGCUUGAUGUUUAAAAGCAUUUUUUCCCUAAAUCCUCAACCAAAUAAAAUGAUAAAUUCUGACACUCUUGUAAUUUGCAUAACAAUUGGCCACAAAGAGUAAUUCAUUAAUAUUCAAUGAAGUUCUAAUUUGCACAAUGCCUGCAGCAAUACGUAAACUUCAUUUAGCUUUAAGAUGGAAAUUUGUUACAGUGAAAAUAUCGGUAAGUAUAAUUUUAUUAAUCAGCCCCGAUGAGCAUUUGAUUCUGUGACCUUGGCAAUGUCUAUACUUUUGUUCUAGAACACACACAAAAAUGGAAAUUUAAGGUCACUAUGUUUUCCUCUGGUUACUACUUAUUUAUACAUAGUUCUAGAUAAACACACUAUCUGUGCAAAAAGCCCUCAUUAUUCAAAAGAAAACUAAUGUUAUUGGUUAACCUUCUUACCCCUGAAAAAUCAGGUUUAUUUUUAAUCAUGUUCAUUAAUUUAGUCAAAUAGAAUUUGUUAAUAUCUAUUUUUUUCCAGGCAACUUAUGAGAUGCUGGGGAUACAUUUCGACUUGCUUUGGCCUCCGAGGGCUUUCAGACUACACAUUUUGAAUUAGGAAGGAUACAUUUGCUGUGAAAUAGGAAUCACAUCAUUUUGGUUUGAACUGAACUAAAUAGUAAUAGUAAUAAUAAGAGUCAACAUUUAUUGAGUGCUUAUAAAGUACCAGAUACCAUUCUAAGUGCUUGACAUAUAUUAGUUCAUUUAAUUUUCACAACAACCGUGGAAAGUACAUAUCAUUAUUAUCACCAUUUUAAAUACGGGAAAUGGAGAAUAGAGAGGUUGUUAAAUAUGUUUGCAUAAAGAGCAAUUUGAUGUGCCUUGUGAUUUAAAAUCAAAGUUUAAUUUCUUUUUGUAAGUUUUAAAAGAAAUUUUAUUGGGGCGCCUGGGUGGCGCAGUCGGUUAAGCGUCCGACUUCAGCCAGGUCACGAUCUCGCGGUCCGUGAGUUCGAGCCCCGCGUCAGGCUCUGGGCUGAUGGCUCGGAGCCUGGAGUCUGUUUCCGAUUCUGUGUCUCCCUCUCUCUCUGCCCCUCCCCUGUUCAUGCUCUGUCUCUCUCUGUCCCAAAAAUAAAUAAACGUUGAAAAAAAAAUUAAAAAAAAAAAGAAAUUUUAUUUAUUUUUGAGAGAGAGAGAGAGCAUGUGCAAGCACAUGGGGGAGGAGCAGAGGGAGAGACAGAGAGACAGAGAGAAAAUCCCAAGCAGCCUCCACAGUGUCAGAGAAGAGCCUGAAGCAGGGCUCAAACUCAUGAACUGCGAUAUCAUGACCUGAGCCAAAGUCACCUGAGUCCCCUGAGUUACCUGAGUCCUCUGAGUCAGAUGCUCAACCGACUGAGCCAUCUAGACACCCCUCAGAGUUUAAUUUCUACCAAGAUUUUCUGGUUAGAUUAAAAUAUACCAAGAAAGUUAAUCAAAAUUAAUAUGCAAGUGAUGCAUUUUACUGACUAAAACCUUGUUUCAACAUUUUUAGAUUAGCAAAGUACUUUUCAUUUAUUCAUUUGAAAUGCAUCUCCAAGCUGUCCUAUUUAGGUACUGAAGAUUUGUUGUUCAGUAAAACAAACAAACUUUGUGCUCUGGGUGCUUGUAUGAAGAUGUUGGAGAUACAUGAUAAAUAAACAAAUAAAUAUAUGCAUAAUAUACUCUCAGGAAGUGGUAAGAAAACAAAGUAGUACAAGGUGAUUGACAGUGGGGGUUGAUAACGUUAAGUUGUAGUUUGAGUAGUUAGGAAUUGCUUAGUUGAACAAAGAUUUCAACGAAUGAAGUGAGGAUGAAUUCAACAAUAUGAAGGAAAGUACUUCAAGAAGAAGGAAUAGACCCUAGGGGGAGAGAAGAGAUUGGUUUUAUGGAGGAAGAGAUCAAAGGGUUGAAGUGAGUGUACUAUAAAUUCUCAGACUGCAACUGCUAGACUGCAACUGUAACUCAGUGGCCAUGGAAAACACUUGGGAUUUAAUUCUAAAUAUGAUAAGAAACCAAUGGAGAUUUUUAAGGAAGGAAAUCAAGUGCUAUGGAUUAUGAUUUUAUUUUUUAUUGUUAUUUUUGUUGUUUGUUAUAGAGAGAGAAAGAAAGAGAGAGUGGGAGAGAGGGGCAGAGGAAGACAGAGAGAGAGAGAGAGAGAAUGAAUCUUAAGCAGGCUCCACACUCAGCUUAACACGGAGCCUAACACAGGGCUCCAUCCCAUGACCCUGGGAUCAUGACCUGAGCUGAAAGCAAGAGUUGGGUGCUCAAUCGACUGAGCCACCUGGGUGCCCCUGGAUUAUUAUUUUAAAUAAUGACUCUGGUUUCUGUAUAGGAAACAGAUUAUAAGACAGCAAGUUGGGAAGCAACCAGGUAAGUCAAAAGUUUCUGUACCAAUCCAGAUGACUAGGGCCUAGAUGGUAUAGAAGUGGUGGGACAUGGUCAGAUUCAGGAAAUAUUUAAAUGGCUGAGCCAACAAAACUUUCUGAUGGGUGGGAGUUUUAAAGCUGUCACCCAGACUGCUAAAUGUCCAAAUUUCAGGCAGACUCUUAAAAUACUCCAUUUUUUGACCUAGUUUCUGAUAUUGUGAAUUGACAUUUAAAAGAAGGUAGGCUUUGGGGGGCUAGGGUGGCUCAGUAGGUUAAGCGUCUGACUCUUGACUUCAGCUCAGGUGAUGAUCUAACGAUUUGUGGGUUUGAGCCCCUCAUUGAGUUCUGCACUGACAGAACGAGUCUGCUUGGGAUUCUCUGUCUCUCCCUCUCUCUCCUUCCCCUGCUUGUGUGCUUUCUCUCAAUAUAAGUAAAUAAUAAACUUAAAAAAAAAGAGAGAAGAUAUGGUUUUAUUUAUUUUAUUUUUUAAUGUUUAUUUUUGAGAGAGAGAGAGAGAGAGAGAGAGAGAGAGAGAGAGAGCAUGAGCGGAGGAGGGGCAGAGAGAGAGGGAAACACAGAAUCUGAAGCAGUCUCCAGGUUCCGAGCUAUCAGCACAGAGCCUGACAUGGGGCUAGAACCUACAACAGUGAGAUCAUGAUCUGAGCCAAAGUCGGAUGCUUAAUUGACUGAGCCACCCAGGUGCCCCAAAAAGGUAGGGUUUUAAUGAAAGUUAUGAGGAAAGAUAAUUUAAAAUCACUGAUUAUUCCUUAUAAAUCAGUGGUUGUAUUAAAGGGAAUUUAGGAGCAGACAAUAUGUAGUAAUUCUUUAUUCCCUAAUAAUAAAUUAUAAAUGAAAUAAAUACUGGUUUUUAUAUUUCUUAGUUUAUAAUUACUGAAUAUUGCUAUACAUUAAGGAAAAUAAUUUUAUUACAUAUUGACCACAUUGCUAGUAAAGUCAAUCAUAUGUUCAUAGGUGACUCAUCAGGGUUAUAAGUUAAUGGUGAUAAUAUUCCAAAGCAAUAGAUUGUUUCCCUGCCAGUGUUAUUGAGGUAUAACAGAAAAAUAGAGUUAUAAUAUAUUUAAAGUGUAUAAUGUAAUGAUAUACAUUCAUAUAUAUACUUUCCCCACCUCCUAGCCCCUGGCAACCACCAAUCUACUCUGUUUCUAUGAUUUUGAAUGUCUUAGAUUCCACAUAUAAGUAAGAUCAUAAAGUAUUUGGCUUUCUGUGUCUGACUUAUGUCACUUAACAUAAUGUCCUCCAGGUUCAUUCAUGUUGUUGCAACUGGACAAGAUUUCCUUUUUAAGGCUGAGUUUUAUCUAUAAAUAUAAUAUAUUACAUUAUAAUCAUAUAUUAUUUUAUUUAUAUACUAUAUAUUUAUAUAUAAUAUAUAUUACAUAUUCUAUAAUCCAGAUAUAUUACUUCUAUAUAAAUAUAUAUAAUUUAUAUAUCUAAAUUAUAUUAUUCUAUCUCCCUGUAUAAAUAAUCACAUUUUCUUUAUUCACUCCUUCAUUGACAGGUUGUUUCCAUGUGUUGGUUAUCAUAAAUAAUGUUGCAAUGAAUAUGGUGGUGCAGGUAGCUCUUUGAGAUCCUGAUUUGAACUUCUUUGGGUAUAUCCUGAGGAGAUUGCUAGAUAAUAGAGUAGUUCUAUUUUUCAAUUUUUGAGGGAUUUCCAUACUGUUUUCCAUAGUGACCACACCAAUUUACAUUCCUACGAACAGUGUAUAAGUGUUCCCUUUCCUCCAUAUCCUCACCAGCAUUUGUUACCACAUAUCUUUUUGAUAAUAGCUAUUCUAACAGAUAUGAGGUGAUAUCUCAUUGUAGUUUCACUUUGAAAUGCAGGAAAAUUUCUAAAGUGAUUUUUAUAGUGCAGUGUCUCCACUUUGCAAACCACAUAGCCUUGGCAUGAUGUGUGUGAUGGGAGGCUCUUCACAGUAAGCUGACUACCUGUGUUUAUUUAGUCAUGGUGCCUACUUUUGACCAUUUGAUUAUAUAAACCAACUCCUAUGCUAUCCAGCUUAGAAAAGGGCAAAAUGUGGAUGUAAAUCCAGCGAUUAAAGAUAAGAAGGAGUUUAAAGUAUGUGGUAAAAUUUGGUUGUGAAAUGUAUAAGAUAUAUCAUGGUAAAAUACUCUCUUCAAAAAAAAGGAGUGGAAUAAAGAUCAAAUAGCAAAAUAAUUCAAAUAAUUUGGAGCCUCUUUUGCAUCUUUACACUGCACCAGUGAUUUCUGAUUGAAAGCACCUUCUUUGGGAAGAAAAUAUUAUGGGUCUAAGAUUGUGUUUCCUCUUAGGAAGUUGAUUGAAUGAAUGAAUAAAUGAAUGAAGCAGCCCUGAAGUCUGAGUGUCCUGUUGAGCAUCUGACCAACAGGUUUCCAUUAGGCAAAACUCCCCUUCAGAAUGACUGCCUCUAAUGCCAAAAGAUCAUUUCAAAUAUGUCUACCUUUAUCAAAUGCAGAGGGAACCAACAUUUCCCUUUCUAAUUUUGAUGGGGUAACUGGAGUCUUUUCUCUGUGACAUUACUCUUUUGUCUACAUCCAAUGUCAGUGGACACUUAUGCCUGCUAAUAGAAAUGCUCAUAACUCCAAAGGAGAAAGGAAGAUGAAGGGCAGAGAAGAUAUGUAGAGACUCUCCUAAAGGAGCAUUUGGUUCUAGAGAUUCACUGACCAGGAAAAGGUGAUAGUUUUAAUUAUUAAACGAAAUCCUUUAGGAUAUUUAGUAUUCAAAAGUCAAUAGGAUAUUAUGAUAAGUCAUAUUUAGAACACAUUCUGAGGAGACAGUCAUACAUUUUGCAGAAUGGUAUUUGUGUUAAUAAAGAAUUUAGUGAAUAUCUAAUUUAAUAUUAGCAUGUGGAAAAAUAAGAAAAAAAGACUGAUUCCCAAGAAUGACUUCCUUCUUUCUCCUUAUUUUCCUCUUUCUCCUUCUUACUCUUUCUUUCCUCCUUUCUCUUUUCCUCCUUCCUUUUAUUGCAUACACAAAAUGAAAGAAAAUAAAACAUUGAAUGCUCUCUGUGUGUAUGGGCUGAGAGCACCACAUUGUAACCAGACACAUGAUUGGUAGAUUAGUCUAAAGAGAAAGAUUCCAGAUAAACUGGAAAAGGGAUUAAUGACUACUGAGAGUUAUAAUCUCCUGUUCUUGUAUGUAUAUGAUGAUACCCCUUAUUAAAAAAAAACAUUUUGUAUUUAUUUUAAUGUGUAUACUCUUUAAAUACAAUCAUUUAUGUGGGGGAAUUAUAUACAAAAGAAAGACAUGUCAUAUGGAGAAGGUUCAAUGUUAAGUUAUUUUGUAAGAAAUAAUCAUAAUCAUAUGUGUUUUAUGCACUGUAACAUAUGUACUGACUUGGUGAUGUCUUCAUUUACCAUUUGUGCACAAUUAUUUUUGAAAGUUAGGAUUUAUAUGGAAUAUUCCAUAUACUAGAUUAAUAUUUUAUAUUCUGCAGUAACUUUAUUCUUUAAUAAACUUUAAGCAGCCAGAGAUUAACUCUUACAAUUCAGAGAGCCAUGUCAGUAUGGCAAAGUGGUAAAUUCUACUUAGAAACCUACGCACAUUUGGAUUACGGGUUAAAUAAUUUUAAAUAAAACAUAUCAUUGUCAUCUUGAAUUUUUAAUGAUUCCUUAUCUCACUUUCCCCAAGAAAUCCAAAUAUGGGUAGGUUGGAUGUCUUUAAACCAAUACAAGACAAUGGCCUAAAGCACUAGAAAAAUUAAAGCAGUGCUUAUUUUGAGAGUAAACUCCCAAUCAACAAAUCCCUGUAACCCGUGCCUUAAUAGAGUCUUAAUUACUUUACAUAGCAUAGAACAACACCUUCCAUUGUUUCUUUGUUUACAUCCCUCGGUUGUUCUGUCUCAAUGUAUGAAUUAGUCAUAUCAAAUUUCUUGAAAUUUACUGUACUGAGCCAUAUUAUUUCUUUGCUUUAUGUCUUUGUACCUUUUAUUUUCUUUGCACAGAAAUUUCUUCCCCACUACCCAUAUUUUAAAGUCAAAAAUGAAACUUUUCCUUUUCUUUAUGACUUUGUCUAACAUUCUCCUACUUCUCCUACUGUGCUAAUUAUUAUCUUCGUGAACAUUAAUGCACUUUGAUUGGCACUUACUAUAUCAAUAAUGCAAAUAUAGUAUGAUUAUGUAUCUACAUGUCUAUCUCCCUAGACAUUGUCUUUCUUGAAGGCAGGAGCUAUUUUAUUCAUCAUUUUUUUUUAAUUUUUUUUUUUCAACGUUUAUUUAUUUUUGGGACAGAGAGAGACAGAGCAUGAACGGGGGAGGGGCAGAGAGAGAGGGAGACACAGAAUCGGAAACAGGCUCCAGGCUCUGAGCCAUCAGCCCAGAGCCCGACGCGGGGCUCGAACUCACAGACCGCGAGAUCGUGACCUGGCUGAAGUCGGACGCUUAACCGACUGCGCCACCCAGGCGCCCCUAUUCAUCAUUUUUUAUAAACAAUGUGUGGAAGAAGCUCAAUAAAUAUUUGUUGAGUGAAUUAAUUCUCUAGAACAAAACUAUAUUCUGAAUAAUGCUAUUUUUUCAUUUGUUCAGUUUAUUAUGUAUAUAUACUUCCUAUUGGGAUCACUGAGUUAUAUUUGCCUUAUAUCAAUAUCAUCCAGAACUAAAAAACAGUUGUACUUAAUUUCUUUUUCAAAGUAGAGAAGCAGAAUUGUUUGAGGAAGUUGCCACUAUCUGUAGUAGACUUGGGUUCCUCUUAAGUGAUUGUCACUAAUUGAAGAAAUUAGUUACAAGCGAUACCACUGCAAUAAUGAGAACGUUACAUUGACAUUAUCAUGUUGUUCCUUGGUAGGCUCACAUGUUUUGCAUACAAGGGGCUGCAACAUUAUUCUUCUUCAGCUUCUGUGCACAUUACAGAAAUACCAUCAUUCUAUUUUAAGUGUGAACUGGCUAAAGAAAUGAGCUUCCUUCACACAUAUUUAAAUGGAUCAGGUGUAGUCACGACACAACUUCAGAUGAAAGCCACCAGUUCCCCAUAAGCCAAUGGCUAGUGAUAACUGGUCUCCAAAAAUGCUCCCAAAGAUCACACUGAUUGUCAUAGGAAUAUAGUGCAGUGAAACCCUAAACUAUUUGUUUCAUAGAGUAAGUCACUGAUUAACCUGCUAAUAUUGCCUGUAUAAAAUGGGGGAGUGAGUUUGCAGACAGCCAUCCUAGAACAUUACUGGGCAACAGUUACUGCUUCCCAGAGGAGAGAGGAGCUGAAUCCUUCUAAAAGCAGUGAGCACACACAUAAACAAAUUGGUGGGGAGAGCAAGAGGAUAUAGCAGACUUCACUGUUUGUAGUAACAAAGGGAUGCUGUUUUAUAGCCACAGUAAAAGUUCAGUUGUAGAACAAAAUGAGCACAAACGUUCCUCCUCGUAAUGAACUGCUUUAAAUUGACAGCAUUAUCAUGUUUUACCAUCUUUGCAAAACAUUUUUAUUAGCUUGAUCGGUAAUGAAUAAACAGAGCCCACUUCCUUUUCCCUAUCAUUUGAAUGUGGAAGAGUACCUUUUAUAAAAAUAAUGACAGCCAUUAAAAUACAGGGGGCAUAAAAAAACACUUCUAAUGUGGAAACAUUUCAUUUCACCAGUAAAGAAGGAGAGUAAAUUAAGAAUGGGAAAAUAUCACAUUGCAAUAUUUUCCUCCAGUUAUAUAUUGACUAGAAUUGUUUGGUUAAAGAUAUUUAUAAAUUGUCAGGUGGUACCUUUUAUGAAAGUGUAGGCUAUAAGUAUUUGUUAAUCAUGUUAUAAUUUAUAUUUAUACACAAUGUUAUUUAUUUUAGACUACAAAGGAAAAAUAAUUGAUGUCAUAUUAAAUAAGUCCUUCAGAACUUGAUUAUCAUGUGUUGGUUAGCUUUCAACACAAUACCAUCUUUUUUUCUUAUUUCAGUCUGUGUGUGUGUGUGUGUGUGUGUGUGUGUGUGUGUGUUUAAUUCCAUUUAUGAAACUAUCUGAUUAGUGACCCUAGAACUGAAAUUUCAUUAGGGUUCAUUCACUUUAAAUAUAUUUAUUAAAAUACUAUAGAUCUAGCCUUGAGUGUUUUGAUAAAGUAAAAGCAGAAAAAAAGACCAAAAAUGCUAAUAACAGUGCAAAGGCUUUUAUAUGGUUUCAUUGCUUAAUCAAGAACUUCACAGUACAAUAUACAUACAGGAUGAAAACGCAAGUUAGCAGGCUGCAAUACAGUAUUGACAGCAGUAGAGUUAAGGUCAAGCAAAGUUGAAUGCCAACAUUACUGCUAACCAUUCUUCCUUGUAGAUCUGAACUUUAAUCCACAGAGAUUGUUAAAGCCUCAGGUGGAGGCUGGGUGAUAAUGGUGGCUGUUAUCCUAAGGAACAGAUGGUAGAGUGAGUGACACCUAUAAAUGUGCAGGCUGUGUUGCUUCAGUGACAAGAUGCUAAACCCUUCUGGCACUGAAGUAAAAAGACAGGUGUCUUGACACAAAAAGAAGUAUUGAAACUAUGCCUCUAGCCAUGUAUAACAGUGGAGCCAAUUCUUCAAGCCUAAGUAACUGAAAAUCUAAAUUGGGGUGUAUUAGUAUGGGAAGAUUGCUCUUGGAUAUUCUCCAGUAACCUUCCUUCCUUCCUUCUUUCCUUACUUCCUUCCCUCCUCCUUCCCUCCCUUCCCAAUGAGUCUCAUUACCUUUCAUCCAAUAGUAAGUUAGCAAGUAAUUGUUGCAGUCUAAAUUUCUGAUUAUAAUGGGUUCGUGCAUUUAUGUGAAUAACCUCUAUUUCUUAUUUGUAAGACAAAAAAAUAGCAAACACAGUUUUUCUUUUUUAGAAUUAUAUAUGACAGUAGAAUUCUUCAAUUACCUCUAUGUCUGCUUUAAGUGUAGGGUGAAGUUAAUCAUGUAUACAUAUACCGUUUAUUAUAAUUGUAAUUAGCAAUGUCAGGUUUAGAGAUUCAUGUGGCCAACAGGGAAACCACAAUAGUGUAAAAACCAAUUUAAUGAAUGUACUUACUUUAAAUUCCAUUAUCACUUCAACAGAUUACUUGUUUUAAAAGGUAUUAAAGCUAAUAACAUUUAAUCUACUUGCUUGAAUGUAGCAGCAUUUUUUGGGGAAGCCAAUGAAAAUAAAGCUUCAAUAAUCAAGUACAACAGAUGUUGUGUUUUCAACACAAUUCUUUCUGAAAGAAAUUAGGUUCUAAUAGCCAAGUCCUUAUACCCUCUUUUUCUUCCCUUGGAUUUUAAACGAUAUGAUCAUAUAUUUUUCUACAAAGAGAGAUAAAUUUGACAGAACAAUAACUCAUUUCAUAAUACUCCAAUUAAGUGUUUUGGCACUACUAAUAAAUAAAUAAGAACAUUACAAAUGUUGAAAGACAACAUGAGGGUUGUUUAGAUAUAUUUCAGUGCAGUGAUAAUAUGAGUGUAUGGUAUCACUAGAUUCAGUGUAGUAGUGAUAUUUAAAAUUAAUUGCAUCUUGGGCCCUCCUUUUCCUCACCUUCGAAAUCAAUGAUUCAUCUAGAGUAGCAUUAAAUUAUUUUCUAGCUAUAUUAUUCUUAUCUUAAUUCACUACACCCACUCUUGCAGUAAAUCUAAUAUUUGAUGAAAGAUUAUAGGUAAAUAUAUAUCACUGUAGGCUUGAAGCGUGAAUACAAUCAUGGUUAAUUAACAGUAAAUCAGUAGAGUCCAAGUUCUCUGAAGAUGAGAACUGGUAUAUGAUAGAUGUUCACAGAUUAAAUGUGGAGCCAGAUUUCAGGUCUUCUGACUGUCAUAUGACGAUGCAUUUUAAGCUACUAUGUUGUCUAUUUUUUAUAUAUUACAUAUGCAAUAUUGUGAGAUUGUUAAUUUGGUAGCAAAUGGCAAUUUUAAUCUUUUUGUAUUUGUUUUGUUUCACAAAGGAUCCCUCCAUAAUAAUGGAAUCCAACCAACCAAGGGGAAAAUAUUACUCAUUCUUUGAUUCACUGUUGAAAUUAUUUUUAAAUUAUUUCAGUGAUUCUAUUUAAUAUUUUAGAUACCAAUAUACCCUAUGUAACUACUCUGAAUAUUCUUGUUUAGUGUUUGAUUUGCUUUGUCAUUCUACCCUUAAGUGCAAAAUCCACAAAUAUAUUAUUGAAAAAAAUUCUAAUCACAAAAUUAAGUCUAUACAUAUUUAUGAAUGUUGUAUGUAGCAAAUAUCUUAUACAUAAUAUAUGCAACAUAUCUAUGACAUGUAUACGACACAUGUGUGACCUAUGUAUGCACUCAUAGGUAUAUAUACAUGACAUAUAUGUAUGUGUGUGUGGGUAUAUAUAUAUAUAUAUAUAUUUAUAUAUAUAUAUGCACAUAGAGUCAAUUUAGCGAUCAGACAUUUUCAAAGGUAACAUAUAGUAAUGCAACAAAUUAUCACAGGCUUUGGUUUUAUAAUAAGCCACAUGUAUAUACUCUAUUUUCUCCUAACUGUAUAGAAUUAAUAUGUAUACAUGUGUUAAUAUUUAAUAAAAGCCCAUGUUCACAUAAUUUUAACUGGCACAUCCUUGUAAUAGUUUAUCCCCAGCUGUAUAUAUUAAUAUAGUCAGUUUCCUACUACUUUGGAAUUCUUCAUGACCCUGGAAUAAAUCCUGAAGGUGAUAAACUGACCAAGAAGAAAAAUAUUUUCAAUGGCUGUAUUACAUAAAACCACAUGAAUAUGCCUCUUAUAGACCAUUGGAGUUUUGUGAAGUGAAAUUUGCAAAGUGCUCUGGUGUAGCAAAGUAAGCAUUCUAAAUAGGAAAUUAUUGAUUUCCAUUGUAAAAUUCAUAACCCAGGUCUUUAAGAGUCUUAGAAUAAGUAUGUAUUGACUUGGGUCAACAAAGAUUUUGGGGACAUAAUUCGAUAUAUUUGGGUGGUAAUUGAUACACUAUAAUACUUAUAUUGUAGGAAAGUUCACAUGAUAGGACAAGAUUAAAGAUAGUGUGGUUUAUAUAUGUUUAGAAAGCUGUUACAACAAAAUGUUAUUGUAUGCAUUACAUGUAAAUCUCAAAAUCUUUACAGUCCUGCAGAGUUAGUCAUUUGAACAGUGCCAAGAGCCUAAAUUUAUUUCACUGAAGCGUUUUCCAGCAUAGCCUUGUAAAGAGCUCUCUUUUAAACAUACACUUAAUUAUUUUUAUAAAACACUGCCCAAGUUAUAAUAUACUGACUACUUCACAAAUUCAAAACAUAAAAUAAUUGUCAAACAUUAAAUUCUCUGUGUGCUCUGACUCACCAACCUUGAUUUUGCUGUAUUUAUUUAAAAUGUAUUAAUUCCCUGAUGUGUUAAUGUGCAAAGCCUUGCUCUCGCAGUAUUGCAGAUUAACAGAGCUACAAUAGAAAGUGAAGUCACUCCACCUACUCUGGCAAUAAAUCCACUGCGUGGUGAAAGAUGAUAGCUAACCUUACACAAUAGGGUCUGCCUUGCUACAGGCUCAGAGCUGGAAAAUUUGCAUAGUGAUAGUAAAUUGCCUGUUUAGAAAUUGUCUCACAUUUGAGCAUUAACUUUCCUACAUUGUGUUUGAUUGAUUAUUUAUUGAAAUGUAACUCCCACAGAGAACUUACAUUGACUGGUGUAGAUAAAAUACAAUUUUAAAAACAGCUUAGGUGGUUAGAUUCCUGUAUGACUUGAGAUUUCUUCUUGAAUCCUGUAUAAAGUUUCACAGAUUAAAAACAGGGUGACGGUUUUCUGGCCAAAUGGAGGAAUAUUGUUUAAAACUAUAUAUGAGAUGGGGCAGUCGAAAAGGAAAUAGUGAUAUUUGGUAUAUAAGAGAGGUGGCAUUGCAUAUCAUUGGGUUAAGGAUAGAAUUUUCAAUAGAUAUUGAUGGGAGAGUUGGUUAUUCAUUUGAAUAAAAACAUUAAAUAGGCUCCUGUCUCACACCAUACCCAAAAAUCAACCCCAGAUGCAUUGAAGAACAAAGUAUGUAAGGAAAAACUAGUUAACUUGUAGAAGUCAAUAUAGAAAUAUAUCUCUGCAGUAUCAGAGCCUCUUUUACAAUAUACAAAAAAUUAUAUACCGUGAAGAAAAAGGCUAAUAUGUUCAAAUACAAUUAAUAAGAAACUUUAUGUGAAGUUACCAGACGUGAAAGAAAAGUUAAACCAUUAACUGGAACAUAUUUUCCACUUAUUUAGUCUGUGAAAUCUAUGAAGGAUUACUGUGCAAAGUAUAUAAUGAACUCUUAUGAAUCAAUAAGAACAAAAACAAUAAUCCAUUGGGAAAUAAUUGGCAAGGUAAUUUUACAGGAAAGAAAGAAUUACAGUUGUAUGAAAUGAUGUCUCAUCUUGUUAAUUAUGAGGGAAAUGCUAGUAAAAUUAUAGUGAAAUACCAUUUCACACCUCUCAGGUUGAAAAAAAAAAUAAAGUCUUACAAUACCAAGUGGUCUGCAUGCGGCUUCUGUCAAAUUCUUAUUCAUCUUGGAAACAAAAAUUGGAAGAUCCACUUUAACUAUAGGUUAGCAUUACCUAGUAAAUGCCCCAUAAUCCAGCUAUUCUACUACAAAAUAGGUUUUCUGGAAAUAAUCUUGUUUGAUAAAGUAUUGCAGACUUUAGCAUUACUCAAAAUUAACAGAAUCCUCUACCAAAGAAUAGACAUAUCUGUCUAUUGUUCACUUUUUUAACAUUAAUUUAGCAAAUAUUUGCUAAACACAUAUUAUAUGUUAGAUAUUAUUCUAAACAUGGAGGAUAUAGCAGCAAACAACACUGACAAAAAUUCUGUCUUCAUGGAGCUUGCAUUUUAUGAAGGAGGGCCAGAUAAUAAACAAAAGAAGCAAACAAAUUAUGGGGUAUAUUGUAACAUGGUAACUGUUAGCAAGACCAAUAAAACAGGAAAGAGGGAAACAGGGCCAGUGGAAGUUGCAGUCUUAAAUUUUGCUUUACUAAUAGAGGAUAUUGAGCCAGGAAGACAUAUGUAAUCCAUUUUGGAGUCUGGAAGUAGCUUCAGUUGCUCUGUCAGUCAACACUAGGUUCACAAUUAAAAACUUCCUAACCGAAAAAAAAGAAAUCGCUGUGGAUAAAUGAAUGCCUUACUAUAUGGAGACUAUUUUGAUAAGUUAAAGGUGAAAAUUUAAGUUUACCCAGUUGCCAAGGAAAGAAACACUUCAUUAUGCCUAGAACAGCAGGCACUGGUUGAAAUAGAAAUUCUCCCAAUGCUAAAGGCCUGGCUAAUAGGAGCUGUAAGCCACCUACAAGAUUGCCUCGAGAUGGAAGAGUGCCGGUUAAGAGUCUGGACUACCGAGUCAGAUAGACAUUUACACACAUCUCAGCUUUGCCAGAUGUCACCCAACUGAAUUUGAGCAAGUUCCUCAGGGUCUGAAUUACCCAUAAUCCAAAGGGACUUUAUAAGAACCAAAUUGGACAGCAUCUAUAAAUGUCUCACUUCAGACCCUUGACACAUGGAAAGCACUCCUAAAUGGAGAUGUUUGUUGUAACUGUUGCUUGAGUGUUACAAUUGCUGAGUCUUCUUGGGGAAGGCCAGGAGAGGAAGAAGAGCAGACCAAUUUUUUUAAUGUUUAUAAUUUUGAGAGAGAGAGAGAGAGGGCAAGGGAGAGAGAGAGAGAGAGAGAGAGAGAAAGGAAGAGAAGGAGCAGGGGAGGGGCAGAGAGAGAAGGAGACACAGAAUCUGAGGCAGGCUCCAGGCUCUGAGCUGUCAGCACAGAGCCUGAAGCAGAGCUCGAACCCACCCAACAGCAAGAUCAUGACCUAAGCUGAAGUCUGACUCUCGACCCACUGAGCCACCCAGGCACCCCGAAGAGGGGAGCAAUUUUUAAAGCCCAGUGGAUUUGUAAAGAACCAAGGGAAUUCUGGAUGUGCUAGUCAGAGUGGAACUUGUAUCUCGACAAAACUCUGUAUCCUCUGUUGCCAGGAAAGAAGGAAGAUUAACAGGGAGGACAUAGUAGGAUGAGUUUAAUUUGCUGGGAUGUUUAUUGCUUUAUUUUGUUUUGAUUUUUCCUUAGAGCCUUUAAGAUAUUGACCUGAAGCCUAGGGAGAAACAAAUACUGUUUCUUUGUGUACCCUGGGAGAUAAUAGACUGAAAUUUCACCCUGAAAUUCAGAGUGAGAAGUCUGUGGGCCAGCAAGCAAUUCCAACACUUAAUAUUAGAACAACAGGGGGAUGCUAAAUGUGCCAGGCAUUAUUAAAUGCCUUUACAAAUGCCAUUCAACAUAACAGUCACAUUCCUAUGACAUAUAUAUUAUUUUAUUAUUAUUAUUAUGAUUACUAUAAUUACAGAUGAUGAAGGCAACAGUCAAAGCAUAUAAUUUACUCAAGGUUGUCAAACAGUAACAUGGUAAACAGGGAUUUAAACCAAGUCCCGGUGUCUUGUGCCCAUGCCAUCUCCCUGACCGCUUUGAACAUGAGAUGAAAUGAUAAAAACAAAACCAAAAAAGAUGCAAAAACAAGAUUUUUCAUUUCCAAGGUCUAUAUCUUUAAAUUUUGAAGAAUUCCUCUUUUUAAAAAGUGAGUUAAUUUCCUCAACAUACUUUCCUAUCAAAGACUUUAAUAUGGUCCAUUGGUAAUAUAGAAGGUGUAUAUUCUCCUUGACAGUAAGGACUUCAUAGCACCUGAUCUUUAAUUGGUUGGGGAAAAAAUUCUCACCAGGGGAUUCUAAAGGCUAGCUACAUUUGAAAAUCACUGGGUUACAAUUCAAAAGCAUUAUUUAAAAUAACUAAAGUAUGGGGCGCCUAGGUGGCUCAGUCGGUUGGGCGGCCGACUUCGGCUCAGGUCAAGAUCUUGCGGUCCGUGAGUUCGAGCCCCGUGUCGGGCUCUGUGCUGACAGCUCGGAGCCUGGAGCCUAUUUCAGAUUCUGUGUCUCCCUCUCUCUGACCCUGCCCCGUUCAUGCUCUGUCUCUCUCUGUCUCAAAAAUAAAUAAACGUUAAUUUUUUUUUUUUAAUAACUAAAGUAGGGGCACCUGGGUGACUCAGUCAGCUAAGUGUGUGACUCUUAAUUUCAACUCACGUCAUGAUCUCACAGUUUGUGAGAGUGAGCCCCAUGCCUGCUUGGGAUUCUCUCUUUCCCUCUGUUGGCUUCUCCCUUCCUCUCUAUCUCUCUCUCACAAAAGUAAAUAAAUAAAUAUUAAAAAAAUAAAAAUAACUAAAAUAAAGCAGCAAUUACAAAUUUAACAUUUUCUUAACUUUCACAUUUUAACAGUCCUCACUUUGGAAAAACAUUAGUAAUACAGUAUCAUAUAGAAAGCAUUCUGUGUUUUUUACUGAGUGUGUUCUUUUCCAACCUUGUAUGUCAGAGAUACUAGUUUAAGAGACGAGAGUUACACCAAACAACAUUGAAGGUAUUUGAUUCAUGCAACUUACUAUAAACACAUACACUCACAAACAAACGCAAGUAGCAAACCUGAUUACUUCGGUGGCAGACUAUCAUAGACUAGAAAUCCAUUAUGAAUUCUACUUCCCACCUACAUUUUCCAAUCAGGAUUAAUUUUUAACUAAGUCUUAGUGGUUUGGGAGCAUUCGUUUAGGAAGUCAGAUUAAUAUUUUGAUUUGCUUUUGAGAAUCUAUUGCUAUCCUCUCUGUUGUCUUCUUUGGCCCUUUUUUUUUUUAAUUUUUUUAACGUUUAUUUAUUUUUGAGACAGAGAGAGAGCAUGAACAGGGGAGGGUCAGAGAGAGGGAGACACAGAAUCUGAAACAGGCUCCAGGUUCUGAGCUGUCAGCACAGAGCCCGACGCGGGGCUCGAACUCACAGACUGCGAUAUCAUGACCUGAGCCGAAGUCGGCCGCUUAACCGACUGAGCCACCCAGGCGCCCCAUCUUUGGCCUUUUUUAAUAUGUUGCUUAGACAUCUCCUGUAACACACCAUCGUUUGUGAUUUUUUUUCGCUCUCCUUAUUCUACAAGCCAAAGUCUUUUUCUUAUGUUUCAUUUUUUAAAAAUUUAAUCAAGGUUAAUUUUUCUCCACUGAACAACUUUGUCUUAAUUGACAGGGUUUCCAGUUUGAAUCAUUAAACUAUUUGCUACCCUUAAAUCCUAUGUCUACCCAAAUGGGAUUUUCCCUAGCCCUACUUUCUGGAAGGAUAGGACAGUUGAAGGAAGAAGGUUGAUGCGCUGGUAGGCCAAAGGAAUAAAUUGGAUGAUUUGAGCUACAAGUAAUCGAAAACCUGAUUCAAACUGGUUUCUUAAAAAAUAAGAAAAUGUGUAUUUCACUUAAUUAUCUUGACACAAUCAGAUCAAUGACUCAACAAUGUGGAGAAAUCCAGAACUUUCUUCUAUAUUCUGUCUAGCAUCAGAUUUAUUCCUGUUUCCAUGUUUACAAGAUAGAUGUGAGUGACAAUUUGGACAGUUUCCUUUACAUGCAGGAGUCCAUAAAAGCAGACCUCUUCCCCAAACAUGAAACUUUCUCCUUUGAUCCUGUUGGACCAGCUUAUAUAAUGGUUCUAAUCCUUGAUCAGGAGCAGUCACCAGGGCAAUACCACAUGGCUGAUCCUCAUGAGGAUUUACUUUCUGGAGCUUGGCAUGUGCCCUGCUGUUGGUGCAUGUGGCUGUAUGUGGCAGAAGUAGACACCUCAAAUGACACCAAGGGUCUAUAAUGAAGUGGAUAGGAAGAAAUGGAUAUUGAGCAUUCAACCAACUUACCACUGGGGCUAAUUAGCUCUGUGACCAGGAAAACAUUGAUAAAGCUCUCAGAGCAAUAUAAAUGUAGAGAUCAAAACUUUACUUCAUAAAGAACUAAGAAAUUAAGUGAGGUAACAUGACAUGAAGUAAUAAUAUAAUACUGAGCAAUGAUCUAUUGUCAAAAUUGUUACAUAGUUGUAUUAUAACAGUAUUAUGUUCAUAUCACUAUUAUUUUUUUUUAAAUGUGAAAAUUUAUCAUUGCUGUCUCCUCCAGUCUCUAUGAACUAGAUAAAUGACAUUCUCAAGUAGUUAAAUUUUUUUUGGUAGGAACCAUGAAACCUCAACACUAAUCAGUGAGCAAAAGUCAGGAUGUCCCACAUAUGCUGUGUUCAGUGAUGCUCUUCAAGUGAGGAAAAUGGUGAAAUAGUAUAUUAAUCAUUACAUUCUGCUAGCUGCUUUCUAUUGGAUGACAAAAUAAGAGGAUGUAGAUCAGAGUGAUAGACUUGCAGAUAUGUCACUUUGAUGUUGCUGAUGGUCUGUCACUUAUCAAUAGAAUGUAAGUUUCUGAAGCAGACUAAAACCAAUGACACCAUCCCUGCCUUGACAGAUAUAUGCUUUCUGAGGUAAAUGUUUCUAGGAAAAGUCUACCUCUCUCAUAUUAAAAACCAAGAGAAAUAUAUUAAUCAAAUGAAUGCAAAUUGAAUCAAAAGUAUUGUCCAUAAAAUAAAAAAAAAAGAUCAAUCUAGUCUCAGUGAAGGAGACUAAAAUAAUACACUUUUCAAAGAGAAUGAUUUGAAAAUAUUCAUCAAAAAUAUUAAAAAUACUCAUACUUUUGGACUCAAAAUUACACUCACCAAUUUUCCAAAGGCAUAAUUGAUGCAGACAUGGAUUUAUUAACUUGUAACCAUGCUGUAUUUUGGUAAAGCAUUAAACAAACUUAAUAAUAUCUAAUGAUAGAUAUUUAAUGUCAUGGCUAAUAAAGCUGUUAUCAUGUUAAGUGAAUAAAACAAAUUCAAAAAUUGCAGUUAGAGUCAUCCCAUGUGUCACCUCCUUAAAGGUAAAUAUACAACAAUUAUUAGUAUUUUUAAUGCAUUUUAGAUUUAUUAGUUUCAAUAACAGUAGAGUUACUAAAGCAGAAUUUCAACAGUGAGAGAAAAGGGAAAGAUAAUUUUCAGCAGAUCCCUUUAAAGUUUAGAAAAAUUAUUAAGAUAUAUGUUUAUUACUUAGAGAUUACAUAUAGUUUAUGGAAGUAUAGGCAUCAUAAUUAUGAUUUUCCUUUUGGAAAUAAUAUUAAUAUGUAUUGACAUCAGGAAUAUGUUUUAACUGACCUUUUUAUAUAAAGAUGCUAUUGGCAGUCUAAAUAUUUUGUAUUAUGAAGUAUAUGCUUGACCUUUUUUUAAAAUAACCCUUUUGUAAAGACACCAAUAGAAGUUUUACACUUACGAUUUUGGGAAAAAAAUGCCCGUGUGAGUUAAAAUAAGAACAUGACUUUAAUGUUAGUAAUAAUCUAUCAAUAAGGAUUAGAUUCAGUUGCAUGUAAUAGAAAAACACAAAAUAACAAUCACUUAAAAGAUACCGAGGUUUAUUUAUCUGCAUAUAAAUUAGGUCUGGAGGUGGGUGGUCUUAAGUUUCUGGAUUGCUUCCCUGUGUGCUCAGAGACCUGCUGCAACAUCCUGGUAUAUGGCUUCAUUCUCAAGUUCACCACAGAUCCUAGAAGGUUAUGUGAACUCUAGACUGGAUUCCUUCAUUCCAGGUAACUGGAAGCAGAAAGGAAGGACAAUGGGUGAAUCUCUUUUACAGAAGACUUCCCACAUGUCUCACACAUUUCUGCUGAUAUCUCAUUGGCUCAAAUUGAGGCCAUCUGGUAGUACCUAGAUGCAAGGGGCACUGGCAGAUCUUUUUUUUUUUAAUGUGUGGUGGCAUGUGCUAGCUAAAAAGCUAAAUAUUACAGUACUACUACUAAGGUGGAAGAGAAGAAUAGUUGUUGGGGGACGCAAUCAACAGCUUUUUCUGCAUAAUUAAAUUUCUACUAUUCGUGCUUGUGAUACCACUGUCCUUUCCUUAAUGAAAUUUCUGUUUAAUCUAAACUGUUUAUGAAAUUCUUCUCAAUUAUAUAAUCCCAUUUUGCCAUCUUGAAAUUGGAGAUUUAUUCUGUUAUAUGUCAGCCCUUAGAUAAAAUUAAAUCAUAUUCAGUGAUAGAGCAAUCAUUAAAAAUGAAUUUAAAAAGAAUAACUAUGCCAUCUUGAAUGCAGUUUUAUAAUGCUCAAGAUAUUUCAGUUCUGCUGUGUUGUACCUAAAGUAAGUCAGAAAAUGUAUAGGGAUGAAAGGAGUGAUAAUUUUUAGGGGAAAGAAUAUGGAAUGUCUAAUGAAUAUAUUAUACAUUACUAAGAAAUACAGCAGUAUGAUUAUCUCCUUCAUUUUGUUUCUUCAUUCAGUAAUGUGUGUGGGAUUUUUUUCAUAUUUGUUUUCUAUAUAUUUUUAAAUCCACUAAAAUGAAUUAAAAUAGUAAUUAUUAAAAACUAUGCAUGUUUUUGAUAAACAUAGGAGUUUCUAUUUUUGUACUGGGCAUUGUUCAUUAGUUUCAAUUAGGUUUAUUUCAUUUCUUUCACUGUGUAUGACAUCACUCAUGAUAAAAUUGGCUUAGAAUGGCACUUUUGAAAGAAACUGCCCGCUCAUAACCUGGGCAAAGGUAUGAUCUGAGUGUCUCUUUGAUUUUUUUUGCCAAACAACCUUGUCCCUGAUUGUUAUAGCAUCCAGAGGUUAGCCAGUCACCUUUGAGCUACAGCAGGGAAUGAGAAGAUAAACAAGGAGAACCAGAUUCCCUUUGCAGGGAGUGUGAAUUUUAAAAUAAAGCGGGAUCAACUGAGAACACAGGGAUCAAAAGCAAAAAAAAAAAAAAAAAAAUCACAAUUAGAGAGAGGCUGGAGGACAGCCCUUGGGAAUCGUGUAAGGGCCAAAUCUGAGGGGGGCAAGGAAUAAAGCAGGACAGGAAGUCAAGAAAACAUGGGCUAGAGAGAAUUCCAGAGUCUGCAUACAGAGACAAGUAGAAACCUAUGGGGCAAUAAAGACCAUGUAUGUGUCUUUCAGAGAGUUGAAAUGGCCUUUGGAGUUGCUUUGAUUCUAGUCUAGACCAGCCCUGCUGCUUUAGAAAAAGUUUCUGUUCUUACAAUGGGAAGAACAAAGCUAAAACACAUAAAUGUGGAAUUGUUUAGAUUAAUUUACGUUAAAUGAGCCAUACUGUAUAGUGGGUCAUUAAUUUAGAAAUAUUAAUAAUAUCCAUUAUGAUUUGACAGAAAAGAAAGCUUAUUUAUCUGACUAAAGUUAUGUGUAAUUACCUCUUGCAGGACACACUCCCCUAUUUAAGAUAGUCUCUCUAAAUGAAUUCUAGAGAACUGCUGUCUAAUAGAAAUACAAUGUGAGCCACAAAUGCAAGCCACAUUUGUAAUUUAAAAUUUUCUAGUAGCUGUAUUGGCACACGUAAAAAGAAUUGGGGGGAAAUUAAUUUUAAUCCAUUAACUAAAUAAUUAAUAUUAAUGAUAUGAUUCAUUUAAUCCCAUAUAUCUAAAACAUUAUCACUUCAACAUGAAAUCAAUGUGAAAAUAUUAAUGCAAUAUUUUAUAUUUCUUUUGAAAUAUAAUGUAUACUUUACAUUUCAAGCACAUCUCAGGUGGAACUAAUCACAUUUCAUGUGGUGAUUGGCUACCAUAUUGGGCAGCCUGGUUCUAGAGAUUAUCAUGACUGAUAUCAUUAGCCUCUGGUCCCCUUUAAAAUAAAUAAGUCAGCUAGCUGACAGCCAUCUCUUCUAAACUCUUCUUGCUUUUUUAAUUCUUUCAUUAGACUAUGAAAUAAUUUAUAUUGUGUGUUCACAGAGAUGCAAUUCUUUCUAGUUUCUAAUUCAUAGGAGAUAGGAAUUUCCAUUUCAUAAAUAGAAGGGACAUAUUCUCAUAGAAACAUUUGCAGUGUGUUGAGGGGGUGAAUAGGAGUAAGAGAGAGGAAGAACACCCAAAGCAAGAUGUAAGGUUAAGAAUGUGAGAUGUAGUGAUGAGACUGUGAGAUGCAAUGCAAUGUAAGAUAUUAAUGCUUAGAAAAUGGCAAAAAAAUAAAAUGCCAAAUUCUGAAUACAGUGAGUUUAAUAUAUUGAGAUUUACUUGAACAGAAGAAUGAAAAUAUCGGAUCUAUUUACUAGGUCUUUUCCAUGAAGAAAAUAAGCUGAUAAUAAAGAACUACAGGUGUUUGGGGGCAAAUUAUCAUGUUGUAUGUGGAUACCGUUCAUUGCUUGAACCCUAGGUAGAGCCAUUUUAUCCUAAAACUCAUUAUUAUAUGACUUAUUUUAUUGAAAUAGUUUAUUUUUUUUUUGUUUUUUUUAAAUUUUUUUCAACGUUUUUUAUUUAUUUUUGGGACAGAGAGAGACAGAGCAUGAACAGGGGAGGGGCAGAGAGAGAGGGAGACACAGAAUCGGAAACAGGCUCCAGGCUCUGAGCCAUCAGCCCAGAGCCCGACACGGGGCUCGAACCCACGGACCGCGAGAUCGUGACCUGGCUGAAGUCGGACGCUUAACCGACUACGCCACCCAGGCGCCCCUAUUGAAAUAGUUUAAUAUAUCACUAAAGUAAGUUAUGUACUAAUUGCAUGAUUGAAGUAUUGCUUUUAUAAUUCUAUUUCAGAUAAGAUAUAAUUUUAAAAAUCCAUACCCUGAAACAUUUUUUAAAAUACAUGAAUUCAUAUGUUCUACCAGCUUGGCAUGUUACUGAAGUUACUAAGUCCUUACUUGGCCAAAAAACUAUUUCCUAUGAAACCAGAGAAUAUGUAAGCCUAAUGUUUACUUUUACAUUUUUCUUCUCAAAUAUGUUUUCUUUUCCUGCCAAGGACAAAAUAUAAGUGCUGAACUAACACGAUCUUCGGAGAUCAAGCCCCUACUAAUUAUAAUUUCCUAUGCUGAUUUUUAAUUCCUUUGUAAUAUCAGUAACAGUUUUAACACCUUGUCAGGCCUUCAGGAACUUCCAUCUGUGCAGUGUAGUGUAUUCAUGAAAUAAACCCAUCUGUACAGCUGAUUAAAAGUUGGAUUAAAUCCAUGUUUUGACUUUGCCCUGAAAGAGGUGAAACCUAGUGCAGUUGUUGCUGUUAAGGGCAGAAUGUGCAGUGACUGACAUAUACAGAGGUAACUGAACCAAAAAUCAUUUUUCUGUUUGAUUGUUAGAUAAUUUUAAUAAUCUACAUAUAAAGAAAAUCAAAUAAUACUUAAAACAAGUGUGAUAUUCAACCCUAUUAAAAAUAAAAAGAUCUCUUGGCAUUAUUCUUUGUAUCAAAAACAUAUCUAUAGCAAAUUCCACCCAGUUUUAUGCUACUUAAUAUUGGCCACAUCAUAAAGUAAUUUGUGGGGAAAUUAUAAUUACAAAUUAUAGUAUCUUAUUAAUAUUGUAUUGCUAUUGUAUAAUAUCAUAAUAACAUGGCCUGAAAUUCCUCAAUUACGGCUUCCUGCCAUUACCUCACUUAAUUUUUUUAUUGGCCUUUUCAAGUGCAUGUGUUAUGGUAAAAAGUAAAAUAGAGUUUUAAUUUACUCACUUAGUCAAAAAAUAUUUAUUGAGUACCUACUGUAUUGUAGGUACUGUUUUAGGUACUGGGAAUGAAGCACUGAGCUAAACCAAAAGUCAUUUGUUUUUCUAGGACUUACAUUCUAUUGUAAGGAGACCUAAGAUAUCUAUAUGUAUGUAUGUAUGUAUGUAUAUAUAUAUAUAUAUAUAUAUAUAUAUAUAUAUAUACCUAAGAUAUAUGUAUAUAUCUUCUAUGUGUGUGUGUGUGUGUGUGUAUACAUACACACACACACAUUUUUAUAUGUAUACACAGUUUUAAAUAGAAUGGUCUUAAUUAUCAUUGAAAAAAUAUCUCUUCAGUGAGGAUCCCAAGAAAGAGAGCAAGCUGGCUAUAGGGAGCCAUGUUUCUAGUCAGAGGAGACAUACCCAGCUCCUAAGUCAGGAGAGCACCUGGUGUGCUUGGGGAACAGCAGAAGGCAUGCAGUCAGGAUCUGAGCCUGGGGGUUGGCAACCAAAGUGUACUCUCUUCCAUACUCAGCAUGGCCUCACGUGGUCAUGUUUAAAGUAGAAAGACACAGAUGCUGUUCCUACUGAAAUAUAAACCGUAUCCUUAGGAAAUAAAAUUUAAAAAAUAAAAUUUAAAACAAAGGAGAGAUUUGCUUUUACACACAACCUUUCUAAAUUGAAAUAUUGCUCAAGGAGAAGGGAAAUAUAAAAAUGACAUAAUAAUACUGUAAAAUUAUAAAUAAACCCAAAAUCGAGGUGACUGCAUAGGGAGAUCUCUGACAAAUUAAUACUUUAUAAUUGUGAAAUAUAUUUUAAGCUAUGAAAUAUUGAUAGGAUAAACUGGAAGUGAACCAAAGAUAAAUACAAAAUGAUAGCUUAAUUUGUGGAAAAAAAAAUGAUGUUCUUAAAGCUCAAAUCCUGAAUGCACUACAAUAUGUAGAAAUGUCAAAGAAUUUGAAGGUGAUUUACUUAACCUAUGUUGUAAAUAAGAUAAAAAAGGUGAGGUUUACCACUUAAGGUUAAUAUUAACAGAAGAGAGUAGGCAGUGAUCCAUAGAGUGUCGCUGGUUGUGUUAUUGCAUUAAAACCCCCCACAAAAUACUGACAGGCCUGAGUUUCAAUCCCAGCUUGGUCAAUUAGUAGUUACAUGACUCAAGACAUAAUAUUUAAGUUUUUGAAUCUCACUCAGCUUCAUCAUUGCCGUGUUAGGUAUGUGCAGUUUAGAAUUAUGUGAAACAAUAUUUUAGAGUAUUUAUCACAGUGGUGGGUACAUAGACAACAACUGGGGCUAGUAAUAUAACUGUAGUAUAAUUCCUGUGUAAUUACCUCUUCAGUAAUCUGUUUAAUCAACUCAGUAAACACUGUGUGUAAGUACACUGUGACAGGCAUCAUGGCAAGGCAAAAAAGGGAAAGGCACCAUUCCUGCCAUCUUGGGGGCAUGAUUUGUAGGUAAUUAUCUGCAAUAUGAAGAAACACACUUGAAAAUAAGAGGUAAAAUAUACAGUCUAAACAUGGAAGCCAAAGUAAAUACUUUCACAGGUGUUCCUGGAAAGUGGUACUGGAGAGAAAAGAAUAUGCCUUUAUCUGGGCUGCUGUAGCAAAACUACUGUGGACUGGGUGGCUUAUAAACACCAAACUUUUAUUUUUCAUAGUUCUAGAGGCUGCAAAGCCCAAGAUCAAAGUACCAGCCAAUUCAGUGUCUGGUGAGAGCCCAUGUCCUGGUCCACAGACAGCAGUCUUUUUGCUGUGUCCUCACACAGUAGAAGGAACAAGGGAGGUCUCUGGGGUCUCUUUUAGAAGGGCACUAACACUAUUCAUGAGGUCUCCACCUCCAAAGAGCAUCAUAUUGAGGCUUAGUUUUCAACACAUGAAUUUUGGGGAGACAUAAGCAUUCAGCCUGUAAGCAAAUACUUGUGGAAAGAAUUUUGAAAUGGAAUUUGGUAACGAUAUUUCAGAGAAUAAGAUAAACAGCAAGAUCUUCAAGAAUGUGAGUGUGCGAAAAGACGACAUAAAAACAGAAACAUUAAUGGGGCCUUCAAUACGGUAGACUAAUAAACUGCCUUGUAACAAAAGGGAACUCAGGCUUGACGUCAGAGAAAGCUUGGUUUUACUAUGUACCCAAGGAUUCAUCUCCCUUGAAGGAGAAUUCCUGUGAAAUAUCCAAGCAUCCUUAAAUCCAGGGUCACUAUGUCCUAGUUUACCCCAGUUACAGCUGCUAGCUUAAUUAUUUACAUAGCCUGAUUUCACUCUCAAAAGUGUCCCAUUCUGGUAUGAUAAAUUAUGUGGACACUGUACCCAAGUCUGAAAGCAACAUUAGGCAUAUUGAAAAGGUAAAGUGAUUUGAUUUUACCACAUAUAUGCCCUGCUUCCUGAGACACUGAUAAAUCUCUUUAUUCCACUUUUUAGUCUUUAAAAUGAUCCUUUUUAAAAGGCAAACAAAUGUUAUGUCAUUUUUGAAAUAGACACUGUAUUAGUUCAUAAUCCAUAAAUCAAAGCUGCUCAGGUAAAAGGCUCUUCGUUUUAUAAAGCAUUAGCAGUAAUCAGCAUAAAAAUAGUAAUGUAAUUAUCAUACAUAUAGAAUCUGAUAAUUAUAAAAGAUUUCAAUGUCAUAUACUUAGAAAAUAAUACCAAAAUUAAAUCAAGUGCGGAAAAGUAACAAGCUAGUCAGUGGUAAAAUGGAAAAUUUUCCCAGGGAGACAAGUACCCAAACUUGAGUAGAUAAAACAAAGCUGUCUGUUUGAAGGUGAGUGUGUAUGAACAGUGGCUAAAAGUUAGAAGGACAUGGGUAAUUGUAAUUAUACACAAUAGAAUUAUUACCCACAGAGUACUGAUUUUGCUUGAAUGUAGGCCACUUUAAUGCUUGGGUGAUAAUAACAAUACGUCAUUUAGAGUAUUGUAAAUCACCUCAAGGGAUCGAUAUGAAAACUCUAGGGGUGAACAAUACCCAAGUGUUGGUACCGUGAUGAAGCACAAUAAAUACAUAGGCUUCUUUUAUAGAACAAGUAGUACUAAAAUACAAGCAUUGUGCAUUAUGUUUAGCAUGACAUCCUCAAUCUGUCCAUUUUAUGUGCUUUGGAAAUAUAUUAAAUACCUUUUAAAAUUUGGUGAUGAGUUGCCCCCAGAGUGAAAAUGCCGUGGAUGAGGAGGAAAAAAAAAAAAAUGACUCCAUCACUUUCCCCGUCUUUCGGCACAGUGAUAAACCAUCUGUUUGGGAGCUGCCUUCUUCCUCUCAUCGCAGAAGCAGACGGUGAUUCACGCAGGGACAGUGCAAGCACGUUAGGUUUGCAAGGUGGCUUUUUAUUCCCCUAGGUAAAGAUGGGGUGAGUCAGACAUUGCCUCUCAUAAUAGCAAGUCUGUCUCUUGUGAUCUUCAGUCCCUUAUGAAUAUAAGUAAGGAGACUCAGGAAGAGUCCUAUUCUGCAACUUGAAACAGAUUAUAAUUAAUAUGUUUGGACAUAUUUGUCUUGUUUCUUGAUGCCAAUGUUAUUUUUAAAACUUGUAGAAAUAGAUAUAGGGACAGUUAUUCAGAUAAUCUUUUGCUGUCCAAUAUUGUAGCCCCUAGCUAUAUGUGGCUGUUUGGAUUUAAGUUAAUUACACUUCAGUAAAAUAAAAAAAUCAGGCCUUUAGUAAACAGUAGGCACGUUUCAAGUGAUCAAUAGCCCACAUGUGGCUUGAAGAUACCAUAUUAUACAGCUCAGAUAUAGAACAUUUCCAUCCCUGAAGAAAGUUCUGAUGGAAAGCACUGACCAAGCAUAUAAGUUUCUCUUUCUUUUGUAUUUGAUGUCAUGGGAACAGUCUUAAAUGGAUGACAUACCAUGGGAACAGUCUUAAAUGGCUCACUUAGAAUCAGUCAUGUGGUUGAAUGGAUACUUCAUAUUACCAGAAGAAGUGAAAUUCUACAACUUAUACAUUUAGUUUAAUUUAUGCCGUUCUUGUCUAAUCAACUAAACUUAAGAGAGUUGCUGGCAUCCUUUGUAAUCAACUAAAUUUAAAUGACUAAAACUAUUUUUGUGAGAGCUUUUUUAUUCCUGGCUUACUUUCUACCAAAUGUGAAUCUAUGCAUAGACAGUAGAGAAAUAAUAAUGGCUAAUGUGCUAGGCAUAAAUGUUGAUAGUCCUAUGACACUGAUAUGCUUUGUAAUGUGUAAAUCAUUAUAUAAUUUGAUAUUUGAGAAUGAACAAUCAAAAAGUUGUGUUUUCAACUUAUAAGGUAAACUUCAAAGUUUUCAUGGUUUUGUUUUUUGUUAUUCUUAUUAAAAUGUUCUUUUUUUUUUAAUUUUUUUUUCAACGUUUUAUUUUAUUUUUGGGACAGAGAGAGACAGAGCAUGAACGGGGGAGGGGCAGAGAGAGAGGGAGACACAGAAUCGGAAACAGGCUCCAGGCUCUGAGCCAUCAGCCCAGAGCCUGAUGCGGGGCUCGAACUCCCGGACCGCGAGAUCGUGACCUGGCUGAAGUCGGACGCUUAACCGACUGCGCCACCCAGGCGCCCCAAAAUGUUCUUUUUUUUAAAUUAACUUUUUUUUUUUAAAUUAAAAUUAAAUUUUUUAAAUUAACUUAUUUUCAAGUUACUUAACAUAGAGUAUAAUCUUGGCUUCAGGAGUAGAACUCAGUGAUUCAUUCAUCUCUUACAUAUGUACACCCAGUGCUCAUCCUGAAAAGUGUCCUCCUUAAUGCCCAUUACCAUUUAACCCAUCCCUCCACCCCCACCUCUGCAACCCUCUGUUCUCUGUAAUUAAGAGUCUCUUCUGGUUUGCCUCCCUGCCUGUUUUUAUCUUAUUUUUCCUCCCCUUCCCCUAUGUUCAUCUAUUGAGUUUCUCAAAUUCCACAUAUGAGUGAAAUCAUAUGAUAUCUUUCUCUGACUGACUUAUUUCACUUAGCAUAAUACCCUCCAGUUCCAUCCAUGUUGUUGCAAAUGGCAAGAUUUUAUUCUUUGUCAUCUCUGAGUAGUACUGCUGAAUGGAUAAAAAAGAUAUAGUAUACUAAAAUGUUCUUUUAUACCUGUGCUGACCCCCACUCUGUGACAUUUAUAAAUAUUAUGUAAACCAAGAGGAACAGAAUGUUAUAAGCUUAUUUAUAUUAAGUUUACAUGGUAUGGAGUAAAGAAAAUUAAAAGACAGUAGUGUUUCUGAUUGGCAUAAUUUUCUCAGGGACAAUUCAAACAAAUGCUUCAAUAACAGAGUCUAUAAUAUAAAAGAAUUAAAGAUAGCUUUUAUUUGCUUACAGUUUGUCAAAUAUAAAAAACUUCCAAAGUAGGUUUAUAAAAGAGGCAAGAAUCAGCUAAAAAUUGAAUAUUUGCAUGUAAGCAAGGCCUACCCCUGAUAAAGAGGUAUGACUUAACUUUGGAUUGCAAAUGAACACUCAGCAGAGGCCACAAAGGAUGGGAGUUUUAAGAAUGUAUAGAAACAUGAUUUUUUCUCCUACUGCAGGUGUCUUGAGGCACACAGGAUGAUUGCUAGAGCAAAUCUGAUCAGAUUUAUGCAUGAAACAUACUGUAUUAAUAAAGCUGUUUUAUUGCAUUUGCCAGGUGGCUUCUUGUACAUAAAGCUAUAUUUCUGAAGCUCAUAUAAUGUGGGUUUUUUUUCAAAUUCCUUAUGCCACAAUGUUGGCUACCUUAUGCUUUGUGUUUAAAAUUCAAUUUUUUCGUGUUUUUGUAAAGUUUUAAUUAUGCUUAAUUUAAAUUGUGAUAGCCUUCUAAAAAUAGAAAAGAUAUAGACUAUUUUUGAUUAUGUUGAUUCCUUUUUUUUUUACACAUUUGUAUACAUAGACCAAAAUAUCUUUGCUUUUCUAGGAUUGCUACCUAAAUGCUACCUCUACAUGUCUAUCAGAUUCUCUUCUCAAUGAUUUAUGUAACUUUUUUUCAUUUGAUGUUUACACUAAUUCCAUAGGGAUGAUUUUAUAAAUCCUUUUUAUAAUUAGGAAACUGAGAAUUAGGGAGAUAAAUCAAUUUGCCUACUGUCCACAGGUAAGGAAAGCCAGAGUCCAAAAUUUGAAUCCAAUUAAAACUGACAGCCCACCAAUGUUCUUUAUCAAAACUCUAUACUGUGUCCUUGCCCUCAUGGCAGGUCUGUUAUCUGCCAGUUUCUGUUGGUUCUGAUGUUAACGCAGUAAACAUGGUAUACGACCUUGAAUGUUGUCCUUCUAGUUUUUGUCAUGAUUAUAAUUAAAUGAUUAGUAUUUCAAUUAAUGUUUUAAGAUCUGCCUUCCCUGUCAAAAUGUAAUAUCCAGGACAGCAGGAACCAUGGUGAGCACCUGCUAAAUAUUUCUGAAAAGAACAAACUGAAAGAAAGACUGAAUGAUGAAGACUAAAGACAUGAGUGAAGGAAAGAAGUGGGGAAAGGGAGAGAAGAAGAGAGAGAGGUGGGAGGAGGGAAGAAAGAAAAUGGUCCAUAUUCUCCUGCAAGUCAAAAGCUAAUUAAACAAAUUAUUCACUUUUAGAUGAUUGCUGUGAGGAAGUACUGGACACAAUAGGGAUAUGAACCUGGAUAGAAUGUGACAUUUAGGUUGAGUCCUGAAGAAUAAGUAGGAGGUAAUUCAGGUGAAACUGGGCUGUUAGGGAGCAGCCGGGACCUACUGUGUUUUAUAACUCAGGUUAACAAUUUAGGAUUUAUCAAUGACCGUAUUUAUAUUUUUGAAAAGUUCCUUUGACCUCACUGUUUGAAACAGACUUAAGGGGGCUACAUGUUUUGUUUUGUUUCUUUUUUUUUUUCUUUCUUUUUUUUUUUUUUCCUUUUUGCCUGAAGGGCCAAAAAGGAGAGAAUUUUCCAGGAUGAGGGAGAAGGCUAUUAUUACAGCAGAAGCUCUUUGGCAGAAACUGACUUUUCUUGGAGGGACACAGUGACUGACUAUAAGAACAGCCCUUUCAUAAGGGAUCCCAGGGAAUAAUUACCCAGACUUGUUUCUCUGUCCACCAUCUGAUCCCCUACUGAUGUCAUCUUGCCUGAACCCAAUAAGAAGACAGAGGGUAGGAGGUUCUUUUGAGACUGUCUACAGGGGUCAGCUUUCUGAGCUCAAAACAGGUAAAGAAGGCAAAAUAUCCAGCACAGUUAUAAAUUAGUCUUCUUGAAAGAGAUAGUCCUCUUGAGUGAGUUGAUCUAAGACUUUUGGGCAUACUAUAACCAAACUAAUGUGAGUUCAUUCCUUGUUGAGUCAUAGCUAGAAACUAUACCAGAUGGGGUGCCUGGGUGGCUCAGGGGUUAAGCAUCCAACUUCACCUCAGAUCAUGAUCUCACCAGUUUGUGAGUUCGAGCCCUGCAUUGGGCUCUGUGCUGAUAGCUCAGAGCCUGGAGUCUGCUUCAGAUUCUGUGUCUCCCUUUCACUCUGCCCCAACCCCAUUCUGUCUCUCUGUCAAAAAUAAAUAAACAUUAAAAAAAAAAAAAAAACAAACAGAAAGGAACUAUACUAGAUGGAGUUGUUACACAAAGUAAACUUUAUUUGCCUCAAAUAAGAUCACAGAAAUAACUUUGAAAGUCAUGACUCCUUGAACAAGAGUGAAUGUUUUUUUGUUUGUUGGUUCAUUUGUUUGUUUUUAGGGUUGGGAUGAAUGUUUAGAUAAAGGAGCCUUGCCAUCACAUGUAGAGGCAGGCAUAAGGUCACACAUGCACUUUAAUAUGCAUGCAUUGUAUAUUAUGUAAAAAACUACGCAUACAUUGUGUGUUCUGCUCCCCCUUGAGCAAAUAUUUUAGUAUUACAAUGAGAUAAAGGUAACUGUCGGUCACUGUGAGUCACUUCAUGGUCCAUUUGUGCCAAUGUGAGUCAGAGGUUAAGCUCAAACUGGUCUGCGUGGUCUGGGCUGGCUGGAACUCUUUGUCCAGGCAGUUGUCUUUGCUUGAGGGGUCGUUUCAGUUUCCGUCAUGGGAUGCUUUGCCCCUCCAGUCUUUUGCCUGAAUUAGUAGAUAAGCUGGAAAGAGCUUAAGGAAAAAUAUGGGACAAAGGUCCGUGGGUACAAGCAGGUGAGCAGUAAGUUUAGGUCUUGGGGUCUAGCUGGUGACAGUGUACUACUAUAAAACCUGCAGAUGCUAGAUCCUACUGAACAUAUUAUUCAAGGUGACCCAUUUGCAUAUGUAGGUAUUCUCCUCUUUCUGUUGAUAGUAAGAAUUGAGUAUUGUUUCUGCCUCUUUACGUAACACACUUUUCAUUAUUAAAUGGUACAAGCAACCCCAUUUCCCAGUGCAAAUAGUGAUUCUCUGUUUGCCACCUCUAUGUUUCUCUUUGUAGAGAGUUGUUUUUAAAAUAUUAUAGAAUCACAAGGUUUUGAGGUAUAUGGAAAUGACUACUUAUUUCUCAGUGAUUUAUUUUCUAAAGAAAAUACCCUGCCUUGACCAAAAGAGCUCCCACACUGCCUAGCCCCCAAUAAAGACCUAGACUUGUUCUAGAACUUUCAAUCAUUUAUUUUCAUGCAGUCCCUUCAACUGUAAAAAUAGGGCGUUUGACCAAAUAAACGAUCAAUGAGGUUCCCCGAGGCUCUACAAUUUUGUGGUUCUGUUUCCUGGAAGAUCAUCUAAUUGAAAGCCAGUGUUUGUUGCAGUGAACAUUUAAGGACAUCAUCUUCAAAAAAGCAGCCUAUUUUAACUUCAAUCACAGAGUGAUGUGAUCUUGUUGAAUAUCUAAUUGCAAAGCAGCUACAUGUGGUCUGUAGGUCAGCUUUUAAUAGCAUAAGUAUAUUUUGGUUGAUAGAAUUGUAACCACACUGUUACAAAGUGGCUCCAAGAAACCUAGAGAAUUGCAUCUUUGAAAAAAAGAAUGUAGCUAUUAAUGAUGCCAGAGAACUUCAGGAGAUUGCCUUCCCAAAUAUUAAUUUUUCUAUAUUAUUCCUACUUUUAUUAUAGUGCUACACCCAAUUAAAGCAUCAAGCACUUAACCUAUACUUGUGAAAAAAGCAGUUUAUGAUGGGUGUAAUCAUAUUCCCAUAGGUCCAAUUAUCUCAGCUGGUUCCCAAUUAAUCCAUGGAGUUGUUAGGGACUCCUUUUAAUUAGAUCUCUUCCUCUCAAAGAACAAUCUUUUUUUUUCUUUUUCAUAUUUUAUUUUAUUAUUUCCUCUACUGGAACCCUGCAGUGUGGGGAUACUACUUUGAAAUGCAGUUGUUUGUUUGAUGGCUAGUUGAGAUUUAAUAAAGAUGAUAGUUUUAACCAGAGUCUUUUGAGUAGAGAUAUAAAUGCAAGUCCUUCUCUAUGAAAAUUAAAGGCAAAUAUGUACAAAGUGAGAUGAGGCAUCUCUUGUAUAUUUUAAGUUUAACAUUUUUCUUAUUAAAUCCCAUUGAUCUUUUGCAUUAUCUCCCUGAAUGUGAAAAUUGGCAUAGAAUUAACUGCUUCUUUUUUUAUACUAUCUGAUUUACCUGUUAACUUUAUUACCUUUAAGGACAUUAAUUUAUGUUUUAAAUUAAGAUAUAAUAAAGUGAGCUCUAGAAGGAAGACAUUUGAUCCACAGUGACAUUUUGCCUGUUAAAUCUCCUCUAGGCCAUAGAUAAAGUACGAAGGAUAAAAGGUUACUUUGUCAGCAAGGGGUUUCUUUUAUAUUUUCUUUCUGGUAGCUCAUAUACUCUUGCCUUCUUUUUAGAGUUCAUCAAGAAAACUCUUUGAAAUUGUAGAUUAAAAUCUAAAAUUGUGUCAUUCUUGUCCAACUUUCUAAGCUGUUAAUAAUAUUGUUUUAUGUAUGAGUAAAACCUCAUUAAAUUCAGAAUUGAUACAACUUUGUAGGAGUACAAGUGCCUUUGUCACAUCCUGUAUAUCCUGUUCACUGGCAUAGAGUGCAUUUCCCUGAAGGGAAGGAAAGUAAACCAUUUCAUCUUUCAAUUUAUUGGCAUUACAGGAAUUUAGGAAGUUAGCCUUCAUGAGGACUGAAUUACUUCAAAAACUUUGUUGUAUAUACUCAGCCUAAUAUAAAUAAGUACGAAUUUAAGCUUUUGUUUGAAAAAUCUGGCUAACCACAUGAGGUAUAAAUUCAGUCUAGUUUCUUUUAUUAUUUAUGCCUUAGAUUGUGUCUACUAUUGCUAUGCGGGAAAAACUUACUUAAUGGGGAGCCAUAUUUCUGUAGGAUGUCAGCGAACAAUAAAAGUCAUAAAUGUAUCAAAAGCACCUAUAGAUAGAAUAUUUGCAGUAAAAUAGAUCUUUCCUGACUGGGAACCUUUAUAAUGAUAAACUAAGACCUUGACUGUAGCAUUUUCUCAAUUCUAGUCUUUUCCACUGAUGAGUUGAUUUCUCAACCCAUAUAGCAACUAUCACACUUUGUUGCUAUUAUUACUUUUCAUGUCUUCCGCUCUGCUAGACUGGGUAAGUGUAGCACUAAGCCUUAGGAAUCUCUGCAGGCGCAGCUCUUUCUGUAUUGCUUGGAGUAUUUACAAGACUUUCAAUAAAUGUUUAUGGAAGGAAGGGAGAAGAGAAAGAAGGAUCACUUUUAAUAUCUAUGUCGUGGGAUUGUUCUAGAGACAAAAUUAACCACUACAGACAUUCUUUCAGUACUUACAGAAUAAACAUCUAUAAGGUCUUGAGGCCUUUCAACAGAGUUCACUUCAUCCUGCAUUCCACCCUUUGCUGCCAACAAAGUUUCUAGCUCUUUGCUGUCAAUGCUGGUCAAUAUCAUUAACUCUUUUCCUGAAAGUUACCUGCUAUGUACUGUUAGUAGAAGUUCAAAAGCAUCAAUGGAUAUAUCGCAGUUACAGUGAGGGUCAAUUUUAGUCUCCAUCUGGCAUGAACUAACAAAAAUGUACGUAAACCAGACUCUCCAGUUAUUAAAUGAAAAUGAAGAAUACUUGAACAAACAUUAAAUCAGGAAUAAUUCAGAUUAUCUUGACUCCUAGUUUUUCUCAAAUUGAAAAUUGGAAGGGAAGUAAAUUGCUAGCAUAUUGUUUAUUGAUCUAGGAAUUCCAACGGUGGGAUCUGUUUAAAGGAAUUAGGCUAAGAUGUUGCCUUAACAUUAAUGCAUCUGCACUUUUUAGACAAAACCUCCCCUUUUGGUCUUACGAGAGAUCUUCUCCCCAACACAGUCCCUGAAAGUUACUGCUAAUGUGUGUUUCAGUGACUCCUUUUCCUUGCUGCUUUGUCAACCGUACCCACUUCAGAUGGGCACAAUUUUUCUUUAUGUGUGACUUUACUGCAGUUAUGUUUUUAGACUCCAGAUCAGACCUGGGACUCAGUUUACGUAAUGAGAUAGUAAGCAUCUCCACUCAAACCAUUAGUUGUUGAUUGCAUGUUUCAACUAGUUUGAAAUCAGUGUUACUCCACUGUUUUGGUAUACAGAGCUCUACCUGUAGCUUCAAGUGACAACUACAUUAGAUGUUCAGAAAGCUUAUUGAAUGAAACCACUGUGUGGUACUCUAAUACCACGUUACAAUAGCCGUUAUCAGUUGUGAGAUAUAUUUAUUGAGGAAACUAAAAUCUCAACUUGUAUUUGGGUCUUGCUGUUUUAUGUAGUGAUCUUCAGUCAUCCAGUACCAUCGAUCACUGACACAUCCCAAUAAUUAAAUUUCCCAAAUACAUGGGAUUUAGAAUGUUAGAAUAUCUAAUGCUGUCAAGACUGACAAAAAGUAAUUUUAGUAUUCUCCCUCUCUUCCUUGCUUUUCUCCUCUUCCCUCUUCUCCUUUACCUCCCCAACUCUUUUUUCCCCCACUUCUCCUCCUUUUUCCCCUCCUUCUCUUCUUCCUCCUCUUUCUUAUUCCUACCCUUUCUUUUCUUCUUAUUCUUUUCCUCUCUGAAAUAUAAAACACUAUUCUAACUCAGAUCUGUAGAUUGCUGCUGUGUUAUUCCUCAUUAGAACCAUCUGCACAAACCCAAAAAUGUUGGUAGGGAUUGUGUUUUGGUAGAUCUUGGAUUAUGUUACCUUUCCCUUUAAUGUUCAGUUAUGUUUGGAAAUGAUUAUGUCCUAUAUUUGUGCAUCAAGUCUUUGAGAGAGCUUUUUGCCACCUCCUUUCCUAAGCAAUAGCCUCUUCUACCUUGGCAAGGCUGUGGGAUGGUGGAUUUCUCUUUCUUACUGGUUCUCAACAGCUACCACAGUGACCGCAGCUAUUUGACCCAGUCAACCUCCAGCAUUCAUUCUAGAGUUGCCGCCACUUGAAAAUCCCUGUACUUUUUUCUUUUCUUUUCUUUUCAAGUUUAUUCUGAGAGUAAGAGAGAGAGAGAGAGAGAGAGAGAGAGCAUGAGCUGGGAGGGGCAGAGGGAGAGGCAGAGAGAGAAUCCCACAUAGGCUCUGUGCUGUCAGUGCAGAGUCCAAUGCGGGACUCAAUCCCACGCGAACCAUGAGAUCAUGACCUGAGCCGAAAUCAAGUGUCUGAUGCUCAACCAACUGAGCCACCCAGACACCUCCCACCUCAUACUUUUCUUAACUCAAAUUUUCUUCUCAUGUUUUCUCUUUUUGCUCACUUCCUUCUCUCUGUGAUGGUCAGUUAUGUCUCUUGUCCCACCACAACCUGAAAAGUAUCACCAGCGUAGGUCAAGCAAAUAAAAUUACAGUUGUUUUAUAUUGUGAAUAAACUAGGCAAUUACAGUUACAUGUGGUAUGCUCCUUAGGGUCUUAAUUCAGUUUUGCUAAUCAGGGGCUGGGCUUUUCUGUAUUUAACACCAAAGGAUCCUGGCAGACUGGUCUCCAAGUAAUAGAAAAUAAAUUGUAAUUGUUAUUAUAUAAGUUAUACUACUGUCACUACCUAAUAUUUGUGGGUAGAAUUCUCUGUAGCAAUCCUUGUUCUAAGCAAUUCACAGCCAUGAUUUUAUGGUUUCUCAACAAGCCUAAAAAAUAAAUGCAGAUCUUAAUCUCCAUUAUAUAGAUGAAGAUGUAGAAGUUUCAAAAUUUUAAAAAACCUUGAAAUCUCUGAGCAAUUAAAUGAAACUAUACUUUAAAAGAAUGUAAAUAAUCAUGUUCACAGAAGAUAUUUGUUAUUUUCAGGUAGAGAAACUGAAGUACCAAUAUUGAGAGUUUGUUUCUUGGCUAGAACCUAAGGAUUCUGACUGAAAAUUUCAUUCUUUCCCUUACUCCAUUAGCACCGAUAUAUGACUUCAGUACUUUCUCAUUUUGAGUAUAUUAUCCAUUUAAUCAUUUCUUUAGGAUAAUUUAAAAUAAUUUUAAAUGAUAAAAUUUGCCUGUAUUAAUAGACUAGUAUUAAUGUAUUUAAAAGUGUUCCUAGUAUUACUUUAUUUGAAAAGUUUAAAUAACAAUAUGGUAUUUGCAAAUUAACAAAGUUAUUGAGAAGCUAACAAAUAUAUGCGUUACUGCAAGAAAUGCUCUUCUUUUGGGGCACCUUGGUGGCUCAAUUAGUUAAGUGUCCAGUUCUUGAUUUCAGCUCAGGUCAUAAUCUCAUGGUUCAGGAGAUCAAGCCCUAUAUUGGGCUCCAUGCUGGAGCCUGCUUGGGAUUCUCUCUCUCCCUCUCUCUCUGCCCCUCCCCUGUACUCUCUCUCUCUCUCUCUCUCUCUCUCUCUCUCAAAGUAAAUAAAUAAAUAAACAUUUAAAAUGUAUAAAUGUUCUUUUUUCUUUUGUUGUAUGGUCACAUGUAGACCCCUAGCCUUCGUCCAUUUUUCCCACUGGGAUACAUCCAAAUGGAUGCACUCAAACUGGGUACAAUUUUUUUGUGAGACAGCUCUAAAUCCACCUAUUUUUCUCCCCUUCAGGAAAACAUAUCUGAGUGAAAGUUAAGACUGAUCUCUGUGCUGAAGUACCUGUGAAUCUAUUCCAAUAUACUUUUAAAAUAAAUCAUUCUGAAUCUUUAUUACUUGUAAAAAGUCAUUUUCACACACUUGGCAAUUAUUAAUGUCAUUUUGUAACCCAGACUCUGAAUCCUGGCUUAGAGCUGAUCACAACGAAUACCUAUGAAGAACAUUACAUGUGAAUUAAAAACCUCAACCAUUUAGCUAAUACCAGGUGCAUCUAUUCACAAGAACCAACUUUUGUCAUGAAGCAAUUUCAUUUUGCAGCCCAUUCCAAGAAUAUUAGCAGGCAUAAAUAAGAUCUUAUAUAUGAAGAAUACCCCAAGGACAAGAAUGUAGCAAAUAUUUAUCAGUUGGGGGCCCACAGGGAAAAAAAAAUCCCAAUUUUUCCUAAAUUAUAAAGAGAUAAUUAUUUUGAAUACAUUUUUUUUUAUCUCUGUGUAUUAAUUACUCAUUGAAUUGGUACAUUUUGUAUAGCACCUAGGAAAAAAUAUAUUUUUAUUUCGUCUUGUAUUUUUAUGCUAUUUCAAGGUUCAAGUAACAUAUUUUAUAUAUUUAUGUGUAUAUAAAUAGAAAACAUCAAGAAAUCAGGGUUUUCUUAUCAAUGUACACAUCCACUAACAUACAAAAAGAUGUAAUAGCAUUUUUGUCACUGUCAAUCAUUUCUUUGCUUGCUCAUAAAUCACUGAAUUUGUGCUGUACUAGGAAAGUGGAAGUGAUCAACUGUAGCCUUCUUUGCUAUUGAACUUGCACUGCACGUGACUUUGAACUUCAUUCCCUAGCUCUGCUUUAGAAGAUGUAGAAUAAUUGUGUUGCUCCUUCCUUUCAUUUUUCCCCCCUCUUUUUCAUUUUGGAAAACAGGCAUUUUAAAGCUAAAUUAUAAAAUGAUACUAUGUUAUGAGAAUUCUUGUCACUUCCUUCACACUAUUUAACCUUUAGCUUAACAAAGGUGUAACUUAAUGAUCUAUGGUUCUUUCAAAGUCUGGAAUUGGAACAUCUCAUAUAAUCUGUAUAGAAAGUUUUACGUGCAAACGUUAAGGGCUGUAUCCCAAAGGAAUUGAAGUAAGUUAACUCCUUUCUAAGUCACAGGCUCCUUGUUGCCUGGGUCAUAUCUUUUAAUUGACCUUGACUUUGUUUAAGUAAAAUCUUCUCUAAAAUAAAGACAGGAUGAGAUCGAAGGGUUUUUGUUAGUUUUGGUUCACCUGUGUGUGUGUGUGUGUGUGUGUGUGUGUGUGUGCGCGUGUGCGCGCGCGCGCGUGUGCGCAUGAUUGAAUAUUGUGUUUUUAUUUCUACUAUUUAGACCUUCUCCAUAUUCCACCUCUUGAGAAAUAUAAUACAGAAGGCCCUACAUACAAUUGCCUAGUUUUAACUAUCAAAGAGAAUAAAUUCCUCAGGCGUACCAUUAAAUAAAUGAGAUCUAGGACAGACAAACUUGGCACAGGACUCCUUAGAAACAUAGACUGAGUCUCCUGGUUGUCUUGUGUGUGGGAUCCCUAUAGUCAGCCUUGACACUGUCUCACCUCUUCUACAAAAUGCUUCACUUGUAAUAAGGAUGAUUUUUUACCCCUUCCUACUUAGUAUGAUAACGUAAUUUCUUCCACUCUUUUGGAAGUUUCUUGGGCAUCUCUAGGAAAAUGGGAUGCGAAUAGGUCACAGGUAUAAAGUAUUUGGCUUUAGCUCUGUUUUAAAUCUGGAAUUAAAAUUCUGUUAUCCUUAGUGGAAUCAUCUUUAUCUUAAUCCAUCUUCACUGUCCUCUCCCUUAUGCUUACAGACUAACUGUACUUGCCACUAAAUACUCUUUUAUUUGACUCUGGUUUUAUCUUUCAGUACAACUGCUAUUUAGUUAAAUAUGGCUUGUUUUUGUUUGCCUGUUGCCCUGUCUGAAUUCUGCUUAUUUUCUGAUUUUAUAUGUAUUUAUGUUUUCCUUUACUCGUGUAUAUAGAUUAUAGAGAAAAUAUAUGAGUUAUUUUAUAAAGUUUGUAAAUACAUAUGUAAAAAAAACUAAGUACUCUUGUAAUUCUGGAAAAUAAUUUACUUUUACUUUAAAUGCUGAACUCUGAAUUUAAAUGUGAACUGAUUCAUAGAGUUCAUCAAAUUUCUUUUUCAGUUCUCAAGAGUUCUGUGCUAAUAAAUUUGGAUACUCAUAUGGUAUGGACUAACCCAGUGAUUUACCAUAACUUAUGUUUUAUAACAUCAAAUAAAUUUUAAGAUAUGCACCUUAGAAACCAUCUGUUUACUUUGUAUAUUCCUUAUCUUUAGUAUCAUGCCAAUAACAUGUAAUAAUGUUGGCUGUACUUAAGAAAUAAUUGACAUUUUAAAUUUCAAAUCCAUUUAAGAAUACAUUAAGGAAUUUUGACUAGACAUUUGAUCUAUUUUGGUUCCUUAAUAAUAGAAAAUUGGAAUAUCUUUCUGUAUUAUUCAUGUGAUUAGAGUUUGGCAAAGUCUUAUUUUCUGUACUUCUUUACUCUUUCAUCUACACAAAAACAUUUUAGUUUAAUUUGUACUGAGGAGCUUGACACUAACUGGUGCAUAGGAGAAUUUGAAUAAUUACUAUUGGAUGUUUUCUUUCCACAGUAGUUAAAUAUUUUCCCUAUUUUGGGGGAAGGUGAUAUAAUACCUUCCCUCAUGUGCUAUCUAAGUUUGACUCUGUAAUUUACAUGUCAUGGUUGAGUUCUACUCUUAUAUCCUGAAAGGUAAACUCUAGUCUGUUUUCCAACAUGUCCACAUUCUAGGAAUUUUUCAUUUUUUUAAAUGAGGGCACAUAGAAAUGAACUGAAUGAAUAAAUGAAUAAAACAAUCAUAUGAUGAUAAUGUAAGUAAACCUGGGCUUGAACUUUCAGAACUAUAUUACUUUAGUAGUUAACUUAACUAACCCUUUGUCAAGGGACCUACAAUAAUUCAGUUACUUAAAGAAUACAGAAAAAAAAGAAUAAAGUAAAACAAAUAAGUUUAUUUUAAUGGUCCAAAUUAGCUAUUCCAGGUCAGUGAAUGGUUGUACUCCAUGACAUCAUCCAGGGUAGCUCUGUCAUCUUCAACCAGUGCUCUCCAAUGUCAUUCUAGAAAAGGUGCAGGAAGAAAAACUUAGCAUCUAACAUGCAAGUUGGCCCAGAAAGCAACACAUCACUAUGCCUAGCUACAGGGAGUGCUGGAAAAUAUGGUCCUUAGGUGGUCACUAACUCUCACUUAAACUCUAUUAUUAUAAAGUAAGCAGAGAACAGAUUUUGGUAUACAAUUACCAAUAGCCACCAUAAUCCCCUUGACACAUAAAAAAUAUAUUUUUUAAAAAAGUAUAAGUCUCGGAAAUAAAUCUCACAAACAUGGGAAUUAGAAUUGUCAUUCCAAUCAUGUGCGGCCCUAGAUUCAUACUGGUGUUGCAUCAGAGUUUAUCCCAUGAAAGACGUUGUUGACCUCCCUGAUAACAGCAUCAGAGGUUAUUGAUCUUUUUGCCAGUAUCUCCUUGUUAUCUUUAAUAAUGUACAAUGGUAUAUCAUCCAAAAGAAGUCUUAAAACUAUUUACAUAUUCAGACUAUAGCCUCAUAUGGUAAUCAAUUUAAUGAGUUAACUCAUGGUUUAUAAAAUAUCUGUUAAUCUUAUUCAAGUUUCUUUGACUUUUCAUUGUUCUGAUAUGCUAGGAUUCAGUAUAUAUAUUCAUAUUCAUCUUAUAUUUCUCAUAAUUUUAAAAAUAUAUUUAUUCUGAAUGUAUAGCUGUUUGUUUCUUAAGCACUAAAUACAUUGAUUUACCCAUGAAAGCCAUUUAAUUAUGAGUUUGUAGAUCUAAAUCUAAUUUUAGACUAUUUUAAAGAGCACCCAUAUCUUCGCACCCUUGAGUAGUGUGCUGUUUGCUCUGCCUCUUCUGGAAGUCCAUGAUAUCAAGAUAUGACCACACUUACUAGGCAUUUGUUAUUUUGUUUGUUUGUUUUUGUUUUUGAGAGAGAGAGGCAGAGGGAGAGGGAGAGGAAGAGAGAAAAUGUUAAGUGGGCUCCUUGCCUAGAGCAGAGCCUGGCAUGGGGUCCAGGCACUCGUUAUUAAUAAGGCACCUUGUUGAGAGCUGUAAGGGAUCCAAAUGAUUCUGACGUGCACAUAAAGCCACUUAAAUGCAGAGGACUCCUGGUACAUAGUCAUCAGGACACAUGACCUAGGAUUCAAAAUCUGGAGAAAUUCUCUAUACUUGUCAAUUUCUUAAUCAUUGGAAUUUUCUCUUGGCGCUCCUCUACUGUUUUGUUCAUCCUUGUUUUCUUGGACAUUUCAAAAUCCACGGCAUAGAUUUCUUAUUUCCUCAACUGGCAGAUUUUAUGUGAUUCAUCUGUCUCCAUCCCCCAACACUUUCGAUUCCCAAUUUCAGUUAGUUUUAUGUUUUUAUUUUUUAUUUUUUGUAAUAUAGUAUGUAUUUCAGAAAACCAAAAUUUCUUUUCACAAUAAAGAAGGUUAAGCAGGAGGUAUUUGCAAUAUACUGGACACCUGUAUUUUGUGACAAAAAGAAAUUAUUUAUUCAGCAGAAUGUUAUGUAACACUGUGGAAAAAUGAUGAGUUUUAGUGCUAAAAAAAAUACUUACUUUUAUUCCCAGCUCCAGUAUUUUAUUUCAAUUGAACAGACAUGUACUGCAUUCCUAAGAUAUGUCAGUUACUCUCCUAACUAUACACUAUAGGUUCAGAAAAGAAUAAGACAGUCAUAGUUCUCAAAAGUAUUUACAGUCUUCCAGCUGUGUGAUAUAGACAAUGUAGUUCAUAUUUAUAAGGACAAGUUUCCUUUUCUGUAGAAAGGGGAUAAGAUCUGCCUCAUAAGAAUAUUAUGAGAAAUCAAAUGAUGUUAUUUGAUUCCCAUAAUUAUGAUACAUAUGAACUUUUAUGUUUUUACUCUGAGGUCAGCAAAAUUUCCUUCUGUGGAUUAAUUUCAAAAUUUUAACACUGCAGUUUUAGGGGUUGCUUGAAUAUUGUCUUUAUAUAGAGGAAGCAAAAACUAAAUAUCCUUAAAGUACAUUACAAGCUGGUGAUAAACAAUUUAUCACUAAUUCUUUUCACAUUGUUAUAAUUCAUAUAUUUUAUUUUUCACUGGUGGUUUCCUCACAUAAAAAUAAAUCCUAGAGAUAUAUUCAUUUCACAUGAACUUCAACCUGCCUUAAUGUAUUAAUAUUACAUAUAUAUACGUGUAUUUAUGAAUACAUAUAUGUAAUUUCUUCCUUAGUUAAUACUUCUCACAAAUAAGAGGAAUCAGUGAAUUACCAGUAUGAUUUAUAAUCUUGAUCUAGGAAGGGCCAAACGCUUCAUUUUAAUUUCUAAUAUAAAUACUUGAUUUAUUUCCACUUAUAUAAUUUUCAUUUGGUUAAUGUAUUUAUUACAUAAUUAUGAAAAUAGUCAAUUAGCAAUUAUGCUUCUUUAUGGAAUUCUCAGGGAAUCAGAAUUCCUAAAGCCUAUAGAUUAAGUAUAGCAUGAUAUAUUUAAAAAAAAUCUUUCAUGCAAUAUUUCUUGACAACUCUGGACUACAAGAUUUGCUUCAUAAGUGAGUUUACCCCUUCCCUACCCCAGCAUCUCUCUCUCUCUCUCCCUCCCUCUCUCUCUUUCAAACACACACACACACACACACCCCACAGCUCUUUCAACAAAGAGAAUGAAGAAAAAGUUAAGAAGCCAUUUAGUUAAAAUAAAUAGGUUCAGGAAGAAAAGGAUGACAGCACUACCAGAAACUAGAGGGGAAAAAAAUUGAUUAGAGAAGCCUGGGUGGCUCAGUCAGUUAAGUGACUGACUUCAGCUCAGGUUAUGAUCUCCUGGUUCAUGGGUUCGAGCACCGCAUUGGGCUCUCUGCCGUCAACACAAAGCCUGCUUUGGAUCCUCUCUCCCCUUCUCUCUCUUCCCUUUUCCCAUGCUCGCUCUCACUCUCUCUCUCUCAAAUAAAAUGUUAAAAACAUAAUGAUUAGGGGCACCUGGGUGGCUCAGUCAGUUAAGCGUCUGAUUUCUAUUCAUGUCAUGAUCUCACAGUUCACGAGUUUGAGCCCUUCGUUGGGCUCUGUGCUGACAGCCUGCUUCAUUCAGAUCUUGUGUCUCCCUCUCUCUCUCUCUCUGCCCCUCCCUCUCCUGCAUUCUCUCUCUCUCUCAAAAAAAAAAAAAUAAACGUUAAAAAAAUUUAAAAAACCCAUAAUGAUUAAAUUUACUUGUGAUAAUCAAUGAAUUUCUAAAACUAACAGAAAAAUAUUAAGAUUCAAAAUUGACAUGAUUACAAGAAACUUGAUGUGUGUAACAUUUAUUUGUCCCUAUAUGUGUUUUGACAGUUUUGAUUGGAUGCCAUAUGUUUAAACAAAUUAUGGCAUAUUUUAUGCCUUUUUGCCAUACUGCUUAGAGCUGGAGUAUAGUAUAAUUAAUCUAGAAUGAUUAAAUAGUGUUGAGCUUGGUGUCAAUGCACUGAAACUUUUUAUAGGUAGAGCUGAUGUGAGAGUGGGAGUGUAGUCACGAGGGAAAUAGUGAUAGGAUAGACAGCCCACUCUGCUCACCUUGUCCCCCCAGUCAGGAUCCACUGAUCCAGUUUUGUUGAUCAGGUGACAUUUCCCCAUUAAUAUUUAAGUGGAAAAUUACUUUAAUAAAACUUGUAUUAACAAUCUACUAAUAAGUUUUUUGGGAAUACAGGUAUGAAUGUGUGUCACACUUUUCUUUUUUAUCAGCUCCCAUUGGAAUCUUCUUUAUUUAUUCCUUUCUUUGUUCACUGUCACCAGAACUAACCCAUAAAUUCUAGGACUGGUUUCACUUUUCACUGUGCACCUGCCUAGUAUAUUGGAACUGUGGUGUCCAAUAUGGUAGCGAAUAGACACAUGUAGCUUUUUAAAUUUAAAUUGUAAUUAAUUAAAAAUUAAAUAAAAUUAAAAGUUUAAUUCAUCGAUUGUUCCUGCCACGUUUCAAUUGUUAAAUAGGCACGUGAGGCUAGUGGCUAUCAGAUUAGACAGUGUAGAGAAUAUAUCCAUGACUGCAUUAAAAAAAGAAUAGUGCUGCUUUAGAAUGAGUAACAGGUUAGUUGCUUGCUUCUGAGAGAUUGCUAUGUUAUUCUACUAAGAAUUGUUAACAUACCACAGAAUUGUAAAAAUCAUACAUUACUGGCACAUGGACGUACUGAAAUUUUAUCUUUUAUAAUAAGGCAAAGAUAUUUUUAAUAGUGGGGGAUUUUUAAACUUGUUUUUGUUUUUGUUGGCCUUUUUUAUUAGUUUUUAACUAAUGUGAAUCAUUGUUACUUUAUGUCCUAACAUUAAAAAACUUCAGUUCAUACAUUACAAACCUUGCUCACUUCUUUCACAGAAAAUUUUUCUUUGAAGUCAUUGGGAGAUCCAAACAGGAAUAGUAGAUAGAAGAAUUAUGCCAGGGGGCAAAAUGCUGUUCCUUUUCAUGUAUCUAUAAAAUGAAAUAAAAUAUGUUUGAUGAAUUGCCAGUCUAUUUGCUCUACUUCAAAACUUGCAAGGCACCUAUGUUAUUAUGAAAUAUAGAUGCCAAGGAAAACUGGAGUCUCUGAAGAGGGAAUGGAAAUGUUAGAAGAUAGAGUACAGAACUUAGUAAAAAUACAAAGUAGAAGAAUUAGAAUGCCUGGGUGUCUGGGUCUAUUGUCAGCUGUUUGUUCUGAGCUUUUGUGUGUGUGUGUGUGUGUGUGUGUGUGUGUGUGUGUUUUAAUGUUUAUUUUUGAGGGGGGGGAGAGAUGGAGUGUGAGUAGGGGAGGGGCAGAGACAGAGACACAGAAUCCGAAGCAGGCCCCAGGCUCUGGCUGUUAGCACAGAGCCCAACACGGGGCUUGAACCCACAAACUGUGAGAUCCUGACCUGAGCCGAAGUUGGACGCUCAACCGACUGAGCCACCCAGGUGCCCCUGUGAGCUAAUGUUUUAUACAGCAUGGCAGUGCCCUCUGUGUUUCUGGUGUUUCAUGACUUAGGAAUCCGUCUCCAUGAAUGUGUCUCAUUGAGUCUUAAACAAAUGCUAUUCAUUAUAUUUAUAAGUAAAACACAUCAUCUGGCCUCAGAAGGUUUAAAUACUAACUUGAUAUUAAUAUAGCUCUACCUGCUUCCCUUUUGCUAAUGUUUUUCAACUGUAGCUGUGCUUGUUUCAUUUUUUUUAUUUGUUAUGAAAUUUUAUUUUUAAGGCUUCUUAUGUUUAUUUUAGGCAAAACAUAUUUAGAUGAAAAAAAAUUCCACCAAAGAUAUAGGUUUCAUUUUAAUGAACCAAUUUGGUUGAUUAUAUUUGUCAUAUUUAGUUUUAGUAGUUAAAUUUUUAUGUGACAUUCUAAUUUAUGCUUUUGUGACUUAUCUUUUUGGGUUUUUGUUUUUGUACAAUAGUGGAUGGGGGGUGUGGCAUUGUAUUGUCACAAAAACAAAGGCAGCUUCAGUGACCUGAGGGCUUAGAGAGAAGCAGAAAUUGCACUUCAUAGUUGAGGCCUCUUUUACACAAGGAGAUGCCUUCUCUACCCCUCCACACCUUGAAUUAGCAGUAACAGGCCAGUUGCCAUUCUCUGUUCCUCUAAUCCCAGCUUGGGAAUUGUAUUGCACUUAAAUUGUCACUUAACUGCAGGAACGUAGGUCCUAAGUCCGAAUCCCCUCUGCUCCAUCUGCCCACACCCACAUAAAUAUAUAAGUGUGCCCUGUAUUUCAAAAGCGCUCUCUCUCUCUCUCUCUCUCUCGUUUCUCUCUCAUGCGCGCUCUCUCUCUCUUUCUCUCUGUAAGAGGACAGUGGGGCCUCACUUGAUUGAAAAAGGGAUGUGCUUUGGACUGAGAAAAAGAAAUAUGCAGUGUUGUGUCUCAAAGCCUGGCUGGUAAAUGACACACUUAAGUGCAUGGUGAGGAAGCCUCCCCACUCUCUUCCGUAACCGCUGUUAGGCAGAUGUCAACCCCAGUCAUGGGACCCAAUAGGCCACAGUGAGGACGAUUAUAAAUGAGGAGCAGGGGUGCAAGCGCACCUGGCUUCAGGGGUCCCAAACAGACCAGGCUCUGCCCACUUACCACUGACCAAAUCCAAAGGCAGAGAGAGUAGUGGUGGUAACAUUAGAAAGGAAUUUAUUUCAGUGAGGCCCACACUGGGAAGACAGUUGGCUAGUGUCCCAAAGGCUGUCUCCAAAGUGCUGAAAAUACAUCCAGGUUAUAUAAGGAAAAUGUGGUACAAAGGUGAGUGGGUCCAUGCAGGUGAGCAGUAAGGGUCAGAUCGAUCAUUGUCUUGGGGUCAAUCAUGUGAGGUCUUUAUUGCUUGAGGUGGUAGUUUCGGUUCCCAUCGCAGGAUGCUUUGCCUGCUGGGUUUUUUGCCUGAGUUGAAACAUAAGCUGGAAAGGAGAACUUAAUCAAUUAGAAAGUACAGACAGGUCAGAAUGGAGGUAGUUAAAAUUCUCUUUCAUGAUUGCUUUCACCCUGGCUCCAAGAGGCUGGGAGUUGGGUCCAACUCACAGGCAGUACUAUGCUUUUGGCAGUGUUGUGAGGAAUAAAACCUUAGCUCCACCAGAACACAGAAGGUAUGGGGGAAUGCAGGGAAGCAUAAGGCAGGACUGGACAGGACAGUGACAUCCUUUCACUUUCUUGUACGCACACACAUGCACACACACACACAGGAGACACACACGUGCAUGUACAUAUACACACAGGAGUUCUGUUGCUAAGGCACUAAGGGAUCUGGGUGAUGUCGUGGGGCUCUACUGCUCUCUCAGCAUGCCAAGACCUGAGUGGGUGUGUCUAUCCCCACCCUGGGAGUAAGAGACAAAGUUUGCUAGGAAAGGCAGAAGAGCCACAGAUGGAAGAAUCCCAAAGGAGGACAGAAGGGGAGGCCAUGUAAGAGAUUCACUCUUGUUUAUCCUUUUUCUAACACGGAUUUUUAAAAAUAUAUUGGUUGAGUAAUAUCUCUGACUUAUUUUCUUUUGCUUCCCUGAUCAGUGUUCUAGGAUAUUGGUGAAUUAGUUUCAGGACUGGCUCUGUGGACAUUGGCCCACAGAAGGGUCCUGUGCUUGUUUAAUGUUCUGCUGUUGCCAUCUUGGAAUUCUUAAUACUUUUGAACAAGAGACUCUACAUUUUACACUGGGCUUCACAAAUGAUGAGCCAAUCUUGAUUAAUCUUACCUGUAACAACAUUUGCCAGAGUUAGAGGAAUCUCUUAUUUCUCUCUCAAUUUCACAUUUCAUCAAUCAUCAAACCUUAUCUAUUUACAUCUUUUUUUUUAACCUUUUAAAUCCUCUUUUCUCCAAUCCUGCUGCCACCUCCUUAUUUCAGGAUAAGGUCGUCUCUCACCUGGACCAUUGUAGUCUCAGAAUCUUUUUGUUGUCCCUUUCUAAUUCAGCCUUCACACAUCUACGAGAGUUAUUUUGAGUCAAAUAUAUCAUCUAGAUUGCCACUUAUUUAGGAAAUUGCUAUUACUCAUGACAAACCACUUUUUGUAAAAUUAUUUUUAUAUUCUACAUAUAUUAUUUUUCUUUUCUACAUAAAAUUAUUUUUCUAUUCCUGAGUAUAUUUUGUACCUAGUAAUAAUUUAGUGAUUUAAUAAUUUGAUUUCUUCUGUUAAAGAAUUUCCAUCAUUUUCUUCUUAUUUAAUAGUAAUGAUGUUUGUCCUCUGUGUCUGAGAUUAGAUGAUACCCAUUUUUAAACAGUCACUCAGUAACUUCUGGUGUGUGUGUGUGUGUGUGUGUGUGUGUGUGUGUGUGUUAGAGAGGAAGGGAUAUUGACUAAAACUUUCUCAUUGCACCUACACUGUUUUUAUGCUUAUUCUUGAUUUUUCCUUCAUGCUGGGAUUUUCUGUUGUAGAAUAGAGCCAGUAUAAAAGAGAUGGUCAGUGUCAAGCCUCUGAUUAUGAAGUAGAUUUGUCUUCUAGUUCAUUCUAUUCCUCAAGCAAAGCUUAAGCCAGAGGGUUAUGUUGGAACCUAGAGGUACAUAGCUAAUAAGGGGUAAGUGUCCAACUUCUACUAGAGAAAUUUACCCUGGCUUUAGGAAUUGUGCAUUUUUACUUUGAAAUAUUUUGGACUCUUUCUAAAAUCUAGUGUUAAGCUACUGGCAGGAAUGGGAAAGCCAACAUUCUAUUGUGGUUAAGAUAACUGAUUUUGGAAUUAAAUUGAAUUCCAAUCAUACUAACCUUUCUUUUUUUUCCAUUUUUUUAAUGUUCAUUUAUUCUUGAGAGAGAGAAAGAGGCAGAGCAUGAACGGGGGAGGGGCAGAGCAAGAGAGGGACACAGAAUCUGAAGCAGGUUCCAGGCUCUGAGCUAUCAGCACAAAGCCCAAUGCGGGUCUCGAACUCAUGAGCUGUGAGAUGAUGACCUGAGCUGAAGUCUGACGCUUAACCAAUUGAGCCACCCAGGCGCCCCCCAUGCAUUCUUAAUAUGAUUAUAUCUUUGAUUCCUAAAGUAUAAUUUUUUUGUGUGAAAAAUCAAAUUGUAAUGCUUAUGUCAUAGCAUUGUUCCGAGUGAGGAUAAAAAGAGAUAAUUGCUUGACACAUGGUAAGUACCUCAAAAAUGACUGCUGAUUGUCAUAUAUUAUUUGUUGUUAUUGUUUCUAGGGUGGGUGCAGGAAGGUACAGAUGGAUUUUGAUCAUCCUAUCAGCACAUUUCUUGAUACUGGCAGAGUUUAAAGUGGGUACAGUCACUGUUACAUAUUACAGAUAUUUUGAAAUGCUUUCUAUGCCCACAUCAUCUUAUUGGUGGAAAUGACAUUUGAGACAAAAAAAUUCUGGGGCACCUGGGUGGCUUAGUUGGGUAAGCAUCCAAAUCUUGAUUUCAGCUCAGGUAAUCUCACAACUGUGGACAUGGAGCCUGCUUAAGAUUCUCUCUCUGCCCUUCCCUGUUUUGCACUCACAUGCACUUUCUCUCUCUCUCUCUCUCUCUCUCUCUCUCUCUCUCUCUCUGAAAAAAUAAAAAAUAAAAAAUAAAUAAAAAAGAAGAUAAAAUUCUUUAUGCUGCUAAAGAGUUAAUAAUCUAGCUGAGUGAUACAUAUAUAUGUAUUUGCAUGUGUAUCCUUCAGUAAUAUUAUAUUUUGAUAAUGAUGACUGUAUUUGGGAGAGUCUCACAAAUCAUUGUAUAAUCAUUACUAUUGGUUUCUUUCUGAGUCACCGUGAGCAACUUUCAGAUGAGUUGCAUUAUGGAGUGUGCACUGCUGAUGCACUAUACCUAUGUGGUCAAGAAGAAACAGUGGCCAUGUUUUUAAAGAUACAGCUAUGGAGCAUAAUAAAGAUCAGAGCAAAUGCACAUCAUCUUUUGAAAAUACAUGGCCACUUCCAGAGAAUUAUCUUAGUGGUACUUGAAUGGUCUGGAGAGUUUCAGAAUGGGAGAAAUGCCUGAACCUCCGUUUGUGAUGUAUUAUGGUUUAACUGUUGUGCAUUCAUCUACUUUAGGAAUGAAUUUGACUUUUGACAGCUGUAUAAAUCAGCCUAAAUUAUAUUUGUCUAAACAAUAUACAACAUAAUUCUAAGAGAAUCCACUUUAUAUUUCUCCAUUGCUAUUGGUUUAGGUCUCUAUAUUCCUAACAGCUAUUUAAAUCCUUAUGAUAGCCUUGUCAAUGUAUAAUUAGUACUCUAAGGCUAUCCUACCUCUCAGAUUUACAAUAUGCUUUGGGAUAUAUCAGCAAUUCAAGUUUUUCUGCUUGAAUGUGCAUGUUCAGUAGCACUGAACCCAAAAUAUGAAGGUCUAAUGAAUUGGCUUUAAUGGUUUCCUUGCCUCCUUAAAUGUUUUUGUUUUAAUUGGUUAUGCCACACUAUAUACUGAACUACAUUGAAAAGUUCACAGCAUUGAUGCUAAUGCUCUCUUUCUAAUUACUGCAUAAUGAACAAGGUCUGACAGUACAGUUUUAGAGGUUAGAUACCACGCUUAGUGAUUAUCUUCAUAUUUUUAUGAAGUAGAAAUCUUAAACCUUCCAUUAUAAUGUAGAUAUUAUAUAUGUACACAUGUGCUUUAGGGUAUACAUGUGUGUAUAUGUGUCUGUUUUAGAUAAAUCCCUGGCAAAAUGUAGAUUUAGGAUAAUUUAUUUUUAGGUUAUAUAUAGCAGUAUAUGUAUAUAUGUUGUAUAUGUAAAUAUUCAUACAUACAUUGGAGAAAAAAAACCUACAUAAUAGAUUCUCAAUUUAUUUGUCAAAAGCUUUAUUUCCAGUUUAAUAUAUUCUUCUAUAAAUGUAUCUAGUACUUAUGAAUCAUUAAUCUUCUCUCUCUCUCACUCUCUCUCUCUCUCUGGCUUGGAGUUUGAACAAAAUAUUCAUAUUGUUUACAGUUAAAAUACUCUAAUGAAAAGUGUUAGGAUCAUGCCAUAUAUUUAACUGAUUUAGGCAUCUUGUUUUCAUUAUAAAUACAUGUCUUUGCAGAAGAGCUUUAUAAAUUGUUACACUUUGAUAUGUAGGUGGAAAUAAUAACAAGAAAUCUAACAAAUUAUGAAAGUUGGGAGGGAGGUACAACCACAUUAGGAAUCCAACACUCUUGUUACACAAAAAGUACCAAACAUUGUUAUACCUACCCCUUCUAGUAUUGGUUCUCCAAAGUAUUGUGUUUUUUUUUUUUGUUUUUAUUUUGUUUUGUUUUGUUUUACAAAGGUGGUGAGAAAAAUUUAAUCUGGUUUUGGCUAUGCACAUUUUAGUUUAAUUUGCCUUUCCAGAGUUAAAAUACAGCUAUUUAAUUUGAAAGAAGUUUGAUGCCAAAUUACCUAUCAAUAGAUAGGUAGAGCAACAGAUGAUAUAUUGACUUUAUUUUAGAAAAAAGACCCCUAAAUAUAUUUUAUGCAAACUAAACUGUACUUACUAUAUUAAUUAUAUGAGUUUGUAUUACAUGCUUUUAUUUUUUUUUCUUGUUCUUUAUUAUUUUUAUAAUUUAAAUUUUAGUUAACAGUUCAAUAUUGGUUUCAAGAGUAGAAUUCAGUGAUUCAUCAUUGACAUACAACACCCAAUGCUCAUCACAACAAGUUCCCUCCUUAGUACCCAAUUCAUCUAGCCCAUCUUCUACCCACCUCCCUCCCUCAACCCAUAGUUUUGUUCUCCGUCAUUAAGAGUCUCUUGUGGUUUGUUUCCCUCUCUUCUCUACCCUACCCUCCUUCCAAUAUGUUCAUCUGUUUUGUUUCUUAAAUUCCACAUAUGAGUGAAAUCAUAUUUGUUUUUCUCUGAUUGACUUAUUUUGCUUAGCAUAAUACACUCUAGCUCCAUCUAUGUCAUUGCAAAUGAUAAGAUUUCAUUCUUUUUGAAGGCAAGUAAUACUCCAUCUUCUUUAUCCAUUCAUCAGUUGAUGGACAUUUGGACUCUCUCCAUACUUUGGCUAUUGUUGAUAAUGUUGUUAUUAACAUUGGGGUGCCUAUGUCCCUUCAAAUCAGAUGUCGUUUGCAAAUAUCUUCUCCCAUUCCAUUGACUGCCUUUUAGUUUUGUUGAUUAUUUCCUUUGCUGUGAAGAAACUUUUUAUCUUGAUGAAGUCCCAGUAAUUCAUGUUUACUUUUGUUUCCCUUGCCUUCAGUAACAUGUCUAGUAAGAAGUUGCUCCAGCUGAGGUCAAAGACGUUGCUAUGUGUGUUCACCUCUAGGAUUUUGAUGGUUUCUUGUCUCACUUUUAGGUCUUUCAUCCAUUUUUAAAAAUGUUUAUUUUAGAGAGAGAGAGAAACAGAGCAUGAGCAGGGGAGGGUCAGAGAGAGAGGGAGACACAGAAUCCGAAGGAGGCUCCAGGCUCUGAGUUGUCAGCACAGAGCCUGAUGCAGGCCUCAAACUCAUGAACCGUGACAUCAUGGCCUGAGCUGAAGUUGGACACUUAACCGACUGAGCCAUCCAGGCAUCCAAGUCUCUCGUCCAUUUUGAAUUUAUUUUUGUGUAUGGUGUAAGAAAGUGGUAUAGUUUCAUUCUUCUGCAGGUUGCUGUUCAGUUUUCUCAGAACCAUUUGUUUAAGAGAUUGUCUUUUUUCCGUUAGAUAUUCUUUCCUGCCUUGUCAAAGAUUAGUUGACGAUGUAGCUAUGGGUCCAUUUCUGGGUUUUCUAAGCUAUGUGUCAGCUUUUGUGUCAGUACCGUACUGUCUUGAUAACUACAACUUUGUAGUACAGCUUGAAAUCCAGAAUUAUGAUGCCUCCAGUUUUGCUUUUCUUUUUCACGAUUGCUUUGGCUAUUCAGGGUCUUUUGCGGUUACAUACAAAUUUUAGGAUUGUUUGUCCUAGCUCUGUGAAGAAUGUUGGUGGUAUUUUGAUAGGGAUUGCAUUAAAUGUGUAGAUUGCUUUGGGUGGUAUAGAUAUUUUAACAAUAUUUGUUCCUCCAAUCCAUGAGCAUGGAAUGCUUUUCAAUUUCUUUGUGUCCUCCUCAGUUUUUUUCAUGAGUGUUUUAUAGCUUUCAGAGUAUAGAUCUUUUACCUCUUAGGUUUAUUCCUAGGUAUCUUAUUGCUUUGGGUGCAACUGCAGAUGGGAUCGAUACUUUGAUUUCUUUUUCCGCUGCUUCACUAUUGGUGUAUAGAAAUGCAACAGAUUUCUGCAUAUUGAUUUUAUAUCCUGUGACUUUGCUGAAUUCAUAUAUUACUUCUAGCAAUUUUUUGGUGGAAUCUUUUGGGUUUUGUACAUAGAGUAUCAUGUCAUCUGCACAUAGUGAAUGUUUGACUUCUUCCUUGCUGAUUUGUGAUUUGGAUGUCUUUUAUUUCUGUUUGUUGUCUGGUUGCUGAGGCUAAGACUUCCAGUACUGUGUUAAAUAGUAAUGGUGAAAGCAGACAUCCUUGUCUUCUUCGUGGCCAUAGGGAAAAGUCUGUCAGAUUUUCCCCAUUGAGGAUGAUAUUAGCUGUGGGUCUUUUGUAUAUGGCCUUUCUGAUGUUGAAGUUUUCUGAAGGUUUUUUAUCAAGAAUGAGGCUGUAUUUUGCCAAAUGCUUCUUCUGCAUCUAUUGACAGGAUCAUAUGGUUCUUAUCCUUUCUUUUAAUAAUGUGAUGUAUCUCAUUGGUUAAUUUGUAAAUACUGAAUCAGCCCUAUAUCCCAGAAAUAAAUCCCACUUGAUCAUGGUGAAUAAUUAUGUUAAGGUACUGUUGAAUUUGAUUUGCUGGGAUCUUGUUGAGAAUUUUUGCAUUCAUAUUCAUCAGGAAUAUUGGUCUGUAAUUCUCCUAUUUUAGUGGGGUCCUUGUAUGGUUUUGCAAUCAAGGUAAUGCUGGCCUCGUAGAAUGAGUUUGGAAGUUUACCUUCUAUUUUUAUUUUUUGGAACAAUUUGAGAAGAAUAGGUGUUAACUCUUCUUUAAAUGUCUGAUAGAAUUCCCCUAGGAAGCCAUCUGGCCCAGCACUCUUGUUUGUUGGGAGAUUUUUGAUUACUGAUUUCAGUUUCUUUGCAGGUUAUGGGUCUGUUCAAAUUUUCUAUUUCUUCCUGUUUCAGUUUGGUAGUUUGUAUGUUGCUAGGAAUUUGUCCAUUUCUUCCAGAUUUCCCAGUUUGUUGCUGUAUAGUUUUCCAUAGUAUUCUCUUGUAAUUAUUUGUAUUUCUGUGGUGUUGGUUGUGAUCUCUCCUCUUACAUUUGUGAUUUAAUCUAUUUGGGUCCUUUCUCUUUUCUUUUUGAUAAGUCUGGAUGGGAGUUUAUCAAUUUCAUUAAUUUUUUCAAAGAAUUAACUCUUAGUUUAAUUGAUCUGUUAUACUGUGGGGUUUUUUUUGUUCCUAUAUCAUUUAUUUCUUCUCUAAUCUUUAUUAUUUCCCUUCUUCUGCUGGCUUUGGGCUUUAUUUGCUGUUCCUUUUCUAGCUCCUUUAGGUGUAAGGUUAGGUUGUGUAUUUGGGAUCUUUCUUGAUUCUUGAGAUAGACAUGAAUUGCAAUAUACUUCCCUCUUAGGACUGCCUUUGCUGCAUCCCAAAGGUUUCAGACUGUUGUGUUUUCAUCUCCAUUUGCUUCCAUGUAUUUUAUUUCUUCUUUAAUUUCAUGGCUAACCCAUUCAUUCUUUAGUGGGAUAUUCUUUAACCUACAUGUAUUUGAGGGCUUCCCAAAGUUUUCAUGUGGUUGAUGUGUUUCAUAGCAUUGUGAUCUGAAAAUAUGCAUGGUAUGACUCCAUCUUUUGGUACUUGUUGAGGGCUGAUUUGUGACACAGUAUGUGAUCUAUUCUGGAGAAUGUUCCAUGUGCACUUGAAAAGAAUGUGUAUUCUUUUGCUUUAGGAUGAAAUGUUCUGAAUAUAUCUGUUACGUCUAUCUGGUCCAGUGUGUUUUUCAAAGCCAUUGUUUUCUUGUUGAUUUUUUGCUUAGGUGAUCUGUCGGUUGCUGUAAGUGGAAUGUUAAAGUCCCCUACUAUUAUGGUAUUAUUAUCAAUGAGUUUCUUUAUGUGUGUGAUUAAUUGAUUUAUAUAUAUGGGUGCUCCUAAGUUGAAGGUGUAAAUAUUUACAAUUGUUAUACCUUCUUGAUGGAUAGACCCCUUAAUUAUGAUGUAAUGCUCUUCUCUAACUGUUGUUGGUCUUUGCUUUAAAAUCUAGUUUGUGUGAGAUUAGCAUGGCUACUCCAGCUUUCUUUUGAUGUCCAUUCACAUAAUAAAUUGUCCAUCCCCUCACUUUCAAUCUGCAGGUGUCUUAGGUCUAAAAUGAGUCUAUUGUAGGCAGCAUGUAGACAGAUCUUGUUUUUUUUUUUUAAUCCAUUCUGAUACCCUACGUCUUUUGAUUGGAGCAUUUAGUUCAUUUACAUGCAGAAUGAUUAUUGAAAGAUAUGAAUUUACUGCCUAUAGAGUUGGUAUUUCUGGUGAUGUUCUCUGGUCCUUUCUAGUCUUUGUUGCUUUUUUUUUCCUCUCUGCUCAAAGAGCCGCCCUUAAAAUUUCUUGUAGGAUUCGGUUUAGUGGUAACAAACUCCUUUAGUUUUUUUGUUUGUUUUGGUUUGGUUUUUGGUUUUUGUCUUGGAAACUCUUUAUCUCUCCUAUUUUGAAUGACAGCCUUGCUACAUAGAGUAUUCUUGGCUGCAUAUUUGUCCUAUUCAGCACAUUGAAUGUAUCUUGCUAAUCCCUUCUGGCCUGCCAAGUUUUUGUGGACAGAUCUGCUGCGAACCUGAUCUGUCUUCCCUUGUAAGUUAAGCACUUUUUUUUUCCCUUGCUGCUCUCAGGAUUCUUUCCCUGUCUAUGCAUUUUGUGAAUUUGACUACAAUAUGUCUUGGCAAUGGCUGACUUUUGUUAACUUUAAUGGGGGUUCUCUGUGCUUUUUGGAUUUUGAUGUCUGUGUCCUUCCCCAGAUGAGGGAAGUUUUCAGGUAUAAUUUGCUCACAUAAACUUUCUGUCCCAUUUUCUUUCUCUUCAUCUUCUCAGACUCCUAUGAUUCAAAUGUAUUACAUCUUAAUGAAUCACUGAGUCCCCAAAGUCUGCCUUCAUGAUCCCUCACCUUUGUUUCCCUUUUCUUUUCUGCUUCAUUAUUUUCUAUAACUUUAUCUUCUGUAUCACUAAUUCACUCAUCUGACUUGUCCAUCUUCAUUUUUAUGGACUCCAUUUGGUUUUGCAUCUUGGUUAUAGCAGUUUUAUUUAUUUAUUUUUUUUUUAAUUUUUUUUUUUUCAACGUUUAUUUAUUUUUGGGACAGAGAGAGACAGAGCAUGAACGGGGGAGGGGCAGAGAGAGAGGGAGACACAGAAUCGGAAACAGGCUCCAGGCUCUGAGCCAUCAGCCCAGAGCCCGACGCGGGGCUCGAACUCACGGACCGCGAGAUCGUGACCUGGCUGAAGUCGGACGCUUAACCGACUGCGCCACCCAGGCGCCCUGGUUAUAGCAGUUUUAAUUUUGGCCUGACUAGAUUUUAAUUCAUGUAUUUGUGCAGAAAGGGAUUCUGUGGUGUCUUCUAUGCUUUUUACAUGCUCAGCUUGUGUCCUUAACCUUAUAAUCAUUGUUUUAAAUUCUAGUUCUGACAUAUUACCUGUAUCUAGAUUGAUUAUGUCUCUGGCCGUCAUUUCUUCCUGGUUUUUUCUUUUGAGGUGAAUUCUUCCAUCUUGUCAUUUUGGAGGAAGAAAAAACAAUAAUAAUAAUAAUAGAAUGAAAUAAAUAUUAAAAAAAUUUAAAAAUUAAAACAAAGGAAGCUAGAUCCUAGGUGUGUUUUGGUCUGCUUGUUAAGAGAAGCUUGGUAGAAAAAAAGAGAAAAGAAGAGAAAAAAAAUAUAAGAAAACAUUUAAAAAUUAAAGACAUAAUAAAAUUUAAAAAAUUAAAAGUAAAAUUAAAAAAAAAAUUACUCUAUCUGUAUCCAUGAAACAGAAAAAACAAAUAACAACAAAAACAAAACCAGAAGCAACAACAAGAAAAAAACCGAACAAGUGAUCAAACCAAAGAACCCAAAUGAAGCUAUGUCCACUUUCCGCUGGAGCUGAAACUUUGCAGCACUCCCUGUACUAUAGACUGAGCUGGUGUAAGGAAUUUGUCUCCGUCUUCUGGGUUAGAGGCCUGUUGCUCUGAUUCUCAGGCCUACUUGCCUUAGUGAAGAUGUGCUGGAAGGCUCAGAGGGGCGCGGCUUUCUCCCCUUGGUGGGACUGUUUAGUUCACUUGGGUAGAUCAGUGCUGGUGGGCUAAUGAUGAAAAUGGUUUCACCUCACUCUCUAUUCUCCAGAGUGGGAAGUUCACACCCUCAAAAAAGUAUGAUCAAUAUGUGUCUUGUGUCCCCCACUUCAGUCAGCUCCCCACCUUCUCCCCUACCAGGAGGUACUUCCUUCCAGAGUUUUAUCUAGGGCACAGCUCUGUCUCAAAACUCCACGUUUCAGAGACCCCCUUGGUUUGGACCUGCUGUGAUCUGGGGGAGGGCCUUGCUGAGCUGUGGCCAGGGCGGGCUUGUCCCAAGGAAUGGUCAUACCACCACACAGCAGCAGUGGCUCAGAUUUUAUGGUAAAUCACAACACACAACCGACACCAGGUUUUCUGCCCUCAGCCAGUGUAUUUGUUCCUAUACCUAUAGUGUGGUGGCUUGAGGGAGCCUUCUGGGUCUUUUGCCUAUGGAGAGCCCGUAUCACCUCUACCAAAUGCACUCCAAGCAGGGGAACUGCUUCUCCCCGUGCAUCCUAGGCAAUCCUUAGAUGGAGCUGCCAGCUCCUGGGGCUCCAUCCUGCUUCCUUGCCAGAGCACCACCAGGGGGUGACCUCUGAAACUUCAGGCUCUAUGCUCCACUGGUGGGAUCGCAACCCUCUUUUUCCCCCAUCAGUGGUUUUGGGGAACAGUUUCUUGUGCAGUUCCCUGUGCACAUUUUCACUCUUUCUCUCUAGCUGCUUUCAGGGGGGAGUGCUUUCUUGUGCAAACCUGAUGUGCUGCUCUCUCUCCCCUUCUGUCUUUCUCCCCCCGCAAAAAUGGCUCUCUCCUCUCUGUGGCACCACGGCUCUUCUCUCCUCCAAUUCUCCUCUCCUUACCAUGUACCUGCCGUGUUCUCUCCCUCAAAUUGUGCGGAUUGUUCUGUUAAUGCUCAGAACAGUUUCUUAGGUGUUGAAAAUGGUUUGAUGUUGAUCUAACUGUGUUCAACGGACCAGACAAGCCCAGGGGCCCCUUCCUACUCUGCCAUCUUAACUCCUACCCCCUCCAUUUUUGUGAAUUUUUAAAAGAAUUUCAACUGAAUUUUUGUGCUUACUUGUUUUGGAGAUUUUUAUUAGUAAUGGCUGUCAAUCCUCUUUUGAUUCAUAUACCAUUAUUCCUUCCUUUCUUUAUUCUAUUUAAUAUAAUUUAUUCUAUUUAUUAUUAUUCUUUAAAUGAAACUUAAAGUGUACUUUCAUAUCUGAAAAUUCUAUUUAUUCCUCCUGUUAGCACUGCAAUAAUUUUUUCUUUAGUACAGUAAAGGGAAACAUUCCCAUUAUAUUGUUUGCAAUCUGAAGUUAAAAUAGUAGACAAAUUUAAGGUAUGUGACAACAUACAGAUAAGGCCAAAUGAAUGGAGAGAGAAUGAAACAAGAAAAAAUGAUUUGAGCAAAUAUAUCAGUGUGUUGGGUAAAAUGAGCAGAAAUGAAUCAGUUAGUAGCGUUUCUGAGAGGAGAAAAUCUCAAUACGGAUGUAGAAGAAACAUUUAAAUUUUAAACAGGAGGCCAUCGGGAGCCAGGGAAAGGAUCUAAGGGGGUAAUAAUGUGCUUGAGCAAAGUAAAAAUGUUCUCCAUGUUGGCAAAUCUUAAUCAUUUCUUGCUGUGAUAAUUAAUCAGACAGCUAAGUACUAGCCACUCACCUGCUUCAAAACAUAAAUUUUGCUUUAUGUGCACAACAAAUUACCCUUUCAUGCACACAUAAAAAAAUAUACAAAUUCUCCAUGGGAUGGAGGAGAUGUUCGAUAUCUGCCUUUGGUGGAAAUAAUUAUUAUUAAUUUAAGAUUAGCAUACUCUAGACAGACUGUUAGCAUUCCUGUUUUAUCUAAACACAGCCAUGUGAGGGGCACAAGGCUGUCAGUGUAUUGGUGAAAGCCCUCCCACUGUUCCCAACAGCUGCUGAAAUCACAAACAUUUCAAUCCUAUUAAUUCAACAUGAAAAAAUCAUUAGCAUUGUACUGAGGUGUUGGAACCAGCUCACUCCUGCUUGGUUGAUCUCUCAAGUCAAAUUAGGAAACCUCCUGCUCAGGAGCAAUUUACUUUUUGUUGAAUCAAGCCUAUUAUUCUGGUCACAUUUUAAGAUGGUGUUCCUUUUGCUUGUCGUACAAGCAGUGAUGAAUUUAACUCAAGAAGGAAAUUGAGUAUUAGGAGUUUGAAAGGAAUGGCUUUCUGUAUCUUAUGAACCUCUUCAGGUAGAAUACUUGGGAAAAAAAUCCAUAAAAUUGGUACAUGAAUAAGAGACCAUCAUCAUCAUCAUCACCGUCAUUAGCAACAAUCAGAGUUAACAGUUACUUCAUCUUCAUUAAAUGUGGAGCGUUAUUCUAAUUGCUGAGGGUUAACUCUUGAUCUUCACAUCAUCUUUAGGAGUCAGAUACUGUUACUCUCAUUCUCUAAGGAAACUGAGAUACAGAAAAACAGAUACAGAAAGAAAAAAUAAAUUAUUUACAGUUUUAUAACUAAGAAGUCAUGGAGCCGGAACUUGGAUCUAGACACUCUGACUCUGGAGUAUAUGCUCAUUGUAUACAAUUGAAUGUAGGAAAAACAUGAAUAAAACAAAAGAGAACGUGCAAAGAAACAAACUUUUCUAAGAUAUUUACAGACAAUCUCUUUAUUUCUAUAGGUGAGGAAGUAGCUAGUAAAUGCCAGAACUGAUAAAUUUGAGAUAUCAGAUUAUGAAAGUCAAUAGAUUGGUGGUCUGAUUGGGACUAAGAGCCAUAUUUUCUUUCAGUCUAAAACUGUUACCUUGGAAGAAUAACAUUGAACUGAACGUGAUUCUUUAUAUCUGGAUUUUUUUCUUUUUUUUGUGUGUGGGGGGUAUGGUAUGGAGUAUGGAGGGAACAACAUAAUAAAGAUUCAUUUUAUUAUAUAGCAUUUGUUUACUACAGAAAGUAAAACAAUGACACACUUGACUUUAUGUGUAAUUAACCAAGUUUGGGGAGUGUAUUUUCUCGUAUGGACAUGUAUUGUGGGUGAUGGAUGUUGAAAGACUAACACAAUCAUAAUGUUUAAUUUGGACAGUGGUUGUAUGCUUUUCAUUUAGUUUUGGGCUUCUCUAAAAAUGGUAAUUCACUGAUAUUCCUGAUUAACUUUUACUUCAAAGUCAUGCUUUGGAUACCAUCUUCAUAGUUUUGAGCAUUUGGUCUAAGUAUAUAAAUUGCUUAGUUAUUUCAUAAAUACAAUAAGAAUUUUUGUUCUUUCAGGCCCAUUUAGUCUUCAUAGAGGCAUAAAGUAUCUUUCAGGGACUAUAAAUGGAUUAUUAUCAAAAUAAUAAUUAUGACUCCUAAGAAUCGAUAACUGUUUAAAAAAUGUUUUAUAGUCGGGCUCUGUGCUGAUAGUACGGAGCCUGCUUUGGAUCCUCUGUCUCCCUCUGUCUCUGUCCCGCUCACACACUCUCCCUCUCAAAAAUAAACAAAUAUUAAAAAAAAAUGUUUUACAGCUUAGGAAUUUCAGGCACAAGCAUCAGAAUUCCACUACCCAGAGUUAACUCUCUACUUCUAGUCACAGUGCCGAGAGAGGGUUUCAAAUGAACAGGGGUAAAGCAGUAAUCUUAUUUGACACCUUUGGGCUGGCUGUUUGUGAACAUAGCACUUCAUCUUUCCUUUCUCUUUUGCAUCUUUGUGUUCCGUUUUAUUGUGGAUGUGUCUAUUUUCCUAAGUGGACUUUAAGCUACUUCAAAAGCAGGCACAUGUCUUACACAUGUUUAAGUUUAUCUUGUGACUUCACUUGUUUUUGUUUCCUUACAAGAGAUUUGUUUUACAAAAUAAUUCAAUAAAAGUACAAUAAAAUAACCUGUCUGGUUAAAACAAUGAAAUGGAACAUGAUAAAAUGAUAUCUAUUGAAUUACUUAAUUGCAAUAGAUGUCCUGUUAUGACUUUGGCAAAUUUCAUGGUGCUCUUCCAAGUUAUUUGUGCACCACCAUGAAGGUUUCAAGAUCCUUCAUUCACCAUGAAGGAUCACUGCAUAGAUCCUUCUUAAGCAGUGAGUAUACUCCUCACUUAAGCAGUGAGUAUACUUUCAUUAAAUGAAAACUUGACCAUUUUCACAUAUCGCUUUCCUACAAAAACCUAGUGAUCUCCAUGAUAAUAGCCUAUUAAUCACUCUAAGUGUGUUUAAGAUGGUGAUCAUAGACAUGAAUUUUGAGGAAUCUGUGAACUUCUGACACUGAUUGCAGAGAAGUGUGUGUGUGUGUGUGUGUGAGUUUGAAGUGAGAAAAUCUAUAUCUUUUGAUGAGAUUCUGAACGAGAUAUCUGACAAAGCUUCAAGAACCACUAAAUGUAUCCAUCUUGAAUCACUAUGGUAAUGACAUUAAAGGAAACCAGACAAAACCAACAUGUUUUAAUGUUUAUUUUAUUUUUGAGAGAGAGAGAGAGAGAGAGAGAGAGAGCGAGAAUAUGUACGAGCAGGGGAGGGGCAGAGAGAGAGAGAGAGACACAGAAUCUGAAGCAGGCUCCAGGCUCUCAGCUGUCAGCACACAGCCUGAUGCGGGGCUCAAACCCAAGAAUCGUGAGAUAAUGAGCUGAACUGAAGUCAGACGCUUAACUGACUAAACCACCAAAGUGCCCCAAAUGUGUGUUUUUAUAUGACAAAAAGAAAUAAGAAUUUUUCUUAUUAUCUAAUAUCUAAUAUCUUAUUAUAUAAUAUUUUUAAUUGGUUACUGCAACCUGUAUAAAACAGCUAUCAUUUGAUGAAUGAAUACAAAAUAAAAAUAUUGUAUAAUAAUUUUCACCUGUUAAUAUUUUAUUAAAAUUAUCCAUUAAUUCAAUAUCAUUUUCAUGCUUAUUUUAUGGAAUGCAUUCUCCUGGCGCUUGUGUAAAAUACCCAAACUAUAGGCUCCCAUGCUUUUUUCUCUCAGGAAAUUACAUUUUAUAUUGCUUUAUAAGUAAGGCAAAUGAUCCUGAAAGGUUACCAGAUAAAAAAGGUAAGGGUCAAUUCCAGGGAAGGAUCUCUGGGGGCUUGAAUCAUUGGUUACAUCUUUAUGGAGUGAGCUAGUUUCUGCGUGACAGAUUAGAUUCAGGUAGAUGUAUUGGAAGUGUAAGUUUCAGAAAUGGGAGCUGUGUGAGCACAGAUAGAAGUGAGACUGUCAUAAGCAUCUUCAAGUUAAAGAGAAUAGAGCUACUUACUCGCAUGCUGUGAUUCAUGCAUUGAAAACUAUUGUAGUAGUGACCAGUUUUCAAUGUCUGAACAAGCAUUUGUACUGCCAAUUAAAUGUUAAUCUGAAACUGUUUUUUUUUUUUAUUAGAAGACUAUAUUAGUUUGCUAGGGCUGCCAAAACAAAAUACCACCAUAACAAAAUACAAAACAAGACUAGAUGUCUUAAACAAGAGAAAUUUAUUUUUUCACGGUUCUGGAUGUUGGAAGUUCAAGAUCAAGGUGUUGGCAGGUUUGGUUUCUUCUGAAGCCUCUUUCCUUGGCUUGCAAAUUGUUGCCUUAUGGUGUCUUCACAUUGUCUUUUCUCUGUGAGUGCACAUCCCUGUCUCUCUGUGUGUCCAAAUUUCCUUUUCUUAUAAGACACCAGUCAAACUGGAUUGGAGCCCACCCUGUCAACAUCAUUUUAAUGUAAUUACAUCUUAAAGACCCUCUUUUCAGAUACAGCCACAUUCUGAAAUCCUGUGUAUUUGGGCUCGAGAGUAUGAAUUUUAGGGGAAUAUAUAAUUCAUGCCAUAACAAACUCCAAAGUUCUGACUGUAAGAAAAUAAAUAUUAUAAAUAUAUUAAACUAUAAUAGCACAUAUAAUUAAUAUAAUAUAUGAAUCAAAAGCUUAAUAUCCUCAACUAAGUUUUAUUGAACAACUAUAAUGUUUCAACAUGUAUAAGGAACAUUUUCAAACACAUUAUGUUUCAUUAAAUUCUUACAAUUACUGUGUGAGGAGAUGAGCAAAAUCAUACAGAGACAAACCUCAGAUUAAAAUUCGUGAAAUUCUGACUUCAAAUUUAUUGGUUUUUCUAUCAGUUUCCGUCAUGCCUAUAUAAUUCCUAUAUGUGCCUGGACAAGAAUAUUUGUGGUUCUCUUCAGUUAGGUUUGCCUACGUCCCACGUUUCUGUACAUAUACAGUUAUGUGCAUAUCUAAAUGUUUGUAAAUGUAUUUGAUACCAGAUAACCUUGUGUUUGUGCACAAAGUGUACCCAGUCUUUGGUUUAUGAGACAUUUUCUGAUAUCUCACAAAUCUCUCCCUAUUUUAAUAGUUAGAAACCUCCCCAGUCCUAAUACAAUGAGCUUUAGUUACAUAAGAUUUUGCAAGUGUUUGAUAGUUAAACUUCACAUUAUAUUUGGGAGCAUCUUGGCAGCAUGUUGUGUCAAAUGAAAGUAGUAAAAUCAGCCUGAGAUUUCACAGCUGCCCUAAUUAGCUGAUACUCUUGAAACUUUAAGAAGUCAGUAGCACAAUCUGUUGUAGAUAUAAUUUUGCAAUGAACAACUGUAUAUUUUGGGUUCACCAAAAGUGUCCAGCACUAUAUUUAUGUGUCUUCACCAGCUAUUCCUUGUAUUUUAGCUAAUCAUGUUAAUCAAAAUUGCAUACGCUUUUAGCCUUAAGAUAUUUCAGACUUAAUCAACUCAGCCUCAAAAUAGGUUUGGGAGCUGUGUUAACAAGGAAAGGCUGCAUUUGAUAGUCAUUCAGAGUGUGGGAUUUGAAAUUGAGCUGGUUUUGAAUUCUGGCUUUGCCACACAGUAGGUGUUGAGUCUUAGACAAGCUAUUCAUUUCUCUUCCUCUCUGGAAACAGACAUAACAAUAUCUGUUUCACAGACCGAUAAGAUAAAGCAGUUUUUAAUACAUGUGCAGAGCCUACCGUAUAGUUAGCACUCGAUACGUAAAACUACUAUUUAUUUUACCAGUUACAUAUUUUAAAUAUUUUUCAAAAAUUUGCAACUAAGCAGGGGUAGAGAUAUCAACUAAAACUGAUGUCUAGUAUACACUAGUAGUAUGCUAGAGGAUUGAAAACUGCCAAACAGAAAAGGCUGAAGGCACAGUCCCCGAGACUGCCUUCAAUUCUGACGCCACUUGCAAUUUUGGGGUUUCGCAAAACCGCUCUCAGGUACAAUAAUUCACUGGAGAAUUUACAGAACUCAAUGGAAGCUAUUAUCCUCAUGGUUACAGUUGUUUUUUGUUUGUUUGUUUGUUUGUUUUUAAGAUUUUAUUUGUAUGUAAUCUCCACAUCCAAUGUGGGGCUCAAAUUUACAAUCUCAAGAUCAAGUUGCCUACUUUACCGACUGAGCCAGCCAGGUGCCCCUCAUGGUUCAGUUUAUUAUAGGGAAACGAUGAAUGUUAAACCAGCCUGAGAAGGAGAGUCAAAGGGCCAAGUCUGGGAAGGUACCAAAUGCAAAGCUUCCAAUGUGGUUGGAAUGUGUUAUCUUCCUGUCAUUGAUGUAUGGCAAAAUUCAGGGAGUACUGCCGACCUGGGAAGCUCACCUUAAAGCUCUGAUGUACAGAGUUUUUACUGAGGUCUCAUUACAUACGUCUCAUUGAUUGAUUCACUGAUUGCCCAUGUGGUUGACUUAGUUACCAUGUUAACUGAUACCAUGUGGCUCACCCUAAAUCACAUGGUUGGUGUUUUGUGGCCCGGCCAACCCACUCCCUACGGUGUUUGGGGUAUGACUAGCAUCACCACAAUACCUGAUGUAGUCAGCCUCUGCCCUAAACAAAGUCAAUCAAUCAUAUCAGGUAUGACAUAGAUUACCUUCCAGAAGCCAAGGGAAAAGGUCAGACUUCUCAUUGGGUAAGGCUAAAUUGUUGACUACACAGUUAUAUUGCCAGAAUUGUACAAGUAAGCUGAUUUGUUAUUUGUUUGUCGCACUGUGAUUUUAUAAUAGCCCGGUUAGGUGAUUACUGAGAUAAUAUAAAAUAUGAACAAAAGUACAAAAUGUUGCUAUCAUGAAAAUUUUCAAAGUAUAAUCUCCAAUAGUCAUUAUUAUAAUUAUGUUCUUAAUACUAUAAGCAUACCUACAAGUUGGCUUGACAGCUGUGAGGCCUUCAGAAUGUUAAUGCUAUUUAAAAAAGGCCACUUUGGGGGCGCCUGGGUGGCGCAGUCGGUUAAGCGUCCGACUUCAGCCAGGUCACGAUCUCGCGGUCCGGGAGUUCGAGCCCCGCGUCAGGCUCUGGGCUGAUGGCUCAGAGCCUGGAGCCUGUUUCCGAUUCUGUGUCUCCCUCUCUCUCUGCCCCUCCCCCAUUCAUGCUCUGUCUCUCUCUGUCCCAAAAAUAAAUAAACGUUGAAAAAAAAAAUUUUUAAAAAGGCCACUUUGAUACCUUUUUCUCUCUAUAAAAGUAUCCUUAAUCUUAAUAUACACUGAGAAAGAUUGGAAUACAAUACACCUAUAAAUAUUUGCCACAGAAAUUUGUUGAGCUCUGAAUAGAGAAUUGAACUAUCUGCCUUGAUUGUUAAUUUGUGGUAUUUGAGCACAUAUUCAAUAGCUUAUACCUGCUAAUUUGGGGAAUGAAUUCUUGGCAUCAGUUUUGCAGAUUGUAUGUUUUUAAUUACAAGACUAAUAAAUAUAUCCAUCAAAAUUGAUUAGUGUGGAGGAAGGUGAUCUAAACAAUUAACUAAAGGUGAUUGAGUAGCACUUUUUAAAUUUAAAAACAUGAAAGAAAUAAUCUGUGGCCACACCUGAUAGAACUGUAAGGAAGAGUUCUAAGUUUCUGUCCUAUUGAUGUCAGAGUUAAAGGGACAUUGUGAGAGGUGGAAAUAUCCUCAAUAAGACAAUUAUGUGAAUGAAAACACUCCCUGAUGACUAAGUUUAUAAAAUUAUAUGCAGAGGAUUUUCAAGGUUAGAUUUUCAAAGCCAUAGAACCAGGUCUCAAAUCUGUAAUAGUACUUGGUCUACAUCAUGACCUAUAAGGCUUUAUUUGUGUUCUUGAUGGUGUAACCAACACUUGUUUCUGUUAAAAUAUUUAAUUUUAGUAAAAUAUAUACAUAUAUGCUUAAAUUGUAAAUUUCCAUUUUAGUAUCAGAGAUUGUAAAUAUCACACAUAUCCAUACUGAGGUGAGAUGAGCUAAAUAAAGUGAGGUGAUGUGAGCUUCAAGAACUGAGUAGGUAAAAUAUCAACAAUUAAUACGUAUCAUAAAGUUUCUCUCGUAAACUGCAUCUCUUGGAAGAUUUUGAAGUUUGUGGAUCAAUUAAAACUCUUAGGCUAAUUUUCAUAUACUUAUCAUUAUACAAAUAAAAAUGCUAAUUGUCAAAUAAGCCUGUCUAAAUUCAAGAACUCGAUUAGUUUUAUGUUUUUUUUUUUCUAAAAUUUUUUUUCAACGUUUUUUAUUUAUUUUUUGGGACAGAGAGAGACAGAGCAUGAACGGGGGAGGGGCAGAGAGAGAGGGAGACACAGAAUCGGAAACAGGCUCCAGGCUCCGAGCCAUCAGCCCAGAGCCUGACGCGGGGCUCGAACUCACGGACCGCGAGAUCGUGACCUGGCUGAAGUCGGACGCUUAACCGACUGCGCCACCCAGGCGCCCCUCGAUUAGUUUUAUGUUAACAAAAUUUGGAAACAUGGCAAUUUGGCAGAAAUAAACUAUCAAUCCUUAUUUAGUUCUAAAAUGGAAACAAAACAAUGAAGGUAUUUGUUAGAUAUUUGGGAUUUAGAAAUUUGACUUUAAUGACUUUGAAAAAUAAAUUUUUUAAUGCUCCAUUAGUUUUGCCUUAGGGUGGUGAAAUUUUUCUCUCUUACCUCAAAUAGAAGCUAAUAAUUGAAUAACUUUAAAUUAUUUCCCAAAUUUGGCCUAUAUGCAAACAUCUAGAUAUUAUUUAAGCCAGAUCAGUGUAGACAUUAAAUUUUAUAUUACAUCAUAGAUGAUAAUAGCAGGUUGAAUUUUAAAAAAUAUUGCCUAAAAAAUUGAAGAUUGCAUUUUAUUUUCAAAUCAAAAAGAAUCUUAGAUGUAAGAAAGAAAAUAAAUGAGAAAAAAAUUUUUCCAAAAAUAUUUUGACUUUUCAAGAGAAGUAUACUAGUGCUUAUAGCCAUCCACAUAUGGUGACAUUUUUAUGGUUCACAAAAGAUAAUAAAGCAACAUCAAAUGUUUUAAGAAAUAUAGCAGAGUCUAUAUUUAAUGAUAUAAAACAUACACUUUUAUUGAAUAUUGAUAUGAGAUAUUUCAAACUGUGUUUUCCAGAAAGGUGUGGAAGAGAAAUCUAUUGAUAAAUAGGACAUAUAAUUUAAUAUUAUGAUAAUACUAGUUUGGAUUUGGGCUAUGGCACUUAUAAUAUAUUUCCUUUGACUUACUUUGGGUUUUACUGCUUGUGAAUUAUUGAAACUUGAUUCACUUAUGAGAUAUGUUUAUCUCAAUUCAGUUCAAAGUGAAUUUCCUUUUCCUUUCCAUGCAAGAACUCAUAUUGAAUGUUCAGUGGGACUAUAAUCCAUCAUGUUGUGUCUUGGAAAACACAUUUAUAAAGUUAAUAUUGUACAGAUAAUUUACAUUUCUCUUGUAUAGGAAACACAAGGUUUUAUUUUAUUAGGCUAAUGAAACAAUAUGGAGUAUUAUCUGGGCAUACUAUUCAAGAAUUUCAUGAUCAUAAAUAAAAUAAGGUGGAUUCAAAAUCUAAAAGGCUAAAAAUAACCCUAAAAAGCUAUCUUCUCUGUUUUCACUAGAACCAUAUUCAGACACAAAUUGGAUACAAACUGUCUGACUUCAAUAGCAAUCCUAUAUAUAGCUGUCAGGCUUGUACAGAAGAAAUUCCAUAAACUUCCUUAGCAGGUUAUUUUAGUUUCUAAAGCUUUUUAUUGGAAAUAAAUUAAAACCUCUAAUGAAGGUUUAUUCUUUGGUUACUACCAUUUCCUCCUGCAUAGACUUGGAAAAAAACUGGCUAUUCUCUUGGAAAGAUCCUUUUCUAAGCCUAAGGAUUUUUAUUGAAUCACAAUUAACUGUCCCUCUUUGGAAUUAUAUUUAUCCAUUCUUUGACUAUAUAUAUAAAGAUAUAAGAUAUUGUCAUUAGAAUUAAAUAGUUAAAUGAUUAGAAGUUUCAGAAUAUACUGAAAACCAUAAAUCUGUAGAAAAUGCAUAAUGGGGCAACAGGUCCACUGUAGUUGGUGAAAUGUAUUUAAAAAUGAAAUGAACACAAAGCAAUGGCUUGACAGUCAUUCAGAAAACUUUUCUUAAACAUAGGUAUUCUGUAGUCUUUGAAGUUAUAGGGACUAAGAUGGAAUAAGAUGCUGUGUUUUGGGCUCUUAAAUAAUCCAUAGUCUGCUUGGCAAGUCAGACAAGCAGAAAGUCUGACUUACUGUUUAGCACAUUGUGAUAAGUUCUAAAAUUUUGGUUAGCACAAAGGACAGUCAGUGCAUAAAAUGUCAAGAAAUCUCAAGAAAGUCUUCAUGGACUGAAAAAAGAAUAGGAGUUAACCAAGCAACAUUGACCUAGUAGGUAUUUGAAAGAGUUUUCCCAAGCAGAAGGAGCAAUGAUAGCAAUAUAAGUUGGUAACUAGGAUAAAUAGCAAUUUGUUCAGUGACAGGAAGAAAAGAGUGCAGAGGUUGGAAAUAAAGGCAGCUGAAAAUAAAGACUGAAACAGUCCCUAGAAGCAUGUCAUAUAUUCUAAAAAGUUUGGACUGUCUACUGAAGCUAAAAGGAAGUUUUGAAGAUUGUUAAACAGAGAAGUAACAAAUUGAUUUUCAUUUUAUGGAAAUGUUACUGGAAGCAGAAUAAUGGUGAAGUUUAAAAAAAAAUGCAUGCUUAGUAGCAUACACACACACACACGAAUAAAAGUAAGGAGUGCCCUUGAUUGUCUAUUGUACUAACACUGGAAUGUAACGAUGACAGCCUGAUCCAAGAGGAAUUUGUGAUAAGUUUUGAGCCAAAAAGAAAUGGAGGACUAAAGAUAUCCAGCAGAGAUCCAAUUUGGGUAUCACAUGACUGGGAAGAGUAUGAUACUAUCUUAAUUCACUCAUCAAAGGAACACAAGAAGAACAACAGGUUUGAGAAUAAGAUGUUGAGCCUACUUUUAGAUAUGUUGGCUAUUAGAGAUUUCUAAGACAUUCAAGUAAAUAUGGCAUACAUAGAUACUCAAUGCUAUAAAAAGUCAAAUUUCUAGGUUCAAGGCUCAGAGGAGAUAUCUACACUGAAGAUACAACACAAAUCAUCAACAAAUAAGUGGUAAUUGAUGAUGAUGUCAUCCGUGAACAAAGACAGUUUUACUUCUUCCUUUCCAAUGGGUAUACCCUUAUUAUCUUUUCUUGCUUUGUUGCAUUAGGAAGGACUUCCAGUAUGACCUUGCAAAGGAGUAGUGAGAGGGAGAUCCUUGCCUUGUACCUGAUCAUAGUGAGAAAUCUUUGAGUUUCUCACCAUUAAGUAUGAUGUUAACUUUAGGGAUUUUUUUUGUAGAUAGUCUUUAUCAAGUUUAAGAAGUUCCCCUCCAAUGAUACUUAUUUACUUAGUCUAAAGAUUGAUGAUUUAUAUAUUGAAGGAAGAAUCAAAAGAAAUCUUAACAAGACAAAUGUAAAAGUACCAAAUUAAAGAAUCAGUUGCACAAAUUAGGAAGGGGCAAGAUCUAGUUUGGAGAGUAUUGAACCUGGAGAAUUAAAUUAACUAUUAUCUCCUAAGGAAUAGCAAUAUAACAUGAUGAAAGAGACAAAGAGACAGAGACAGAAGAGAAAAUAUAAAAAUUAAAAGCAAACAAAAUAUCCCUAAUGAAGCUUCUAGGUUUUAUUAAUUGGCAUAUCUACAUAAUUCACAGGCCCCAGAAAGAUGAGAAUAUGGUUUAAGAACAAACAGUUAUUUGGUAACUCCAGUGUACAGAGGAAUUUAGCAGUAUAGCAUUGUUGCCCUAAAAUAAAAGUAAUUGUAAACAAUUAGAGUUAUUGAACAAUAUAAUUAAAAUAGUGAAUUGUAUGUAUAUCAUAUAAUGUUGAAGGAUAGUUACCCAGACUGAGAUGCUUUAGGAAGAGUAUAACAAUUCUUUUACAUUUAAGGAUUUAUCAUGUGAAAAAGGGAAUUAGGUUUAUUUUUGUAUUAUUCUGAAUGAUCAAGUAGGAAUUACAGAGAAACAUAGUUUUAUUUUUUUAAUGUUUAUUUAUUUUGGAGAGAGAGAGAGAGGGAAAGAGAGAGAGCAAGCAUGGGGGGGAGGGGCAAAGAGUGAGGAGGACAGAGGAUCUGAAGUGGGCCCUGCACUGACAGCAGAGUCUGAUGUGGGGCUUGAAUUCAUGAGCUGUGAGAUCAUCACCUCAGUCGAAGUCAGAUACUUAACCGACUAAGCCACCAGGUGCUCCACAGAGAGGAAUAUUUUUGAAUUAAUGUACAAAAAUAAAUUUACUCAUAGUUAUCAGUACAUAAAAUGUCUGCCUCAAAAUAAUGAGUUCUUUGACACUGAGACUCUUCUAGGAGUGUUUUAAAGACCAACUACUAGUGGUUUUAUAGUCUCCUAGAUGAUAUAAGGCCUUAAAAUUCUUUAAGUUAUAAAGUGAUGUUUCCAAUAUUGGUACCUCAUUGGAAAAAUGAACCAUGGGGAUGCUUUUCCUUUUGUACUCAGUUUAAAUUAAUUUUCUACAUUAAUCACAUUUUUAGAAGAAAAAGAAAAAAGGUAAGAUGAGGGAGAGGAGAGAGAGGAAGGGAAUAAUUUGGCUCUACCUGUCGUAUAUAAAUUCCUAUUUGUAUUUUUUUAAGGGUUUUGUUCUUUGGGUUUUUUUGUUUGUUUUGUUUUGUUUUGUUUUUGAGAGAGAGAGAGAGAGAGAGAGAGAGAGAGAGUGAGGGAGGAGCAGAGAGAAAGGGAGAGAGAAUUCCAAGCAGGCUCCAUGCUGUCAGCACAGAGCCUGAUGCAGGGCUCGAUCUCAUGAACCAUGAGAUCAUGACUGAGCCAAAAUCAAGAGUCAGACACUUAACCAACUGAACCACUCAGGCACCCCCAUUUUUCUUUCUAUAUCUAUAUCCUUAACACACACAGAGUAGAAUACUACCUAUAAAAGUGUAAUCUAUUUUUAUUAGACUUUUGUUUUUUCAUGGUUAAAACUCAAAAUUUUGUAGUAUAUUCUACUGAUUUUUUUCCUCUUUUAGGAAUUUCAACAAAUCUCUUCAUAGUUUUAUUUUUUGAGAAAUAGAGCAUAGAGUAAAAGAUAGACAAUGAGCAACAGAGGCUUAAAAUUUCAUUAUUAGGCAGAUGACUAAAGGAAAACACUGAACUACCUACCCUCUUUUACUAUAUUUGAAAGAGAAAGAGAUUGUAAAUUUAAUGUGUAAAUAACUAUGUUAUUGAAACUCUUGGGUUAAAAAAGUCAGUAUACCUAAAGAUCUGUGAGAAAAGAGGUGAACAAAUGGGGCUGAUAUGUGAGAAGAAGCUUCUUGCUCUUAGUGAAUAUACUUGAGAUGCACAAGGAGUCGAAAAGACGGGUUGGCUGACUUCAAGAAAUGUGACUACAUUUGUUCAAGACACUUUCGUUGUCUAAGCAUUUAUGUAACUCAUACUACACCCCAAGAAUUGUUGUAGAAAUCAAAUACAUGAAUAGUGCUAUAUUUGGGGUCUUUGCUAUGUAGGAGGGGGAAAAAGACUAAUUCAAGCUACCUCAAAUAUCGCAAGGUUAUUUUGAGAUAAUUUUGGGAGUAAGUGGAACAGGAAUCCCACCAAAGCCUUUGGAACAGCUGGCAUUCACAGGGAUGGGAGUAUAUUCUCAUAACCAUGAGAGACAUAGUGACUCAAAUGUACCUGUAGGGACUAGAGUAGUAAGAACUCUUGAAUCUUCAUCCUAAUGUUGUGCUUUAAAGAGACUCCUAUACUUCUCCAUUUUUCUCACUCUCUGUAUAUGUAUGCUUUUUUUUAAUGCUCAUUUAUUUUUGAAAGAGAGAGAGUGUGCAUGCAUGUGCACACAAGUGGGGGAAGAGAAGAGAGAGAGGGAAACAGAAUCCGAAGUAGGCUCCAGGCUCUGAGCUGUCAACACAGAGCCGGACCUGGGGCUCAAACCCACGACUGUGAGUUCACAACCUAAAAAUUUUUUAUCAAGCCUUCUUUAGCCCAACUCUACUUCCCUAUUACAGCUCAAAAUCCAUUUCCUGAAUUCUCACAAUACAUCUUAUCAUCUUCAGGUCUGGUUUUGACUUGUGUGAUCUUUCCAUGUUGCCUCUUUCAAAUUUUAAAGAAAGUUGAGUUCUCUUCACAUGAUGCACAGAAACAUUCUUCCCCUCCCUUUCUCUCUUCUCCCCUUCCCUCCCUUGCCCCUUCCUCCUCUCUCCCUUCCUCCCCUCUUCCUCCCAGUUUCUUCCUUUUGCUAGGAAAAGUUUUGAAACAUUUUUAAGUAAACAAAAGAACGAAAAAGAAAAAAAAAAGAAAACACUAGGAAAUGUUCUAACUCACUCAUGUGAUUAUUUCCUGUUUCUUCCUUUCAUAGUGUUGGACUAUUUUAAAACUGCAGAGGUUGGAGAAAAGUGAUAAUAAUGGAUAUGAUCCUUAUACAUAGAAAACUAAUUGCUCCUUUGGCUAAUUCUGAUCUGCAUCUAUUUGUAAAUUCAUUUCAGAAUCCCUUAGUCUCUGUAUAUGUCUCUGCUUUUUUUUUGGGAUCUCCUUGGAACAAGUUGUAACAUCUUACUGGUUCCCUCAUUAAUUAAAAGAUACAUAAAUUAUUUGACACCAUUUAUGUUAUACUUGUGUGAGAAUUAUGGUUUUAUUCUUUUUAAAAUUUAUCCUUUAACACUUGUUUUUCUUUUUUCAAACAAGACUUCUAUCAAAGGUCAUUGCCCAGCCUUUGGAGAGGUAACUAGCACACUCCAUACAGCUGUAGCUGGGAGUUAACUGAGGGAGAGAAGGUGAUAACUAGAUUAUGUAAGACCUUGUAGAGAAUUUUAAAACGUUGACAAUUAUUCCGAGUGAGAAAGGGAGCAGAGAAGUGCCAAAUUGAUUGACACUUUAAAAGGACCACUGUGGAUGUGGUUUUGACAGGAAAUAGGAGGUCAAGGGUAGAAGCAGGGAAAUCAAUUAAAAGGCUAUUACAGUUAUUUGGAAGAAAGGUGAUGAUACCGUGGACAAACAACUAAGUAGGUAAUGGUAAAACAGUACAAUUUAAUCAUAUUCUGGAUAUCUUUUGGGUGAUUGGAAUUUACCAUUGAAUCGAUGCAAAGCAUGUGAAAUGAGAGAAAUCAUGAGCUUUGUCAACAUAUUGGACUUAGGACACUGGAAUGGUGGAGCAUUUAGGAAAUGUGUGGGGUGUGGGUAUUUUUGCACUUGAUAACUUUAACAAAGUCACUCAAUUUCCAUGUAUUGAUGUUGUGAAGGAAGUCAGGCAUUCAGGGGAAGUCUGGGCUAGAAGUAUAAUACUGGGAGUCAUGAGCAUUGAUAUGAUAUUUUUAACCCAGGCAUUUGUAGCAAUAUAAAAGACCACCCAAAUGAGAACAAAGAGAGGUCAGUAAUUCAGAGCUUAUUACAUCAAGGGACUCAGCCAUCACUUGUGUUUGGCAUCUUUCAAGACAGGCAGGGAAGUAAGGGGAAAAAAAAAGGAAGACUUCAGAUAUGCUCUAAUUGGAGGUUGUUGGCAUGGGGAAGCUGGAGGUGAGCUCAUUAAAAGUGGGGCCUCAGAUUGGUUCCAGAAGGUGAUUUGGCUUACUGUUUGGUCUCACUUGAGUUGUAAAGGGAAAGGGGUGGUAGCAAAAUAGCAAGCAUUUGUUGACAAAGUACUAACUGUUCUGGAAUAGUUGCUGCAGAGAUUGUGGCUUGGCUUAAUGGACAUUUUAUGUGGGUCAGAGUUCUGUUGUCAUAUUUGUCUGGUCAUUGCCUGCAUAUUCAGUCUUUCACCCUAAAUAAGAUGACCAUGGAAGUAAAUUAGGUAAAAAAGACAAGGGUAGACAUAUGAAGAUUUACAUCCAUAUCAACGUGUCUAGAAUUUUGUUGCCACGUUGGAUGAAUCAUGACUCCUGGUGGCAACUUUAAGCUCUAAGCUCUUGUAGUUUUCCACGUAAUGCUUCUGACCUAAGUUUAACUCAUCUCUGCAAGGACACAGCUAACUGAAAUAUGAUUGUUGCCUUAUUCAAAUAACACCUGUAGUAAAAAAUAGUCCAAUGAAUUGUGUGGAAAUCCCAAGUAUUAGAUUGAUAUGUGGGGAUACCUUAACUAUGAGUUGAAGUAAUUUGGAAAGAAGCAGAAGGUUUUCUAAAGGGAGGAAAAAAACAUUCUGGGCACGGUCAACAUCUCAACGUCGUAAUUGAUUAGCACUGCUGUUAUUGUAAUGUUGCCCACUUUUGUCUUUCACCUCUUUUCUUCUUUCAUUGCGUUCUGUUGUCAGGUUUUUCUUCCCUAAACCUGUGGCCUUCUUUUAAAGAAUGACUUCCAAUUCAGCAAAGCGAUGUACUUUAAAUUUUAAAGGACUCUCUGUGGGGUGAGGCUCACUACAAGCCCCCUGGCACAAUGCUACAUUUAAAAACUGCCCUACUGUUGUGUGGCCUUUUACUGUUGCUCCUUAGCUCUCUGCUCUCCAGUGCUGCAGCUUUUCAUUAGAAUUCUGGGCAUGUUACAUCAUGUUGGCAUCCCUAUCCUUCCUUUUAUUACUGUGCCCUUCCUUUUACCCCCUUCUCUUUUGCUUCUGCUUGGAUCUUUUGUUAUCUGGCUUCUUUUACCCUCCUUGCCUUGCUUCCUCGUCCUUUGUCUUCUUCUGUUAUGAUUUAUGAUUAUGCCCUGCUCCUUCCUUCUUCAGGCCAUCUGCUUCCAAGUGAACUCCCUACCUUAAACCACAGUCAAUACUUCGUAUAACUACUUGACUUUAUUUGCAACUGUAUUUUUAAGUAGAGCACUGAGAUAACUUUCAUUUAUAGUUAUUUUAAACACAUACAGAUCCUUUGGUGUGAUUUUCUUACAGCAUUUCCCUGAAUUUGUAAAACCUAAUUCUGUUCGCUUUUUCAACACUUUAUUCUAAAAAUUUCAAUUAGGAAUGAUUGUUCAUUUUAUCAAGGAUGAUUCCGUUUCUAUGAAGUGUUACAUGUAGAGCUCUGUUUUAUAGAUAUCCAGAAAGGAAGGGCAUAACUUCUUUUCUUUCUUUCUUUCUUUCUUUCUUUCUUUCUUUCUUUUCCUUCCUUCCUUCCUUCCUUCCUAACUUAAGAGAGACAGGAGAAGGAAACUUAAAGGAAAAGCCACAUAAUAAGGCAAAGAAUCAGGCAGACUUAUAAUAUUAGCAAGAAACUAUUUGGUGGCAUAUAAUAUAAAGCAAUGCCAAAUUACUUAUGUUGGAAAUAUAAUUGUGUGGUGAUUUAAUAUGAAAAUUUAUGGGUAUACCUUGUAACAUAAGAGCAGAAAUUAGAAAUUUGCAGGAAUAAGAAUAGGAGUCCUUCAUUGUUUUGUUUUGUUUUUUAUCACAUUUGUUUUAUUCUUCUCUCUUCCACUUGUCUUUCUCCACAAGGAGGAAAAUGGCUGCCCCACAAAUCACACAUUCAAAAGAUUAGCUGACACUGAGACAGGAAUGUCUCCCACAGGAGAAUUUCAGAGUGAAGGUACUGAGCUUGGCCUAUCUAAAACAACCGAGUCCAAUUAAUAAUUGUUGGAGUAGAAGAAGGGUAGCAUAGUACAAUUAAUCAUGGCUUCCAGGGAAGUCUAUCUCCCACACUUCCUAAUUGUUUAAGUUGGAAAAAUGUGCUCAAUCUCUUUGAGAUUUAGUGUGCUCAUUUGUAGAAUGAGGAUAACAGUGCCUACCACUAAAUAAGAUCACCAAUAAAUGCUAGCUGUGUUAUUGCCAAAAUCAAAACAUUAAGUGCAUCAUAUUCUAACUAUGUAAUUAUCGUGGAGCACAUUCUAAUUUGGUAUAUUCACGUACCUGAUAUAUAGUUUUAGUUUUAAGAAAAUGCAAGCAGCACUUACCUUUUAAUAUUAUGAGGCCAUUUGCACAUGGAUGACAGUUCUGGCAAAUGUCCAUGAUUAUCUAGGUCACCCUAAGUACUGCAGAAAGUAAGGAGGGUAUUAAAGUCUUCCUUUGAGCAAGUGUAUUUAGACAAUGGCUAAAGAUAAAUGACACCCAGUAGAAGGAACCAGAGAGCAGGAUAUCCCUUUUGGGUCUGUGUUCAUAAAUUUAUCCCCUCAGAAAAUGAGUAGAAACCGUAGUAAGGUUAUAAACUGGAGGUUCAUUUUGUUGGAAGUUUGGGGCGAUAAGAGGAAUUUCUAGUACUUGAGAUAGAUUGAGAGCAGCACUGUAAAAGAAGACUGUGGCAGGCCAAAAGGAAAGAUACAGACUUCAGUGGUUUUAGAAAAACAUCGGAGGUUUACAUACUGACUAGGUGCUAAUGAUAUUGGCUCUCAGAGAUCUAGCUGUGACAUGAGGAUUCCUGAUUUCGUAUUUGGGGUAGCUGCUAAUGCUUCAGGAGAAUAUUGCCAGAUGAAAUGCACUGUAUUUUAAAAAUAUAAAUUGCUCUGUAAGUUCUAGGUGUUUCUUUCUGAACCAGGAUAUGGCUGUAGGGGAAUAUGAGUUCUGUCAUGUUUUUUAUGAGAAAAAUCAAGAAAAAUAAAAAAUAUCCAAGAUCUAAUAUAAAUAUAUUCAAAGAACUUUCAUAAUUAUAGUUGAGAUCAGCAUUUCACAAUGCAUAUUAUACAUUCUUGAAAUGUUAAUAGGUGAUAACAAAACACACUAAAUUACACAAAGAAAAAUAAGUAUCUGUACUGCAGGACUUCACAGAGACUUCAGUAUGCCAAUGUGCUUUAUACAUCCAAGACAGGAAUAUGUAAUAUGCUGAAUUUCCAAGAUAUAUUUGAGCUUGGUGCACUCUUGGUAUUCUAAGGACCCAGCUUGAGGAAACAUAACUUGGUUACAUUGUUUCUUCAUAUUGCAUUAUAUUGUCCCCAAAUUAGUAAAAUGCAAUCAGCACAGCCUAUAUAACAGCAGGAUGGUUUUAUACAUACUUCAUUAAAAGCACUUGCAUGGUCUGUGUAUAAACACAUUUGUAUUAAAUUAAUACUAGUGGUUACAAACCCAUAACAUUUAGAAACUUUUGCAUAAAUGGAUUUUUUUAUGUGUAUGACAGUCACUCUUACACUGUGAUAUAGUCAUAUUCAGUGUAGGUGCACAGAUAUUAUGGACUCACUUAAUGCUAUUUAUCUUUAUUCUACUGUAUAAAAUUUUUUACUGUGUAUACUGACAAUUCUGUCUGGAUUUUUGGGCCCAGAAUAUACAGUCAUCAAGUUACUAUUAUACUCUCUAAUUAUCUCAUUAUUAUAACCUUCUCUUUUGUACUUUAUUAUGUGUCAGAAUUUAUUGGUAUCUUAGUUUUACUUAAUGUGUUGAGGGGUUUUUUCCCUUGGUUUUGUUUCAUGAUUGACCUCUAAAUAUUAAAAAUCAUUCCAUAGAAUGUAUUUAAUAUUUUUGGUUUCCUGAAAGAUACAGCUCCUAAACUUUCUUAACUUUGCAUUUUGUAGCAGAAUUGUAUGUGGUAUAUAUAUAUAUACACCACAUACAUAUAUUAUAUAUGUAUAUAAUAUAUAUAAAUUUGUAUAUANNNNNNNNNNNNNNNNNNNNNNNNNNNNNNNNNNNNNNNNNNNNNNNNNNNNNNNNNNNNNNNNNNNNNNNNNNNNNNNNNNNNNNNNNNNNNNNNNNNNNNNNNNNNNNNNNNNNNNNNNNNNNNNNNNNNNNNNNNNNNNNNNNNNNNNNNNNNNNNNNNNNNNNNNNNNNNNNNNNNNNNNNNNNCAUUUUUUUAUUUUUAAUUUUUUUUUUAAUUUUUUUUUCAAUGUUUAUUUAUUUUUGGGACAGAGAGAGACAGAGCACGAACGGGGGAGGGGCAGAGAGAGAGGGAGACACAGAAUCGGAAACAGGCUCCAGGCUCUGAGCAGUCAGCACAGAGCCCGACGCGGGGCNNNNNNNNNNNNNNNNNNNNNNNNNNNNNNNNNNNNNNNNNNNNNNNNNNNGCCACCCAGGCGCCCCUCCCCAUUUUUUUAAAAUAACUACUGGUGUUAUAUCUCUAUGUAAAUGCUUUUUCCCUUUGUUUUUAUAUCAUCUAAUAUAAAUAUUUUAAAUGAAAUCUAGUUGCUGGUCCUAAAUUAAAGAUAUUUAACAACAUUUAAUAUUGAUUCUGCCCAUUUCUCCCUUAGGUUACCUAAGAGGUCAGACGUAGUGGCUUGGCCAUGAGGAAUUAAUUUGCACCUUGGAGCCAACCAAGGAGGUGGAGGAUUCAAUUAUAGCUUUAGGGCCACAGAUGCUUCCUUCUUCUACUGAACUGCCAUUCUUGUUGUUACUUAAACCUCUGGUGCUGUCAACAAUAUGUCCCCUCAUUUGUUAUUAUGUCCUAGAUGAAUAACUUCAUCAGAGUUGCUUAGAAAAGAGAUCUGAAAUCAUUUUCAAGUUACUAUAUUGUUUGAAUUCUGAUGCUAAUCAACUAUACUAUGGUUGUUUAGUAACAGAUCUAAAAUCUUCUUCACAUUAUUCACUUAAACAAAAGUAAUACAAAUGUUUAGCUACCUUCAUCAUUUCUAUCAUCACUUUAUACUGAGCACUAACUCAUGUUUCAUGUUCAUAUUUAAUCCAUAAUAUCAGCACAUUCAUGAAAAUGAGAGAGAUUAUUUUUAAGUAAACAAGACAUUAAAGACUUCUCUAAGACCAUUUAGCUACAGAGUAGCAAAGAUGGGAUCGAAGCCUCCAAGACCAAAUUCAGCCUAUUAAACCACCCUUUCUUCUGUAGUAUCUGAAAAAUUUACUAUUCACAUUUACAUUAGGCAGUGGGUUCCUGUUUGAAUAUAAGAAAUAAAAAGUUAAGCCAUAUUAACUAAGGUUUGUAAAUUUAGAUUAAAAACUAAAUCUGCGGCAGGAAAUACUUUCACUAGCUUCUUUAUCACCGACUCAUAGGCUUGGAGUCUGCUCAGCUAUAGGCUGGCCCCUGGAAGAGUCCUGCACCCAUGAUUCCAGGACACCUCCCCCAUGCUUCCAGCCAUGUAACACCCAGGCUUUGGGAAGAUAGAAAUAAAUUUACUCAAGGAAAUAUUAGGACUCUUCUCUUACAGGCCAUGCUAAACUCAGAACUAUCAUAAGACAUGUUUGAGUCUGGUGUUUAUUUGGGGGGCAGUACUUUUUUGGGUGCUUCCGUCUCAUUGGAAAGUUUGAAUCAUCAAAACAUUUGUUCCUGUUCCCUCUACAAUUGCUUAUAAUUCUUAUGACAACUUAAUAAUUAGCUUUCUAGAAAUUAUUAUCUGUGAUGACUUUUAUGCCUUUUUUUUUGCCUGUUAGCACUUAGCAAUUUUAAGACAAAGAAUAUUUUACAACCUUCUAAUUCUGUCAUUCAUAGUUUUAAGAUAUACACAUAAACAGGAGUCAUUUUUCUACUACUAUGGUGUAGUGGAUUAUCAAAUUAGAUUCAACAACAUCUGGAGUCCCACCUCAGUGGGUUAUAGGAGUAUUUUUAAAUGUCAUUUAACCCCUUGGAAUGUCAGUUUGUAUAUCUACAAAAAAUUUGACACAAAGACACAAAAAAAUGGUUGUGAAGCAUAAAUAACAGAACAUAUAUGAAAACACUUUAUAAAGUGAUAUGUGUGUGUGUUUGUGUCUAGAGAACCUUACCUCUUAGUGUGUGUGUGUGUGUGUGUGUGUGUGUGUGUGUGUGUUUAUGUAUGUGUGGAUAUAUAUAUAUCACCUUCCCUCUUUGUAUAAAUAGAUAUUAUGGUGAGUAAGUUAAAUAUAAAUUCUAGCCCUCAUACUUAUCUUUUAAUUUUACUAAGUAUAUGAACCCCAAUUUGCUCACCUGCAAAACGCAAUUAAAAUAAUUGUUUCCAGGGUAUUUUGACCAUGAGCAUAUUUUAAAUAAGUACAAUGGUUAAAAGAUAAUUUUUUUUCAUCCCGUCACUGUCUCAUCAUCCAAAUCCACUUGAUGUGCCCUCCAUCAGUUGGUGGUUUUCUUUUUCAGUAUGAAAGAAAACAUAUAGUUACCGAAAGUGUUAAGCUAUGAAAAGACAAUGGUUUGUGUUACAAUAAUCUUGAUUAUUUUGAUCAUUUUUGGAAUACCAAAAUAAUCUCUAUCUUUCUCUAUUUGAGAAGCAUGGGACUAUAUAAAUAAAUAAAUAGAUUACUUAUAAACUUUGCAGGACAUAUCAAUAAGCACAUAUGAGACAUUUAGGAAGUUUAUUCUGAGAAUCAGAUCUAGGAAGAUUAAACAUUAACAUUAGUACCUACUUAGAAAAUACCACACUAAAGAAUAUUUAAGAAUUUGGAGAUAGAAGAAUGACACAAAGACCCAGUGCAGUCUGAUUAUAAAACUUUGUGGGAUAUGUGUAAAAUAGUCUGCAAAUAUUAGGGCUAUUUACACAGCACACAGUAAAUAAAUUGAGAUUCAUAAACUCAAGUGAAGUUGUCCUCAUCUAUCAGACAUAUCCUAUACUACUUAAAUUUUGGUUUCAUUUUAUUUUUAAGGUGCCUUGUGGUGUAAGUAAGUGGAAAACACCUAGAAGAGUCUCUACAAAGUUAAAAAGAAAGAAGAUAAUUUUAUGAAACUUACACUUUAAGAUUAGAAUAUACACAUGAAAAAUCACCAUGGUAUGACAAAAAUGGCUCCUAGACUAGGACUACUGUAUUUAACCAUAACCAGGAAUAAAUUCGGGUUUUGUGGAUACCAAAGUUUAUAUUGGAAGAAAUUUCAAUAACAAAUACCUUAUUUUUCAAAUGUUAUAAAAAUAUAUUACCAUGUGAACAUUUUUUUCUGGCUUCUCUCAGACCUUGGAAGAGACCUGAUCAAGUGAGGGGGUAAAGCUUCUUGAGCUUCAGGCUUAGUCUCCCACUAAGUAGAGCUGAUUAAUGGGUGAGCUUAUGUGAAAGAAUAACAUGUCAAUAAGAAAAAAGUGGGUCAGCCAGGAAAUGGUAUAACCAGGAGAAUCCCUGAGACCAAUAUUAACAUUGUCCACCUAAGCAAUGCCAAGGAGUAGAAUCAAAGAUAAUAGAUUUGAGAUUUUGAGUUUUGUCAGCAAAAGUGCCAGUAUUGUGAGAUGGAUCCAUCUGGUCAUUUUGGAAGCCUACCAGCAUCUGAUUCCUUAUUUAUAAAGCCAAGGUUGGAUUAAUCCCAACCUAAACCUUAUCACUGCUCUUCUUCCUCCACUCCAAUAUCCCCAGUCCUCUGUUUAUAGAAUGAAAAGGCAAAAUGAUCCUGCCUCUCUUGUCUCUUCUGUACUUCUCAUUGUGAAUUAAUAAACAGACUUACUGAUUAUACACAUACAUUUAUCCAAGCCUAAACACUACUUAAUUAUCUCUCUGAAGGUAUUUGACAGACAGCCCACAUGUUGACUCAGUAACUCAGAUUUCUGCUUUCAUGAAGUAAACAUAGCUAUUUUCCUGUAGCACUCUUUAUAUUAGCAGAGAUUUUACUGGUCUUCUAGACAAAAACAAAUUCUAGGAAAAAACAAAAUAAAUUAAGAGCUGAUCAUUUGAAAUUUGAAAAGCAGCAAUUACAAAUCAGAUAUAAACCUAUUCUCGAUGCUUUACAGCUCCCCUCUUGAUUCUCCCUGAUAAGAUCAAGCAUGAAAUUUAUUAAUCCUAUUUUGUACAAAAAACAGUGUCUCUAUUCUUAGAGCAGUUUCUAUAACUCUUACAGUUAGGAAUAAUCCAUUAUUUCUAUUUUUCUUUAUGAAAUGUUUUGAAGGUUCCAGGUGCUCCUGUACACUAGUAUCCUAAGUAUAUCCUUUAGUAUAUCUAGGAAAGCAGAAGAUGUUGAAAGAGGGAAGAAGGCAAGGCAUGCAUGUGAAAUAGAGCUUUUCUUUCAGUUAAACCAAGUCUGAGAUGCAGACACUAAUGCACAUUCAUAUUGAUCUAUUGGUUCUUAGUAUCUGUUUAUUGUUGCAUUUAUUUGUCUCUGCAUUAUUUAUUGACACCUUAUACCUAGAGGAAUUGGAUAAAGACUAGACUUUUUAUUAUGGGGAAGUAGAGUGUUGUAGAAACAGCACAUUACAUGCACAAUGAUGAAUUAGAUAUGUAUAUCAUCUGUACUAUAACAUCUUACAGGGCCAUGUAAAUAAUUGACUUAAUUUAUUGAGUUGAAACCCAAUUAUAAGUUAUAUAUGGCUCAAGCAUACUAUAAAUACAACAUGUUGAUGGCUAAAUUAUGGAUCCUCUUAUUUUCAGGUAAACAAAUGUCUCAUUAUUACAUAUUCUUCUUAUUAAUCACCUCAUAUUUAAAUCAUAUCUUUGAAACCCAAGUAAACCCAUAGUUAGAAUUAAGGAAAUACCAACAAAACCUAUAACCUUGAGAAGGAAAAUAUUGAUCACUUUAGUGAGAUAAUUUAAAACUUCAGAUUUGAAAAAGUAUGGUCAAGAUAGCAGAAAAUAUAAAUAGCAGAUGCAGUGUGAUAUGAAGUAAUUUAGAAUUUUGGCCAUAUACAUAUUGCAAAAGCUGACCCCAUACAUAUGAUAAGAAAUACCAAAUACCAUAUUCUAGAGAAUCUCUGUCAGCUUAGUGAAGCAAAAACACACCUAAAUAAUGAUUUAGGGCUGAAGUUAGAAGUGGCUUGCUAUGACAGCUGUCAUAGCUGUUGCUAUGUGCUUGUUGUUUUCUGCUCCAAAGAUACUAACUUUUAUGUUCUUACGUCCAUGUAAUUCUACAAGACCACAAAUAUUUAUCAUUCUUGCUCUCUCCAAUAGGGGCAAUAUGACCACUGCUUUUGGAAAAAUUCACAAUCAGUUGCUGAUACCUGACUUAAUUCCUCAGCUAUACAUUAUCAUGCUGGGGUUGGGGAGAGGUAGUAACAAUGAGUUAAUAGAAUUUAAAUAAUUAAAAAUAUUUGAAUUUCUGAUGUUUCCUUGCUUCUCAAGAAAAGGUCAUGCUAUUUUAGGUUGCAAGGAAAACUUACUAGAAAGAAAAUGGGAGUCUUUUAUCUUAAUUCAAGCCACAAAAAAUGGCAAAAUUAUACUUUUAUUAUAACAUUCAGUAAAUAGCAAUUAAUAUAAUCUCAGUUUAAGUGGUGGUGUGAUAAAAAUGGAACCAGUUUGCAUGAAUACCUAAGUAAACCAGAUUAGAUAGAUAGAUAGAUAGAUAGAUACAUAGAUACAUAGAUAGAUGGAUAGAAAUGUAGUCAUAUACCACUUAUUUAUUGAUUGUAUUGAUAUUUCCUAUUUUUUUUAAUGUUUAUUUAUUUUUGAAGGAGAGAGCAUGAGCAGGGGAGGGGCAGAGAGCAAGGGAGACACAGAAUCUGAAGCAGGCUCCAGGCUCUGAGCUGCCAACACAGAACCUGACACAGGGCUUGAACUCACGAGCUGUAAGAUUGUGACCCUAGCCGUGGUCGGACGCCCAACCGACUGAGCCAUGCUGGUGCCCCUGAUUGUAUUAAUAUUUUCAUUUCCAUUACUUAUUGCAUUGUUAGACUCUGAAAUUGUUCCCCAUGUUUAUAAAAUAACAUGCCAUGUUUUCUUUAGCACAUCAUUGAUAAGCAACACCCUUUUGUUUAUAUGAAACAUCUAUACCCUAGUAUAAAGUUAUGUUUUUAUUUAUAUUAUAUAGCAUUAACAUUUAUGUAGCUAUCUACUAGCCUAGGAAUCUGAUAUAACCUUCAAAAAUCUAUUAAUUUUAUCACCUUUAGAAUAAACUAUACAAUAAGGAAACAAUGAUCAAACUAACGGAUCAAUCUUUCACAAGCAAUAGUUAGAGGUCAAAUGAUUUCAGGAACAAAAAUAAUAUUUAGCAGGAUUCGCUCUCUAUGCCCUUGCAUUGCAGGAGAUGUUGAGGGCUAUGAGAGCUUCAACAAGUUCCACGAACAUCUUACCUCACAGAGAUUUAACGUACUCCAUUGCAAUUUGACUGACACUAUUAAUUGGUAUGGGCAUCAAAUGUGCACAGCAAUGAAAGGAAAAAGCUAAGGAUGAAAAAGUAGAACUCAAUUUUAUUUUGAAUUCACACAGGAUCAUUCAUGUAACUUUAAAUCCACCCAUUCAUAGAAGCUCAUGGUUGUAGCAUCCAUUUGUUCACCAGGUCUCAAAAAUAUAUUAAGCAGUGGAGAUACUAAGAGAGCAUGCACUAUUUCCUUGCUUCUUCUCAUUUAUAAAAAGUUAUAUUUGUGUAUUUAUUUGAUAAUAUGUUUAAUUUCUGUCUUCUUUCCUAGGCACUAACUAGAGCAAGAUAAUUUUUUAGAACAAGGUAAUAUGGGAACCAGAACAAAAUAUCAGGAGAGGGAGAGAGUCCCUGUUAGGGAUGGGAGUUUGAACAUAGAUUUGGAGACUGAAUAGUUACUGGGUAAAAGAGAGAGGUGUAGGGGCACCUGGGUGGCUCAGUCAGUUAAGUGUCCAACUUCGGCUCAGGUCAUGAUCUCACAGUUUGUAAGUUCAAGCCCCGUGUUAAGCUCUUUCCUGACAGCUCAGAGCCUGGAGCCUGCUUCGGAUUCUGUGUUUCCUACUCUCUCUGCCCCUCCCUAACUUGUGUUCUAUUUCUCUAUGUCUCUUAAAAAAUAAAUAAAUGUAAACAAUUUUUUUUUUAAAAAGGAGAGAUGUAUAUCCUUUUCCAUGUGUUCUUUAUUACUGAAGAGGAGAAAGCCUAUGGUCUUAAAAAAUGUGUGUGGAAGGCUCUACUCACUUAUAGUUAUGAUUUAGCUAUAUCAUUAAACAUAUAUAUGUCAGAAAUAUUAUGAAACAUAAUACCUACAUAUGUCAGAAAUAUUUAAAAGUAAUGAGCCAUUGCAGAGAUAAUCUGAAAGAAUAAUUAAUCCAAAUACUCCAAUACUGGAAUUUACAUGUGGUUUAUAAUGUUAGCCCCUCAUCAUUACAUUUAUGAGCUAAUUUAGACAAUUAUUUUAAAUGUUUUGCAGAGGUGUUAAACAAUGAUGACAUCAUGAGCUAUAAAAAGGGGUGUAGAAAAGAUUUAUUAAAGAACAGUAAACAUAAUAAAACUAAAUUUGAUAUGAACCUUUUCCUGAUAAUACUACAAAAAUAAUAUUAUCUAUUCUCAGGUUAUUAAGCAUCAAUUCUACAAAUUUGGAUAUUAUCCUAUUAUCUUUGGUUGCACAGCCAAUAAGGGGAUAAAAGACAACAGAUCAUUGUCAACUCUUAUUUUUGCAGAAAACAUCCAUUUCAUUUCCUUUAGAAUAUUUAAUUUUAGUCUUCAUACAUGUCCUUAGAGUUGUAGUAGUUAUAAAAGAUACAUAAAAUAAUUAAUAGAAAAUGCGAUGGUUUAUCUUAAAAUCAAACAUUUUACACAUUAUGAGGUAUCGCUACACUCUUGCUAUAGCUUCUUUAGGGUAAUGUAUUGAAUUGUGUUUGGCAGUUACAAAUGAUCUUGUUUAGCUACUCUGCUUUUGAAUAUUUUAAGGCCAACUGGAACUUGGAAUAGCCAGCAAGUGGAAUUAGCAAAACUUUCAGUUUAAUUAGAAAAUAUAGUUUGAUUCUAGUAUACUUCAGCUUGUGUUCAUUUGUAAGUCAGUUGUUUAGAACCACAAAUAAAUUUUCUUGUAGAGAAAAUGUGAUGAAUGGUUGCUAGCUUCCUAGUCCAGAUGGUGAAACUCAUUCAUUCAUUUGCUUUUUUAUUCAUUUGAGUUUUUAUUACAUGUUACCUCAGUGAGACCUUCCCUUGGCACUCAGUCCAAAAUUUCAAACUCUGCACCAAAUAUUUCAUAUUUCUUUUUUUUUUGCUUUGUUUUACCUUGCACUUAUCACUGUGUUAUCCUUACUCAUUUAUUAUGUCUAUUGUCUCUCUUCCCCAGUAGAAGAUAAGAUUCACUUGUGCCAGCUUUUUUUUUCUUUUAACUACUCUUUUUCUAUGGUUAGAAUAAGACACAUAAUUGAUGCUCAGUAAAUAAAUGAUAAAGGUGAUUCUUUGUGUUCUUUAAGAACUGAAAUGAAGUACAACUAUACAGUAGAACUCCCAGACUUACCACAGUUCUGAGCAUUUUAUCUUUUUUUCUUCAAUUAAAAAUUUUUUUUAAUGUUUAUUUAUUUUUGAAAGAGAGAGCAUAAGCAGGAAAGGGGCAGAGAGAGGGAGACACAUAAUCUGAAGCAAGCUCCAGGCUCCAAGCUGUCAGCCCAGAGCCCUAUGCAGGGCUUGAACCCACAAACCACGAGAUCAUGACCUGAGCUGAAGUCCUACACUUAACCAACUGAGCUACCCAGGCACCCCACAUUUUAUCUUUUAUACUGAGACAGAACCCAUUGGUUAGAGCAUGGAAACAUAACUACCAUCAUUAAAAUGGGCACAUUAAAUAUGCAACUAAUACAUUCCAUCUCUCACCUCCGUAACAGCUCUGCCUAAUGAUAAGGAAACAGAAGCUCAGAGGCUUUAAGUAAAGAACUUGCAUUCACACAGCUACAGGGAAAGAAUGACAGUUGGGUCACUUUUUUUUUUUUCCUCCAGAUCUCAUGUUCGUACUCACGAAAUAAAACAAAAACCUUUCUUUUAAUUCUUCUUUAUUCCUGCUGUUAUUCUUUCCCGGUGGUGCUAAUGCUUUACCUUGCUAAUGCAAGGUAAUGUACAUUAUUGGGAGAGACACAGAGAGGUUUAAAUGGAGCAGGGAAUGGAAAGGACAAAGGGAAGGAAAUGCCAAGAGGGAGCACUGGUAAGAUUUCUGUCUCUGGCUGCUUGUGUACAUCUGACUUUUCUCUCUCUCUCUCCAUCUAUUUAUUUUGUAUAUUCAUAUAUACGCAUAUAUAUAUAUAUAUAUUUCAUAUAUACACCUUUAUAUAUUUCAUAUAUGAAUAUAUACAUAUAUUUAUACGUGUAUAUAUGUGUGUGUAUGUGUGUAUAUAUAUGUGUGUGUAUAUACACAUCUGUGUGUAUGUGUAUAUCUAUAUCUCCUAUUAGAAACACAAAUGCCACUCAUUCAUUUAUUUUUGAUCUUUAGCAUUUCUCUCUGAAAUUUGAAUGGUCCAAGUGUGUCUAGAUUAUUCAUGCUAAAGAAGCAUAUAAUGUUUAGGGCAGCAUAAAACAAAUCAUCUGAGCUUUUUUUUUUUUCUAGUGGUAACCCACUGAAAUUAAAUCCAGUUUUUAAAAGUUAAUUUUUACUGCUCCUGACUAUAAAACAUUUCUCAUGAUGCAAAAUGUUAGUCUAAGUUGUAAUUUGCCUCACCAUGCAUAAGUAGGGUUUUAUAUUUGAAGCUCUUCAUGGUAAUACUUUUAUUAACAUCUUGCCUCACUUUUUUCUCACUCACUAGAAACAUUCCAAAAAAAGGCUAAGAUAUAUAAUUUUAAUAUGUUAUUUAAUUUAUGUCUAUUUAGUUAAAUUUUCAUGUAGCACAUAGUUUCUGUUCUAUUUGAUUAGACAGUGUAGACUGUGAUGAAACCUUCAAAAUUCCAGAGAGGAACUCAUAUUCUCCCAUAAAAUUUAAUAUAAUUUUAUUGUUUGAUGAAUGAGGUAUAGUCUACUUUACAUAGGUUAGCAGAACACCUUUAUAUUUGCAAUGGGAAUAAUUUCUAGAGGUAAAUAUCCCAGAAAAUAUAUUUUGGGUGAAUAUAUUGUCAAAAUAACUUCUUGGAAAAGUGGCCUAUGGGUUGUCUUUUUCACUCAGGAAUGUCACUUGCCUUCCUACAUUAGAGAAAAGGUAAAAGAACCAAAUAGAGGUUUCAAUUCCCAAGAAGUCCCUGCUCAUUGAAAAACAAAAAGUAUUAUACUGAAAUAUGACCCCUGAGAUUAUGUAAUAAGAUUUUGUUAAACAGCUAGAAUGAUAUCCACUAUUUGUGAAUAGUUUAUAUAUUUUCCUUUACAAGCCAGACUCUAUUAUUUUGUACAUUAUUAUGAGUGAGCUCAAAACACUAUAAAUCAAGUAGCAGUAUCUGUUUUUCACUGACACACACACCUGCCUACACACACACAUAGAAACACACAUACAUGAAUACACUUCAUGUCUUAGCUCUUUCAAUUAGUUUUGACUUGAAAUGUUUUCGCAGAAGAAUUUUUCUUCUCAAAAAUAAAUAUGACUCAAGUUUUUAUACAUCUGACUUUCUGUGUAUUUGAUUUAUUUAAAGCCAGUUCCUUUAUUUUAAAGAAUGAUUUUAUAGAAAAAGAAUAUCUUGGGAAAAUGAUAAUCAGAUUUAGUAAACACUAGAAUUAAAAAAGAAGGCAUAGAUGCUUAUAGUAUUAAAAUGGCCAGAAAAUUUCCAAAGAAAGUUGGACAAAGUUUAAUGACUUACAGUUUAGUUUUUAUUUCUUUUUUUUUUUAAUCUAAGAGAGCCACCAUUUUAUUCAAAGCAAUAUGGCAAUGACAUGAAGCACACAAUACAAACAUUUUUUGUAACAUACAUAAUUUAAAAAUAGGCAAGGACAUUUUUUUCUAGUGUCUUUUUGUUUUUGUUGUUGCUUGCUUCUAUCUUGUUUUUGUUUUUGUUUUUGUUUAAUUUUUUUCAACGUUUUUUAUUUUAUUUUUGGGACAGAGAGAGACAGAGCAUGAACGGGGGAGGGGCAGAGAGAGAGGGAGACACAGAAUCGGAAACAGGCUCCAGGCUCCGAGCCAUCAGCCCAGAGCCUGACGCGGGGCUCGAACUCACGGACCGCGAGAUCGUGACCUGGCUGAAGUCAGACGCUUAACCGACUGCGCCACCCAGGCGCCCCUUGUUUUGUUUUUUUUGAGAAUAUCUUGGUAAGAUCACCUUAUUUCAAGACCAAGCUUCCUUUUUGAACCCAAAAAUCUCUACUGUCAGGUUUUUCAAGAGUAAACAGUUCGUCCCCCACUACCUCCAAAACAAACAGAUAAACAAAAAAACCCAACACUAGCUCAUUCUGUCUAAAAUUCUGAUGUGCAAUUUGGAAACAUACUGAUGUUGGACUACUAACACAUUCACUGACAACAAACAACCAAGAGCUCAGCAAACAAAAUCGGAGCUCAAGGUUUGGGUAAUCUGAUAUUUUAAUUGGCCUCUUACUUUUGCAAGUACUUUCUCAACUAAACUGGACUUAAGUAUUUAGAAUUUGACAUUGAAGCCUGAAUUUGACCAUUUGCUCUUUGCAUAUAUAUGUAUGUAUGUAUAUAUAUAAUUUUUUAAACAUUUAUUCAUUUUUUUGAGAGACAGAGAGCAAGUGGGGGAGGGGCAGAGAGAGAGAAUGCCCCCCCCCCCCCCCCCCCCCCCCCCCACACACACACACAGAAUCCGAAGCAGGCUCCAGGCUCUGAGCUGUCAGUCAGCACAGAGCCUGAUGCCAGGCUUGAACUCAGGAACUGUGAGAUAAUGACCUGAGCCGAAGUCAGCCGCUGAACUGACUGAGCCACCCAGGCAUCUCUCAUAGAUUUAAUAUAAUACGUGCCUUUCUAGCUUAUGUAGAAAAAGCCAAUCCAAAGGCUUCAAUUUUGUUACAAUGUACUAGAAAAUAUGUGAUCUCUAUGCAACAUCAAUAGUUCCACAAUUCUAUCUUCAAAACUAAUAGCAAUAGGAAAAAAAAUUGGAGUCAUCUGAAGAUAAGAUUGCUAGUAUAGAACUGACAAGAUUAUCUAAAUGAUUUGUCUUCAAAGUGUGGCAGUGUCCAUAUUCCUCUUAAAAGGAAAUCUUAUUUUAAAAUUUUAAUAGGAAAUUCUUCUGUAUUCGUUUUUCAUUUCCUUGUGCCCAUUAUAAUAUUUAUUUUCACAUUAAAUAAAUGAAAAUCAUCAUAUUUGUGUGAAGGCUAUUUUAAGGAAAAUCAGAACUCUAAUUUCAGACUUGUAUUUUAACAAGCAUUAACAUGACCCUAUCUAUCAUAUUUAAGCUGAGUGCAAAAUGAAAAAUGCUGAUUUUUUUGUUUUGUUAUGUUUUGUUUCAUUCCAUUUCUCUUGACUAUCAUUUUUAUGGAAUAAAAACCUUAUAUGGUUUUCAUUCACUGCGAUCUAACAAAUGCAUUCUAUGAUAAUUUUAACUAUUUAAUGCCUCUGAUAAAGUCAAAAGACAAAUAGUCCUGAAGAUAAUAAAAUAUGAAAAUGACCUUGAUUUAGUUUUAGCGAUUUAGUUUAAACCUUGAUUUAGUUUUAAAUUAGUUCAGAAUUUCAACAAAUGCAAAUGAAAUGUCCCCUUUCAGUUUUCCAAAUAUCUAUUUAUAUAACUAUUAAAAAUUCAGAUUAACUACUAAGUUGUACUCUUGCUCUAUAACCCAUGAAGGAGGAACAUAAUGAAAGAGAGAGGGGGAAAAAAAAAACAAACUUCAUGAGCUGGAAAGGGAUCAUGCAAUGUCAUAAACCUGGGAAUUGGGAAGCAGAGACAUAAAAUAGAAGUGAAGUUGCUGUUUGUGAGUUUGAAUAAAAUCUCAGCAGUAUGCUUGCUGUCCAGAGCAGAAGCCAACAAGGGCUAAAAAAUCAAGUGAAACUAUUGCAGCAGAUGUUCCUUGAAACACUGAGCAUAGAGCAGGCUCCAAAAAGCUCAAGGCUAAGAGUAUAAAUGAUUCCAAUAAUGUGACCGUGGGUUUUAAGAGGGAUAAGUAAUUGGUGGUAAGGAAUGAACAUAUUUCAAAUGUAAUUUUAACUCCAGUUUUCAUUAUUUCCAAAAUUACUGACAUAACCCAGUGUCUACCAGUCUUGGGUUUUAUAAUCUUUCAUGUGUAAGACAUGAACGUUAAAUAACACUUCUUUUAAAGUAACAUACUACUGAAUUUGUUCUUUAUUUUUGGGACUCGACAAUGUUCAAGAAUAGGGCCUGAAAAAUAGAAUACUCUGAACAUCACAGUCUCCAUAUGACCUUUAAUAAAAUAAGUUAUAAUACGCUGGUUGCUGCAAUUCAGUUUACCUUAUUUUACAAUUUUCUUCUUCCUCAAUACAUAUAAAUUCGUUCCUAUAAGAAGUCAAUAUAUAGACUUGGAUCUGAACAUAGUGGAGCUGAAUCCACGAAUUCAAUUGUGUUAACAAACAUACUGGAGAACACUUUGCUUUUUGUAUUUAACAUUUUUAAUAUUGUUAUCAUAUUCUCUUCCACUAUAUGUGUGGCUGUCUUUUUCUUUGUAACAGGUGUGUAAUGUUGCAUUGCAUGUGUGUAUCGGAAUUUUCUUAGUUAAUUCUAUGUUAACUAGUUAAUUCUAUGUAGUUUUCAAUUUAAUGUGAAUUUAAAUAAUAUUUUAUAUUUUUUAUUUGUACAGGAGGCAAACAAUGCUCCCUUCCCCCAAAACUCCAUAUCCUAAUCCCCAGAAUCUGUGACCAUGUCACCUUACAUGGCAAAAUGAACUUUGACAUGUGAAUAAAUUAAAUAAUUUGAGGUAGGGAGAUUAUUUUAGAUUACCGGGGUAUUCCCAAUGCAAUCAGUAGGUCUCUAAAAGUGGAAAAGAGAAGAAUAGGAGAGUUGGAGGGAGAUGUGACCAGGGAAGAAUGGUCAGAGACAUGUAACAUUGCUGGCUUUGAAGAUGGAGAGUCAUGAGCCAAGAAAUUCGAGCAGGCUUUAGAAAAUGGAAAAGGCAAGGAAACAUAGCCUAAAGAGGAAUGUAGCCCUGAAUUGCCUUGAUAUUAGCCCAAUAAGAACUGAAUCAGACUCCCAACCUAUAGAAGUAAAAUAAUAAACCUGGCUUGUUUUAAGCCACUAGCUUUGUGGUAAUUUGUUACAGCAGCAAGAGACAACUAAUACAUUUAUGCUUGUAUUAACAUUUCUGUAGAUAGCCACUUCUUGAAAUAGAGCUACUAAAAUACAGAUAAUAGCAAGCUUUAAGUGUUUCAAAAGAGGUAUAAAGCCUGCCAAGUCAAAAAACAUACAUCUUUUACAGUAAAAGCAAAUGUUAUACAAAGCAAAGGGCAUUGCUGUCUUGUCAUCAUAUAUGCUUUUCUCUUUAAAAAGUGGAUGGUUAGGUAUUAUUGUUUAUGGUACCAGCAUAAUACAGUGCAUUCUGUUUUCUCCUGGAGCUAGAAGUGAAAUCAAAUUCAGUCAAUUGCUGCACCAGAGCAAUAAAUAAUAGAAGAUAUAAAACAUUCUCAUAUCAUGUGCAAAGAAAGUUAUGUAUUAAUUUUCAGUAAGAAAAAAAAAAGUAUUCUAGUUCCAGUUAUAUGUUGAAUAGUACAGACUUAAUGCCACAAAUCUCAUCCCAGACUGUAUAAUAAAUUCAUAUAAUGCCAAAUUAAUUGAUGAUUGCAUUUAUUAAACAUGUCUUAAUGGCCGACCAUUGGGUAAUUUUAACCCACAGAUUUUAAAAACACAGGGAAAUCCAUUAAUGUUUUUAAAUCACUGUGGUAAAUUUUAUUUAUUUUACAUAAGAAGAUACUUUCUUUUCUGACAGUAUUUAAAUGAUUUGAUAUUUCAUUUUCUGACAGUAUUUAAAUAUUUCACUUAUUUAUAUAUACAGGUAUGCACAUGUGUAUUGAAUGAUUAAUUGUCUCAACCCAAAUCGUUGGUCAGAAUUAGCCUUAGAAAAUAUAACAAAGACACUAAUAUUUUUCUUUGACAUCCUGUUACCUUGACUACUACAUCCUUCUUCUAAAAUACAUAUGUCUCCUUAGAUGAGGGGAGAUCUCAAAUUUGCCUCUGCCGUGAUUCUGUCAAUAAUAUAUUCCCUCUUGUACAUCUUCUAUCAUCCCAUCAAAACAUGCAUGUUCUGUAUCACAGCACUGGGGCUUUUUGCUAGAAUACAAAUUGAAUUAGUCAUUGGCAGUUACUUUUAACAUAUUAUUCUCAUGUUGCAAACAUAUUCAUUUUAACAUCAACAUUCAAAGGCCAAUGUCUUGACUCAAAACAAUGUAUUUGACAGUGAAAUUUCCAGGCACCAGAGAAGGAAUUGAUGUUUGCUUCUUUGUUUUGUUUUGUUUUGUUUUGUUUUGUUUUGUUGUGUUGUGUUUUGUUUUGUUUUGUUCAUAAAGCCACCUAUGGGUAGAUUACUAAUCAAGCUGUGUUCUCUGAUAUCUGUUAACUCAUGUGCUUACUUAGAGAAGGGGACUUGAAAUUUGGCUUUAGAAAAAAAUCACAAGAUACCAUGUAUCCUGUCCUAGGUAAACUGAAACUGGAAACAGAAGUGUUUCUGAAUGAUAAGAUAAGUGUUUCUGAAUGCUAAAUACUUCUUUUCUUUGAUAGAGUUGCAUUUAAUUAUUGUGGAGACUAGGAAACAUUUUAAAAUAGUAUAAAAUAUACUCAUGAAUACAGUUUAUUUUUAGAGUAAGAUAAUCAGUUUAAAUGUGUAGUCGCUUGCUGUCCUUCACAGUGCCAUGAUUCCCUAAGUCUGUAAAUGUUAAUAACAGUGGUAUAGAAAAUAUUAUGUUAUUUUUCCAGUGGAUUGGAAAAACCUCCUUCCAGGAAGUUGUGCAGUAAAUCAAUUGUCAAGUCGUGUUUUCUACCAGCACAUCUCACUAUAUCCUACAAAUGAAAAAGCCUGAAGACUAUCUUAUGGCUAAAGCUUUCAAUCUCAAUUCUGAUCUUGUCCCUGAACCAAGGGCUUACUUAGAAAUGGUAUGUUUCCCAAAGAUAUAUCAGAGCACACCAUAACUACUAUGACACUUUUGGGUGGUAUAAUCAUCUCCCUAAAACUAAACCUCUGAAAAUUUGGUUGGGGGCAGAAUGAGUGAUCUCUAUCGAAACAGCAGCAGAAUGUCAUGGAUUUUGCUCUUGGGUGUUAUUUUUGAAGCCAAGGAUUGUUUUAUCAACACUCUACUUUUGAGCUACAGGGUCUUGGGUUUAAUUGCAAAUUUGAUUCUCCUAUCGCUGAAAGCAGUGUCCAUUAUUUGGGUCACAAACUUAUACUGAGGAAGGCAUGUAUUUUCAAUAGAUCUGUAUCUUUUUGAGGUGGAAAAUGAUUCUGUGAUAGUGUAUGUUCAUGGUCCUUUCUUAUAUGGCAAACUGGAAUAUCGAUUUCACUUGUCAUUAGGAGACAUGUGAGUAUCAGCCUAUAGUUUUCCAUGGCUGUUAAUUUUUCUAAAACCAAUAUUAUGCCUGAGGAAAUAGUGUCUUAUGGAACACCACCCAGAAGUACAAUUGUUGCCUAGCUGUUUCAAACCAGACUAGACAAAAAGAAAAAAAUAUAUUGAACUGAAUCACCACAUACACUUCUAAGUUUAAAAGAAGAAUUAAAAAUAAAGGGGUUUCCCUGUGUUUAAUUUGAACAUUUCCUUGAAAAUCAAGAAGGAAACACAGAAUCAAAAGAUAAGAAAAUUCUGUCAAUUGGUGUGAAGAUUGGCAUCAAGAAAUUGGUAUAACAACAAGAAGUUAAUAAAUAAGCAGAGUAAUUUUCCAGGAAGAACAAGAAAGAGGUGCUUAUCAUGGCAUAUCAAGGAAAGCGUAUUAAAUCAUAUAAAUAUUUUAACUAGUAAAUCAUUAUUACAUUGCUUGGCAAUUCAAUACAGAGUGAUAUAUUCAUGAAGCAUUCAAUAAAUGUUAAUUGAUGGUGAUUAGAUAAAAUCCUGCCAAACACCCCCUUGCAUUCAAUCAAAUGAGUGACCUGAGCAAAAAGAGGAACAUGUUUCUUUUCCAUUGUUACUAAUUUGUCAUCCUUAAAAUCUUGAGAAUCUCUAUGGGUUAUUUUCAUUGAUGAGUUAAUUAAUUAAUGUUUAUUAUCUGAGUUUAGUAAGAGGGCCUAUGUAAUCUCAUUUAUCCCUAUGCUGAUCGGUCCUAGCAAAUAAAUGUGAUGAGCAUUCCCUUUAAGUGUAGAGAGAAUUAAGUGCUGCCUAAGCUAAGGCAAGUUCAUUUUAAAUUGCCAGGACGUGAGGGUUACUAUAGCUUCCCAAGUGGCUUUAUAUGCUGCUUUUGGGAUCUAACCCUUAUUUUUCCUAAAUGCCUCAUCAUCAUUGUAUCUCCUCAUUCUGCACUGUGAAAUAAGUCAACAGCACAAAUAUUUAGAGUAAGAAACCCAGUCAAAGAUGUUCUGUAUGUUGGAAAUGGCAAAAAGAAGUUGAAAUUAUCAACCUGAGCCUUUCUUAAAUGGCAACUACUUAGCUUCUGAGACUCUGUUAUAGCUAUAUGCUUUGGUUGAGGACCAAGUAUGAUCAUGCUAAGUUCACCUCUUUCACAUCAAUGGUAUAUUCCAUACCUCUUAGGGUAAUGGGGAGGGUUACUAAAAUUAAAAUAUUUGCUGGGGGAAAAACUUUAAAGGAACCUUAGCACAUGCUAGUUUGCAAGAUUACUUAGUCAGAUUUGAGCUUACCUUUGGCUCAAAGCUUUGACCGUAGCCCUAGGUCUUACAUCUGUCUUCUUAGAGUCUUAGAAUGCUGAGCCCAACAUCUGUGGACUGAUGCCCACCUAACACCAAAAUAUGAGAGGCUUUAUGACUGAGCUAGAUGUCAACCAACAACCCAUUGUCUUGGCUUGAUGGGCAGCACCUGUGAGCCAUUUGAUAACUGACUAUGUUUAGUCCUGGCCCUGACAACUAAAUUCCUUUCUUCUUAACUAUCUCAAUUCUGGUUUCCAGAGGUUUAACGGGAUAAAGAAAAAAAGUAAUGGCUGGCCUCUUAUCUUUCAUAGCCUUCCAGCCUUAGCUUAUCAGUCACAACCUCUGAUAUUUCUACUGUCUAACACAUCGUUUGGCACUUGGCAUUUGCAUUAUGUCUUGGAUAUAUAGAUAUGUUUUUGUUAAUAACUCAUAAAUAUUACUGAUGCUACCCCUCCAGCAGUUACCAUGUUUUCAUGUUUGUCAAGCAUGUAAUAUUUACCACAUAUGUCAGGAAUCACUUUACACAUCUCAGUUGAUACAAUCCUAACUAAAAACAAAACAAAACAAAUGAAACACAAAAACAUGGGAUCAAAGUGUUUCUUUACUCUGUAUUAUUAAAGAAAUAGUUUCUUUUUCUAGAAAAAGAAAGAGGUUAAGAGGUUAAUGAAUUUGUCCAAAUUUGUGCACCUAGUAAGUGAUAAGAGUAUGAAUUUGGACCAACAUUAGACUGAGUCAUAAGAACUUUGAAGAAAGAGUCUUUGAAUCUAACUCAGUAUCUUUGUAUCUCUGUCACCCAACAUAACCCAUUACACCUGAGGGUGUUCUUGAAGUUGGCAAUGAUGAUGCCAGAGUUUCAUGGUCUUGCUUUAACUCCCAGGUUUCUAAGCAUUUCUAAGUUAAAUUAUUUCUUCUAAAGAGUAUUUUCUCCUGUUCAAAUACACACUCUACUCUUCAUGUUUUGGCUCAACUAUAAUUAAUAACUCUUCAUUUACAUAAUGUUAGCUGUCUUUUGGCCCCAAGUGUGCUUUUUAUUCUUCCCUAAUCAAAGUAUUUCAUUACAGACACUUGGGUUGUGAUCAAUAGCUGAUGAAUAACUUCAAAGGAAAUUGUCUAAAGUCAGAUGCCUACAGGGCCAAGAAAAAGUAGCCAUGAGAUGAAGGACUUUUAAAUAAUGAACAAUUGAAUAUAUUUAUUAUGAGUAGAAUCAAGUUUUUUUUUUUUUUUCAACGUUUAUUUAUUUUUGGGACAGAGAGAGACAGAGCAUGAACGGGCGAGGGGCAGAGAGAGAGGGAGACACAGAAUCGGAAACAGGCUCCAGGCUCCGAGCCAUCAGCCCAGAGCCCGACGUGGGGCUCGAACUCACGGACCGCGAGAUCGUGACCUGGCUGAAGUCGGACGCUUAACCGACUGUGCCACCCAGGCGCCCCAGAAUCAAGUUUUUUAUAGCCCCCUUAUGUUUAUGAUUAUUUAUAUGGUUUAUGGAAUUAAAUCCUCGGUUAAGUUUUAAAUUGUCAUCCUGUCUUAUGAUAUAUUAUUUUCUCCUUUGUUAGUAUAUGUGCUUCUCAUGUAAUUCUGUAUUUCUGUCUUUGGGUAGAGAAGAGUGAAACUGCAUAUUAGUUUUUAUUUCUUUCUAUAAUAUAUUUUCACAUACAAAAGAGGCUUGUUUGCCAAGUUUUAAUAUAUAUGGGAUAUGAAUUUAUUGAUGAAAAAUGCCAUACAUGACACCAAUUCACAGGCACUUUCAAGCUUCUCCUUCUAAGAUAGAUGAGGUGAACUUUAUUUAGGUGUGAUGGGGGACUGGGCGAUUUGUUGUUUUCCUCUAGCUAACUGUAGAAUUUAGGAGGAAGUCAACAUAAGCAACAAACAUGUUGAAUCAACAUAUAGUUAAGCUUGGAGAAAUGUGCUAGCAUACAAAUUUGAUUAAUGCCAGCGUGGAGAACAAUCUUUCCCAUGUCUCCUAUAAACAUUAUUACAAUAGCAGCAGAUUUUAUGCCACAUAUUUUGCCUUUGUUCUUCAUUUUAGAAAAUGAUGUCCUUGUAUGCACAUGUGUUAUGUAUAAUAUUCCUAGGAUGUAAAAUCAUCCCAAGAAACCUUGUAUAUUUUCAUGAAUAGAAAGAACUGAGUUAUCUAUUUCAUAAAAUAUCGUAUAAAAGAUCACUAUAAAUUUAACCCUUUGUAAGCAUUUCUGGAAUAACUGUUUUUUGAUUAGAGAAAAGGUGUAUAUUUUAUAGUUUCAGGUUGAAAGGGAUAUUAAAAGUUAUAAAAUAAAAUUUACAAAUUUAACUAAAUUUUUAUAUGUUAGCAUUCAUGAACACAAAUUGCUAUAAACUAUAAAAUAAUGGUAAAGUGUCAAGUAUUGGCAAUAGGCUUCAGUGCACUAAUAUUUCAAUACCAAUAUAAUAUAUACCCAAAUGAAGAGAAUAUUUUAAGACCCUCUAGGGGCGCCUGGGUGGCUCAGUUGGUUGAGCGUCUGGCUUCAGCUCAGGUCAUGAUCUCAUGGUUUGUGGGUUCAAGCCCCGCAUCGGGCUCGGUGCUGACAGCUCAGAACCUGGGGCUUGCCCCUCCCCCGCUUGUGCUCUGUCUCUCUCCCUCUUUCAAAAGAAACAUUAAAAAAAUAAUAAAAAAAAAGACACUCUAAAUAGAACAAAAAUGAGCAGAUUAGGUGCUUCAUGUCACUUGCAUUUUCUUUCUUUUUUUAAAGCACUCUAUUGAGGCAUGAUUGACAUACAAAAAGCUGCAUAUAUUUUAUGUAUGCAACUUGAUGAGCUUAAAGAUAAGUAUGCACCCGUGAAACCAUCACCGUAACCUAUACCAUAAACAUAUCCGUCAUCAGCAAAUGCUGCAUGAUAGCACCUAGAGGAGGAACCUAAAAUAAUCCAACUCAUAGCACCAGAGAAUAGAAUGGUAGUUUCCAGGGACUGGAAAAAGGAGGAAUGGGCUAAUAUUAGUUAAAGGGUACAAAUUUUAGUCACAGAAGAUGCAUAGGUCCAAGAGGUCUGCUAUACAGCAGCGAGCCACUGCAUUUUCUAAAUUAGUAUACAGAGAACUGUUUCUCUAGAAUAUGUUUCAAUACAGUAUCUAUUAUAAUGGAAAGGUGAGUUUAUUUUCCUAUGCUAAAAGUUACACUUCCCAGUGUCCUGUUCUUUCAUGACAUCAUUCCCAUUGUCAUCAUUCUUCCUGGUUCUAUUAUAAUAACUUACUAUAAUUUAUAAAUAAAUUGGAAAUCUUCUUCUCCCCUCUUCCCAAUUGCCUUUUGCAUUUGCUUUAGUUUUCUUAAGUGCCAGAAGCUUACCUUCUUUUCAUUUUUACAUUUUACAUUAAGGAAAGAAUAAAUCCAACUAAAUUUGCUUUUAUUUAGACUCUUAAUAAAACAUGAAUUAUCUAUGUAAGGCAGAAAUGUUACAGAAAGAAAACAGCCCUAAGAAAUGUCUAGUCUUGUGGCUUAUAUCAGCUUAGCCUCAGGCAACUAAACUGCCUGUCACAUGUAAAAUAUCAGUUUAUGCUUUAACUAUAGUGAAGGCAUGUUACAAAAUUGAAGCUAUCAUUUUUUCCUGAAUGUAUAGCGAUUUUAUUUCAUCCAUAAAUGAAGAUUUCAAAUUUCAUUUCAUAAACAAGCUUAUUUUAAUCAGAACUAAGCAUCUAUUCAAAGUUUUCCUUCUGUAUGGCUUACAUUCCUGAGUAUGCAAAAAUAUUCGGAAAAAAAUGAUUUUUAAACUGUGCACCAUGAGUGUAAUGAAGUGUAGUGAAGCAUUUUUAGUAUUGUUAAAAGAAAAAAUAAUAGGGCAGAUAUGUUUUGUUACUUUCUAUUUUUUAUGGACUGAAUCAACACCAAUGAAUGAGAAUGUAUGGCUGUAAAUAUUUUACCUAAUGGAAAAAUCUUUCUUAAUUUAAUUUAAUGUAUUUGUCUAUCAAAUGUAUAUAGACCGUCUUGAGAAAACAAAUGAUUUCUUAAUUCCGUCAACUCUUCUCGAUCCAAAGGUGAUCAACGCCAAGAGAGUUGACAAUGACUGUUUCAGGUCUUUAUCACAAAGCUUGAUCUAUCUUAGCAUAUAACUGUUAUUCAUGAGGCCAAUUAUUAAAAUGCUAGCACUUUGUUCAAUUAAUUGUAUAAAUGAAGAAAUAUAAUCCAUUAUAUAAAUUCAGAGUCAAAGCCAGUGAGUUAUUUGUGGUAUUGUUUGUAUGAGCAAGAGGGGGAAAGGCAAUCCCUAGAAGGAAGUAAUUGGGUCAGUUGUAAGCCUUGAAUAGAAUUACGUGCACUUAACAAAAAUAUAAUGAUAAUACAAUGCAUUGCAUGAUAGUAGUAAACUGAAAUAUUAAAAUUCUGGGCAACCUAUACUGGUAUUUAUUUUAGGACAUUUUUCCUAGAAAUACCAACUUCAUUGUACUAAUUUGUAUUCAAUGUAUAAUUUCAUUGUUUGUUCUAAAUUUAUCUUGAAAAAAACACACUCACAAUAUGUACAUGUAUUUAUACAUCUAUGCAUACAUAAGUAUAUAUACAUAUGUAAUAUACAUAUGUACAUUUAUACAUAUGUAUAUUUUGGCAUUUUAUUUUUCAAAAUUGAUUUGUUUUCCAUCACUGGGAGUCUCAUUCCAUUAUGAUAGUGGUGAUACAGGGGCACCUCGGUGGCUCAGUCAUUUGAGCAUCUGACUUCAGCUCAGGUCACAGUCUCAAAGGGUUCGUGACUUCCAGUGCCACAUUGGGCUUGCUGCUGUCAGCUCAGAGCCUGCUUCAGAUCCUCUGUCCCCCUUUCUUUCUGCCCCUCCCCUUCUCAUGCUCUCUUUCUCAAAAAUGAAUAAACAUUUUUUUAAAAAAUGAUAGUGGUGAUAUUGGAAUUUGAAACAUUCAAAUAGAAUUCAUAUGACAUAGAUUCCAAAUUUAUGUUUUUCCUUGGAAAAACUGGAAGCUUUGUCAUUAUCCAUUUGAAUGUUUUUUUUAAGUUUAUUUAUUUUUUAAAGUUUAUUUAUAUAUUUAGAGAGUGUGUGUGUAUGGGAACAGGGAGGGAGAAUGAGCAUCCCAAGCAGGCUCUGCACAGCCGAAAUGGAGACUUGGAUGCUUAACUGACUGAGCUGCCGAGGUGCCCCUCCAUUUGAAUGUUUUGAUUCCUAUUUCCUUUAUUAUCAGGGUGUUAGUAUACCUAUUUUCCAAAAUUUAAAAUCUGUGUUCUGAAAAGCUUAUUUUUAAUUUCCUCUUAAAUACCUUUAGUGAUAGAAAUGUUAGUGCUAAAAUAUAAUUGAAGUAUAUUUAGUGCUUCAUAAUUUUCCAACGUUCUCUCAUGCAAAGUUCUUUUUUUUUUUUUUAAUACAAGUUCAUUUUUUAAAGGAAGUAUGUAUUCAAGCAAAUCAGGAAAUUUUAACUUCAUAUCAUGGAACUCUGUAUGCGUCAGUGUUGCUUAUGUUGCCAGUGGAAAUGAAACAUGAUAUAUGUAAAAGAAGAUUAGAAAUGGGGCUCCUGGGUGGCCCAGUCGGUUAAGCGUCCGACUUCAGCCUGGGUCAUGAUCUCGCGGUCCGUGAGUUCGAGCCCCGCGUCGGGCUCUGGGCUGAUGGCUCAGAGCCUGGAGCCUGCUUCCGAUUCUGUGUCUCCCUCUCUCUCUGCCCCUCCCCCGUUCAUGCUCUCUCUCUCUCUCUCUCUGUCUCAAAAAUAAAUAAACGUUAAAAAAAAAUUAAAAAAAAAAAAAAAGAAGAGUAGAAAUAAAUAAGCUCUCCUGCAGCAGCAGGACUUCCCAGGUGAGAACAUGUACUUCAGAAACAGACCCGGUACCUGUGCCUUUCCUAGAUUCCUGGCUUUAAGCAAGUUACUCUUUUGUUAGACUCUCAUUUCUUCAUAUGAAAACAAGCAAAUAACAAUAUCUGUAUCACGGGAAUGGACCUGAUCAGGAUUAAAGUAGAACAUGCAUGGUGUGGGCACAGAGUUAACCAGCAUUAAAUGAAAACUUUUGCCAUUUUUUUACUAUAUUUUUAAUUAUUAUUAUGCCUUAACACAGAAUAUGAGAUAAAUUAAAUUCAGCGUACAAAAGCCUAAAAAGUUAUCUUGUUACUGAUAAAAUAAAUAAAUAAACAAAACCAACCAAACAAUAAUAGAGGCAACAAUCAAGAGUAAACUCGGUUGUUGAAGGCUUCUAAAGCUGCCCUUUAAAAAAACGCAGUUUCGGGGCUCAGUUGGCUAAGUGUCUAACUUUGGCUCAGGUCAUGAUCCCAUGGUUUGAGAGCUCGAGCUUUCAUGAGUUCAAGGCUGCAUUGGGCUCUUUGCUAUCAGGACAGACCCCGCUUUGGAUCCUCUGUCCCCCUCUCUCUCUGCCCCUCCCCCGCUCUCUCUGUCUCAAAAAUAAAUAUUUAAAAAAUACAGUUUCAUUCUGCACAUAAGUAAAUAUCAGGUCAAGCAAAAAGAUAAUCAUGAUAAUUAGGAAUUUUAUGGUUCCUUAACUUCUGUUGAAUUAAUCUCAAGCAUUCGGUAGCCUGAGCCUCAACAAAAUGUAGAAACAUACAAGCACACGUAUAUGUAUGUAUAUAUGUAUUACAUGCAUGCACAAAUAUAUAUAUAUAUAUAAUAUUUACAUAUAUAUAUAAUUAUAUAUAGAGAGAAAGACACACACACACACGCACACAGAUUAGCAUACAGUAUUUUUGUUCACAGCAGCCAUGUUCCAAAAAUCUGAUCAGAGAGAAAGCAUGCAGCAUCAUUCUAUCCAGAAAAGUCUCAUUGACUGAGUGACUGAGUCUGAUGGUAUUCUUCAAGGUAUCUGAAGUCUUCACAUAAAUGUCAGUCUGAUGCAAGUUAUGGAAUGCAAAUAUGUGUAAUUUUUUACUUCCAGUUAGGGUGUAUGUUUGUUUAUUUCAGACAAAAACUACUGGAAAAUGGAAUUCAAUGAAAAAUUUUAAAUAUCCAAGUAGAGGAAAAGAGGAGUCUAAUUUAAUUCUUUGUGCCUAUGAAAAGGAAAAGAAAUAUGUACACGGUAGAAUUUCUAGAAAGAGGAUUUCGAAGCAUGGAAAAGUUACAAAAUAAUUUGUCCAUAUGUAAAAAUUAUUUCCACGGACAUAUAUUUUUAAAAGAUUGCAUAUGAAUCUUGCUGGAUAUAAGAGACAGCUUAUUGUUGGAGUAGGUCGGCACAUUUUGCCAAUUUAGCACAUGUUUGACAGAACAAAUAAGUUUGCUUUUGAAAGUCUUGUCCUGAUUUAUAAAGAGCACUUAAUUUGUUUCCUUUUGUUGAACUUCAGAUUAAUCAACCCGCUAUUUUCAAGCUGGCCUUUGGAUGUUCUUCCCUGUUUUUCCCUCAACUGUAAUUACUUGCUGGGAAUUCUUGUGUUCUUUUGAGAGUUUGCAGCGAGACAACCCAGAAGUUGUGACUAAUGGGUUCAGACUAGUACUGCAUUCCACCUCAUCCUUUUCAGAACCUUUUGGUAAGCUUAGAAUCCCUUGUUUUAUCAACAGCUUAUAUUAGUUUUAAUCUCAGUUAUGUCCUGAGAAACCUUUGUAGAAUUAAAUACAGAAGGGAAAGAAAUGACACCAGUUUUUUUUGUUUUUUUUUUUUUCUGCGGGACCUCUUGUAGGCUUCUGUCUCAUUAUGUUAACAAUCUGCCAAGAGAAUGGAGUCAGAUCUCAAGAGCAGACUAGAUUGAUUUACUUUACAGGCCUUUCCACCCAGCCUAAUUAUUGCAUUACAAAUAGCGAUUCUUUCACCCCAUGAAGGAGCACUUUGAUUAGUGCUUGCGAUACAGGUGCCGGGGUCUGCUACUGUACCUGCAUGUUAACGAGCUUCCUGUAUCCCAGUCAAACGGCCCUAACAGCACAGAACAGAGGCAGGCACCUUCCUUUACAUAUUUCUGAGGUCUCUAAAUGAACAUGUUUAGGACGGUUACAGACAAUGCUAUAUGAUGCUUUUAGUGUUGGGUAAAAACACACACUCUAUAGCAGCAUCCCUUAAAAGGCAAAAAGUAUGGCCUCAUGUGGUCUCUCCUAUCAACAUUAUGCUUGAGAUAAGGUUAAAUAUGUGAAAUCUUGUUUUAGAGAACACUGAGUGUGGUGUUUUGAAUUACAACUUGUAAUUGCCUUUUGUAUCAGUCUUCUGUGACUGCUGUAACAAAUCACCAAAAAUUGGGUGCCUUAAAUUUAUUUUCUCCCAACUCUGAGGUUAGAAGCCUAAUAUCAAGGUGUUCACAAGGCCACAUGCUCUCAGGAGGCUCAGGAUAGUCAUCCCUUCCAUGCCUUUCUUCUAGUUUCUGGUGGUUGCAGCAACCCUUGGUUGGCAUUCCAUGGAUUGUGGUGGCAUCCAUUCCAAUCUCUGCCUCUGUCAUCACAUUGACUUCUCCUCUCUGUGUGUCUCCUCUAUGUGUCCCUUAUAAAGACACUUGUUAUUAUGCUUAGGGCCCACCUAGAUAAUCCAAGAUGAUCUCAUCUAAAGAUCUUUACCUGAGUUUUACAUGCAAAGACCCCUUUUUCUAAAUAAAUUCACAUUUACAGGUGCCAGGAUCAGGACAUUGACAUAUAUUUUUGGGUAACAUCAUUCAACCCACUACAUAUCAGACAUGCCAGGAUGCUUAGUGAUUUAUCACGUAUUUGUUGGUCUUUGAAAGUUAUUUUCUGUUGUACUAAUUAAAGACUCACUUGAAAAUGGAGACUGUUUCUAGUUAAAAAUGGGCUUGGGAGAAAAGUAGUAUUGAUCAGUUAAACAAGGAGAAAAUGGGGUGCCUGGGUGACUCAGUCAGUUAAGUGUCCAACUUUGCCUCAGGUCAUGAUAUCACAGUUCUUGGGUUCGAGCCCCAUGCCGGCCUCUGUGCUGACAGCUCAGAGCCUGGAGCCUGCUUCUGAUUCUGUGUCUCCCUCUCUCUCUGCUCUUCCAUGGGUCACGCUGUGUCUCUGUCUCUCAAAAAUGAAUAAACAUUAUUUUUUUUAAAGAAAAAAAUAUUUUCCUUGUAAGAAAGUCGUUUGAAAUGUGAAAGAAAUAGCAGUACAUUAUGAGAAAUAAAGUUAUUGCUUAAAAAUUAAAGAAAUGUAAAUACAAAUUAUGUUGUAGAACAGUGGUACCCAAUCAUGGGUGAUUUUGUCCCUUCUUCCCAGUCUCUAGGGAAUAUUUAGUAAUGUCUAGAGACAUUUCUUUUCAUUGUGGCAAAAUAUACUUCACGUACAUUUUUUUUUCAGUGACACUAAGUAUCUGCAUAUCACCACCGUCACCAUCAUUCAUCUCCAGCACUUUUUCGUCUCCUGAGCUGAAACUCUGUACCCAUGGAAUAAUAAUUCCCCAUUCCUCCCUCCCACAAGCCCUGAAAAACACCCUUCUAUUUUCUGUUUCUAUGACUUUGACUACUCUAGGUACCUCAUAUCAGUGAAAUCACAGUAUUUGUCCUUCGGCACCUGUCUAUUUCACUUAGCAUGAUGUUCUCAAGGCUCAUCCAUGCCUUAGGAUGCAUCAGAAUUUCAUUCCUUUUUGAGACUGAAUAAUAUUCUAUUGCAUGUAUAUACCACAUCUGGACAUUUCUGUUGCUUACACCUUUUGACUAUUGUGAAUAAUAUACUAUAUGCAUUGAUAUAUAAAUAGCUACUUGAGUCUCUGCUUUUGGUUAUUUUGGGUAUGCACACUAGAAGUGGAAUUAUUGGGUCAUAUGAUAAUUCUGUUUAGUUUUUUUGUGGGUUUUUUUGUUGUUGGUUUGUGUGUGUGUGUGUGUGUGUGUGUUGUUUUUGUUUUUUGUUGUUUUUGUUUUGUUUUUGUUUGUUUGUUUUCUUUGAGAAACCAUCAUAUUAUAGAAAUGUUUCUUACUGUCAGGACCAGAGGUGGUAGUGCUACUUGCAUCUGGUGGAUAGAAACCAGGGAUGCUGCUAAGCAGCCAAUCAUACACAAGAUAGCACCUUUCCCCAUAAACAAAGCAUUAACUGGUCCGGAAUCUCAAUAGUGCCCCUGUUGAGAAACUCUGUUUUAAAGAAAUCUUAAAUUAAGAAUGAUCUUGAUUCUAUUACUUUAAUUCUUCCAAAUAUUGUCAGAGAGAUACCAGAUAUCGCAUUGUAUACUUCUAUAAAUAACGCUCCGACCAUGGAUCAUUGUACAAUACAAUUUCUCUUUCCCUGUGUGAGGGCCCAUCACCUCUUUCCUCUUCCAUUGCUCUGCUCUCUAAUAUUGGUUUACAUGGUGUGCAGUGAAGAGGAUUGAUGUUUAACGGCCUUUCACUCAGUUGGGGGCUUUUGGGGGGGCAACUUUUAGAAAAUAAUUUAUGAAAUCAUAAUUUAUGUUCCAAGAACAUAGCUUAAAAGCUUAUAAUUUUCCCUUGUUCAAUGAACAUAUUUUUAAAAGGUAAAUACAUUAGGGCCCUUUAAAACCUUGCAGGAAGAAUUUGACAAACAAUAAUUAGAAGAGAAACUACUUUAUAGAAAAGAAUUUAAAACGUCUAGUGGUCAUACAAUUUCAAGCUAGAAGAAAUUUUCAGGUUGUAAAGGGCCUACUGUAAAUGGAACUGUGUAACUAUGACUGCACUGAAUCCACAAUACCUAUUUCAUUGAUAAAGAAACUGACAUUCUAGGAGAUUAAAUAGAUUCCUCAAAACCACCCAGCUAAUGAGUGGUAGUCCAAAGGUAAAUCUUUUCUCUGCUGGUCCUCAUGCUGCCAUUUCAAAUCCCUUGAGUCAAUCCGUUUCACAAGUGAAGAACCUGUAACCCAGAGAGUUUUGACUUGGCCAAAGUUGCCAAACAAAGACCAAACCUAGCUUUCAAACUUGUGUGUUGUCUUACUAUAGCUUUUAUUCAGUCUUUAGUCUCUGCCAUCCACGGCUAGGUCCUAGCUAACUGGCAGCUCUUAGCCCAGCAUCUGCAUGGACAACUAGUAAAGCGUCUCCUUCAAAGUCAGAGCUGGAGGAUUGGUCAUUUGGUUCCCAUGUUAGAUGUAAAAAAGUGUGACUACAAACAUUUGACUGCACAAAAUUAAAGUUACAUAGUAUACUAUUAAUCAAAACUUCUUCCCCCAUCAAUCCAAUUUUGCUUUCAGUAAGUCAAUUACAUAGCUCAACAAGGGUGAUGGUUUGUGUAGAAAUCAACUAAGAUAUAUAUUGUAGAACACCCAAUAAAUGAAUGAGGAAUACUUCUUUUUACAGGAAAGGUAGAGAAUAGUUAUUUUGUUUGGUGAGGCUGUGAAUAUGGAAGCUAUUGUAAGAGGGGUUAUCUUAUGUCUUUUCUAAGAUAGGUCAAUGCACAAAGUAAAAGGAAAGAUUAAUAUUUCAGUUAUCUUUUCUACAAGAAAUAUUAAAAUUAUCAGAAAGCCACAUCAAUAAUUACUGAAAUAUUGAAUUAUAACAUAAAUGAAGUUUUAGUGAUCAUUAAUUUAAUACAACUGAAAAUUAUUUCUCCUUUUUUUCAGUGUUAUAGAGUCACAGAUAAAUGAUUUAAAAUCUACCAGAUUCACUUAUCACCUGUAGAAUAGUUCUAACUACCAGUGGUUUUUAAUCAGUGCAUAAUGUUCUGUUUUUUAAUCACCAUGCAAAAUAAUUCAUGAGGUUGUAUACUUUUCAAUAUAACAAAUAUAUAUAUAUAUAUUUUUUUUAUUUUUUUUUAACGUUUAUUUAUUUUUGAGACAGGGAGAGACAGCAUGAACGGGGGAGGGUCAGAGAGAGAGGGAGACACAGAAUCUGAAACAGGCUCCAGGCUCUGAGCUGUCAGCACAGAGCCCGACGCGGGGCUCUCACUCACGGACCGCGAGAUCAUGACCUGAGCCGAAGUCGGAUGCUUAACCGACUGAGCCACCCAGGCACCCCUAUAUUUUUUAAUCCAGGAUAGAUAACUAGCUAAAUCUAUUGUGUUUACUCAUCAUGUUCAUAUUUCCUGAGUCAUGAUAAAUGCAAAGAUAAUGCAUGAUAAUGCAAAGAAAAUCAUGUUCUAAUUGCUUCUUUUAUUAAACAUUUCUUUUUUUAAUGUUUAUGUAUUUUUGAGAGCGAGAGAGAGGGGCAGAGCAUGAGCAGGGGAGGGGCAGAGAGAGAGGGAGACACAGAAUGCGAAGCAGGCUCCAGGCUCUGAGCUGCCAGCACAGAGCCUCUCAUGGGGCUCAAACCCAUGGACUGCAAGAUCAUGACCUGAACCAAAGUCAGAUGCUUAAUUGACUGAGCCACCCAGAUGCCCCAUGUUCUUAUUGCUUUUUUUUUUUUUAAAGGGGGCACCUGGGUGGCUCAGUUGGUUAAGUGUCCGACUUUGGCUCAGUUCAUGAUCUCAUGGUCUCUGAGUUUGAGCCCCGUGUCGGGCUGUGUGCUGUCAGUUCAGAGCCUGGAGCCUUCUUUGGAUUCUGUUUCCCUCUCUCUCUGCCACUCCUCCACUCACUCUCUGUCUCUCAAAAUAUGAACAGAUGUUAAAAAAAUUUUUUUAAAUAAAAAAAUAUUUAUUUGAGAGAGUGAGAGAAUGGGGGAGGGACAGAGAGAGAGGGAGACAGAGCAUCCCAAGCAGACUUGGCUGCCAGUACAGAGCCCAUGGCAGGCUUAAGCCCACAAACCAUGAGACCAUGACCUGAGCCAAAACCAAGAGUCAGAUGCUUAAUGGACUGAGCCACUCAUACCCCCCAAUUGCUUUUUAACAUAUAGUCACGAAUGUAAAUUUUAAUAUUGAUUAUUUAGCCACUUAUUGAAAAUGUUGAGAUGGGCCAAGAAUAUAAUAAAAUGCAAUUGCCUCAUAAUUAAACUAAUAUGUAAACUACAGUUAAUCUCACAUUCAAGCUCAGAGACAUCAAAAUGGACAUGCAUAUUUUUGUGUUUACAAUGCAAUCAAUUGAUUAAUAAAAGAAUUUUAUGGGACUAAAAUUUUUUUAAAAAGUACUCGUGUCAGCCAGGAUGAAGUUAGGAAAACAGAAACCGUGGUAGUUAUUUCAAUAGAGAGGGUUUUUUUUGUUUUUUUAAAAAACUAUUUAUUUUGAAAGGGUGAAGGUGGGGAGGGGAAGCAGAGAUAGAGGAGAAAGAGACUCCCAAGCAGGCUUUUCAUUGUCAAUGCAGAGUCCAGUGCAGGGCUGGGACUCAUGAACCAUGAGAUCAUAACCUAAGCCGAAAUCAAGUCAGGUGCUUAACUGAUUGAGCCACCCAGGUGUCUCCCCUUAGAGAGUUUUUAUUAUAGGCAAAAGAUUAAAGAAAUAUUGGAAGACAAAAACGACAAAGUGAGAACACUGAAGGGACAUUGAAGUAGUAACUGCUGGAAACAGUUACCAUCCUUAGGACCCCAGAUCAAAGGGAAGAGGGUGUUUGGAAUCCAGGAACUUGGAGGAGGUGCCCUAUCAUACUGGGAUUACUGAGCAGAGGGGCCCACGUGCCUAGUGCAGAUCUCUCAUGAGCUUGCAGGUCAAGUUACACAGAGAUAGAGUCCCAACCCCAGUAGCUCAGGUGAUGGACCUGUGGAAUUUGAAUUCGGAAGAGGUGCCACCAGGGGUAUAUCUUGUGAGUCAUGACGGGUCUGGAAGUGUGGAAAGAAGCUAGGCUCUAAAAUGAAUUUCAGUUGGAACCAGUGCCACAACCUGGAUAAUGUGCCUUUGCUUUGGUGGUGCUGUUAGGAAUGGACAGAAUCUCUCUCCUACAAGGUGUGGGUUACAUCUUCCGUGGGCCCCUCUUGUGUGCACCAGCCUGGCAGCAGGAGCGACUCCUUCCUUCGACUCAGCUGAGUGCCCCAUCCGGGCAGCAACUACCAGGGAGCCAGCAGUUUGCAGAGUUCAGCUUCUGUCCCAUAAAGUAGAGACUAGGAGAACAGAUUGGAAUUGACAGACAAUCGUUUAAUAACAAGCACAGUGUCCAAAGCUGGUUUCAAAGCCUCUCUGAGAGAAUAAUAGCUGUUACAUUUAUUUCUAGCAUAGGAAAUUACCAUCAACUCACUAGAACUUACUAGCGUACUGAAAAUAAUUACUGGAGGAGAAAGCACGAUCAUGUUAUAUGUGCUCAAGAUAGUUAUCUCAUGUGAGUCACGGUUAUUGAGAUUCAUUUUUAAAUAUCCUGUCUUGGAAAUAUGGUAGUUUGACAUUAGACUCAGAUUUCAUUGAAUCAAUUGCUGGAAGAAUCCACAUUAAAAAUAGAUUAUAUUAUAGGACUUAAGUCUCAGAUUUAGUGACAGAAACUAGAACCUGCAUAUUUUGAUUCUCAGUUUUAAACUGGUGUCAAUAUAACACAAUUAGUGAUUAAGAUAUUUACAUAAAUGAUGAAUGUGUAUUUUUAAAGAAAUGCUCAUAUAUUUAAUUCAGCAAGUAUUUAUUGACCACCUGCAGUGUGCCUGAUACUGUCUAAAUUGCUAGAUAUGCAAAGAUUAAUGAAAAAAGGCCUUUAAAAUUUGAAGUUUCUAAAAUCUAUGACAUAAUAUAUAUUAUAUUUGGCUAUUUACUUUGACUCUAAUAUCUUCUAUAAAAUGUGUUUAAAAUAGCCAGUUAACAUACAACAACCACAAAUUUUUGGAAUGAUGUUUUUCCCUAGACGGGCCAUAUUUUUUAACCUACUGGUGCAUUUGUGUGAGAGUAACCACAAAUUAAUGCCUGAUAUCACCUGAGGGUAUCCCUGAUGCAAUCAAUAUAAACCAAAAUACUCCUGAGGAGUAAAUGUACCUUCAGCUGUGUGAUAAUGUCUGGAAAGACAUUAACUGACCUUAUAAAUUAACUUGCCUGAAACCCACACAGUUGUUUUCUGAUAUUUUGGUUUAUGUUGAUCAUCUGACAGCCCCUUAGGCCAGUGCUGUGCACAGCCACUAUUAGCAAGGUGUUUAUGCUUUGGUAAUGCAUUUCUUGAAAUCACAUUAUAUACAAGCCUUUAUUACAGACAUCCGUUAUAGAAAUUCAGAUAAGAUCCUUCCAGCUUUGAGUUACAGUGUCACCCAUAGAUGACUUUUUACAUUUAUAGAAUAUUGUCAAAUGGUAGUAUAAAAACAUUUUUAAAACAACAAAACAUUAACUAGAUUUCUCAGCUGGGAUGUCCCUGUAGGAGUGUCCUAUACUCCAACCCCACAGAAGGCCACCUGCAAAUUCCACCUUCAUUUCCUUUUUAUUUCUUGUGUAUUUCACAAUAUUUGUGAGAUAAUGUAUAGCUGGAGAUAUGUCAUUGUGUUUUACUCUCUCUAACAAAACUGUUAACUGAACCACUGCUGUUUGCCAUGCAAAAAUAUCUCACAGAUGGAACUGAAUAUCUUAUCUACCACUCUACCUCAUGCUACUAAUAUUAGGAUUAAUUAACUAGAUCCAACUAAUGACAUAUUGGUCAUUUAUCAUGUGGAUAUAUUACAUAUUUCUGUUUAGGAGGAGACAAUUUGACCAAUCUGUAUACAGUUUGGAGAAAUAUAAAGCCUGCCAAAACAAUUUUGUUAUUGGGAAAACAGCUGACAAAUUCAAGGGCUUUGGAUAUGUAAACAGUUGGCAGAUUGUCCAUAAAAAGUAAUCUCAGGAAACAUACUGAUGUUUCUAUUUUAAAAAAUAAAUAAUGGAUUUAAUAAAAUCAUGAAUUAUAAAUAAAUAAUAGAUAGAUUUUUCACCAAGUAUUUAUUUGUGGUUACUAUGCUCAGGUCACAGUGAUAUAUGGCUCCUUAUAAAUCCCUUUUAUUUUCUAUUCUUGUCUGUGGGUUCUGUAGGAAUCUUAAGCCAAACUAUUCUUUUCUCAGUAUAAUAAUUUAAAAAGCCUAGUGAAAAAGAUAGUAGAAAUAAGAAAUCAUUUAUAAUCAGUAUGUAUUUGAGACUUGACAAUGUUCAAGCUAUAUAAAGUUUAUGAAAAUAGGUAUGAUGCCAUAAUUCAGUGAUACAAGCAAAAAAUGUUAUUCCAAUUACAUCUGAGGAUAUUAAUGUUCACAAAGAGUAAAACAUUUUGACAAGGUGACAUGGUUAAUGUUAGAACCUGGAUUAGAAUUUAUGUCUUCUACAUGCACUUGAUAAUACACUACCCUAAGUUUUCCCUAAACCUUAAAUAAUUCCACCACAGAGAGCUCGGUAUCUUUGAUUUCUCAUAAUAGAUGUUAAUGUCCACUCAUUAUAUUCAGUGUUUUAUAUUUAGUUCCUUGUAUUAUAGGCAUAUUUUACAGUUCUCCUCAAAUAAUUGAUCCCUUAUUUGUUUCACCUGUGCCCAGUACAAUACCAUGUUGAUAACUGUCUAGUGAUAGAGUAGUAUACGAUGGUACUCUUCUUGAUUAAAAAUUGUACAUAAUUGUUUCAUCAGUAUAUCUCUAAAUAAUGCAAUGAUUGGAUAAUUUGCAAUAAAAAGUAAAAGUAAUUAUAAAUGUAAUUGAAAUGUUCGUGAUGUCUAAGUUAUGUUGUUAUGCCAUAACUAAGGGUAUUUGUGUAAGAUACUAUAUGACAUCUUACACUGAAUCAAAACAUAAUGUGUAAAUGGUUGGUUAUGGAUUAGUAUGGGUUUGUGUGGAUGCUCUCAAAAACAUUGGCUGCGUCGGGAUUGGAAAUAUCUUAGAAAAGAGAAAUAAAAUCUAAGAAUAUUAUUUUCCUUAAUGCUUGGCAGAUGAACUUUAAUCAACACCUGUAGAGUAAACAUAAUUACUGUUACACCUCAACACUUCUUUCUCAAUGUCUUACUGGAGACUCAGAACAUUGAAUUAUGUAUAGGUCUUCAAAGCCAAAUAUGAUUCUUUCAAUCCUCCAAAAUUAGAAUUUUUCCUUUAUUUUUUAAUAAUUUAUAUACUAUGAUCAAGGAAAUAUUUUGUUUCUGAGGUUCUAACAUGUUAUACAUUGAUGAUAAGGCUAUAGUUUUAAGUUUCUUUCAAGAAAUUGAAAUGGUUUCUCAUUCAGUUGUAUAAUUUAGAAGGUAGAUUGAAGAUUCCAUAGCAUAGGCAUCAUGUAAUCUGUUAAAUUUGUACACUGACAGUAAGAUUUUAUUUUAUUUUAUUUUUUAAUUUUUUUUUCAACGUUUAUUUAUUUUUGGGACAGAGAGAGACAGAGCAUGAACGGGGGAGGGGCAGAAAGAGAGGGAGACACAGAAUCGGAAACAGGCUCCAGGCUCUGAGCCAUCAGCCCAGAGCCCGACGCGGGGCUCGAACUCACGGACCGCGAGAUCGUGACCUGGCUGAAGUCGGACGCUUAACCGACUGCGCCACCCAGGCGCCCCAACAGUAAAAUUUUAAAUAGAAAUUCAGGAGCUCAAUGCUCUAUGGCUUAGAAUGGCCUAGCCAGAGCUUUGGAUACAUGAUGGUAGAUUUUUAAAAAUUUAUUUUCCAUGCGCAUUAAACAUUGCCCAGUUUUAAUCAGGUGGUACAGUAUCCUUCCUUCCCUGCUUUUGCCAGUGAAAACUCUUACUUUUAUUUAAAAAUGUGUCAUGUUUUCAAUGAAACUAAAUAUAACACAAACAUCUAUUUGGAGAUCAGAAGUAAAGAUACUGACCAUUGUUUCAAAUAUUAUGACUUUAAUAUGAAAUUUAAAAAGAUACCAUUAUCAUAUUUUUAGCAUUUUAUGGCAUUGAACACAUUUUUUACAAACAUAAUGUGUUAUCUUUUUCUUAUUCUUGUUCUUUUCUAAAGAACUCUAAUUUCAAUGAGUAUAGAAUAUGUGGGUUUAUUUUCCCAAUGGUGAUUAUAGUGAUUAAGUUUAUUUUUCCUCUGAGAUAUCAAGACAGAUAUUAUAGUAAUUUUCAGAUGCAAAAGCAUCUAUGUUUAAGUAAGUUUAUAUUGCUUAUCACAUAAAAAGUUAAAAUAAUCAGGAAGUAUCAUAAUCAGUUUUUUUGGAUUUUUUUAAUCCUACAGCAACAAAACACAAGAGGACAGGUGUUUUGACAAUACAGUGGACCAGAUGUUAUUUCUUAGCACACUUUAAGCAUUCUAUCAUGACGUGAAUUCAGUAUUCUGUCGUUCUAGUGAACUCAGUAGAAGUACACAGCAGUUGAAAAGUGUUUAAAUUUGGGUAAAAGAAAUUGCUUAAACUUUAGAAAAGUUUUAAUAAUUUUAAAAACAGUGCAGUAUGGCUCAGGACUAAAUCCAUGAGAUUCCUGAUACAGUUCAUAAGGUUCAUAGUUGAGAACUAAUGUUUUGAUUGCAUUCUAGCAUCUCUUAUUUGACUAUCAUUCCUAGGACUCUUUAAUUCCAUUCUGAGCAGAUGCUAAUAUAUACUUCACCUAGAAACGUGUUUGUUGUUGAGAGAAUUCAGGAAACAGGGAAAGCUCGUUUCUGACCCUGAUUUUGACACCUAUCAGCCUUGAUGUUUUGCCAAGUCAGUUUCUACUUCUGGAAAAUAAUGAAAUUUUCCUAGGUGACCUUAAAACUUCAGCUUAACUGACUUUUUAAAAUUGCCUUUCUGACAUAACACAGUACUUAUGGUUACAGUUUCUUCCUCCAUUUCCACAGAACUUUACACUGUCCCAAAGCUUUUGAUGUGUCUAUUAUGUACUUUAACUGUAAAAUUCUUUUUUUUUUUCCAACGGUUUUUUUUUUUUUUUUUUUUUUUUUCAGAGCAUGAACGGGGGAGGGGCAGAGAGAGAGGGAGACACAGAAUCGGAAACAGGCUCCAGGCUCUGAGCCAUCAGCCCAGAGCCCGACGCGGGGCUCGAACUCACGGACCGCGAGAUGUGACCUGGCUGAAGUCGGACGCGUAACCGACUGCGCCACCCAGGCGCCCCAACUGUAAAAUUCUUGAAAGCAGGAGAUGGUUUAGGUAAUUCUUUAAUCCUAAAACUAACCAAAUGUAACCAUUCACAUGAGUUACAUUUGUAUUUGUUGAAAGAAUAAAUGAACGAUUCCUAGUUCUCUUCUAACUCUAAAAAUCUACACAUUUUGUCUGGAUUAUCACCAAAGUUCCUUCAAACUUUUUAAAAAUUAGUUCUAUAUUCAUCUAUUCCAUACUUAGAUUUUCUUAAGUAACCAUGUCGCCUACCUGCUAUAUUGUGAUGAUGGAAUAUUUGAUGAAAAAAAUGUAUUCCAUCGCAGAAAGUAUUUUGAAUAUUAAAUGUUAGAUAACUUAUUGUGCCAUGUUCUAAGUUUCCAUUAAGGAAGGGAGUGAUACAGAGUCUAUUUCUGCACUAUCAUUUCUUUUUUUUUUUUUUUAUUUUUUUUAACGUUUAUUUAUUACUGAGAGACAGAGCGUGAGUAGGGGAGGGACAGAGAGAGAAGGAGACACAGAAUCUGAAGCAGGCUCCAGGCUCUGAGCUGUCAGCACAGAGCCCGACGUGGGGCUCGAACUCACAAACCACAAAAUCAUGACCUGAGCCGAAGUCGGAUGUUUAACCAACUGAGACACCCAGGUGCCCCCCCUUUUUUAAUUUUUUUUUUCUGCACUAUCAUUUCUUAUAUUACACUGCCUCUCUAUGUGCUUGAAUCACUUUUCACUGACAUGUAUCUCUAUUUUUAUUUAUGUAAGUUUUAUGUGUUCCAAAUCUGUGAACUAAGACAGAUAAUGCACAUCAAAUUUUGAAGCUGUUUUUAAUUUUCAAAGGAUAGAUUUAUUUUAAUUGAAUACAAUAAUACUUAGGAUAUGUCUUGAGGCAUAAUCCUUAAAACAAAACAAAACAAAACAAAACAAAACAAAACGGAAAGAAACAUUCAAUAAAACUCUGAGCCCUGCUUUUUCUCAAGUGGAUAGUACUGUUUUGUCAAUAGCUCCAUCUGCAGACCAGGGACAGCUUGUGAAUCUUGCUUAGCGAUCACGUUUUAAAGAAGGAGCUCUCAGCUCACUGUUGUCUAUUAAAAUUUGAUUUGAAAGGCAACACCCGAAGACACCUUUUUGAGGUUAAUUUUUUAGCAGUGUCAGGUUUUAUAUGAUUUCUGAGAGGAUAGCUGUAGGCUCUGUCAAUGGGAAUUCAUUGGGAGAGAGGGAAAGAAGGAAAAGGAAGCAAUAACUAUUGCUGAAGGCCUGCAAUCAAGCAUAAUAAACUCUUCAGUCAGCUGUUUAAAUAAGUACACAGCAAAUUAAUUUUUCCCCUUUUUUUCUGCAGAAAAUUGAUUUAUCUGAACAUUUUCCCCCAUGAAGGCAGUUUCUAAGCUGUCAUGUACUCAGCGCUCUUUCCCUAGUGAUGUGAGAACAGUUCAGUUCCCACUGCCAACGCUAUAAUUUCAGUAGUUUAAAUAAUAUGUGCUUCUAGCAGUGGUAUUGUCAGCAGUGAUUCUGCAUUAAAGGAGGUGGGUGAGGGGAUGAGUUUUGCCAUGCUUGAAUGUAUUUUCUACUGGGGGUCUCUAGCUUUGGAACACUAGAGGGCUGUAUAAGUCUUUUUUUUUUAGUAACCUGUAAUGGUACUGGAAUCCCUGAGAAGAUGGGGUUCACAUUAUAUAUUAAAAUCAACUCUCAAUCUUUGAAAAUGCAAAAAUAUCAGCAGAAUUCAAAAGUAUCGUGUAUACCAGUGGCUAGAUACACACAUGCGUGCUUCCUUUUAUCCAGUAUAUUUCAAAGCAUAAUUACCAAAGCUGAGAACACCUGUUUAUUGAAUGUAUCAGUCUUCAGUGCAGCCAUACCUGAAUUUUUAAGUGGCCAUAGAUUUUUUCCCAUACAGCCAUCAGAGGCAAUAUAUUUUCUUACCCAAUUAAUAUGUUUGUAAUGGAGCACAUUAAUGUAGGCUGCAAAAAAAAAAAAGCGUGUAGUUACAAUGAAUUUGUUCCUAUGUGUGCCAUAUUCAUAACAGCAGGUGGUUAGGGGGCUGAUAUGAGGUAAUAGCUGAGAAAAUGCUUUGAAAAUAUGCAAGUGCUGUAAAAAUAUAAGGUGGCUGUAUUUAUCGCUAUUAAUCAGUAAGUUUCCAUGGUGUAAUGGUUUUCAGAACAUGGCUUCUAGAACAUAACAGACUGGAUUAGAUUAGAAAAACUUUCAUUGUUGGGAAAGCAAUUUUUUCAAAACCACACCACAAAGAUAAUUCUUGUUGUUUUUGGCUUUCAAGCUUAUGUAUAUCAACUGUUAGUUUCAAGCUAAUAUGCUCCUUCCACUUCUACUUUCAUGAUGAAUAGAUAUCAACACUUUGUGCGCAUCUGUUCUUAAAUACUCUUUGAAAAGUGGAAAAGAACUUUUAUAUAAGACACCUACACACGUGGUCUCUAUUUAUCAGUUGAAAACUGAGAAACAGGGGUCCAACUUCGGCUCAGGUCAUGAUCUUGCAGUUCCUGAGUUCAAGCCCCGCGUCCGGCUCUGUGCUAACAGCUUGGAGCCUGCUUUGGAUUCUGUGUCUCCCUCUCUCUACCUCUUCCCCGCUCAUGCUCUGUCUUUUUCAUCAGAGAUGAAUAAAUAUUAAAAAAAAAAAAAAAACUGAGAAAGAGUGGGAGACAGAUCAAUCUACAUGAACAAUAAUAGAUGGAGUUCAUGAUCUAAUUUUAAUUAUUUUUGGUAAUUUUAAUUAUUUUGGUGUUACUGAGGUAACACAAUGGAUGUAUGAAGUGUAACAAAGGUGUAAGGAUAAAGGGAAUGCACUUCAGGCAUUUGUGACAGAAAAAAGAAGGCAAGUGUAUUGAGUCAGAUGUAUAAUGUAGGUACAUAAAUAGCUAUAGAAAAAGGCAGACUAUGAUAAAUGUCUCAAAAUAGGGAAACAUUAAGAGAAGAGAAUAGUAUAUGUAGAUAUAAGUGUAGAAAAUGCUUCAUAAACAAGGCAGUCUUUGAAACACAGGCUGGGGUUUUGGUAACAUUCUGAAAAGUACAAAUGAAUAAAAGAUUAUUAAGGAGAAAGAACAGCAUGGGCAAAGUUUCCCAGGCACAAAAGAGUAAGACUUAAUUCCACUACUUAAACUAUAAUUCAAACUAAAGGAUUUUAAACUUUACCCUCUAGGACUUAUUGUAUAGGCAUUGGUGGCAGGAAAAUAUCAAGAUCUCUUGGAGAGAAUAAUCUUAUAGCACAAAAUGAAAGCUAUGAAAAGGGAACAGUUGAAGGCACUUUGCUACUUCAUUUCACAAUUAAGUUUUGAAAUAGAUGAGAUCAGUAGAUAUGGGUGGGAAUAGAGUGAGAAAAUUAAGGAAUAAGAGGCAAUAAAGGUGCAUGGCUUUGUAUACCAAUUCAUUCAAAAUAAGUGCUAGACACUAAAGUCCUAGAAGCCAGUAGAAUAUAUAGUUGUAGGUAUUCAAACGUAACAAAAAAUGCAAGUACAGAACUUGAAAAAGAACUCAACACUAAGUGUGUGGAAUUUGGAAAAAUCUACAUAGAGUGAUAAUCGAACUUAGGUUAGACACAAAGUCUGAACAUAGUAAAGACAGAGGGAAGAAGUCCCCAGGAAAUGGGCUUUUGAGGAUCUAUAAGAAAAAAAUUGCUAUGACUCAAAGUAAAACAAAGGAGUAAGUGCAACAAAGUGGAAACAUAUGAAAAAAAUAGACAUCAGUAAGGCCGAACUUAAAGAAUGGCUACUUAGCAUUUUCAAAUUCUGGAGAAUGGAAAUGCUUAUCUCAGAAAAAGAGAUUAACUCAUGGAUUUACUAUCUCUUCCUUUCCUAUAUUUCUGAGUUUGAAUCAAGUGUACUCUUCACUUUGGUCAUAGAAAAACUUUUCACCUGAUUGGAGUCGGUGCUUGCCUCACAAAAGUAACUCCUGCUUCUCCCAUUAUCACCCUUUGUCUCAUGGGUCACCUGCAGUUUACCCUGCAGAUCCCCAAACUCUAUCUGAUCCUGCGUUAUGUGAGAAAUCUGUCUUUCUUUGGGCAUGAAUAAGACCCAGGACUUUUGUUCUGAACAGUCUUUUUUUAAAAGUUUCACUUCUCUAUGUUCCAUCUCCUCAGAUUUGAGUUUGUAAGUCGUAAUUAAAUUUUUGACAAUCUAUACUUCUGAGAAUUUUUCUGAACCGAGUAAUGCUCUUUUUUGCCAGUCCUAUAUUCUGCCUCAGAAUGUCACUUCUGAAGGAGAGGAUGAGGCCUUUAUUCAAACCCUGGGUCUGCUACUUACUAGCAAACUACUCACUUAGCAAAUUACUCACUCUUUAAUAAGUGUUAUAAAGUGGUAUCAGGUAAGAAGUAGUUAUACUACCACCUACAACUGUAUUCCUGAUACAGUAGAUGAGAUCAAUGUGCAUUUUCUAGAGAAUAAAUAAUACUUAUUUUGCCCUAUGAUUUUUUGCAGCAUAUUGAAAAAUUGGGAUUAAUUUGUUCUUUUAAAUGCAAACAUUUUAUUGAGCCUAUGUGUUGACUAUGUUGGUUGAUCCCUCCAAGAGACUUGAGAUAGCACUGCAUUGAUUGUGUGCUCUUAAGUUAUUCAAUAAUUUUGGUAUUGAUUUAGAAGAUUCUCACAAAUUUCCAAGAAGUAAAUGUGAGUUGAAUUUUAAAAAGAAAUAAAAUAAAUUUCUGUUAAUAAACAAAGUAUACUUCAAACUCUCCUAAUGAUUACUAUCACAACUCAUAUUUUAUUUGUUAGAUAUGAAAUGCAAGACAAUGGCUUUCUUCAUAAUACAUGUAAUCAAUGAUACAAUUUUCAAAGGGACUAUAUUCAAAUAGAGUUGAAACUAUAUAUAAUAGAGCAUGAGGAAAAUUCUUUUCUCUUCCUUUUAUGUUGCUUUUUAGUAAGGAUCAUGCUGAUUCAAGCCAAGACUUGAAUCACAAAAUAUAAUAUCCAUUUUAUAAGCAAAGCAGGAGUUCAUAGGCAAAGCUUAUAACUCAAUUCCUGUUUUAAAUUUGUAUAGAGAAGUUGUAAACUUCCAACUUCAAGAAUUUCCAUUUGUAAUUGCUUAAUUAUAAUAGUUUCCUCAAAAUACCAAUCAAUGACAAGAGUAGAUAAUUAAAAAAAAUGUUUAUCACCAGGUUACACUGACUAAUGACUGAAUAUUUUAGAUGAAUAAUUCGUAGUGUUACGUUUUAUUUCUUUACCAUAAUUUAUCAAAACUACUUGAAAAAAGUGGCAAUGUGUAGUGAUGAUGACCAUAAUUGCAGUAAUAUUUCCUAUAACAAUGAUUAGGGACAUAAACACUUAAGUGAUUUAUGUGUAGGAUAUGUUUUAACUAAUUUACAAAUGAGAAAGUAAGAGUUGGGAAAAUCAAAUUAUUUGUCAAGGGUUACAACCACUUAGAUGCAACCAUAUCUUCUAGCUUCAACUUGUGUGGUUUCCUGUCUAAUUUGGAUUCUAGGUUGCCAUAAAAGCUUUUUAGGUCUGGUUUCCCAUUAUUACUAUUAGACAGCCACUAUUAUUUCUUCCUAAAUAGUCAUGAUUUUCAUGCCAUUUCUCUUGAUCAAAAUGUCACUGGUGUCUUGAUCUGCUUGCUCUCUCUCUCUCUCUCUCUUUCUCUCUCUCCAGCUCUGUUUCUCUAUAUAUUAUAUACAUAUAAUAAUCAUUUGUGUAUGUAUAUACACCUUUUUUUCUAUUUGGAAAACAAGAAAGAAACCAAUAAACAAAAUUCUGGGGACAAAUGAGGUAAUAAUUUUGUGUACUUGGGAGCUAAGACCACUUCAUUUACUAGGUCAAUAACUAUUUGUUUGCUGCUGGAGACUCUUCUGCUGCUUUUCAUAUUUGUGUGUCUGCCCUUCAAAUUUGACUUAAAAUAAUUAGGAGCUUUCCAAGAGAUUCUGUAAUUUGUGCAAAGAAUUUCAAGUGUUUAUUCAUGCAUUGAUAAGUAAGAGUAUAGCAAUAAGUAGACUAAAUCAGACAAGUGACCAAUUACACCGAGUAACCAAGGGGCACAAUUUUAAUUAAAAUACAUGACUCUUAAUUGAGUAUUCUGUAGGAGUCAAGUAAAAGACUAGAAAAGCUGAGUAUAUGGUAGCUCUAGACAUUUCCCAGCUAUUGCUAAAUCAAAGGAAUUUUUUAAAGAUGGAUAGAUAGAUAGAUAGAUUUAGAGCAUGUGUGGGGGAGAGGCAGAGAGAGGGAGAGAAAGUAUCCCAAGCAGGGCUCGAACCCACAAGCUGUGAAAUCAUGACUUAAGUCUAAAUCAAGAGUCGGAUGCUUAACUGACUGAGCCACACGGGUGCCCCAGGAUUUUUUUUUUUUAACAAUUGCCUACUAUGUACAAAGCAUUGUGCUACUUGUUAUAAAACAUACUAGAAGUAUCAGAAAUAGUUCCUUCCUCUUAAACCUUCUAAUCUGUUUAGAAGUGAUCUACUUAUGGCAUAAAUUUGAAAAGUUAAACAAUAAUACAUAAAAUGAUAAAAUGGCUAAAAUUUGGAGACGUGUGUUGAAGGGGAAACACAAUUGGCUUUGUUUUAUAAUAUUGAGCAAGGUGAUGCAGGUCAGCAUAAAGAGUAAGCCCAUGGGUUCUAUACACACGCACUCAUGCUUUGAUUCUGUUCUUUAGAUCCAUUUUUAGAUCUAUUCUUUCCUGGCUGUUUCCUCAUUUGUGAAAACAGAACGGUAAUAACUCCUACAUAUGGUUGGUGUGAGGAUAAAUGACAUGAAACACUUCAACACACUGUCUCCCAACAGAGUGGGUGCCAGCUGUUAUUAUCAAGGUCUGGGCUACGGGUGCAUCCCUGGGACUGGACGAGAGGGUUCGUGACAGUAGCAAAAUUAGAUAUUAUGAUCCCUCUGGUUAGUGUGGGGUAGGGGAUUUGAGAACAUGUGGAAACUUCUCUAAAUUUUGCUGUAACUAAUGCCUGUUUGGUUCUGAAGCCAAUGUGGUAUUGGAUGAUUCCACUGAGGCAAGCAACUAAUGACUUGUGACAAGCAUGACUUGGCAGUUAAACCAUGCAAAUUGACAGUGUAUCUGGACUAACCUGGUGUUAGGCAGAUAGUUUGUGAGUGCCUGCUGGGCAAAAGGGAAAAAAAAAGACAAAUAAAAAGUGUCUUUUAGAUUUGGCAUCAUCAUUGAAGCUUCCUUGAUUGUGGGCUUUUACCUGACACCCACCUUCUGUGUCAUAACAGGUUGUACCACUGUAUUUAAAUGACAACCACCACUGUAAGUAGAUUUAACAAGGUGGUGGUCCCUGGAGGCAUUGCAAAAUGUUCCCAGCAAACCCCUGCCAUUUGUUUCUAACCACUCUGUGGACUAAUAAAAGCCAGAAAGAGUAAGAAAUAGGGCUGCAAUCGCAUUCUCUCUGCAGCUGCUCAUGUAAGACCACAGUUUUCCCUGCACCUGAGAUGUUUGCCCGUAGAAAGUUAUUUUUCAAGCUGCCUGUGGAAACUGAACAGAUCCUAAUGCCACCAAUAGCUUUUAAAGCUUCAAAUCUGAUACAGCUUUGAAAGUAAUUAGAUAAAGAAAAUUAAUUCCAGUUGGGAACACAUAAAACAUUUCAUUUGGAAACUGACAUGAAUAAAAUUAUAACUAUGGUAAAUACAAAAUAUGAAAAUCUAAAAUUACAAUACAUUCUGACUUUAAUAUUUCCAUACAAAUUAAUGUUUUGUUAACACUCAAUAAAGUACAUAGUAGCCAGGAGACCAACACAACAAUCAGAGAGGACACUCUUUUUGUGCAAAGCGCUCUGGGCCAAACUCUGAGACUAAACUGGAACCAGGAAAAGAUUCUGCAAAGAGCAGCUGAAGCAAUACAUCAAAGAGUGAUCAAUUGGGCACUUUCUCUCUUCUUUUCCCGACUGCCUCCCUCCUUUUCUCUCUAGAUAAAAAACAUGAUAGAAAUAGAUAGACAGAAAGACAUAGAAAUAAAGAUAGAUGAUACAUUCUCAACAGGGGCAAUAUUGCCCCAAGGGGUGAAAAUUCACUUUGAAGAAUAAAAAAAAUCUUAGAUGUUAUAGACCCUCCAAAGGGUCACAGUACUUAAAGAGCUAUACAGUUGUGUGUGUGUGUGCGUGCAUGAGCAUGGCAUUACAACUUCACUGGGCACAGGCAAUUAGAGGAAAAGGUGUCUAAUAAUAGCAGUGAGACAAUGCAAAAAUGCUGAGAAACACUGAUAUAGAUAUAUGGACUUUGGGUCAUAGGUAACUUCAAUCAGGCCCUCUAAUUAUAGAGAGAGGGCUCACAGGACAGCAGCAUCAUGGAAACCCAAACCAAACCAAAACAAAACUCCCAAACGGUUAUGUGAAUAUAUCCAUGCUGAUAUCAGAUGAACAUACAUUUAACUUCAACUGAGCUUCACAGUUAUUUAUGAAGUGCCUGCUAUAUGCUAGGCAUUGUACCUCCUCUGGAACGGAGAUAUGCUCAUAUGGGGAAUAUAAGCUAGAUUAAAUCAGAGGUCAAACUAUUACUAGCAGGGAGGAUGCUAGAAGGAAGGAAGAAGUACAGUGUUUUUAGAGCAUGUAGCAGAGAAGCCCUUGGAAGGUGACUUUUAAUGAGAGACUUGAGUGAUGAAUAGAAGGCAGCCAGGCAAAGUUCACAGAAGAAAGCGUUACAAGCAAAGGUACCAGCAUGGCAAAACUCCAGAAGGCAGAGGCAGUGUGAUGUGUUCAAGUAAACAAAUGGGAUCCAGAAGGCUGAGAUUUGGAGGCAAGAAAGAGGCCAGUUGAGGACAUUGAGGCUGAAGAAGGAACUCAGAGGUAGAUGGGGGCCACAUAUGUCAUGGUAAGCAUUUUGGAAUACAUCCCAAAAGGAUAGGGAAACUGUUACAGAAUUUUAAGAAGGAGAGUGAUUCCUCAGGAUUGUGUGACUAAAAACCUGGAUUAGGUCAAGUUAAAUUUCCAGUGUAAAAUAAAUAAAUAUCUAACAACAGAUUUCCUUCCAAGUACUAGUAAAUACUCUUGCAACAACCUUAAGCUCUUGUUUAAAAUAAAAAUUCUGAAAGCUGGAAUCCUUGCUCGGCAAUAUGCUAUCUGGAAAUUGGAGUGAAGAAUGUGAUGGCUUGUUUUGUCAAAUACAGUAGUUCCCCCUUACCCACGGUUUUGUUUUGUGUGACUUCAGUUCUCCAAGGUCAUCCCUGGUCUGGAAGCAAAUGAUCUUCCUUCUGACCUACCUCAGAAGGCGAAUGGUAGCCUAAUGCUAGGUCACAAUACCUACGUCAUUCCCCUUGCUUCAUCUUCUUACGUAGGCAUUUUAUCAUCUCAGUCAUCACAAGAGAAAGGGUGAGGAGCAUGUGACUCUUGAUUGUGGCAUCGUGAGUUCAAGCCCCAUGUUGGGUGUAGAGAUUACUUAAAUAAAUAAAAACUUAAAAAAAAAAAACAAGGAUGAGGGCAGUACAGUAAGAUACUUUGGAGGAGAGAGAGCGCACAUUCACAUAACUUUUAUUACUGUGUACUGUUAUAAUUGUUCUGUUUCAUUAUUAGUUAUCAUUAUUUAUCUUUUACUAUGCCUGAUGUAUAAAUUAACUUUUAACACAAGUAUGUAUUUUUAGGGAAAAAAUAUAGUAUAAAAAGAGUUUGGUACUAUACAUGGUUUCAGGCAUCCUGAACAUAUUUGGGGUCUUGGAAUGUAUCCCCCAUGGAUAAGUGGGGGACUACCGUAUACAGGUAGUGUACUUGUAGGGGGUAAAACUAUCAUGACAAGUUUUUAUAGGGCAGGGGGACAGUUUGAAAUAAGAUGCCUGUGACAAUUGUCAUACAUUUCUGCAGCUAAUGGGGCAGUCCCUGUUGGGGAAUGCCUCAACAUAGAGUUUGAAUAAAAGUAGGAGUAUAAUUAAGCUGGUUUUCUUGACCUAUAUGAUUUCUAUUUGCAACAUUGGGAUCAUUAUAUAAUCUCUAUGGAUUUGUUGGGGCCAGUCUAUCGAUGGGAAGCUGCAGUUCCUCUGUGAGCUGUAGUCAAGAUACAUUUUGGAACACCUGUUAUGUUUUCUUAAAGUAAAAUUGAAAAGGAGUAGAAGAUUUUAAGCCAAUUCCUUAACAAGGAUAUGCAAUCCAUUAAAUUAUUCCACCACCCUAUCGAUGCUCUUUAUUUGUUCACAAAUGGAGUGAAUAUAAACCAAAACCUUACCUCAAAAUAUUUUCUAUAAAGCAGGUGACAAACUGUGAGAAUUUAACAAUCAAAGCUUUCGUAGGAUGUAAAUAGUUUACAUAUGAACAUAAAAAUACACUGCAGUGAAGGCAUAAAAAUAUAAAAGUCUAUUGUCUGUUUUAUUUUGUAUCAGUGCAUAGUUAUUAUGCACAUAUGUAUAAUUUGUAUUUUUGGUAUGUUAAUUUUGUUGCUAUUUUCUCCUUUUUGAAUUAUAUUUGGCUGCAAGAGUAUUUACAAAACAUAUUUAAAUUCAUAUUUCCUUGAAGUGGGUGACUUUUGUUGUUUUAUUUUGAGUUUGUGUUCAGGGGAGUUUAUUUUGGUACUGUGUAUUGUGUACAAGUUCUCAUUGGUAGUAGCCCCUGAGUUCAUUUAGAAGGCUACAGGGCUUUUGAAAUACCAUUAAUCAAAUUGGGAAAUUAUAAAUGACAAUACAAUUUUAUUUUAUGGCAGUAACGUGUGGAUGAAAGUAAGACCUGAAAAAACCGUAAGCUGUUCAAACACACUUUGUGAAAAAGUGACUCCAAGAAGGCAGAUAGUUACAGAGUAAAGGGAUAUGAAUACCGUCUUUAAAUUUAAAAUACUCAAAAAAAAUAUGAAAGAACUAACCCAAAUAAAACUACCCAGGUUAUCUAGAGAAUAAUCUGUGUAUUAAGUAUAGUGGACUGUAAAAUUAGUUGAUUGAUUGUUUGGCUGUGCUCUAAACUGGCAAUAUCCCACUAAUCUCCGCCUCUUCUCAGUGAAAAGAAACUUUCUAUAUUGUCUACAAAUAACAUGGUCAUUAAUUCAAAGUGAGGAAGCACAAAAUCAGUGUCUAACUCUAUGUGUAUUAUUUCUGUUGCUGCCUGACGUGGAUCACUUUUAUGGAAGUCCAAGAUGAUGCAGCAUAAAACUGGGGACAAUAUAUAUAUAUAUAUUCCAUGCUGAUGUCAGUUUCUAUCGUGCCUUGGACAUAGGCGAUCUUCCAUAAAUAUUUGCCAGAGAAAUCUGGGAGUUGAAAUUGUGAACCUAAACUCUUAAACGCAUGCUAAUUCUUACUAGAAUAAAUAACAAGAAUGAAAAAGAUAUGAAAACCCUCGCUAGAUUAUCAAAAUUCUUUAGUAGUAUUAAGGAUUUUUAAAAAGCAGUUUAAUGUGAUGGUUUAUCCCAUGAAUCAUCUGCCUCUUUUUAAAUAGAAUUUUCAAAAGAUCAUCUAAUUGAAGAUGCAUUCAGGACCUUGCCAUGUAUCAUGUGAGCUAAUUUUCAAAGGCAUUUGCAUAUAAAAAUUAUAUAAAUUGUUCUUUUCAGCAUUAGAAAUCUAUGCAUAUUAUAUCACUGAAAGCAAUUAUGUCUCUAUAUUCUUAGAUAACAUAUUUAAAUAAUCUAUUGGGGAUUUGCUUUUCAAAUUAAAUUACUGUAACAUUAACAUUGCUAUCUUCAUACAAAAAUGAAGGUUUCAGAUACAUUAAUUUCAAUUUAAACCUUUUCUUCUCUUCAUCUUUUGGAGCAUUGCAAUAAUAAUUUGGAACAAAAAAAAUUAAACACACAUGAGAAGGUUAUGUUGAGUCGGAAUCUUUAGCCUAAAAGCUUCAAAAGGCCCAUUAUUGGAUAAAGGGCUUUUUCCUGUGUGGGUACAUGCUGGUGAAUGCAGGUGUAACUACGGUGUGUAAAAUGCAACUGAGCUCAAUUUUUUCAAGGUUUCAAUUCCACCAGGCUGUCAUUAUAAUUAUGUUGAUUUUUGUAUUAUGGCACAAUGAGCAUUAUUUUAUGAAUUUUUACAAUUGAUAAGGUUAUUAAGAGACUAUACUCCCCCAAUUUUUUAAACAUGCUAUUGCUUUUUCAGAAUUCCAGUUGUGUAUACAAAGGGUUCAAGAGCUUAACAAUUAAUGCAUUUAAAUCUUUUGAGAAAAAAAUACUGGAAAAGGACAAUUAAUUAAAGUUUCAUUUGAACACAUAUAUUAUGUAUUUAUUUAUAUCAUGUAAUUGUGCGUCCAAAAUGAUCAUGGUUAAUGGGUUACAUAUAAUUAAUAUGUACCUUGAAAUACUUAUUUUGCCUCAGAACGUGUAAUGUACAGGCCAUGGCCCUUCUUUGAAUGAUUACUGGAGCUCUGCCCCUGCUUUCUUAAAAAACAAGCAAAAAAAAAAAAAUGCAUUAACUAUGAAUCCUAGGUUUGGGUUCAAGAGUCAGAGUGAGAAUCAAUAGAGAUUUUUUGACUUUCUACUUUUUCUGCAAUUUCUCUUAUCAAUCUAAACAGAACUUUUUAACCAAUUCAUCAAAGUUUACGUAAGUACUCAACUCAGUCUCCAUAGAAACAAUAUUUAUUUUCUUGUGCUCAUACUUCACUGUAAGUUCAUAUUAUUUCAUAACAUCUAAUUAGUUUAUAUAGUACCAAUAAAAGUAUUAGUGAAGUAAACAAAUUGGAACAAAAAUAACUUAAUGUUGUAAACACCCCAUGCCACCCAUGAGUGUUUAUGUGCCCAGGCAAGCGGACUGUAGAGUAUCCUGUUGACCUCAAAAUUGUUUGAUUGAUAUUCUGACCUCCUUGCAAAAUUCACAAAGAUUCACAUAAUAUGCAGCUCCUAGAGAAAAUUCUCUCUCCCUCUUCCACUCUCUCUCUUCUCUUUUUCUCUCUUUUCCCCUCUUUCUCUUUCUCUCCCCACCACAUAUGUAUAUAUUUACAUGUAUGUUUAUUAUUUAUACGUUUAAAUAUCAGAUUAGUGACUAGCCCAAAGCUCUCUGAAGCUUAGUGGUAAAUAUAGUUAAAGGGCCCACGUUUUCUGUUUUGUAAUCCAGUUAUUUUUCCUAUUCUCUUCUAAGAAAAUUCUUUCUCUUAUUAAAUGUUCCUCACAUAUAAAGGAAUAAUCACCAUGGUUGAUAAUAUGCAGAACAUAUGCUUUGUAUUGACAACACCUGUUUCCAGUCUUGGCUUUUUUAAUAACUAUUUUUGGCUUUGUACAUGAAUAAAUUUUAUAUAUAUAUAUACAUAUAUAUAUCAUAUAAAUAUGUAAUAUAUGUAUGUAUAUAUAUAUGAUAUAUAUAAAUUAUAUGUAUAUAUCAUACAAAUAUGUAACAUAUAUAUGUAUAUAUAUAUAUGAUAAGCUUAGAAUAGUGCCUAGCUGGUAGUAAGUGUUAUGUAUUUUAACUAGGUGAUUCAAUCACUCUGAGGCUUAGUUUCUAAACCUUUAAAAUGGGUAUUUCAUAAAAUAAUGUAUAUCAAGAACCUCAGUGACUGAUUUCUAUAAUAAGUAGACAGGUUUGUGUUCAAUUUUGAUUCCUUCAUUUUUAAUUAGCUACUAAAUUUUAAGGAGUUUUCCAUUAUAGUAGAGUAAUGGAGAUAAUAUCUAAAUGCUAUACUCCUAUGUAUUCAUUUCUUUUUUAAAAAAUGUUUAUUUAUUUUUGAAAGAGAGAGCAUGUAUAUGAGUGGGGGAGGGGCUCAGAUAGACGGAGAGAGAGAAUCCCAAGCAGGCUCUGUGCUGUCAACAUAGAGCCCAGAGGGGGCUUGAUCUCACAAACCAUAAGAUUAUGACCUGAGCCGAAAUCAAGAGCCGUAUGCUUAACCAACUGAACCACCCAGGUGUCCCUUCAUUUAUUUAAUUACAUUAAUUUAUAUUCACAUUUAAAAGCACAUGAUUUACCAUGCCAACAAUUGACUGUAAUAUUUAUUAUAAUUAUUAAUGAAUAUCAGAAAUAAACCAAUAGUGAAAAAUAAAGGAUAAUGGGAUAAAAAAUAAAGAAUAAAGCAAGGUAAGGCCAAUGUUUAUCCACUAACACCAGGAGUAGGUAGGUAAGAAAAUGAGAACCAUAACAAACUUUAUAAAAUAAUCAUAAAUUUUCAUAAUUUACACAAUAACUUACAAUAAUAUGGUAAAUGUCUUUUUAAAAUAUUCUGUUCAUGAUUGUUUAAUUAUAGUUAAAAAAGAAAUUACUAUUUCUAAUCUUUAAGUAAAAGUGAAAUUCUUCUUUGAACAAAUAUCCAAAUACAAAGCAAGUAUUUUAAAAGGAAACCAAACUGUCACCAAAGCAGAGUAUUUUUAGCUAAUACAUAUUUUUAAGAAAUCUUGUCAAUACUAUAUGUGCUACUUAUUUAAAAAAAGCUUUGUACAUGUUUAUAUAUAUCUUAAACCAGCUUAUUUAGUAUUGUAGAGCUUAAAAGAAUAGAAUAAAAGAAUUUUACCAAUUUAAAAUAUUUAUACAACUUAAAAAAAUAAUAAAAACAUUGAGAAGUGGCUUUUUCUAAGUUCAAGGUACUUAAAAUGAAGUUUCACAUUGAUUAGAUAGCAUUUUUAAAAAAUUCUAUUAUCUUAAAACUGCUGUCUGGGCAUUGUGUUUAUGGUUUUCUAAAUUGCUUUAUAAAGAAGUUAAGAGGACAGGUACCCUCAUGGCUAUACACCCUUUAAUGAUUUUCUAACUAUGGCCAAUCCAUUAACCUUUAAGACAUUCAUGUAUCACUAUCUAUAUCUUCUUGAGUUUGAGCCUAAAAGAAGUUUUAAUCCACAUACAUACUAUGAAUAGUUGGGAAAUGAAUCAAUAUUGACAUGUAAAUAGAUUUGCAUGUUUUAACAGUAUAAGGGAAAACAAAUAUAUGAAUUAUGUUAGGAUUGCUAAGUGCAAUGAAUAUUUUACAGAAAAUGAUGCUCUUGUACACCCAAAGGUCUACAGUUUUAUGAUUUUAACAGUUAGGAGUGCCUGAUCUGCACUCUAAAACAUGCAUGCCGAUCAGUUAUAGAACGAGAGUCACCUGUGCACGUUUAAAUACAGAAUUGCUUUCUUUUCCUUAGCUAGAUUUUAGAUUCACCAAGAGGUAGAUGAUAGUUACACAUUAUGAAUCCUUAAUUUCAGUAACAAUGUCAUUUUUUACGAGAAUGACGUAAUUAAUGAAGAGAGCCUUGAUGUUGGGAGGAACAGACCUAGAUGAAGAUCUUAGCUUCACCAAUAACUUGUCACACGAGCUUCAGGAAAUUGACAACCUAUCCACAACUUUCCAAGUUUUAAGUGUAUAUUUUAAGUCACCUGAGGAUAUGGGCAGAAGUAUUUAAUUUUACCUCUUAUACCUUUGGACGUUUCAGAAAAUUGUUUAUACUGAUUUAAAAUAAUUAAUAUUUAAGCUUGAUCUGAUGGAAUAGGAUCCGAUUACGAAUAUUAUGUCUCCAUUGGAUGUGUGUCUAUUGAGCUGCAACGAUUACAUUGAUUUCUUUUGUAUAAGAUGAGUAAUUCAGUGAAUCAGAUUGAAAUAUGAAGCAAAGAGUUUCUCACUGUUUUUUUAAACAGUGCGAUGCCAAGCUAACUGAAAUGAAAUGAAAUUCCUGAAAUUGUGGUUCUUCAUGCUGUGAGGAUUGAGAUAAAAUAUAUGAAAAAAAAUAGCACAUAAACGGACGAAUGAUAGAUGUCCUUAACAAGGUCUGGACCUACCAAAAACAAAACAAAACAAAACAAAAAACCUGUUUGUGAAUGUUAAAAUUGUCUAGAUGCAGUACUAAGUUGUUAAACAAGGUGUAGGGGAAUUGAGCAAUCUCCCUGUUUCAAAUUACUUCGUGUGAUGCUUGAAAAUAGACCAGAAUAAUAACAGUAGAGAUGAAAAGAUCUAAGAAAGAAAAGGAAAAGAUCUAAGAAGUUAAACCCCUCUUUCUACAAACAAGAAUACUUAGAGUGCUUAACUGACUUGCUCGGGAACCAGAGCUUUUUGGUGAGGGCCCUACAAAAGCCAACAAUCCUGGCACCUGCACUAACUAUUCUGAGGAAAGAUGAAGGAAGGGUCAGGAAAGGAAGUAAUAUUUGCUAGGUGACAGUUGGAGAUUCUGUACUAUGCACUUUAACGCUGUGUAGUUAAUCAUCCCACAGUGUAGACAUCAUUAUGAUCACUUUAGGGAGGACACCUGAAACUCAAUUUCAUUAAGUGACUUGUUCUUUUACAAGUGAAUAACUCCAAAUAAUGGAUGAAAGGCUCAAUCUCCUCUCCUUCUAAGUACUGAAUAUAGAUCCUGAUCGAAAGUGAACAUUUUUGACUACUUUGAAGGAGAUAGUAGCAUUCAUAACCAGAAACAUUCACAAAACAAUUACCAGCAUAAUUCUCUGCUAAAUCUAUCAAAACUUUGAAGCUUUGAAAGCCAGAUAUAUUUGCAUUUCUUUUGCUCAUUUAAAAAUAUCAUUCAAGAUUGCAUGAAAGUGAUAUUUAUGAUUUUAAAAAAGAGCACUUGGAUAAAAAUCAAACCAUAGGAAAGACACAAGCAACAGGCUUCUGAAAGGAACACACAGGUCUUUGUCAUUUGUGUUUAUUGAAUUUUAUUCUUUACUUCAGAACUGAAACUCCACAAAAAAAGUCUACAAAAUGCAAAUGUAGGAUUUUAUCUGAAAAUCUUCAGUGUAUUUGUACAGAUAUGGAAUGGCAGGCAUCAGGAGUUUAAGUUUCCUAUUUCUGCAAAAUUCCUGUUUAGUUUUCCAGUGACAUUAAACAAACCCCUCAAAAAUUAAGACCGCAGUAGCAAGUGGAAAUACAAAUCAUGACAAGAGUUAAAUUCAAAUAUUAUCAGGACAGAUUUAGAAUUAAAUACAUGCCGGUAUGUUUUUAGAAUAAUAAUUUAAUGAUAGUUCCCUUACUUCAGUGGAAGCAUCAGUUAACCUCACUUUUACAUAUAACUAAACUCAAUGUAGGUUUUCAUGUCUAUAAUAAGAAAAUUUGUUUGUUGAGUUUUUUUUUUCUGUAAUAUUACAGCAUCUUAGAGAAGCGAAGUAAAUAUUAAUUAAAUUAAAGUGAAUUACAUUAAAGGCAAACAUUUAUUUUACGGAUGGUUGAUUCAAACUCACAUAUCCACAACUAUGGUGCAGUUUUUAAAUAAAAGCAAAAGAAAAGUAGUUAUUAUUUUAUCCUAAUCCUUAUUGUUUAUUGUAUGCCUUUGAUAACCCUGAUGUUUAGUGAAAAACUCCUAUGUUCAAGUUCACAGUAUGAAAAAAGAAAACUAAAAAUGGCAGCUUCUUUGUAGGUUAUACAAUUCCAAAUUACAAAACAAAUUAGCAUAAUGGUUUGCCCACAGAUCCCAUUUUUUUAAAAGUUUACUUAUUUAUUUUGAGAGGGAGAGAGCAUGAGUGGGGAAAUGGUAGAGAGAUAAGGAGAGAGACAGAGAGAGAGAGAGAGAGAGAGAGAGAGAGAGAGAGAGAGAAUUCCAAGCAGGCUUUGUGCUGCCAGCACGGAGCCCAGUGGAGGGCUCGAACUCACCAAUCGUGAGACCAUGACCUGAGCCAAAACCAGAAGUCAGAUGCUCAACUGACUGAGCCACCAAAGUGCACCUGCCCACAGAGCUCAUUUAUACUAAUAUUAAACUAUACUACUGGUUAUCCAUCUGCAUUCAAUCAUGUUUAAAUCAAUAAGAUAUAAAACAGAAAGCCUUUCUACAUACAUAAGGGUUGCUAUUAUAUUGUUGACAGAUAGUUCUUUUUAGUUUAUACUAUAGAGAGUCAAGUAGAAUGUGAAUUUUUAGGGUUGAAACAAAUAACUGAUCAUUCCUUUGAUAAUUCUAUCAGAUAAUAUUUAUUUUUGAAUAUUCAUUUAAUAUGGAUAUAAAGAUUUUUAAAUCACUCUCAUAAAAUUAUCACCAUAGAUUUAAAAAUUUUUUUCAACGUUUUUUAUUUAUUUUUGGGACAGAGAGAGAGACAGAGCAUGAAUGGGGAGGGGCAGAGAGAGAGGGAGACACAGAAUCGGAAACAGGCUCCAGGCUCCGAGCCAUCAGCCCAGAGCCUGACGCAGGGCUCGAACUCACGGAACGCGAGAUCGUGACCUGGCUGAAGUCGGACGCUUAACCGACUGCGCCACCCAGGCGCCCCUAGAUUUUAAAAUGUUAUAUCAUUUCUAUUCCUAAUAUUAAACAUCUUGCUGGAUGGUGAGAAAAUCUCGUCUGAUAUUUGAAGAGGACACAAAAAUUAUAAAUUAACUUCCCAUAAUUUAAUGUGCAAAUUGUAAUAAUAUUUAAGUUUAUACACUCUACAAAUAAAAUUCAAAAUAAUUACUCUAAUUUUAGCCUUUAUAAUUCCCUAAAUGUACUGAUGGCAAUAGAAUGAAACCACAAACGAAUUUUAUAGCAAGAGAAUUACACAAGAAAGAUAAAUUAAUUGAAACUCUGUAAUUAUUUAAGUAAAUUAUUAAAUUAAAUGUUAUUAAAUAAUGUAAAUUAUUUAAAUGAAUGCCAUGGAACUUAAUAAAUUAAUUGAGCCUGUGUCCAGAUAUCUAGGCAUCGAGCCUGUGUAGUGACGUGCACCACUAACGUCGAAAAUGGAUUGUGUGUUAGUUUGCUAAGGCUGCUAUAACAAAGUACCAAAACUGGGUAUCUUGAACAAAAGAAAUUUAUUGUCUCAUAGUCCUAGAAGGUAGAAGUCUGAAAUUAAGGUGUUCUCAGAUUUGGUUUCUUGUAAAAGCCCAUCAAUGAGAAUCUGCUUCAGGCCCCUCUCCUAGCGUCAGGAUUUCCUUGGCUUAUAGAUGGCAUUCCUUUGUUCCUGUUUCACAUCAUCCUUCCUCUGUGCACAUCUCCAUAUGCUUGUCUCUGUUCAAAUUUCUCCUUUUGAUAGUGGCACAGUCCUAUUCAGUUAGGGCCCACCCUAAUGGCCUUAUUGUAACUUGAUCAUCUGCAAAGACUCUAUUUCCAAAUAAGGUCACAAUCACAGGUACUACAGAUUACGAUUUCAGUUUUGGGGGGACAUAAUACAAUCCAUAACAUAUGCACAAAGAUUGAUUAUAUGACCAGUAUUUUCCAGAAAUAGUGAUUGUUACAUGUGAAUGUAAGGAAAUAUAUUUCUGUUUCAGUUAGUGUCGCACAAUUUGUAUCUUUCCUUAUACAUUCCUCACUCUUCACACUUAAUUGAGUACCUAUUGUCUUCUGGGAGAUAAGGGAAAAUAUAUUCAUGCCAUCAAGUUGGUUCAGUAUUUUUAAAAGUACUGUUCUAAAUUUUUGGAUCCCAACCCAGAACCAAGAUAAUGAUGUUUGUGUAGGCUUUAUCUCAAAUCUCCAUUUUUCUUUCCACAUGCAUUUAUUGAAUACCUACUAUGUGCUGCACCUUUUGGUUAGGUAUAUCUCACUAUGUAUUAUUUCAAUCAAAUGGACAGAUUACUUAAUUGCUUAUUUUAUUUUGAAACUCAAUUUCUUUUAUCUUUCAACAUAUAUUUUUGAUACCUAUCAUAUUCUAACAUCCUAUUAGGUACUGGUGAAACAGGAUGAAUCAAGCCACUCCCUUAUGGAACUUAAACAUUCUCAUACUAUGACAGAGAAUUUAAAAAUGCUAAAUGAACAAUCUCAGAUAGGAGUGAGUUAUAGAGGGGCUCCUGAGUGGCUCAGUUGGCUAAGCAUCUCUGACUCUUGAUCUUGGCUCUGGUCAUGAUCUUACGGGUUGUGAGUUCAAGCCCCGUAUUGGGCUCUCUUUUUUUUUUUUUUAAUUUUUUUAAUGUUUAUUUUUGAGACAGGGAGAGACAGAGUAUGAAUGGGGGAGGGUCAGAGAGAGAGGGAGACACAGAAUCUGAAACAGUCUCCAGGCUCUAAGCUGUUAGCCCAGAGCCCGACGCGGGGCUCGAACUCACGGACCUCGAGAUCAUGACCUGAGCCGAAGUCGGACGCUUAACCGACUGAGCCACCCAGGCGCCCCUGGGCUCUCUUUUAACAACGUGGAGCCUUCUUGGGAUUCUGUCUCUUCUUCUCUCUGCCCCUUCCUGGCUUUCACUUUCUCUCUCUCUCAAAAUAAAUAAAUAAAACUUAAAACAAAAAAGAGUAAAUUAUAGAAGAAAAAUAACAGGAUAGUGGGAAUCAUGUUAGAGAGAAAUUUAUGGGUGGGGCUACCUAGAGUCAAGGAGGUCUUCUUUGAGGAGGUGCACUUUGGCCGUUUAUAAGAGAAACCAAGUAAAAAACUUUUGAACAAAUAUGAUUACCUAUGUUUAGUGUUCUUAUUUACAAAUUACAUGUAUAAAGUAAAAACUUUGUGAGAGAGCUGUUUUUCAGUGUGUAGUCAAGAAGAGUGAUCCUUGUAACAAGCCUGAUGGUUCAAAGUCCCUUCACUAUCUUGGUUCAUUUUGUGUAGGUGUGUCAGCUCAAAUAGCGACUAGUUAACUCCAAGUAAAUAUUUUCUUAUACCUAUGUUGUCUUCUUGCUUUUCUCCUUACUUCCACUUUCUUAUCCUCCAUUUCUAUUUCGUUUUCUGAGAUGUUAGAGAGAGGCUUGGGCUGCUUGUUAGGAAAUACGGCUGUAACACCUCUGAGAACAUUGGCUCCAUUUCUGUUAACCUGGCACAAUUCACACAUCUUCAAUUCGCUUCAUUAUUUAUUGUUUUGUAGAACAGUGACAGGAUACUUGGCUGGGGAAAAAAAAGAUGGAAGGCCACUCUCUGCCCCAAGGACAUUUCAGACAUAAAACGCAAUGGCUGAGAAACUGUUUUGUUUCCGGAGUGAAAACAACCUGAGUUUCCAUUCUUGUUUGUGGAGGUAGCAAAUUUACUGUAGGAUAUAUUUUCUUAAAGAACAAAUAGAUAUGAAGAGAUGAAAACAGAGGGAUAGACAGUGCAAUGUUCACAUUUUAUUCUUUAUGUUUCAAACCAAUUGCUAGCUAAAUCUCAUCCCUAUAGUGAAACAAUUCCCUGAUGUACGCUUAGAUCCAUAAGCAUGCGUGUAGAUAUUCCAUCAGCUUAUUGUAGGACAAAAAACAAAUGAAACAGAUUCAAUGAGGUAAAAUCAAAUUCAAAAUCAAAUGUAAAAUGAAUCAAUUAUUACCAAAAAUGGUAGGUGAAAUAUUUCCCUAAAGAGUUUGAAAAUGCUUUGUCUAUCAAAUCAGUAAUCAGAAAGCAGGGGGACAGAAAUUACUGAACACAAAUACAAAAUAAUAAUGCUACAAUGAAAGAGUACAAUCUGUUAAAUACACUAGAUUUAAAAAAUCCGAGCAAAGAACAUAAAAUGUCCCUUCAUUAACAAUGAGCUAACUUAUACAUAGUGGAUGUCAAAUAAAUGUCCUUGGAAGGAAGAGAGCAAUAAAAAUUCUUCAGAAAAAGAGUGAUUUUCAAUAACAAGUUGCUUUUACAAUUUUGGUCGGUGAAAGCCAGUUCUUCUGCAAAUUGUUAUAGGGCUCUCUGUAUCAUCACUCCAUAUUUACCAUCGACAUUUUACCAAGAAAUUUAUGUCUUAUUUUGAAUUGCUUAAAUUGAACAAAUGGGAUACCUAGAUAGUAUAUUUUUAAGAGAAUGAAUAAAGUUUGGAUGGCAGUAGUCAAAUACUAGUAUUUCUGAGUUCAGGGCCUUUCAGUAUGGGGCAGUUGUGGGUAGGAUCCCACUAUGUAUGUGAGAUUGAUGUGCAAAUGGAAAAGAUGUAAGAUUUGGGAUCCUGGAGGAUAAGAGAGAUGAGUGGAAAGAGAGACAGACAAACUCUUACAAAAACAAAUUAUUGUGUACCAGUUGGGUUGAAGGCCAAGAAAAACCAUGUAUGACACCAAAAAAAAAAAAAAAAUCUUUAGUUAUAUCUUUAGUUAUAAAACAAGGGUUGCCAGUGUUUUGUUUAUAUUUUUAUCACUCAUAUUUUCAAACUGUUCCUAAAGAAGAGGCAGAGAAAAAUAAUCACCCUAAUCUGCCUUACUGAAUAUAGGCUGCUAGGAAUUAUAACUAUAGAAUCUACAGAGACAGGGAAACAAAUAAGUAAUUUAAUUCCCAACCUCCUGAAGCUCAUAUCUUUUCAAAUCAUUCAGUGGAUUUUAUUCAUUGUGGUUAUUCCACUGUAAAAUUAGAUGUACAAAGAAAUACAUAAUCCUUUUAUUUGCUAUUGGUUAUAAAUCUUUAGAACAAGCUUAGGCUACAGUUAUUUAAAACUAUGUAUCAUGACCACAUUUGCAGGGUUUUUCCAAUACUUAGUUAAUACUACGUAGACAGAUACUUAUUAAGAUUCAUUUAGUUGUGAAGCUAAAUGUAGCUUGCCUUCAAAUUAUAUUGGUGAGAUAUAAUCGUAUAUAAUACAACACUGUGUGUAUUACGAGAUAUGUAUACUAUCAGGAAUAAAUUCAGUAGUUAAGGGAAUAUAAUGUUGACUCUCUAUGGCAACCAGAAUGAAUUCAAACGUGCCCAUUUGUAGGUGUAGACAGACCCUAGAUUUUCAUAAUUCAGAAGGACUUAUUAGGCUAAUAAGUAAUAACAUAUUACAAAUUUGUAGUUCUUAACCUAUGAUUCAUGAACUUCACUAGAUCCAUGGACCUAGGUUCAAUACUCAGGGUUCCUGUAAACCCCAGCAUGUGCGGGGUUUGCAUUUUGCUGGAGCGAUUUCAUUAGAUUUUCGAAGAAACCUAGAUAAAACAAAGAAAUAAACAAAAUUUAAAUUUAGAGUAAGGAAUUAUUUUGUAAAAUUUUAUUCCAGUAUAUUUAUGUUUCCAUAGCUGCAGAUGUUUUAUGAAACAUCCAAAUGUUUGGGAACAACAAGCCUCAUAAGUAAUAAACCAUCACAUCUGUGAGCACUUUAUAGUUUGCAAAGACCUUUCACAUGGGUAUGCACUCCCAAGUUCCUCAGUCCCUCCCUGUCCUUCCUCCUUCCCCCUUCCCUUCUUCCUUACCCAGUCUUCAAGCCGGGUACUGUGUUAGGCAUGGGCACCUUGUGUCCACUGUUAGAUCCAUUUUGACAGAAUUUGUUCCUCUCCCUUCCUUUUCUCAGCUUAGUCUGCUCACUUUUUAAGAUAAAAUGUGCUUACAGACACCCUGCUAGCUCUAAAGCUUGGUGUCCUAAAUAGAUGAUUUAUAUUUUGAACCUAAGGCUGGCAUUAUAGCUUCCUUCUAUACAUCAUGGUUCCUCUUCUUAUUUGGUUCACAAGUAUAUCGAAAUGUCACUUUCCUUACCUAUGAAGGAGGAGGAGAGUAGUAAUAGCCCACUUUGUAGGUUUGUGUAAAAAAUAAAACUGAGUAUAAAUUUCAUAUAUUCAAAUAUUUUUGCUAAUACCUGGAAUAUAACAAGUCAAAGCAAGAAUCAAUAAUUGCCAGCCGUUACCAGGAAGUAAAGGAUGCAAUGUGAAAAUCUCUUGACUCUCACAGUAUAGUCUGUUUUGAAUAGGAAAUUAUUAUCAUGAUUAUUAAUAGUGAUAAAUAAAUAGGUGUUUUCCUGUGGAGAAUCUGGCUCAUUGUAGAACAAUUCUUCCGGAAGCUCAUUCUGGAAUCUGCCUGGCUAGCAUGGUGAGAAUUCUUGAACUGUUUCAUUAGAGUACAGAAAGAUAUAUUGUAUCUAUCUUUCUAGGUAGUUAUAAAGAAAAACCUAUCCUUUAAUUUACUCCUGGCAUUUCUAUAAAUGGGGUCACCUUCGAGAGCUCCUGGCAAAACAGCUUUACCAGGUUUCUUCGAGAGCAACCAAAAGAUAGAAAACCAUAGAACAUCAGAAGCCAGUUGGAAGAAUCUGAGCAUGAGGAGCAAAUGGGACCCUGAGCCAGCUGGAGCUGAGACCAGACAUCCAGCAGAAUUCCAUCUGGGCUUGCACAGAAACUACCCUUGCAGCCUGAGUGGCACAAAGCAUUCCCUGGCUUUGACCUAGUUUGGUUCUCUGGCUGUCACCUCUCUGCCCUGACCAACAGCCUGUUCCACAUUCGACCUGCUCUGUUUUUCAGCUCUGACUUCUGGAGGUGCCCCUGUUGCCAUGACUACCAGUCCUUGGUUUUGACUCAGCCUGGCUUCUGGUCACAGCUUCUGCGCUCACGCACAAACGGCUGCUCUCUUUCUAGCUUUGGAUGAAUGUGCAACCUUAUUUGUACACUUGCUUCAGGCCUCUAAUUCAACAAGAACCUCUUUGGUUUCACUCAUUGGAUUGAAGUCCAGACCCAAGGUCUCAAAAAUGGGCCCGAAGGAGAAAACUUCAGUUUGAUUAUUUGAUGCUAUUUGGGUCCUGUCCAUGUCCCUCUUUUGUGGAUGGCUUUGAAACAGCACUUCAUUACUCACCCUUAGUGGGGAAUACUCCCUUACACUAAUCUAAUCUCUCUUGAAGCCAUAAGUAAAUCAAUCCUGCCGACAUGUGUUUACUCUUCUAUGCAUGAUCCAAGUGUUAACUUACAUAAAUCUAUAUCAAUUUAAAAUUAUAUUGAGCAUAUACAAGGGGAAAGCAUGUAUAGAGGACAAUACUGGACAUAGAAUAACCAUAUAAAUAAUAAUCAGGCAAUGCCAAGUAACUUACAGGUACAUUAAAUAACAACAAGAUAAACAGAGCAAAGGGAGUACAUUUACAGCUGGCAGAAAUGGUGUAUAUUGGUGACACCACGGAAAUCUUCCUUGUAGAGGUAAAAUUUGAUUUAGAUCUUAAUGAACUAGAAGGAUUUGGGCAGCAAGUGGGCAAUACAUGUGGAACUAACAGGAUGAGAAAACAGUUAAGGGAGAAAAUGGGGAAUCGGUAAAAUAUGGAACACAAUCAGUAAAGUAACUAGCUUUCUACUUUGGCAAAAGAAUAAUGUUGGUACAAGAGAAUAAUCCAAGAACAACAUUGACGGGUUGGCUGGAAUUUUCCAGAGAGCUUCAAAGCUUGUGUGAGAAGUGUAUCUUGUGUUAUGUAGUACUGGUAAGACAUAGCAUAUCUUACUUACACCUUAGGAAGAUCAUUUUUUAUGUUGUAUGGGAGAAAGACUGGGAGUGGGAUGACAGGGAUAGGGAGAGGCCUCAGAAAUAUUCCAGGUAAAAGAGUGUAAGUGCUGAAACAAAGAUAGUAAAAGAGAAUUGAUAAGAAAGAGUGGAUGGGAGAUAUGUCACAUAGAGUAGACAUCAGAAGGCUACAAUGUUUAUAACUAUAUCUGCACUUCUAAGCAUAUUAUUAUCCGUGGGGAAUACAGAUCAUAGUUUAAAGGAGAAAUGAGUCACUUUUCUCUUUUUAGAAAGAAAACUUUAAAAAUGAAUUCUGUCUUGAAUAUCAUAGAAGUUUUUAGGAGCCACAAUAUCGUCUAGUGCAAUGGUCCCUAAACUUGAUGGUGUAUCUGAAUCACUUGAAUAACUUGUUAAUUUUUAAAAAGUUAGUAGGUAUUAGGUAGGAUGUUUGAGUCUUUAUUUUGAAAAAAGCAAGUAGCUCUCUGGGAAGAGAUCUGAAAAUUGCUGAUGGCAGGACAAGAGUAUCUAUGCGCAACCUCCAGCUUUCCCUGAAGUCAUAACAAACUGCCACUAAUGCUCUUUUGACCUGCUGGCCUUGCUGUAAGUUAUUUUAAUGGUAACUCAAUAAAAUGAAUUUCUUAUUUGUCCUUAUCCACGAUAGACAAAAUUAUGCAGACUGUAAAUGGCAUAAUUAUGUAUGCAUGCAGACAAAUUAUUCAGAAGAGAAUUUCAAUAAAAUAAAUCUUGAAGCUGUUUAGAAACAGUUUUCUCAUUUUUAAAUGGGAAUAACUAUUGGCUGAUUCGACAAGAUUGUAUUUUUUAUGUAGCUAGGGGGCUAGUGAACUUAUCCCUCACUGGUCUGGUUGGAUGGAUUCAGUGUGCCCUGCUAGCAGAAUUACAGUUGAAAGUCUGUGGUUCUUUUUUUUUUUUUUAAUCUUGCUCCAAGCUCCAUGGUGCUCAGCCAAGCAAGAAGCUCCUAUUGCCUUCAAAGAUGGUUCUUCACUCGAAUGAGCACUGUGGGGUGCAGAGCAGGAAGAGAGUCUGGCCUUGUGUAAGAAGCUUUAACAUAUGCCUCAUUUUAGAUCAGACUCUACCUAACAAGGACUUUAUGGAAACUUCAAGGCCUGUGCACGUCUGUAAUUCACAAUAGGAAAUUAUGAAUUACAGAAUAAACCAGAUUAAACUGUAUAUUUGAAAGAGAUUUAGGAUAUUAGGAUAAAGACUGUACAAAAUUAGCAAAUUUUCAUGUCUGGAUUCUUUCUAUGCAUCUAGUUCAUGUGUAGGGAGUUAUAGUAAUUUAAAGCUCAGUGGUACAGGUAAGAUGUAUGCAGAAAGAUGUAUAUGUAUAUCCUUUUAUUCCAUGAAAAAAAUUGUAUGCUUUAGGUUAUAGGCCACUUUUCUACGUUAGCGAAGAUACUGACUUAAGUUAUGAAAACCUUCAUCUUUAUUUCUCCAACCUCUUUUUGACACUGACUACCAAAGAUGAUAAUAUAUGGUCUAUUCCCCAAGGCCUUUCCAGACAGUGCUAAUUCAGCAGCAUUUUUCUCUCAUGCUGUCAGGUUCUGCCCAGAUUUUUUUCUUGACAUUUGGAAGGAUCCUGCUGCCUUCAGAGGUCCCUAAACCUGAAAUGAUAAUAAUGAUUCUAGAGAAUUCCAAGUUGUGUGUUUGUGUGUUUGCUUUGGAUGAAUAUACACCUUAAAUAUCCCAGGACAAUAAUCUCCUAGGUAAUGUAAAUGAGCAAUCUGCCAAAAUAUUUAUGAAAUAUCAUAUGCCCAAAAUACCAAUAGUUGCUACGACCUAACCAGGAACAAGACAAAUUUACUGUGUUAUCUGCUUACUUCCCUUCACAUCAUUUAAGCUAUGGUUGCUAAGAUUCUCCUUUUGAGACCAAUUUUUCAAAAAGAUGCAGAAAAAAGAAGAUACUGAAUUGUGUCAUUUAACAUUAAAUAAUGCAACAUUGUUACUUAUUUUUAAAAUUGUAAGAGAACUCCUGAUAAUCUAUGGUUACUGGAAAUAAGGACAGCUGAAAUCUAAGCUAGAAAUGUUUCAAUUCAAAAUUAGUUAUAAGUCUUAGCCACUAAUUCUCUCUCUCAUAGUUUUCCUUACUUAUUUUCAUGUACCCCACCAUGUUAUGAAACAGAAUUAUUUAGGUCUUACUUUCUUUGUCUUCUCCUAUUUGCCCUUGACUGAUUGAGCUGAAGAAGAACAAGCCACAGUCCUAUCCCACCUCCUUCCUUCACCCAUUGAUGCUUCAUCUGCCAAUCCAUCCUUUCCUGUUACCUUUUCACUCAUGUCUGAGGGUUUGCUACAUGCUGGUCCCUUGUGGGACACUGAAUAUGAAAUAUCUUAGACAAUCCAUUUAAUUAGAAGACUUGUUUAGUUUUUGACAUUCAAGUUCUGUUUUCUACAUUGCCUUUGAAUCAUUCAUUUUACUAGUCCUUCUGGGUCUCAUAUUUUAUAUACCUAAGAGUUUUCUUCACAAAGCUAUUAGCUGCACUGAAGGGAUUAAAAUUUCUGGAAGCCUUCCUAUUCUUACUCCCAACACACACACACACACACACACACACACACACACACACAUGCUUACAAAGCACGUGACACUAAUGAUAAUUUUCCAGCAUGUCAUUGCAUUGAUCUAAUGUGGGGAUGUCAGCCUGAGCUAUUUUAUUGGUUGGCUUUGAGUGAUUAUAUCCUAAAAAGUAUGUGUUGGUUAACACCAAAGGACUAUGCUGUUAGCACUCCAGAACUAUAUGGUUAGAAGUGUAAAUCAGCCAGAAAAUGUAGUUUGUUCAAAGUCCACCCUUCCCCCUUGCAUAUUUGGAAAUUAGCUCCACUGGUCCACAGAUAGGGUUUAGCUUCUCAUAUCAGUUUGUAUAUCUGCACAUGAUCUUAUUUGGUUUAUGAUGAACUUAGGUAUUUGCGUGUGGAUAAAAAUGAGAGCCAGGGCACGUGGGUGGCUCAGUCAGUUAAGUGUCCAACUUCAGCUCAGGUCAUGAUCUCGCAGUUCAUGGGCUCAAGCGCCGCAAGAGGCUCUGUGCUGACAGCUCAGAUCCUGGAACCUGCUUCAGAUUCUGUGUCUCCCUCUCUCUCUCCCCUCCCUCACCUUCACUCUGUCUCUGUCUCUCUCAAAAACAAAUAAAACAUUUAAACAUUUUUAAAUUGCAAGCCAAUUUUAUCAAUUUAGUUUCAACUUUUUUCUUUUGAAUUAUGGAACAAAUUAUGGUCCCAGGGUUGAUACGACCAUGAAAUCAUGGUCUAACUCAGAUAAAUAAGGGUAAACCUCAGGGGACCUCUCAGUGGUAAAGCGAUUUUAAUUAGUAAAAGAUCCUGCAACUGCGCAUUCAAACAAACGAUCUUGUUCAGCAGAAGAUCUUGGUGCCAUUAGUCAGAGUUCUCAUUCGCCACCUGUGAAAGACAGGGAGCUUUGGGGAAGAGCUGGUGAGGGGUAAUGAGAAGUGUCACUUAAAGUGACUUCCUGGAAGUAAAGAUCAAAGUGAAGGACACUCAUCCUCCUGGCACUAGAAUUCAUAUCAAAGUGUCAGGCUUUGGAGUUCUCUCAAUUCUGCAGUUACAGCCAGGAGAGGGAAAUGCUUGGUUAGCUUUCUGUAAGAAAUAAGGUUCUUCAUCUUGAAAUUCUUAGUUCUUAAUUUUUAUUUACUUAUUAAAGGAAAUAACAAGUGGCAGCUAUAGUUAAGCCAACAUGUCACCAAAUUGAAAUCCUCACCUCAGAAAAAAAAGGGGGGGGGAAGAUUCAUACAUGGACUUGGUUUUUCACUUUUUUGUUUAUAAAUGCCAAAUUGUUAAAUUUUGAUUUUUUAUUGAUAUUCCUCCCUUGUAUUUUCAAGAAUUAUUUUCUUUUAAUACUCUAUAUGAAUUGUUUUAGAUCUGUUAUUCAUGCUAAAUGGCUGAUAACAUAUUGUGAAUAAUAUUGCUAGAUGCAUUUCUAAAAAACAUCACUAAAAUAAUUUGCAUUGUGUAACCUUAAAACUACCACUGCAGUUAGAAAUAGAAUAUUUCUUUUAAUUUUUUAAUGUUAUUUUUUUUAGAGAGAGAGAGAGAGAGACAGAGCACGAACAGGGGAGGGGCAGAGAGAGAGGGAGACACAGAAUCUGAAGCAAGCUCCAGGCUCCAGCUGUCAGCACAGAGCCUGACAUGGGGCUUGUCUCAUGACCUGUGAGAUCAUGACCUGAUCUGAAGUAGGAUGCUUAGCUGACUGAGUCACACAGGCACCCCUAGAAAUUAAAUAUUAAAGAAAAACUUCAACCCCCCUCCCAAAUUUGUUUGUUUUGCUUCAAAAAAGUUUUACAUGUAAAUUUAUUGGACACUGAAAUCAGAUAUUUGAGUACAUAGGUCAUUAUAAUAAUAAUCAGUGAUCAAUAUUGGAACACACUUCUUUCAUAAUCUCAGGCCACCUUGUCUCAACAUAGCCUGUUGCUCAGACAAUCAAAUGAUGAAUUAGUAAGAAUAAUAAAAACAAAACAAAAGCAAACCCAAUGUAGACAAGGGUGGAAAAAUAAAGACCUCAACUCUGUAAUGCAAGUAACUAGGAUUGCUCUUGUUUCUCUGGGUGAACGAAGCUGUUGCUAAACACAUUUAAAAUAAGAUAAAUAAUCCCACUUUUCCAAGGAACACUUACCAGGCUGGAAAAUUUCUGUUCCUCCAGUGUUCUUCCAUAUCCCUAACCCCAACAAGCUAUGAUUUGCUCAAGUGUACAAUGGUGUGUUAGCAUUUUCAACUCACAGAAAAAGGUGGAGAGAAAGAGAGAAGGAAAGAAUGAGACUUUAGGCACUUAUAUGUCUCUGAAUAUUGGAAAGAUUUAAAUAUUUAUCCCUUCUCAGGCAGUGAGGCCACAUUUUUAAUAAUUCCAUGAGUGGAGUUGAGAACAAGAGAAGAAUAGAUACAGAAGAUACCUGAGCCGGGAAGGGAGGGUGUAGAGGGAGCAGGGGAAAGAAACAAAUUGCAAAUAAAUGUUUAAAAAGUCACUCCAGGAAAAUGCAGCAGGAUGUAUGUGAUUUCAAAUUGGAGAAGAAAAUUAAAACCUGCUAAAGAAUAGGCAAACACUCUUUUCUUUGCUUCUUCUGUCAAACACAUAAAACAUGUACCCUAAAUGGAGGGAUAAACCACAUUAAACUGCAUCUGGUUUCAAAUGUUUCAACAUCUGCUUUAGCAUAGUUAUUUUUCCAUAAAUAAUUCUGGAAUUACUUGGAACAUGGGUCCUCCCAAGGAUGAGAGACUUAUAAUGGAGUCUGAUGACUCUGAUGGUGUUAGACCUCCUUUUGGAUAAAUGGCGAAUGCACAAAAUCAGCCUUCACUGGAGACUGAAAUUCUGUGACUCAGUCAAUACACACUGAGCACAGCUUGUAAGACUAGGGAUAUAUUUGACGGUAAAACAAACAUGACCCUGUCUUCAUGGUACUUAUAAACUAGUGGAAAAUUAGUCAAUUUAUCAUUGUAUUGGUUAUUUUCUAUUUUUAUCACUUUAAAUAUUUUAGUUACUUGUCCUGUCAUUGGAGAUAAUUUAGGUUUUCCCUUUGUUUUUGUUAUGUUUGUUUUGUUUAUGCAAUGGAGACAGUACAUGCAAAUAACAGGCAAGGGAUUUGACCCUGAUAACUGCACUUAAAAAUAUGACCUGGGGCAAGUUAUUACUGGACCUCUUUAAGUCUAUUUCUUGCUCUGCAAAAAGAGGAUUCUAGUUUAUAAGUCAGUUUGUUGAAUAUAAUCAUUAGUAUAAAGUACCUAGUUUAGUAACCAGAAAGUAAUAAAUGUUAAAAAAUGUCAGUUCCAUUUUUUUUCUUCUCCUGGCUAUUAAGAUAGUAUUUCAUCAGUUCUGAGAAGGCAUAGAUUGCAAAGUACAGAGUAUCAUUGUUUUAUGUACCAUUAAGAAAAUAAUGCUGACAAAUUACAGUAUGAUACCUUCUUAGCACAUUGAUUAUAUGACACAUCUUGAAUCUAGAAUGCAUGUAUGCAUUUUAAGAAAUGGGUGUUUAAAUUGUGCUCAUGAGACGUAAUGGUGGUGGUGUUUUAAAUUUUAAGAUAACUCUUAUUAAUGGAUAUAGAGAAAAGAUAAAAUUGAUAACUAUAUGUGUAUACAUUCAUGUGUGUAUUGAGGAAAGGACAUGGAAAUAAAAAGUAAAUUAACCAGUAAAGGAUCAUGACUAAACAUUACCCUUAAGAAUUGCUUAUUUGGUAGUUUAAGCAAUGGACUGGAACAAAUGAAUAAGCAAUCUUUAAAAACUAUAGGUAUCUCAUAAGCUAAAAUAAAUUUAUCUUAUUUCUACUUGGGAAAUUAGAAUAGAUAUAAGAAAUACUCAAAAAUUAAAUACAACUUAACAUAAUAGUGUUUCUUAUUGUAUUAAUUAUUUUUUAAGCAGAAAAAGUUAAAUAUAAUUAAUGAUAUUCACAUCAUUCAACCAACUCAUCCAAUAAUGUUUUUCCGAAAAUAAAUUUGAUUGUUAUAAACAACUUGAGAAAACUCAAACCACUCAACACAAAAUAUCAAAGUCUAGCAAAGACAAAGUUUUCCUGAUAGAUAUCUUUUUAAAUGUUUUAAUAUUUACUUAUUUUUGAGAGAGAGUGAGAGUGUAAGUGCGGGAGGAGCAGAGAGAGAGAGAGAUACAGAAUCUGAAGUAGGCUCUAGGCUCCGAGCUGUCAGCACAGAGCCCGAUGUGGGGCUCGAACUCAUGAACUGUGAGAUCAUGACCUGAGCUGAAGUCAGAUGCUUAACUGACCAAGCCACCCAGGCGCCCCUGAUAGAUUUCUUUGAUGUGGAGACACUUGAAGACUAGCAUUAGGCUUAUAACAUACAACUUGAUGGACAGCUAAUCCAUGUAAGUGAUGGCACUUGGCACUCAGAAAUGAGCCCAGGUCUUUGGGAUGCCUUUCCUUGCUCCACUGUCAGGAGGAGUAUUGUGGGAAUAUCUUUCCAUGAAUUAUUGGAAUGAAAUACACCCCCCCCCCAUUCAGAUCUACUGGAUUCCAAAAGAUUGCUUCAAUACAGGAUAUCCAAUUGCUAUAAAAUUCUGCACAGAGAAUGAAAAUUUUGUUUAAAGUCACAUUUGGAAUUAGAAAGUGCAUAGUUGUUAAUCUCACAAAAACCAUUUUUGUGACAUCUGAGCUAUCCUUGUCCACUAGUCUCUUUAUUCUCCUCCUACUUCCUGAACUGCUAGGGUUGAUACCCAUGUGAGGGUCCCAUAUGAUUAAGGAGCUUUAUGUGCAGAUGGAUUGGUGCCAGAUGACUUUCUUUCAUUUGUAUUAGCCCUUCACCUAGAAACAGCAGAUGCUGUGGUGACCCAUUGAGAACUGUUUACAGAAGAAGAGAAUAAGGAAGAGCUCUUGGGAAGUUAAGUGAUCCACACAAAUGGGUGGAGUCUUCCAUAAGUUAAGUGGAGCUAGAGUGGAAACUCAUAUAAAUGGUUAUCGUGUUUUAGAUCCAUUUAUCUCUACAUACUGAGACAUCCUAACAGAUUCUAAUGUAGAUUGCCUGGUGGCCCAGGCACACAAACGUAAUUAAAAUGCACACAGGAUGUUGCUUUCAGAAGCUCCUUUCUGCUGUUUUCUUUUUCUUAUUCUCUCUACUCUGAUUUGCUCUUCUGGGGCAAAUGUUCAAAUGCUCUUGCUUUCUUCUGGGGACUCAAGAAAGCAGUGGCAACCUUCUGAGAAUUCACCAGGUAAAUGGCCAAAUCUGUCAUUUGUUUUCCUCUGUCUGUGUAAAGGGAGAUCUACAGUGUACCUAAACAUUCUAAGAAAUUUCUAACUUGGAAUUUUAUAAAUAUUUGUCUACUUCUUGUCAGAUUAUUCUCCUAUUAGUGGAAAGCACAGGAGCAUUAACUCUUGGAAGUUCCCUUUUCAAGGGACUGUGGAGGAGGAGGGCAUUUUUGAAAUGUCCCCCACCCUGCAGUGUUCUUAAGAAAUGCAUUCACCUUUAAAUGUGUGCCACAUGCCUAGAAGGAGUCACUUUCACAGUUGGAGAGUGACACUUAUUAAAAAAGAAAAAGAAAAAUGUCAUUAGCUUUUGGAGGAAAUUGUAGAUUUUUUUUGUCUUUUAAGAGAGAACAAAGUACCUAACCAAAUUUGUUUUUCAAAGAGUAGCCUGGAUGCAAAGAAGAGGGAACUUUUUCUAAUUAGAAUGUAAUUCCAGAAACCUCUGAUGGUGUCUCAACUCUACUGAAUAUGGAAAUUUCAAGCCUUCUCUGUUAAUUAACUGAAUUCACUAAUAUUGGGAUGGACAGGGCUCCUCAUUGCUAAGCGUUAGUAUUACACUUUGAUAGCAAUAGGCCAAUGGGGCUUCCACCAACAUGCCUGUGUGCACAACUGGCUUUAUUCAGUAACAGUCUGAGCCAAGUAAAUGGCCUGCUGACAAGCAUUUUGCUUUGGUUUUGCAUUUUUUUCCUUUUCCUUUUAAAAUCUUUCAUUUGUUUUGCCAACAUGCCUGCUUUUCUGGCACACCUGCUUUCCUCCUUAGAUAGUGUUAGUUCUCUCAGAAUCAAUUGCGAGCAGCUUGCAACCAAAUGCCUGAUUAAAAAGUUAGCAGACCUUGAGUGCAAUUACUUCAGCUCUAUAGCACUCAGGCAUUAAACCCGGUGUUAAUUGUUUCCCAUUUUUGUAACGAUCCUUAUAAUAGGAUAAAAACAGAAGAGAUCAUUUCUUGUAGUUAAAGCAGCAGAAAAUAAAGUCAUUCACUCUGAUUAAUCAUCGUAAUAUGAAAUUAAACUCUAUUGGGAGUAAAUAUAUUCUAGGAUAUUUGUUGACUCCAGCGAAGGUCAUUAGUCUUUCUGCAUCAAAAUGUAUCUACCAAUUGCCAUUGCAACAAAUUAUUUACCUAAGUAAAAGAUUUGUGUAAUAAAUAAAUUUUAAUGUUUUUUGUAAGGAUUUUAUAUUGUUUUUGAGCAUUAUUUAAUUAUGUUUAUCAUAAAUACGUAUUUCCUUCAUAAAUCAUUAUAUGGUCAGAGUGGCUUAUAUUUUCUUGCAUUGGAAUUUUUAAAACACAAACUGAAUAUUUUUAAUGGAUUGACUACAUAAAGAGAAGACACAUUAAGAAGAUUGCAUGAAAAAAAUUCUAGCCAACAUUGUCUUAUUACAACAUUUCUCAGCAUUGAAUGUAUUAAGAUUUAGAAUUUUAUUAAACAGACCUAAUAUUUUAAAUGUUUUCUGUUUGUGAGAAUAAGGAGAUGCUUGAAGGCCUCUUUUUUUUAUAAAGUUCAUUCAUUUUGAGAGAGAGAGAGGGAGAGCUAGCAGGACAGGCAGAGAGAGAGAGAGACAGAGAGACAGAGAGAGAGAAAGAGAAUCCCAAGCAGGCUCUAUCAGUGCAGAGCCUGAUGUAGGGCUCGAACUCAUGAACCACAAGAUCAUGACCUGAGCCAAAGUCAGAUGCUUAACUGACUGAGCCACCCAGAUGUCCCUUGAAGGCCUCUUUUCUAUUACUUACUCUGUACAGCUGUUUUGUACCACCUUUUCUUUGUCGUCUUCUUCUUCUUCUUCUUCUUCUUCUUCUUCUUCUUCUUCUUCUUUUUAACAUAUGAACAAGAAACUGAGCAUCAUUUGUCAGGUGGUUACUCAUUGGGUCAUCGGUUUUGACCCAAUGGUUUUUAUUGUUGCAAUUCAGGCUGUGAUUCUGUAUUUUCUCUCAUGACCCAAGGGGUCAUCCAUGGCAGAGUCCCUUAUAGUUACCAGAGAAGAAGACAUUGUAGGAAGGAAUACAACUUUUUGGAUGGCUUUCAGAAUUAAAAUGGUGGAAAAAUCCAUUGAGGCAAUGAGCACUUAUAUAGAGUCCAUUUCAUUCACAUUCAUAUAUGCUUUUUUAGUUAUUAAAAGAAAUGCAGAGCUUAUCUCCUUCUCUUUCUUUCCAUCUGUCAACUCAUAAAUUUUUAGUAUUUUUUUGACAGAUAAGUACUUUUUUUCAUGUUUAAAGGAAAACCCAGUCAAGAAAGUUAUUUUGUCUUGACAUUGUUGUUAAAGAAAAGAAAUCUUCGUGAUUAUGUAGACUAUUAUAUAUUUUCAUUCAAUACAUAUUUUGAGUGCCUUUCAGGUGUUAAAGGCUAUAUGAGGCACUAGAUAUGUCAAAUCAAAGAAGAUAUGGUUCCUCCCUUUCAGGAAUUUCCACUGUAGUUCUGAUUGCUCAUAAUUUCUUCAUGUAUAAUUUUGACCAUAAUUUCAGAUAAUAAGCUGAAAAUUUAUUUCAGUCAUCUAAAUAAAUCCUGAGAGAAACAAUGGAAGCUAUAUCAGAGUACCAUUAUAUAUUUAGAAUAUAUUUAACACAUGUUGCUAAAAUAACUUUAAAUCUCAAGUUGUGAAUUUUUAAUUCCUUCUUUCACCAGAAAUGUGAUAAUUGUACUGUUUGGUCUAAUAAUGUUACCUACAGACCUUAGGAGAGAUUACAUGUGUAUGGUAAGUCAAGUGAUCAUGCCCUUGCACUGAAAGAACUUUUUUCCAACUGAGUUUCCCAGGAGCUAAAAUUGGUUAGCUGCCAUGUUUAAUCAGUUAUCACCCAAACUACAGGUCUGAUAAAAAUCUGCUAGAUUUUCAUAUCUAUGAAAAGUUAGUGAUCAAACAGGAUCUCUGAGUUGCAUUCUGUAUGUAUUUUGUCAGUCUGUGAAACCUAAGAUAAAAUUCCUUCUAUAGACUCUAAGCUCUAUGAUCUAUUCCAGGAUAGGUAAUUCCUUAAUUCCCCAAAUACCAUCAUCUAUCUUCUUUCAUCUGUCGCGCAGGGACAUGGACUAGAUCAGAAUUAUUUUCUGAUAUGAGGAACAUUUCAUUUCAUCUUCAUGAAGUUAACUCUGAAAUACGUUCUUAGAAGUGUCAAGAUUGGUUUAUAUCAUUGUAAAAUAUGAAUUAAAAUGUCUUUUUAAUGGAGUACCUUUAAAAGUGUAUACUGUUUCAAAUAUUUUUAAAAGAACAAAGGAUAGUUUUAGACAACAAUAAAACUUAUGUGCGUAUAGAAAUAUUUUUUAAAUACAUAUAAUUAUGUGAAUUAUAAUCCUCCCUUAUGACUUAAAAACACCGAACAAGGCUAAAUAUAAUGAUACAUGAGUAUUUGGAUCUCCAACACACACACGUGCGUGCACCCCCCCACACACACACAUACACUAGAAUUAAUAUUCAACAUAAUAUAGAAUAGUGAUAUUAUUUAAAUUCCUUGAAAAUGACCUGACAUUUCCUUAACUUUCACUAUGUAAGUCCUUGCCUACCCCUCUCCCUGUCUAAUUCUUUUUUUUCCCUUAAAUUGACCAUUUUUAGGGCAGGUUUAGGUUUAUCAAAAUACUGUACACAAAGAAUACAGACUUCCCACAUAUACUUUCUUCCUGAACAGUUUCUUCUAUUAACAUCCUGCAUUAAUUUGGUACACCUAUUCCAGCUGAUGGACAAUAUUAAUGUGUUAUUAUUAAGUAAAGUCCAUAGUUUAUGUGUUGCCUCUUUGUAUUCUAAUCUUUUUAAAUAUAUUCUAGAAAAUAAAAUUUUCUUUCAAAUAUUUGAUUGUACUCCCCCCAUUUAAACACACAUAUAAAUAAUUGCUGACUACAAUAUUCCUUUGAAAACAAUAUUCUAGACUAGCAAUUUAUUUAUCAUUUAUAACAUUUUGUAAAUAGGCUAAUAUAUUCCUAAAUUUCAAAGUCCUAAGUAUAAGCUUUAGGAGAUUUAAUAUUUUUCUUUUCAAAUUUCAGGCUGCCUCACUGUUCUUAAAUUUUUAGUGCACAGGCUAAAUUGUACUAUAUAGUAAGUUACCCCGAUGGGAAAAUUUUGUAAAGUUUCAUUCUGAAACUGUCUUUUCCUCUCUGCCCCAGAAAAAACUUAGAAGGCAUUUCUGUACACACGUGUUGGAUCUUAGGGUCAAGUGGACUUACAGGUGUUUACUUUCUUCUCUUCAAAAAAAUAAUGUUCAGGUUUUUGGAUCUUUACCUUCUUCUGGAUUGGUGUAUUCACAUUUGGAACAUAUUUGAGAGUUUUGUCUCUUCAAAAGUAACCACCUUUUUCUGAGUACAGCACAUUAUUUUAUAGAUGCUACCUAAAUCUACAGAAGCUUUUGACAUACAGAAGUUCUUGACAUAUGUUUGAAUUUUAUAUUUGUAUUCAGGGAAAACAAAUUAUCCCCAGUGCACAAAUAACUGAGAUUGGUGACUCGGUAAUGUUUUCAAAGGAAAGACUAAGAGCCACAGGGCAAGUGCGAUUAUCACUGAGAUGUAGGAGUGAUUUUUGUUUCAGAUAUCAGGCUCAAAAUGACAGUGACUGUCUGCAAUAAUAAAUGGAUAUGUUUUUUAAAUACAGUCCAGCCAAUUUGACUUCAGAACAAAGACCUCUCUACCCAGGAGAAAAGUGAUACAAAGUCUUACUUAUGUUUAUUCCAACUGGGUUAGUUUCUCUGUUUUCUUAAGAUCAUUAUAAGGCUCUGAUUCUUUCAGAGUAGAGGAGGUAGACAUUUUUCAAAGCAAUAGAAGCUUAAAACAUUUUCCUCCAGUUUAUCAGGACAUCACUGUUUUACACGCUACAGAAUAAUGCUUAUUAAUUCUCUCAAAAAUAUUUUGACAUGAUUUCCGUAUCUAAAUGUUACUGCUCUGUACAUAGGUAACAAACUUGUUUUGAAGACUUAUUCUGUAAUUCAAAACCCCUAUGAAUACCAUCACAUUCAUCUCAUUCUUUCAUACUAUACCUCCUUCACUAUACUUUAUAAAUUUAUGAUCCAAAGAGAACAUUCCUGUACAUUAGCUGAGGAUAAAGUUAAGACUGAUCUUUAUCUCAGGGAACAGAAAUUAUGCACUUAGAUGAGUACUGUCCUUCAAAUUUGCCCUAUUUUGUGCCUACACUUAAAAUUGUAAUUUCUCAAAAUAUUUUGACACUCCUCUUUCAUGAUGGUCCUCAAAGAGUUUUGAAGCCAUUGAAGAAAAUAUGCCAUAUCAUUUUGCAAUCACUCCUUCUUAAAAUGCUAUUGGUCACCAAUACAGAUGGCUUUUAGUUGUUUCAGAGAGUAAAAUCAGAUCACAAAAUUCAGAGCUGGCGCCUUGAGACUGGACAAUAUAAUGUCAUGCUCUCAUAACAACUCAAAACCACAAACUCCAAAUAUUUAAAUUAUUGUGGUAUCAUUGCAGUAUUUAGAUGAUUAAGUACCUCUUCUUUUAAAUAAUUAAAUAGAUGCUUUAUACAUUUUUUGUUUAUUAAAAAAUGUUUUUCCUCAUCUAAUAAUCACAAUCUUCUAUGAUGACUUCUACCCUAAAUAAAAUAUCAUUGCUAAACAAGUAAUUUUUGUCACCAGGCAAGACUAUAUAUUAUAUGGCACUAAAUAUAAUCACAAAGAGACUUUCUAGAAUGGAAUUUAUGGUAUCAGAAUUUGUCUAGAUGGAUUCAGUUAACAAAUUAGAUUCAAUUAACAAAGUUUGGAUUUCAUUUUUAAAAUUAAUAAAGUACAGAUCUCAGGUAUAAUUAACAAUUUCCUUGUCUAAGAAUAGGAAAAGUGUAUGUUCUAAGACAUCUGUCUGUAGUGGAGUUUGUGCAUAACUUUUGUAACAUAUAUGCAUGUAUAAAUAUACACACAGAAAUUUAUAUCUAUGUUUUAUCUAUAUUUUUUAAGUUUAUUUAUUUUGAGGGGGUGGAGGAGAGAGAGAAGGAGAGAAAGAAAAUGUACAGGCAGGGGAGGGACAGAGAGUGAGAGAGAAUCCCAAGCAGGCUCUACACUGUCAGCUCAGAGCCAGAUGGGGGGCUAGAACUCACAAACCAUGAGAUCAUGACCUGAGCCAAAAUAAAGAGUUGGAUGCUUAACUGACUGAACCACCCCGGUGCCCCUGUUGUAUCUAUAUUCUUAAAAGUACCCUCAUUUUCUUCCUAACUUACUCUGAAAAAGAUAUGACGUGGAUAUCACACAUUCCGAAUCAAAAUUUUCAACAGUAAGCAGUAUUUUCAUUGACUUCCUUUGAGAGAACUAAAAAAAGGCAAAGUUAAAAAAUGCUUGUCUUUCACAAUGGAGUGUCUUUCAUAAUACAAUUACAAAGAAUGAGGUUCUUAGCAAUUUUUAAAAAUUUGAUAGUUAAUGCAGUUAAUUCAUCAUAGGUUGAUAUAUCUAUCAAUAUGUCACCUGUUAGAUGAUUUACCAAUGAUUCUAAGAUUUCAGUCGAAAAUCCAAGGAUGCUUGUUUGUGUGUGUGUGUGACCUAUAUUGCCAAAGACAACCUCUUCCUUAUCUGCACUGCUUUUGCCUUCCCCACUCUGGAGAAACUUUUCUCAUUUUAGAAAAGUCAUGUCAUGUUUAUAGGAAAGCCUAGAAGAGCAAAUUCAGUAGUUGGUUAAUAGCAUCAUCGUCAUGUUCUGUGCCCCUAUACACAUUUUCAUAUUAGUGUAACUUGGAUAUUUACCUAAGUUUUGUGGACUGUGUCCCACUAUCCAUCUUCUCCAUGCAACUCAGCCCCCUGCCAUUAACUUUUCUAUGGGGAUCAUUUUCUUUGUCAUGACUGACUGUUGGGGUGGCUCCUAUACUGAUUAUUAUAAGACCAUCUCCAUAUUUGAAUCAUGUAAAUCAUAGACAAUAAAGAGGACGCUCUUCUUGGAGUAUUAUUCCCAUUGCCAUUUUCCUUUCUUUUUUUUUUGCUGAGGGAGAUAUGAUUGAUGGCUGAGAAUUAAUUAUAAGCCAGGGGCUGCCAAUGAUAGAUAUCCAUUACAUGUGUUAGGACUACUUCAAAUAACUUUUUACUCCUUCACUGCUUCUAAAGAGUUUUAACAUUCCUCCUUAUACUUCAAAAAUAGGACCAAAAAGUUAAAUAAACAAAAUCAAACUGUGAUAUAAAGGUAAUUUCUUCCACCCCUCUAUUUGUGUUUCAUUCUCUAACAUAGAAUAACAUGAUCUGUCCUCUAAAGCCACAAAUUACUAGUUUUUAUUCCUCCUAGGUAAUUAUGAUUUUGUGCCUGUUCAGCAAUAUAUAAGGGAAGUUUAAAGUGUGUAUGUACGUGUUUGUAUGUGUUUGUGUGGGGGGGGGACAAGUGUAUGGGUGUGGAUGCAUGCUUAAACUCUUCUGAGUUAAAUCCCCAUGGUCUGAGGUUAAUUAUAAAAUUGGGGCUACCUCCUAAAAGAUACUACUGACUUAAAGAAAAUAGGGCCUACUUUGGUUUUACAAGUCCUGUUUUGUGUUGAGAGUUAUUAAGAGAUAUGCUAGAGAGAUGCCCAUUAUCUCUCUUGUCAAUUCUGCUAAAAUGACCUGAGAUGAAUUCUUGAAUUCCAGACACUGAGCCAAACUCUAUUUCUGAUAUCAGUACUUAUAUAUUUGACACAUUAGUUUUUAGUGAUUUCUUGUUAUUCAAAGGAAGACUCACGUUUUGUAAAAGAUCAACACUAUGUCAAUGGGUUUUAUAUUUUUACUUAAUAACAGUGAUGACUUCGUGUAAUUUCUAAUUAAAUUGCUAUAACUAUUAUGUAUGCUGAUUUUGUAAAUAUGAUGAGGGUAACUUACUUUGUCACAUGGAUUUGUUUGUACUAGAAGACUAAAUUGGAAAGGACUCUUGCUGAGUCGUUUCUUCCCUAUUUCUGUACGUAUAAUUUAUAGAUGCAGAAAUUCUGCUUGCAGAUUCAGGAGCAGCUCCUCCUGUUUAAUGUAGUCAUUUUAUAUUUUGUAUGCUCAGAUAAAGUGCUGCAUUCCUACUGGGCAACAUUUAACUGUGAGAAAUAGGUUGAGGUUGUUUCUGAUAGCAGGAACUAAAUAAGAAUAUAAGAAGCAAACUAACCAACAACAUUCACAAUGCUGAAUCCUCUCUGCUUGCCUGACACCCCAGAGGAAACUUAAGGGUGGGGUCAUGUCACCAAUCCAAAGGGGAAAGUUGAUUCAAACCCUUUUGAGGCAGGGAGGAGACUCCUGCUUUGUGUUUGUUUGUUUUUUCUAAUAUUUAAAUUCAAGCACCAAGGUUACUCCCAAAAAGAGUACAAAGAAUUUACUUUCAUUCUUAAAGCUAUCAAUUGUUUUUGCACACGAAGAGAAAUGCGACCUAACUUUCUCACAAAUCAUACUGAGAUCAAAAGGAAAUAAAAACAAAAUUAUAUUAAAAAUUUCACCACACGUUAUUAACAUGAGUCUUUCAGCCAUAGGUGCUAAGAGGUAUACAAUGCACUUCAUGUACAAAGCACAAGAAUACAUAGGUCCUUACUUUGAGGGCUGUUUCACAGUAAGCCUACAAACUAAGUCAGCAGGCUAAGUUUAAGUUAAUGUGUGUUUCCCACACAUGUUGACACAAGUUCCCCAAACUAAACAUACAGUUGAGUAGUGAAGUUCAAAAAUAAGUUGACAGAUCUAUCCUAAAAUGCAGCAGUCCUUAGCUGCAGAUAGCCAAUGGGUAUGGAUGAACACUCUUCAAAUCCGUGGAAAAUGCUACUCAGCUUUAUGUGGCCAGUUAUCCUCCACACCCUAGUCCUUUUUUGUAUAACACAGACAGCACUAAGAAUCAAAACAAAAAAUCAUUUUAAAGUUGCUGGCACCUUUGCAUCUAUCACCUAUGGUCAGUGAAGUUGUUACACAGCUUUCUCAAACAUAAACUGAACCUUCCCAUUUGUCUCCAAAUAUUCUAAGAUGUAAACAAUGAAAGAGGAAAGAAGGAAAGACUGAAGGUUACUUUAGUUAUCAUGUUUCAUUUUGUUACUUUUUUAAAUAAAGGGUUGUGGUUUUUUUUUAAGUUUAUAUUUAUUUAUUUUGAGAGAGAGAGAGAGAGGGAGAGAGAGGGAGAGAGAGAUAGGGGCGGGGAGAGAGGGAGAGAGAGAACCCAAGCAGGCUCUGCACUGGCUCGACCUCAUGAACUGCAAGGUCAUGACCUGAGCCAAAAUCAAGAGUUGGAUGUUUAAACUGACUAAGUGCCCCUCAUUUUGUUACUUUUAAAAUAAGGCAGAACUUACUGUAAAUUUCUUGCUGGAAAGACAGAGAACUUUUCUCAUGGGAAAUCACUUUUGGAAGAUGGACAAUGAUGCUUCAUUGCUACUACAUCCUCUUUGGAUUUCCUGGUUCAAUUCUGGGUAAAUCAUUUUCAUCUAGUAAAUAUUCAUUAUAAGCUCAUAAAAUGUGAAGUGUAUAUGUUCCUCAGAAAAACUUGAUGGAUUUGAUUUCAUCAAUUCUUAUUUAAGGUUGUUAACAUUUCUGUAUCUACCUGGAGAUGAAAAAAAUUGUUCAAGGAUGUGCAAAGUUAAAAUGAUUCUACAUUUGAGUCAAGAAUAGUGUGCUCUAACAGUCUUAUUACUCUUUUAGUCCUUUUAUUUUUUGCUUUCACAAAUUGGCAAUGAAUUCCAAUCCAAGGAUGGUAACAGACUAGGGAUUGUUUUGGCAUAAACUCAUAAUGCACUCCCCUUCCUUCUUUUUUCUCUCUAGGUUAUUGUUAAUUAGUGAAGGUCUCUCAUUUGUGCACUGACCUUGCCUAGGUCUGCAGAGUUUGCAAGAAUUAGAAGGAAAUGACAUUUUAAAAGCUGCUGGCCAAACACAUCCUCAGAACUGGUAGACACUAGCUUAAUGAAAUUGACUUUUUAAGAAGUUGUGGGAUAUAGUUUUUGUAUUGUCCACCAUUUUAUUCUUAGCACCUAGAAUGGUGUUUAGCAAAUAGUAUGUGCUCAACAAUAUUUAUUAAAUAGCUAGAUGAAUGAAUGAGUAGUGCUUCAUGUUGAAAUCAGAAAAUGAGGGUCUGAUUUUCAUUGUAACUUACAUAGACAGUCACUUUAUUUCCUCAUCUGAAAAAAAAAAUGUAACAUUAAAAUAGAAAAUCCCUAAGUGAUUUCCAGCUAAAAUAAGUAAAUAAAGUAUACCUUAGCCGAACCAUUUUAACAUAUGUAUUCCCAAUAAAUAGGAGAGGAGAAUGACUCAAUUUGUCAGUUUCAAAUAAUAAAAUGACUCAUUAUAAAAUAAUUCUGUACUCCAAACAUUUCACUUAUCACCAGUCAAAAAAGUUCCUUAGGAUUUUGUCCUUCAAAACUAUUCCUUGUUUUUGAUAAUGGGCUCACUUUACUCACAAUUACUAAUAAUUUUCAUAAGCUAUAAAUCCAGAAAUCUUUUUUUUCAAUUUAAAUUUUAUUUAACUAAUAUCAGAAAUCUUUUCUUGUUCUACCACUUUGGACCUCAUGUUUCAAACAUGAAUGAAGAAGAACAUGUGUGUAUUAAUAAUGGUUUUCCUUAGUUGAGCCUGCAAGUAUUGAGUAGUAGCAAAUUAAAUUUAUAACCACAGAUUGCUUUUUGGGUCCCAUUUACCUUACUUUCUAAUUUACCAUGAGUUUUGCUCAAUUCUGGAUUUUAUUAAGAGGAUGCAGGUGCAUUGAUUUUUAGAUGGCAAGAAGCUAUUGAGGAAUUUGCUGUUGAAUUGAAUCAGUAGUUUCAGCUGAAAAUGUGCUCUUCUGUCAUUGUGCAGCCGCACCCUAGUGGACUCUAAGCCCAGGGUGGGUGAUGGUCUGGCAAAGCUGAGGAAAAGACUCAAAGAUUGCAAUUAAGAUGUAGGUUCAUUGGGGGAACUUACACACAGGGAGUCCAGGAGCAGGAGACUGUACAAAGCAUCCCCUGCUAAAAUCUACAUGCAGCAAGCUUUUAUAAUGUAGCAACUAGCCUAACAAUUAUCUGUAGCUGCUCCUUCCUUGCAUGGCCAGUGUUCCAAAGAGAUUGAAACCUGCCAUCCAGACAUUCUUUGUUACAAAGGAGACACUCCAGGUUGGUGACCCCAGGCCCCUGACCUUGAAUGUUGAAUUGUUUCUCUACACGUUCUGCUUGAUGGAAAUAUAAAGGGGGGACUGGAUCGGUACAUUCUCAAGAUAGUGAUUAACGGGGCAUUCAGGGUGUGUUUGUACAAACCAGCUAUCCAGCACUGACCAUAUAGUCAUUUAAAUAUUCCUUUUCUCAGAGCUUGCAACCUAAGACUACACUCAUGACAGUUCUUUUUUAGAUCUCAAUUAAAAUAUGUUCUCUUAAGGGGCUCCUGGAUGCUUAGUUGGUUAAGUGUCUGACAUUGGUUCAGGUCAUGAUCGCACAGUUUAUGAGUUUGAGCCCUGCAUCAGGCUCUGUGCUGAUAGCUCAGAUUCUGUGUCUCCCUCUCUCUCUGACCCUCCCCUGCUCUCUCUCUGUGUCUUUCUCUGUCUCUCUUAAAAAUAAAUAAACAUUAAAUUUUUUUAAAAAAUAUGUUCUCUUAAGAAUAAGGAAGGUCAAAAUGUGUCCAAUUAAUAUUAUUAGAAGUAUUUGUAUUAAACUACAGUUUCUAGUCUCUUAUUUUCUUUUAAUCCUCUUUGGGGUGAUUUCCUUUGCUACCUUAAGAGGGGACAUAUAGGAAAAUACUAUUUCAAAUCAGUAAAAAGCAUAUGUUUAUUGGAUUUAAUGCUGAGGUAAAACAAAUACAAGUUCACAUAUUGAACUUUAAUACUAUUUUUGUUUUUUACUUCAUUGUAAGUAAUUUCUGGCAGGUUGUGUGUAUAUGUAUACUAUUUAGAGAUUAGAUAGAUGAAUGAUGCAUUCGUAUUUCUUGAAUGUGGUUAAAAGAACUAAAUCAGAGUUAGGAAUAUUUCCUUAAAAGAUAUUUAAGGAAUUCUGCACAAAUGAAACCAUAUUUAAACAAUUCUAAAGUGCAUUUUUCCCUACUUCCAACAAUAUUAGUGUGUAAUUUUACAGAGAAUAAUUAUUUUAAGUGUCAGUUAUUAACUGGUAAAAUUGUUUAUUUGUCUUGUAAUAAUUGGCUUAGUGUGCCAACUUCUUGUUGUUAUUUUGUGAUUUGAGAAGGCAAGCAUUUUUAAUUGCAGUGAUUUAAAAUGUUAGGUAAAGAAAGUAAAGAAGUUAGAAUAGCAGGGCAAGGAUAAUCAGAUUGUUUAGCAUUCCUUAGCUCAAGAGAAAGCCCACCUACUAUCUACUAGACUUUUCCUUUUCUUUUUUUCCUAAUUGCUAUAAAUGAUGAAGAGGAAUACUUAAAUAUUAGAAUAUGUUGUAAUAUUACCAAGAUCAUCCAUGCAAAUUUUAGUGUGGCCAAAAUAUUGAAAUUUUAAAAUACCAUAUUCCAUGACCAGACAAUACCACUUUAAAUACUUAGUAUACACAUAGUCAGAUCUUAGCUUAUGCAUAUGCACACACAAAAACAUAUUAACAAAGUGUAAUUCAACCAAGUAAAAUCUUUACUAACUUCCUUUUUCACACUUAACAAUAGAUUCCAAAUAUUUUCAGUAUCAGUAAAUAUUAAUAUAAUUUUAAGUAUUAUGAUAUUUUCAAUUGUAUGAUACAUAAUUUAUUAAUUAAAUACCUAUUAGGCAUGUCGCUCAUUUCUAACUUUUUGCUAUUUUAUGCAAAGACACAAUGAACUUGACCACCAAAUCUUUGCACCUAGGAAUCCCUGUAGGUUAAUGGGACUGGGAUUGUAGACUUGAAUGUGAGUCAUUCAUUGGUGAAUAGAAUAAUAUUCUGUACCAGUAAGAAAUGCACAAGAGAAGCAUUCAAGCAAUGGUUGAGAUUUCAUAGAUGACUUAUUCUUUUAGCAACUCUUGAAGAACAGUGCCCAAUAUAGAAACAUGUGUAUCUUACCUGAGCAUCUUGAAUUUUCCCUCCCUUUCCUCUCUACUAAUCUACAUGAAAAAAUAUAGUGAAAGUGUUUGGUGAUGUUUCUUAAAUUAAACCAGUGUGGCCUCUUCUGACUUGCAGCAUCCUGAACCUUUAUUUGUAUGCAUGGCCCUUUAUGCUUGUGUAGAGUACAGAAUUUCUGAUGAAAGUUUCACAUGGUUAGAAUUCAUAUCAGCAGCUCUGAGAUAAAAUAACAUGAAGCAGCUUUAGUAGUUACUGGUUCCCAUCUUAUUCUUUCUCAGGGCAGCCAGGGACCUAGAGCUAACUUGUUAGUGAUACAUCAGAUAAACAAAUGUGACAUUCAAACCGUUAACAAGACAUAGCCAAUAAUAAUAAUAAUGUUUACCAUGGGAGAAAACGGAAUGGAUAGGAACUAGAUUUUAGGAAAACAAGAGUGCGAAGGCUUUGGAAAAUCUGAAGUAGUCUCAUGAUAACAUAUGUUGUCCCAAUUCAGUCAGGCAGCGCUUCACUGUAUUUAUAACGCAAAUUGGGUAUAUUUCCAUGGGGAUAACCCAGAAGCAGAAUUCCCAGAGGCAGUAAGUAAUAGCUUAUCCUCUUCCUCUUUUUUGAAUGUGCUAACAAUUAUAGGUUUCUUGAAAGGAUAAUGGGGAAAACCUUCACUUUUUUAAAGGAGAAACCAUGUAUUUUAACUGUUGGUCUUUGGGGCGCCUGGGUGGCUCCGUCAGUUGAGCGUCCGACUUUGGCUGGGGUCAUGAUCUCAUGAUCUCAUGGUUCGUGGGUUUAAGCCCUGCAUCAGGCUCUGUGCUGGCAGCUCAGAGCCUGGAGCCUGCUUCGGAUUCUGUGUCUCCCUCUGUCUCUGCCCCUCCCCUGCUCAUGCUCUGUCUCUCUCUCAAAGAUAAAUAAACAUUAAAAAAAAAAUUAACUGUUGGUCUUCGUCUAUGGCUUCCAUGAAAACAGCUUCCCCUCAGAAAGGCUCUGAGCUGCCAUGAUAUACAAUUUAGGAGGCAUGCCAAGGUUAUGGGGUGCAGGCAGUUCCCCUACAAAAGGACAAUACUUUUUUUUUUUUCCCCCAGUGGUGAAGGAAUCACAUCUUUAAAACAGCUUGGCCCUGGGCGUUAAAAGAGAAUAUGCAGCUCUAAAUUUCAAGAAUGAUAACUACUUUUUAUUGAGUACCUACUAUGUGUCAAGUUUUAUAAACCAGCAAGACUUCUUGGCACUAUUUUGUCCAUUUUACAAAGCCAGGAACUCAUUCAAAGAGGUAAAGUCACUUGCCUUGGGCCAUUCUCUGCAGAGCAAGGACUCCUGGCCAAGAGGUCUGGUUCUGGCUUCUUCACCUGGUCCUGUUGUGCAAUAGCUGAGCAAGUAUUGUUGAGUCUUUGAUGACACCUACAACUCCUAAUUCUUAACACUUCAUGAAUCCUUGUUUUCCUUCAUUUCAGUCUAUUCAGAUCCUUUCCUUAUAUCUACCUUGAAAUUUCAGACAUUAUUGUACCUGCAUCAAUCAUUAUGAUGAUAAAUUAAAGAUAGAUUUGCUUGAUCAAUUUGCUUCGUACCAUAAUAUCUGUGUUCCAGUUCUUAGUCCACAUGCAUUACCACCCCCACUUCCCAUUAGACUGAUAAAUUGUGCACACUUUUGCCAAUUAAGACUUAAACAUCUUUGAGUCAAAUUAAUUAGGAAAUAUUUCCAUAAGCCACAGUAGUUUAAGCAUUAUAUCACUCUAAUUUACACUGUCAUUACAAAUAAAUUAUGCUAGAUUUCUAACUUUGCUUAUUCUCACUUAUAAAGUGGUAAAGAAAUAUCAGAAUAUAAUAUAUGUGGGGUAUAUUUGAAAUAGUUUUCUUCUAAUUCUCAGUGAAAUUAUAGUACUGUGAGAACUGCUGGGUUCAGGUGUUACUGGUGUUGCCGAUUUGGACAUUUCUUAGGAGAAAAAAAUAUAGUAAUUAAAGCAGUAUUAUUAUGCUUAGAAGAUCAUAGAUGGAAAAUUUCCAUUUUUCUUCUAUGAAACAUAUACUUUAUAAUGGCUUAUAAGGCCUGGAAAUGCCUUAUAAAGACUGAAGAAUGUGUCCCAUUGUCUUUCUCUGAUAUUUGACUUGUUUUACAUUUAGCUGAGUUAUAAGUAAGAAGUAUUCCUCCAGAGAUAGUACCAAAGAUACUUUAAUCACUGAAACUACAGACAUUUUAGUAGGCCACUUUAUUUAUUUAUUUAUUUAUUUAUUUAAUUUUAUUAUUAUUAUUUUUUGGUGGUUUGUACUUGUUAGGCCAAUCACUUUAAAAAGAUAUGUUUGAGGGGCGCCUGGGUGGCGCAGUCGGUUAAGCGUCCGACUUCAGCCAGGUCACGAUCUCGCGGUCCGUGAGUUCGAGCCCCGCGUCAGGCUCUGGGCUGAUGGCUCAGAGCCUGGAGCCUGUUUCCCAUUCUGUGUCUCCCUCUCUCUCUGGCCCUCCCCCGUUCAUGCUCUGUCUCUCUCUCUGUCCCAAAAAUAAAUAAACGUUGAAAAAAAAAAUUAAAAAAAAAAAAAGAUAUGUUUGAGAGUCAUGUAUAAUGGGCAGCCUGGUCAUUGUCCUUAAUACUGUGUUUAUCACAAAAGGAUACUGAUCAGUUAAGGGCAUAUUGAAACAGAAACAGAAAAUCCUUGUAUUGGUUUUCUCUAAAGGGUUAAUUUAGCACGAGAGAGGAAACGGUAUAAUAAAUUAAAAAAAAUUAAAAAUAGCCACAUUUUUCUUUCUAUACAAGAAGAAAUACAUCUCAGAUAUUAAUAUUCAAGUUUGACUGGUAUUUUCAUGUAGCAUUCACCUAGGCACAUUUCAAAAUCUAUUGGGGGUGGGGGUUUGAUGGUACCGAGAUAGUUGUGCAUGAAGGUGAAUGUGCUACAAUAGACUCAAUUAGUACCAUUUAUGAGUAUAGUUUAUGUGAUGUUGGCAUCAGUUCAUUAAAAAUGUACUGAACUAUCAAAUCAUUUCACACAGGUCAUUGAACAGCAAUAAAGGGGUAUCUCCAUUAUGACUCUGAGCUAGAUUUGAACCAGUGACUCAUAGGAAAUAGACUAUGUUCUAUUGUUGUCUAUAAAAAUGCAUUUAUAGAGUAGCAGUGUAUCUAUAGCAUUUUGUGUCUAAUUGCAUUCUUUUUUCUUUGAAACGGAUAUAAUCUAUAAAUCAUCUUCUGGAAAAACACUCAAGUUUUAGGUAUUAUAAAGUGAUUAUACAUUAUACAUUUAUAUUUUAUAUACUUUAUUAUUUAUAUAAUCAUAGUUUUAUUAAAUAUGAGUAAGAGUGGUCACAUGUGACAUGAUAUUGAAAGGUCUUUUGGCUGUUAGAGCAGAAUGAAAAUUAAGUGCACUCAGACAUACAGCACAAAUUUACUACUCUCAUAUAAUUCCAAAAGUCAUAAAUCUCCACCCCACACUGCUGUAAGUAUUCCCAUAUCUUGUGGAUUACAUCAGCUAAAAGAAUAUUUACCAAGAGUACUAAGCAACAAUCUGUGCUGAAAUGCACACUUUUAUUUUAUUAAAACAUUAAAAUUUAUUGAAGUAGCCAUCUACAUAUUUUAGGUCACUUCUGACAGUGACAUUGUACAAACAGAUGCCAAAAUAAUAUUCCAAACAUCUUUCUGCUGGAAUGUUCUAUAGCCAAUGACUGGUAGUAAUAUCUGAGCCAGUGGCAAUAAUGACUUCAUUGCAAAAACUACCUUAAAAUCAUUAGGUAAACAAAAUGCCUGUUCACUCAAAAGAAAUGGAAUGUCACAUUAUGUAUGUAUUUUAUUCAGAUCUAUGGAACAAAUAUUUUCAUAUUUCUGCUUAUUUCAAGUUUGUUUUUGUUUUUGUUUUUGUUUUAUAAUGGGUGGCCUGGUCAUUGUCCUUAAUACUGUGUUUAUCACAAAAGGAUACUGAUUAGUUAUGGGCAUAUUGAAACAGAAAAUCCUUGUAUUAUUGGUUUUCUCUAAAGGGUUAAAUUCACAUGAGAGUAUAAUAUAUAAAAAAGUAAAAUUAAAAAUAGCAGCUUUUUUCUUUCUGUACGAGAACUACAUUUCAGAUAUUAGUAUAUUAAUAUUUUACAUACUAAUAUAUAUAUUUACAUAUAUAUAUUUGUCUUUCUUGCUAUCAUUUUGACAAUUUGCCCUUAGGUUUUUUUGUUCUUAAAUUAAACAAGACCGAAAUUCCUUCUUGUGUUUUGCAAGUUGGACAUUACGUAGCAAAUAGCAAAUGAUAAAGUUUGUUCCUAGCUUUGUUCCAGUUUUAUGUUUUCGUUUACAUUGUGUCAUCUGUUGAAAGUUGUUUUGCUGUUGUGUUCCGCUGCACCCAUUUUACCUGAGAGGAGUGUUAAUUGGCGUGUCCUGUGGUCUUCUUUGUAGUCGCAGCGCCGCGUUACGUUUCACCUCCCCGACGGCUCCCAGGAAAGCUGCAGUGACAGUGGUCUAGGCGACCACGAGCCGGUGGGUAGUGGAACCCUGAUCUCACACCCUCUUCCUCUGGUUCAGCCACAGGACGAGUUCUACGACCAGGCCUCUCCGGACAAGAGGACCGAAGCAGAUGGCAACUCCGACCCCAACUCUG